rnacentral:lncRNA from 1 species
CAAUUGACGGCACAGAUUCAAUCACAGCCUGGACAGCUGCAACAGCAAUCAAAUCCAUUACAACAUGAUCUGCAGCAAAGGCUUCAAGCAUCAGGCUCCUUGCUUCAACAGUCAAAUGUGAUUGAUCAGCAAAAGCAGUUGUAUCAACCUCAAAGAGCCCUUCCAGAAACGUCCUCAAGUGAGUUUUUCUCAUCAUUGCAGCUUUCUAACCUUGCUCCAACUUUAAUUUUGCAGCUUUGUGCUUUCAUGUUAGAUUAUAACAUAUUUAUUUAAAUUUCUUGAAAAUACAAUAAUGGUUCAAGUCAGCAAUGCUCUUUCUGGUAGCUUUAUGAGCUACGGCUGCCACUUAUGGCAUCAGAAAUGCCACUGCUAUUGGAACCAUUGUAAUCACACAUACAUUUGUUAUGACAUCAUGCCAUCCAGAGCAUUGCACCAACUGUUCACCUCUCAUAAUGGUUCAAGUCAGCAAUGCUCUUUUGGUAGCUUUAUGUGCUACUGAUGCCAUUGCUAUUGAAACCAUUGCAAUCAUACUCAUUUGUUACCACAUCAUGCCCUCCAGCUCAUCGCACCAACUGUUCACCUCUCAUUUUGAAUUUAACGGACGUGAGUUUUAAAAAUAUAUGUAUAACUGGACAAUGCAUUUGACGCUAGGGUAACUAAUCAUCAGCCAAUUGAUUUUUAUGGGAAGAAAGAAACUAGCAAGUGGAUUAACUCUGAGGCACUUAAGGUUUGGUGUGCUGAUAAAUCAUCACCUUGCUGGAAAAAUCUCAUGAUCACCUCCUCGAUGCUAAUUCUGUAAGGCAUGUGAAGUGUUUCUCUGUCUGUUUGAAUGAUUACAUAACGUUAAGAUGGAGUUCCGAGUACUCCCAAGUCCAGAAAGGACUUGUAUUCCUAUGUAGGAAAAUACUAAUGGUCCUAUCUAGGAUAGAGAAAACCUAAUAAAGCUCCUUAUUCUUUAGGAACAAUCAAAUACUAAAUAGAAAUAAAACCAAGACCUACAGCAUUGCAUUCCAUAAUUUUCAGCAAGUGUGAAAAUUACAGAAAGACCCUUGUGUGCGGAAAUCAUUAAAAAAAUACAUGAAUUCUAAUCUUUUUUUUGCCUGCAUCAAAAUUUUUGUAGCAUCCCUAGAUUCUACAGCAGAGAGUGGACAUGCAAAUGGUGCUGAUUGGCAAGAGGAGAUCUACCAAAAGGUAAUUUCUGUGGUUUACUGUUCAUUAGAUGAAGUUCAUGCAUGUCAUAGUCUUGCAAGAUUUCAAUGGAAAAGGUCUCCUGGAAUUUUGUACAAGGGAGUUUUAUUCAGCUAUGGUUGCGAUUAGUUAGGAAGCAUUGUAAGUUCCAUGAUUGCAGCAACUAACAAACGAUAAAUUACUGAUAAGAUGAUUAAAGGUAAAAUAUUCAGAUUUCUAGGUCAAGAGGGUUUUUUUCUUGGUACUGACACAACAAUUUUUUCUAUUGCAAAUCUCUCCCUUUCGAUUUUUUCCCAGUAUUUCCAUACAUUUAUUGUGUGGUGAGUUAUUAUUUUAUUAUUUCCAACAAGUCCAAUUGACAAUACUUCUUACUGUAAUAGACAGACUUGAAAACAAGAGUGAACUGUUUCUGAAUAGUCAUCGUUAUAUUUGGUUAAGUGAACAGUUAUUUUCAGGAUUACAAGCAAAUCUGUUCUGAAACAUGUGACCAUGGAAGAAAGGAAAAUAAGUGGACCUAAUCCAUUGAAUCAUGACCAUGUCCAGUAUUGUUGAAUUUUUUAGAAAAUGAGGUUGAAAUUCUGAAUCGUUUAAUGGCUGUAGUUGCAAUUCAUAACUGCAUAUUUGAUGAAGUCAAUUUUUUUGUGCCUGGGAGGGUACUAAAACAGGAAUAGGAGUGGUUGUUGAUAAUUAGGAUUUAAGGGUUAUAAAUCCAAAGUUAUAAAGCUAAGAAGUGUUUACCAAAGUCGUGACAUCCAUUGACUUGAGUUAGAACAAUAGAAAACAAUGGUGAUUGUAGUUUGCCGUGAGACAAAGUAACUGAACUUGACCAACCCCUGAAUCUUGUCUGAAGUGGUAACUACACAAUCCUUUGCAUCUUUGCAUGCAAUCAAUAACGAUAUUCUCUUUUGAGUUUUCAGCAUUGAUUCCACUCUGCUAUUUUUAUCUCAAACAAUAUAUGCUGUCCUCUGCCAUUUUAUUUAUUUAUUUAUUAUCAAUUCUCUCAAGUUCGCUUAUGUUUCUUUCUGACUCUGGCACGUGAAGAAAUCAAGCAUAUGAUUGAUAAUGUCUUGCUGUUUAUAUGUACUUCCUAGAUCAAAGUUAUGAAGGAAACGUAUUUGCCUGAAAUAAAUGAAAUGUACCAGAGAAUUGCUACCAAGUUACAGCAGGUAAAUUGUCUCUGUAAUUUUUUCCGAUUUAUUUGCCCACGCAUGAUUCAUAAACCCCCACAGUUGAGCUUUUGUAUUAAUUUGUUUUCCCCAUCAGCAUUGCUUGUCACUGUAUCAUCUGCACUAAUUACCUCCCCCAACCCAACCACCCCACAACCAUGCAUUGACACAGAAGAAUUGGAAUAGAAACAUUUUUUUCACUAAUGUUUUACUAGUUUUGCUAGAAAGGGUCAAUGCAAUUUUUAAUUCUCGUGUAUGUUAACUUUGCUUUCCAGCAUGACCCUCUUCCACAACAACCAAAGUCAGAACAGCUUGAAAAGCUGAAGGUAUUGAAGGUCAUGUUGGAGCGCUUGAUAACAUUCUUACAGGUCUCUAAAAACAACAUCACGCCUAAUUUCAAGGAGAAAUUGGGUUUCUAUGAGAAGCAGAUUGUAGGUUUUCUAAACCCAAGCAGAUACAGGAAGCCUAUUCCUAAUCUACAGCAAGGACAACCUCCCCAACCUCGUAUUCAACCUAUGCAGCAACCCCAAUCUCAAGUUCCUCAAUUGCAGUCCCAUGAAAAUCAACUGAUUCCCCAGUUGCAAUCAAUGAAUACGCAAGGUUCUGUACCACAGAUGCAGCAGAACAAUAUGUCAAGCUUGCUGCAUAAUUCCCUUUCAACUUUAUCUGGGGAUUCGACGUCACAAUCAAACAUGAUGAAUCCAAUACAACCAGGCUCCAAUUUAGAUUCUGGACAAGGAAAUGCACUGAGCUCAUUGCAGCAGACACCUGUAGGAUCUGUACAAAAGAAUCUCGUGAGCAUUUCCCAACCAACCAAAGUUAACACAUUGUCAACACAAAGUGGGGCGAGUAUGCUGCAGCCAAAUAUUCCCCUUCAGUCGAAUUCCAAUAUGAUUCAACACCAGCAUCUAAAACAGCAGCAGCAGCAGCAUGAACAACAGAUGCUACAAACACAACAGCUUAAACGAUUGCAGCAACACCAGAAUUUAAUGCAGAAUCAACAGAUGCAGCAGCAGCAAUUACACCAGCAAGCUCCGUCUCCUAUGCCAGGAGAUUCUGACAAACCAGUUUCUGGUAUUUCCUCACUCUUAAAUACUGGAAAUAUUGUACACCAACCAUCUGUUGCACAAGCACCGGCUCCAUCCCUUGCAAUUGGCACUCCUGGGAUAUCUGCAUCACCUUUGCUUGCAGAGUUUACCAGUCCUGAUGGUGCUCAUGGCGGUGCUUUGACAACUGUUUCUGGCAAGUCAAAUGUUACAGAGCAAUCACUUGAGUGCUUGAUUAAAGCGGUUAGUGAUGCUCUCCUUUUGGUUUUACUCCACCCCACCCUUAUUUUGGAGGUUUCUGAAAAAGAAAGAAACUUCUUUGUGAAUGAGAUGGUGAUGCUGUAAUUUUUUUUCCCAGGUGAAAUCUCUGUCUCCCAAAGCACUUAGUGCAUCUGUCGGUGACAUUGGCUCCGUUGUCAGUAUGAUUGACAGAAUUGCUGGUUCUGCAGCUGGUAAUGGAUCUAGAGCUGCAGCUGGUGAGGAUUUGGUAGCAAUGACAGGAUGUCAUCUUCUUUCGUUUUUGUCUUUUUUAUUUUUCACGUGUUUCUCACAACAUGGGAACUCGAGGGAAUAAAAAGUGCUGGGAAGUAAUUUUUGUUGGAACGUCUUGUGUAACAUCUUCUUUCGAUGAUGACCUCUUGGAUGUUUUGGUGAUAUCUCUACAUCCAAAAUCAUAUAGACCGCUACUGCUGGCACUUGCAGUAGCCAAUGAGCACUGAUAUAUAUUGCAGAGUGAGAUAAGGUUAACUCGUUGCAUUUUCAUAAAUAAAAGGGAUUUCUCUUCUUUUCUUUGUCAAUUACAGUGCAUGUGUAAAAGUUUUCUUACUCAGAGUAAAUGCUAUUGUAAUGUUUUCACAGAGACUCCCCUGUUUUGCAACUAAUUCACUUCUGAAUAUAUCUGGGAAACAGAAAGGCAAUCAACAAAGAGUAAGGCAUCUUCUGAAGAAACAAAGAAAUUUAAUACCCUAAACUAAGCAGCAGGUAGAAGGCAAAAACUGAGCACAAAUUUUCAGGAAGGGACAAAAAAAAUAAAAAAGAAAGCAGAGAAAAAUACAGACUCAAAUUCAACAACACCCAUUUUCUUUCCAUUGGAACACUUUAAAUAGUUUAUUAAAUAAAGCAUAUAAAAAAAUCAACUUAAUGAUCAAUUCUCUAUAAUUUCGGCAUUACUAAAAACAUCCAAACUAAUAAACUAUUAGUUAUUAUAGUCAUUUUAAUAAACAUUUUAGUUAUGAAUUCACCAAACAUUUUGAACAAUUCAUAUUGAUGAAUUAACAUGUCAAUUUUAGAUUUUUUGACUUACUAGUUCCUUCAUGAAUUACUUCUAAAGCAUGCUAUAUAUCUCUAAGCAUUUUUAUAGAAUAUAAUUCUAUCAAAUUCACUUUUACCCAAUGUAUAAUAUAAAAUAUUCAUGGCUUUAACAUCCAUAAAAAAUAAUUUUUUAUCAUUUUAUGUAUAUUCACUUCUAGUUUUAGAAAUCUCAAUACCAUUUUCAAUUUUGAUAGGUUUAGGAGAUCUAUUUUGUACGGAUAGCCACAAAUUAAAAUCAAUAGAUUGACAAUAAACUAUCAUACAACAAUUUAUUACUUGCUCUUUGGUGAUAGGAAUGUGAUUGUAAUAUUAUUUUUCAAGCUUACUCAAUCUCUUAUUCUUGAUAGCAUAACCAAUAAUAAAUGGCGAGCCAAAAUUUAUAUGUUACUCUCUGUAAGAAUUUUGACUGCAUAAAUGUAAAAGAAAAUAGUUUUAAAAAGACUAAAAGUUUUCUUCAUUAUAAAAACCAUGUCAGAAUUGUCUCUUUUUAUAGGCAAUUCUGACACUUAAUUUUAAAAUAACUUUUAAGACAAAAGGUUACAAUUUUCUAGUUUAAAACUACACAAUUAUAUUUCAAGUAGAGUUUUAACAAACACAACUUUUCAUUCACACCUUAACAAUCCCUCCACAUGAUAAAAAUUGUUUGAUCAUAAUAAAAUACAAAGUAGACAUGAAAAUAAAGAGUAGGAGCGAAAAGUCAUUGCAUCGAGCAAGAUAACUUUUGGCCUUGAACCUUUCAUAGUUAAAACUAUUGGAUUCACUCGGCUAAUCAGCAAACAUGAUAUUUUGAGUUGUUUAGCCUUUUGUGAGAAACCAGAUAAUAUAGAUUACACAUUUCAUUUUCUUACAAUUUUGGUUCUCACGGUUGUGUUCAUUUUGGCCUCGAAUACGUCUUGAUUUCAAAGAGCUUUAAAGAAUUUGCAUUUUCAAUCCUGAUAGAAGUGGCCUUAUUUCACACUCACAUAUGUGAUUCUUAUUAAGAGUAUCAUGUAAUACCUCACUUGAAUUUCUCAAGCUAUAAAAGUCAUUAAAAGCUUAGCUUAUCCUAUUUUCAUUGCAGAUAGCACUUUAUAUCAUAUGAAUGGGUAAGAGGGCUAUUAUUAAAUGACAUGUGAUUUGGUUGCUUCUUUGAAUCUAGAUCCUGGGAUCUCCAGUAAACUAGGUUGGGUCGCUAUCAUGACAAUUCAUUGAACUGUGUCUUAAUCUCAUUCCCCUCGAUGAUUAUUGACUUGCUCUAUUGUUAAGCAUUUUAUUAGUAAAUUAAUGAUAUUAUCAUUUAACUUUACAUGGUUAAUAAAGAUAAUCUCAUUUUAGAUCAACUAUCUUACAAUAUUAACAAUUGUGUCAAUACUUUAUGUGUGUGUGUGUGUGUAAGCAUGGUUAUAUUUCAUAUCAGCAUCAUAAUAAUAGCAAAUGUGAAGUAUGUAUUCAAGCAAAGAUGACAAAGAAGCCUUUUCCUAAAGUAGAAAGGAAUUCUCAAUUACUUGAGUUGAUCCAUUCUGAUAUAUGUGAAAUAAAUGGUAUGUUAACAAGGGGUGGGAAAAGAUAUUUCAUAACUUUCAUUGAUGAUUAUUCUCGUUUUACCUGUGUUUCCUUAUUAAAAACUAAAGAUGAAGCCUUUGGAAAAUUCAAAGAAUUCAAGAAAAUGGUAGAAAAUCAAAAGGAAAGGCAAAUUAAAGUUCUUAGAAGUGAUAGAGGUGGAUAAUAUUUUUCUAAGGAGUUUUCUACAUUUUGUGAGGAAAACAAAAUAAUCCAUCAAAUGACAGCACCUUAUACACAACAUAAUGGACUUGCUGAAAGGAAAAAUAGGACCUUAAUGAAUAUGGUCAAUGCCAUGCUUUUGAAUGAUAAAUUACCAAAUAAUUUAUGGGGUGCAGUCUUACUUACUACAUGUCACAUUCAUAAUAGAGUACUAUUUAAAAAAUCAAAUGUUUCUCCCUAUGAAGCAUGGAACGGUAGAAAAUCAAAUCUGAAUGAUUUUAAUGUGUGGGGGUGUGUAGCUUUUUGUAAAAGUUCUGAUCCUCAAAGAACAAAAUUAGGACCCAGAGGUCUUAAGAGUGUUUUUGUUAGUUAUGCACAAAAUUCAAAGGCUUAUAGACUUUUGGAUUUAGAAACUAAUGUGAUUAUUGAAUCUAUACAUGUUGAAUUUAUCAAAAAUAAAUUCAUAAGUGAUUCAAAUGUGUAAGAACCAAAUCUAAAAGUAAUGACUCCUAGCUCAACAUUAAGUGAAAAAUAUAAAAACCUAGAAGUAAUAGGUUCAACUGAACCUAGAAGAAGUCAAAGAGUUAGAAAGGAAAAACACAUAUAUACAGAUUUUAUUUCUACUUAUUCAAUUGUAUUUUUAGUGGAAGGUGAUAGAAAUACAAUAUUAAAAAAGACACCUAUGAUCUUAAAUAUGGAAGAUGAUCCAAAGACAUUUGGUCAAGCUAUGUCUUCUAGGGAUGUUGCUUUUUGGAAAGAAGCGGUAAAUGAUGAAAUGGAUUCAAUAUUGUCUAACAAUACUUGGGUCCUAGUAGAUUUACCUCCAGGUUCUAAGCUAAUAGGAUGUAAGUGGGUGUUUAGAAGAAAAUACAAUACCGAUGGUUCUAUACAAACCUUCAAGGCAAGAUUGGUUGCCAAAGGUUUUACUCAAAAGGAGGGUGUUGAUUAUUUUGACACUUAUUCUCUGGUGGCAAGAAUUACAUCAAUUAGAGUUUUAUUUGCAUUAGCAUCAAUUUAUAAAUUGUAUGUUCAUCAAAUGGAUGUAAAGACGGCUUUCCUAAAUGGAGAUUUAAAGGAGGAAGUGUAUAUGGAGCAACCUGAGGGUUUUAUACUUCCUGGAAAUGAAGAAAAAGUCUGUAAAUUGAUAAAGUCUUUAUAUGGUUUAAAACAAGCUCCGAAACAAUGGCAUGAAAAGUUUGACAAAGCAAUUUUGUUGAAUGGUUUUCAUCACAAUGGUGCUGAUAAGUGUAUGUAUUCCAAAUUUACAAAAUAUUUUGGUGUGAUUAUUUAUCUCUAUGUAGAUGACAUGUUAAUAUUUAGCACCAAUAUGAUUGGAAUUGUUGGAACCAAAAAGUAUCUCACUUAUAUCUUUAAAAUGAAAGAUCUUGGUGAAGUAGAUACAAUUUUAGGUAUCAAAGUUAAGAAACAUGGUAGUGACUAUGCACUUAAUCAGUCAGAUUAUAUUCAGAAAAUGCUCGAUAAGUUUAAGCAUCUCAAUAUAAAGAAGGCUAAUACCCCAUUUGACUAUAGUAUGAAGUUAAAUGAUUAUUAUGAUAAAGCUGUAUCACAACUAGAAUAUGCUAGUGCCAUUAGAAGUCUUAUGUAUGAUAUUCAUUGUACAAGACCAUAUAUAGCUUUUGCUAUAUGCAAGUUAUCAAGAUAUAUAAGCAAGCCGAAUACAGAUCAUUAGAAGGCUAUUGCAAGAGUCUUUGGUUACCUAAAAAGAACAAUCAAUUGAGGUCUAUUUUAUUCUGAUUUUCCAGCUGUGAUGGAAGGAUAUAGUGAUGCAAGUUGGAUGACUAGUUCAAAUGAUAAUAAGUCCACAUCAUGAUGGAUUUUCUCACUUGGAGGAGGUGCAAUAUCUUGGGCAUCUAAGAAACAAACAUGCAUCUCUCAUUCUACCAUGGAAUCAUAAUUUAUUGUUAUGGCUGCUGCAAGUAAAGAAGUAGAAUGACUAAGAAAUAUGUUGUUUGAUAUUAAGUUGUGGCCACAACCUAUGUCAGCUAUUUCUUUAUACUGCGAUAGUGAAGCAACUAUGUCUCGAGCUUAUAGUAACAUUUACAAUGGUAAGUCAAGACAUAUAAGCAUUUGACAUGGAUAUAUUCGAGAGUUGAUUACAAAUGGUGUAAUCACCAUUGUCUAUGUGAAAUCUAUGAAUAAUUUAGCGGAUCCGCUCAUAAAAGGACUAUCUAAAGACAUGGUACGAAAAAUAACUAAUGGAAUGGGGUUGAAACCUGUUUUUAAAGAUACCAGUAAUAGGAACCCAACUUCGGAUCAACAAGAAGCUUAUCUCUUAGUUUAAUGGGUAAUAAUAAGUUACUGUUUUGUAUAUGUUAGACACUGAUAAUUAAUUUGAGUCCCUAUUCUGAUAGUAUUCAGUGUAUUCUAUUACAUAAAGGAGGAUGAGCAUAGGCUCUUCAUGGAAUUUGAAGUUCGUGUCUAAUGUAAUAGAGACAUGUAUAAUUCCACCUAUAUGAAUAUAAAAGUGAUGCCGCUUUUGACAAGAGUUAGGGUUUUUUCUUGUAAAUAUUCAUAAAAAAAAUUAAAAUUAAGAUUUUAGCACAUGACCAUAAUAGUGCUAAACAGUUGUAAACCUCUUUAAGAGUUUGGAUAGUAUUAUGUGUGUAGUAUCUUUUAUUCUACAACAAAAGUUUUGGUUUAAUCUGCGGACACCAAUAACUUUAGUAGGAUUCAAGUUCUAACACUAAUUGAAGUUUUAAAAUGCAAAAUACCUUCUUGUAAGCAUAAUUCUAUAAAGUGAAAAGACCUUCAUUACAAACUAGUGGGGGAUUGUUGGUGUAGUUUGUAAAUGAAUAAAGAAAAGAUGUUUAUCUCACAUUGGAAAGAAACACUCCCUCCUAAUGUUUCUAUGUGUGGGUUUCUAUUGUGUAGUAAAUUAAGCCAUGGUGGACAAACUCUCCUAUUUGGCUUUCUAAUGUUAUUAUAUGGAUAUUUAUAAUAUCAAAAAAUAGCAUUUGGAACUUGAAACUUGGAUCUUAAUAUGAACAGUCAUAUUGUUUCAUCAAUAGUCAUAUUGUUUGAUGAACAGUCAUAUUGUUUCAUCAAUAGUCAUAUUGUUUGAUGAACAAUCAUACUGUUUCAUCGUUAUGUUUUAAGUCUAUAAAAGCAUGUUACUAUACAGAAAAGAGGCACAACAAAAAACAUACAUUCUUUUCUUGGUCUUAUCUUCUCAUUCUUUUAGAGGUUUAGAGGGCUUAGUUGUAUCCUGGAGGUAUUGUCUCUAUGUGGGACAAAUAAACACCUUAAAAAUAGUGUUUUCACGCCUCUAAGCCAACUCCAUAUUUGUUUCCAUCCUAAACAUUCAUAUCAAGAAACAUUGCGCCACGCCUGCUAAACGUCCACGAAAGAGUCGCCGACCGUUAUUCCCGCAUUAAAGUCCAUGCAUGGUCGCCUCAUUAUCUGGAGACGACCGCAUGGCAUUCUCUGGCUAUAAAAACCAGAGAAAGGCCAUGACAAAGAGGAGGGGGGGACAAAACAAAAGACAGGAGAAAAGAGGCAGGAGAGAGAGAGAGAGAGACCGAGAGAGAGGGGGCCGAAAACACAAACCAGAGAAAAAAAACCGGAGGAGUAACCCAGGGAAGAACACAGAAAAAACCAGGGGAACACUGGAGAACAAAUGAGACAGAAAUAGAGAGAAAUUGCUAGCCAACGCAUGAGCACCAACUAGCCUCGUCUCCGGUUGCACCACCCCCUGAAUAGACGGACGCGAAGGAGAACAGGGGAGUAAACGAAGAGAGGACAUAACACCGGGAAACCGAAAACUGAUAGAAAACCAGAAGAAAAGGAAGAACCACAGAGAGACGAACAACACAGGAGCUGAGAACGAACGAAAAAAAGAGAGAGAGAAGACAGAGAGAAAAAGCAGAGGCGUAAGGUGAAACAGAGAAGAACGACCAGAAAUAAACCAAAAGAAAACAGAAGUGAAGGGGAAGUUUUGGCCAGCCACCACACCUUCUUCGUCAUCCAGACCAGGUAAGUUCUCUCUUCUUCGUAAUUAUAAUUACAUAGGUAUUGUACAUAUGCAAAUUUAAUUCACUACUAUAAUUCACCGGUUUGUGCAUGCACGCGUGAAUCAGUUCACACAUGCCUGUUGUCCAGCUGGGUCACUGGCUUGGGUCAGUGACCAGGCUGGGCUGCUGGGUUUAGCCCAGCCUGACCGAGCUGAGCUGGAUCUAGCCCCCAAAAAAAAUUUAAAAAGGAAAAUAUAAAAAAAAACUAGGCAUGGGCCUCGGGCCUAGGUGGCCUAAUCCCCUUUAUUUAAGUCCCUUUUAUUUUGAUAUUCAACCAAAAUGACCAACUUUUCCCUCAUAUUGUUUUUAGGGUAUUUCACUGUAUAUUUGAUCUGUAGAUUUUUACUGCGAAAUUCGGUGUACGAUACUUUUUUUUUAAAAAAAUAUGCAUGCAUAUAUUUAAAUUCAUUUUAUUGGUUUAUUCACCAACGCUAGAGUCAGGAAUACAAUUUAUUUUGUUUUUGCUACGUAAUAUUUAUCAAUGCCAGAGUUGGAAGUAUCUGUAGUCGAAUAUUCACUGACGCUAGAGUCAGGAAUAUUACAAGCAAACCAUCAUAGCAUAAAUCAACAAACUCUUAAUAAUUUAAGACAAAACCAACAAUGCAGCUUAUCUCAGGUAGGGUGUGCUAGGGGUGUUAAUAUCUUCCCUACCCAUAACCAGUCUUGUACCAUAAAAUCUCUAUUGACUAGUUAGGGUUUCUAAUGACCAUAAUACUAGGUGGCGUCUCCUUAAACCAAACCUUUUUCCCAUAAAAGAACAAGAUGCCAGAAAUCUGUUCUUUUCAAGAAUUUUUAAGGUCAUCGCGAUGUCGGGUGCGACAAUACCCAAAACAAUUGCCUUGCUAAUGGGGAUAAAGUUGUCUUUCUUAAGGGAUCUAAAAGUUAUUUGUAUAUUGAUUGGGGAUAAUUUAGUAGGUUCACUCCUUUUUUCAUAUUAAAACUACAUCAUUGCCCUUGCAAUAAAAAAACAAGUGGCCUUUUGUUUUGGGUCUAUUUUGUCUUUUCUAUUUUAUUUGCACAAUAAAAUGACAUCAAUACCCUCGAGAGUUCAAAAAUAUUGACACUUGACGAGAGGUAUUUUUUAGUCUUUUUCAUGUUUUGUGUACUGUAAAAUGACAAAGUUAACCUUAGAAUAAAAUAAAUCUAAAGCUAGUGUGGGAUAACAUUUUCAUCUUUGCAAUAUAGCUUUUUGUAAUAUUUAGAUGCUUUUAGGGGCUAUUUAGUAAUUUAAAGUAUUGAAAUAUUAAUAAAUCAAUAAAAAAGCUGACAUAUGCGUAGCACGUGUCAGCGCGUGAUAAUCCACCACGUCAUUCAGGAGACUAAUAAACUAACCUAAACUCGUUCUUGCCCAACAGCGAGCCACAAACAAUACUCUUUUGAAUAUUAGAAGCAUGAACCACAUUGUUCAUAAUCGACUCUUUCAUAAAUGUCAUCCUUAACAUCACCUUUUUCUGGCCUAGGAUUUUGCACACUAAGAGCCUAUUUGACGUUGCAGUUGAAUCGUUGUUUUUCCAUUUUGAAAAAAAUUAUUCUUGCUUCAAUUGUUUUUGCGUUCUUGGAUUGUUAUGAUGUGUUAAUGUUAAAAAUGAAUUAAAAAAUAUAUUUUGAUACAUUUCCAAGUAAAAAACACUUUACAACGCAACCGCUACCACACUUUUAAACAAUCACUAAGAAGUUAUCCAGGAAUAAUUGUUCUCCAUUUGCAGUUGUUGCAUACUCAAAAAAAUAUUAUGUCAAAACAUACAUGACAGGUGGCUCCAAUAUCAAUCCACCACUUUUUAAGAUUGUGCACCAGGUUUGCUUCUGACAUAACUACAACAAGCUUUGCAGCUUUCUCAUCAACAUUCUCAAUGAUUUUGUUUUGUGCAUUUUUUCCUUACAGAUAUGCCUUUGCUUUUUACAAACAAAACAAGUUUCUUUGAACUUCUUUUUGCCGACACUAUUACCAUUAGAACUCUUGAGAGAACUUGCUUCAUAUUUAAGUUCACCAGGUUAAGAAUGUUUAGGAAUCGGGUUUGCCAUCGAGACCGCAAAGAUUACCAGGUUAAAUUAUUUUGGUUUUUUCCCCGCAUGAUAGAAUGUUUAGGAAUCGGGUUUGCCAUCGAGACCGCAAAGAUUACCAGGUUAAGAAGUACAUUGAAAUUAUUAACAAUAGAUUUAUCCAUUUAUUAUCUCAAUAACAAGAUUAACUUUAUAAUUAUAUAUCACACUUAUAUAAUCUGAAAUAAUAUUAAUUAAAAUGAAUCCCAAAAAUUUAACACACUAAUUCUGCAAAAAACAAAUUUAAUAAACAAUUUAACUUUGCAACUAUGUAUUUAUUUAUUUGUUUUUCUAUGAGACUCAAUUUUUUUUUUAAUAAUCAUCAAGAGUAUAUUGAAAAGGCCAUAAAGCCAAUAGACAGUGAAAUUUUUAACAGAAACUCAAUGUAAUUUUCAACAAAAACUAUAACAAUACAAAUAAUUACAAAUAUUUUUCUUUCAACAUCAACAUAAGAAAACAAUAUGCACUCUUCUAAAGUUAUGAUAAAAAAAAUCUGAUUGAUACUUAUGUUGUUUUAUGAUUAAAGUAACAAUAGCAUCUAAAGAGAAUGAAUUAGGUGUUGCACUAAUUAUGUCAAAAUAAUGCAAGUAAACACACUAAACACAUAUAACACAAAAACCAACAAUAUAAUUCAAGUGCUUAAAGUAAAUAUAUAAGAAAAAAGAGAUUGCAAACUCGAUUUUUAACGUGAUUCGGUAAGCUUACAUCCACAUCUCAAGUACUAAUCAUACUUAAGUAUUGUACUUUUUUACUAAUCCAAGUGAAAGAUACAUUGCCCUUGAUGAAUUCACACCAAGAAAUUACACCACUUGAUGAAUUUUUCUCUUUAAGAUUUUUCUCCUAGAAUUCCGGUUAAAUAGAAUUGCACUUAAUAUAUAUUAUUUCACCAUAAUUAUUAUCCAGAUAUGCAACUUUUUUUCUUUCCGAUCAUCUGUUUUCUUUUUUUCAUAUCAAUACAACAACAAAGGAAAAUACCAUGCAAUAUAAAAUGUAUUUCCCUGUAGAAUCAAUGCAACAAGUUUACAGACAACAGACGACAAGGAAUUUAACAUAGUCAUGGAAUUUAACUGAAGAUAUAUACACUUUACUUUCUCUAUUAAAAUUAAACUAUUUUUUUUAAUCUAUGUCAAUAUAUAAUCAAUUUGGUCUUGAAGAUAUAUAAAUAUACACAGAACAAAUAUGUUAGAAAAUAAAUUGUUUAAGAUUGUUAGAGCACCUUAAAUAGUUCAUAAAAUUAUUCUUCCCUUUUACUAUAAUGAUGAAGUACAAGGGUUGUUGAUGAUGACCUCUUGGAUGGCUACAUGAAGCUUGUUCCGUUUUAAAUUUCAAGGUUAAUCUAUUGCUAUGAGCAUACGUGUCUCAAUUUAAAACUCGAGUUGCAACUGAACUUAAAUGAAUGGUGUUGGAUUUGGGCCUUCUAUUUGUUUUAACUUCUACAGGGUUGAAAUGAUAGUGAUCUUAAAGUAGAAAAGCAGCAGACAAAAAUCAAUUAACCACAAUGGUGCAUGGUUUCCUAGUUUCUCAGCAUAAAGUUGAAUGUUUUGUUGACCUUUCUACAUCAAAAAUCAUAUAGACAGCUACUGCUGGCACUUGCAGUGGCCAAUGCAUACUGUAGAGUAUAUAUUGCAGUGUGAGAUAAGGUUAACUCGUUGCAUUUUCAUAUAUUGAAAGGAUUUCUCUUCUUUUCUUUGUCAAUUACAGCACAUGCAUAGAAGUGUUCUUCCUCAGAGUAAAUGCUAUAGUAAUGUUUUCACGGACUCCCCUGGUUUGCAACUGAUUCACUUAUAUAUCUUGGAACAUAGCCAUAAAUGAAAGGUUCUUCUAGUUCAAGAAAAUUAACCAUGAAGCUCGUAACUAGAAUUUUUAGACAGAAGGGUGGCCAAGCGAACUCCUAUACUCCGUACGUCUGGAAUAAUACAGGGAAAGGGUGUUUAUGUAUUUUGAUGUCUUAUAUUACUUGACCAACUCUUGCUUAUCUCAUUAUUUGUUUUAAUUUUUUGCUAAUAAUUCCACACAUUUCUGAUAUGGUGUGGUUUUUGAGUUCAGGGUUCUUGCUCAUUGCUGCUAACUUCUCUAUACUUGCCUGGUCAUUAAAAAUGAAACGUAAUGAUUUGCAUAUGCUGAAUGGAGACAUUAAAGAGGCAUCUUCUGUUUUCUGGUCAGGAGGGAUUACAAGAACUCAAGAAAUUUUCCAUAUGUUUUGAGGAAAAGAUUUAUACUACCACUACCAAUCAGGUAUUUGCCUAAUGUGAGGUUUAAUAAUUACGAUAUUAUCUAGACAUUAAUAUACACACGCAUUUAUGCUUGUACAAAUGUGUGUGUAGUGUGCCUACACUUCCUCACCGUUCAUUCUGUAUGCAAGGCUGAUUGGGAGUUCACAUUAUUUUGUUAAUUCUCUUGACAAGUGUUUUAUUUAGAGUGACCAAGUUCAAGUACAAGGGAAGAGUGCAAAAAGCAAAUAGCGAAUCAAUACAUAAAUAAUUAAAUAAAAAGAGAGGAAACAAAAGUAUAUCAUAGAGAAGAUGAAAUGAUAGAGCAUAUAUCCAUUUUCCUCCUCUUGUAACAUGGAUUGCUCUGAGAUCUGAUGUUUUGUUAUUAAUAUCUGAUUUCAGUCUGAUUAUAUAUCUACGAAAAAUAUCUCUGGAGAUGCUUUCGAUGGAGAUCAGGUCUCAAAAUGCCAUGCCCACUGUCCCCAUGGAUCCAGCAGGUAAUAAUGCACCCGAGCAUUGAAUUUCUAAACAUCUUACCUUUUGUUUUUCUUCUCACAUUGUUAUCAAACUCUUUUACAUUUUAUUGCUGUAUAUUGCUAUGUAUAUCGCCUUGCUAGAAAAAUCUCAUGAUCACCUCCACGAUGCUAAUUCUAUAAUGCAUGUGAAGUGUUUCAUCCUUAACUUGUUAAGAACAAGGACUAUGAUGCAUUGCUAUUUUAUAUUUUAUGAUUGAGAUGGUAGAUUUUAAAGAUUUUCCUGUUUAGGAGAUAAAAGUAAGAUGUCACUUUUUUGCUUUUCUUCCGAGAGAGUAUUUGAUCCUUUUUUCGUAUAAAAUAAUGCUGGCAUGCAUUGAAUUUCCAAACAGCUUAGCUUUUGUUUUGUUUGUCGCAUUGUUAUCAAACUCUUUUACAUUUUAUUGCGGUAUAUUGCUAUGUGUAGGGCAUGCUUUAAUCAAAAAGUUGAGUAAUUGAUGAAUGCUAGGCAUGAAAAUGACAUAUUAUUUUUGUUUUCUGUCUCCUCCUUUUCUUUCCCCCACCUCAAAAAUUGUCAUGUUAUUUUUGUUUUCAGCCGCCUCUUCUUCCCCAAACCUUUAAAAUUGUUUAUAUUUGCUUUGGAAGCAUGACAAACUUCAUUGCCUCUCAGCUUAAGGAGAUUGCAGCAGGUCUCGAAGCUUCUGGGCAUUAGUUUAUCUGGGUAGUUAGAAGAAACAAAAAGAGUCAAGAAGACAAGGAAGAUUGUUUACCUAAAGGAUUUGAGGAAAGAAUGGAAGGCAAAGGGCUAUUAUCAGAGGAUGGACACUCCAAGUUUUGAUUCUUGGUCAUGAAGCAAUAGGUGCAUUUGUGACUCAUUGAGGAUGGAACUCAACUCUUGAAGGCAUAAGGCAAAUAUUUGCUGAGCAAUUCUAUAAUGAGAAGUUGGUGACUGAUGUUUUAAAAAAUGGAGUUAAGGAAUGGCUUAGAGUGCAGAGAUCAUGUUAAAAGUGAAGCUGUAGAGAAGGCAAUCACUCAAAUUAUGAUGGGUGAAGAAGCAGAGGAAAUGAGAGAGAAGAAAGCUGAACAAGGGAACGCAGUAGAUGAAGAAUAUGAGUUUACUGCAUUUACUGUCAAGAAUACAAACGUGAGCACUAAAAACUAAUUUGUACAGGAUACUCUUUAUAUAUAGAGUAGUAAUUAACUUCAUCACUUAUUUCUUUCUAUGAAUACAAUAUUCCUUAUUUAUAUAUAUUGAUUUGUUUCUUAUAUGAGGUAGCUGUAGUUUCCUUCUAUGAAAGAUCUGCCAUGGCUGUAGUUUCCUUCUUUGAGAAGUAGCCGUUGGUUGAGGUAGCUGUUGAUUCCUGUGAUUUCCAUGUAUGGUUAAUUACCAUUCUGAAUAGUAGCCGUUGGAGGUGUUAAUUCAGAAUGGUUGCUGACGAGAGUGAGGAUCCUGUGGUGGUGCUGCUGCUGUCUCCUGCUGCUGCUGCAGAGGUGUGUUGUUGCUGUUAAUACCCUCCCUCAAACGUUGCCGAGGUUGGAGGCAAAGUUUGCGCUGAAAACGAAGAAGAGUAGCUUUGGACACCGGCUUAGUAAACAGAUCAGCAAUCUGAUGUGUAGUGGGAAUAUGAUGUGUAAUAAGUUUCCCAAGAGCUACGCGUUCGCGUAUAAAAUGAUAAUCAAGUUCAAUAUGCUUGCUGCGAGCAUGGAAAAUAGGAUUGACCGUCAUAUGGAGCGCACUGAGAUUAUCACAAUAGAGCACUGGUGGAGAUAGCAAGGGAAUGUGUAAAUCAUGAAGGAUGUAGGUCAACCAGGUAAGUUCUGCAGCCGUGUUGGCCAUAGCACGAUAUUCAGCUUCAGUGCUAGAGCGUGAAAUAGUAUGUUGUUUCUUGGCACACCAGGAGAUGAGAUUACAGCCAAGGAAGACACAGUAGCCAGUGGUAGAACGUCGUGUAGUAAGACAGCCAGCCCAAUCAGCAUCUGAAAAAGCAGAGAAAUUAAGAUUAGUAUUAGAAGUGAAGUGCAGACCAUUAUUAAUAGUACCUUGACAUAUCGUAAGAUACGGCGGACCAUUUUUAAGUUGACAGUUGUAGGAGCAUGCAUGAAUUGAGAGACAUAAUUAACACUAAAAGAGAGAUCUGGUCGAGUAAGGGUGAGAUACUGGAGGGAGCCAACAAGCCCCCGGAAGAAACUGACAUCCGCUAAAGGAGGAGCAUUGGAGGAGGCUUUAGUUCGUGCUUCAAGUGGUGUAGUCAUGGGUUUACAGUCAACCAUUUCAGCACGUUCUAGAAUUGUAAAGGCAUAAUGUGAUUGUGAUAAAUGAAGUCCAUUUGGCGUGGGCGAAAUUUCGAUGCCAAGAAAAUGAUGAGUAGGGCCUAAGUCCUUCAUGGCAAAUUCUUGACUGAGUAGAGUAAUGAAAUCUGCAACAAGUGUAUCUAUAGUUCCUGUAAGAAGUAUAUCAUCAACAUAAAGUAGGAGAAUAAGAGAACCAUGAUCAGAAUGAAAAGUAAAUAGAGAAGGAUCUGCCAAGCUGCAUAGGAAACCGUAUUUGAGGAGAAAGGAACUAAAACGAUCAAACCAAGCACGAGGUGCUUGUUUAAGGCCAUAGAGGGCACGUUGGAGCUUGCAGACAUGCUGUGGACGUUGAGGAUCUGAGAGUCCUGGUGGCUGUUCCAUGUAGAGAUUUUCAGAAAUCAAACCAUGUAGAAACACAUUUUUCACAUCAAGCUGCCGUAGGGGCCAAUGAUGAACAAGAGCUAUAGUGAUAAUUAGCCGAAUGGUGCCAGGCUUUACAACGGGAGAGAAUGUUUCAGUGUAGUCUAGGCCAUCAAUCUGGUGGUAUCCUUUGGCAACAACACGGGCUUUGAGACGCUCCAAGCUGCCAUCAGAUUUGAGUUUGGUUUUAAACACCCAUUUGGAACCUAUGAUAUGCAUAUCGGUGGUACGAGGUACCAAUUUCCAUGUCUGAUUUUGGUGUAAGGAUGUAAGUUCAUCCUCCAUUGCUGCUUUCCAUCCUGGAUGAGCUAGUGCAGCUCACACAGAUCGCGGUUCAUGCGGUAUUCCAGCAGAGAUGACAGAUGUUAAUGCAUACUUGGGAUUUGGUUUUAUGAUGCCAUGCUGGGACCGAGUGGUCAUGGUGCGAAGAGCUGAAGUAGAGGAAUUGGGAACAAACUCAUCUGCGGAGGCAUCACUACAAGGAGGUUGUGCAGCUUGGUGUAGCGCACGUUGUGAACGAGUAACCAUAGAGUGAGGAGCUGAAUUUGGGUGGUCUUGCUGCUGCAGAGUAGUUAAGUUCUCAGAGAGUGGUUGCUGGGAAAUAUCAGGGCAGAGAUUGUGGGCAAUCUCCUGCUGAGUGGGAGCUGCCACCUGCUGAAUAUCAUUCUCCGAACUAUGGUGUUGUAGUGAGGAAGAGGGUUCUAUAGAUGGAUCAGUGGGAGAACCAGAAUUAGAGAGAUCUGAUACGUGCAUGAAGAUACAUGCAAACCGCAACAAACCAGAAGGUGGCAGUAGCGCACGUGGUACGUGGAAGACACUUGGACGUGGAUCAUGCUUGGUCGCCAGAUUGUUAGUGGGGUUUGUUAUGGAAUUAGUCAUUCUCCAGUUAUUUUUAGUAUUAACAGUUAAUAAGGAUUCCUCGGAGGAUCCCUUGUUUGUUUCCCAUUUUCUAGAUAGUUUCCCAAAUUCUAGCAUUGUUUGUUAUUCAAUUCAUGUAUAAAAGGGCCUGGUGGCAUCCAAUAAAGGUAUCGAAAAUUAUCCAAUACUGUCUCCUCUCUUACUUCUCUGCUUCUCUUCUCACUCCCUAAAUUCAACCUAUCAGUGGUAUCAGAGCCAGGUUACACAGUUGUCAUGGAUACUCGCGGAAAAAGUAAUGCUGAAUUCCGGACUGAGGUCAAUGACGCCUUAGCUAGGCAUGAGUCUAGCUUUGAUCAGGUGAAUGCUGCCCUUCAAGCAGUAUUAACCGAACUACAAGCCAUCCGCACCCAAAAACACCCAAACACUAACCCUCCCGAAAUCAAUCCCUUUGCAUCAGAAUCAUCAUCCCAGUUACAUAGUUCUCGCAACCCAAACACCACUGGUCAAACACACUCCCACCUCAAACUCUCAUUCCCUCGUUUUGAUGGCAGUGAGCCCACAGGUUGGGUGUACAAAGCCGAACAGUACUUCGAAUUUCAGGACAUUGACUCGGCCCAGCAGGUCCAAUUGGCCUCCUUCCAUCUAGAUGGAAUUGCUCUCCAAUGGCACCGAUGGCUGACCAAGUUUCGGGGACCCCUUCUGUGGAACGAGUUCGUGCAAGCCCUUUUGCAACGAUUCGGACCCACAGACUACGAAGACCCAUCGGAAUCGCUCACUCGUCUCAGACAAACUACCUCUGUAGCAGCUUACCAAGAGGCUUUUGAGAGGCUCUCCCAUCAAGUUGAUGGACUACCGGAAGGUUUUUUAAUAGGAUGUUUUGUUGCAGGGCUGCGAGAUGAAAUUCGUAUUGAUGUCAAGAUUAAACAUCCCCACACACUGGCAGAAGCAAUUGGAGUUGCCCGACUGAUUGAGGAGCGCAAUCUACUGCAAAGGAAGACCCAUCUUCCAAUUCGGUCUUCUUCCAUGAAUUUACCCUCCAGGGCACCAGCAAAUUCAGUAGCUGGAGUGUUGGGACCACCCCCAUCACAAAGACCAAACCUAUCACCAACAUCAUUCCGGAGGAUCACCACUCAAGAAGCUCGGGAACGAAGGGAAAAAGGGGCUGUGUUUCUAUUGCGAUGAGAAAUUCAAGCCAGGCCAUCGCUGUGAACAACCACAAUUGUUUAUGAUCGAAGACAGCUCCAACACCAGCCUUGAUGAAGAAAUAACAGAUACUGAGGACAUCAUCAAUUCAGAGGACAUGCCCGAAAUCUCAUUCCAUGCUAUCGCAGGUGCUGAACACCCUCAAACCUUACGGGUGUUGGGUCAAUUGGGCAACAAAAAGGUGACCGUGCUCAUUGACGGAGGCAGCACGCAUAACUUCAUUGAUCAGGUGGUGGUAACCAAAUUUGGGAUACCCAUUAAUCGCAGCCAGCGAUUUCAGGUAAUGGUGGCUAAUAGAGAGAAAAUCACUUGUACUGGGCAAUGUCAGAGCCUCACAUUAAUCAUUCAGGGCAUAGCCAUCACUGCCAAUUACUGUGUUCUACCGGUCAUGGCUUGUCAAGUGGUACUGGGUGUGCAGUGGCUUGAGACACUGGGUCCGAUUGAAAUGGAUUUCAAAAAGCUCACUAUGAGCUACAAAACGCAUGGAGAGAAACACACCUUUUACGGGUUGAAGCACACGGGUCAUGCUGCCUUCACAGAGAAGGAGUUUCAUGGGUUACAAGGGAAUGGAUUCUUCCUUCAAAUCAUUCCCUCACAUCCCAUCAUUGACAGUAGCAGCCAUCCACCGGAGCUUAAGGCCCUUCUAUCCGAAUUCUCGCAGGUGUUUGAGGAGCCCACGGGUCUGGCUCCCCAGAGAGCCAAAGACCACCACAUACCUCUACAACCCAAUUCUGGCCCAGUAAGUGUGAGACCCUACCGCUACCCGUAUUACCAGAAAACCGAGAUAGAAAAAAUGGUGCAAGACUUGUUGAAGUCUGAAUUGAUACGCCCCAGUAAUAGCCCAUUCUCCUCUCCUGUUUUGCUAGUCAAAAAGGCGGAUGGGGCUUGGCGUUUUUGUGUGGAUUAUCGCGCUUUGAAUGAAAUCACCAUCAAAGACAAAUAUCCAAUUCCCGUAAUUGAUGAGCUCCUAGAUGAGCUGCAUGGGUCUCGUUACUAUUCCAAAUUGGACCUACGAUCCGGCUAUCACCAAAUCCGGGUACGAGACGACGACAUACCUAAAACAGCAUUCAGAACUCAUGAAGGCCAUUACGAGUUCGUUGUCAUGCCAUUUGGUCUAACCAAUGCUCCUGCAACCUUCCAAAGUCUUAUGAAUGAUCUUUUUCGUCCCCACCUCAGGAAGUUUAUUUUGGUUUUUUUUGACGAUAUUCUGGUUUAUUCCAAAUCGUGGGAAGACCAUUUAACCCAUUUGCACACUGUUUUGAAGAUUCUAGCAGAUAAUACACUCUUUGCAAAGGAGUCCAAGUGCAGAUUCGGGGUUACAUAGGUUGACUACCUAGGCCAUGCUAUUUCAAACCAAGGAGUAUCGGUGGAUCCUACCAAAAUUCAAGCAGUGGUUGAGUGGCCUACCCCUACGACAGCCAAGGGGGUCCGCGGAUUCUUGGGCCUGGCCGGCUAUUACAGAAAGUUCAUCCGCCAUUUUGGAGGAAUAGCCGCACCACUUACCCGAUUGCUGACCAAGGAUGGGUUUCAGUGGAGUGCAGAAGCUGAUUUGGCUUUUCAACGUCUGAAGGAAGCCUUAACCCAGUCCCCGGUCUUACGCAUGCCAGAUUUCUCUCAACGAUUUGUGGUCGAGUGUGAUGCCAGUGGGAUCGGAAUUGGUGCAAUACUUUCCCAACAGAAUCAACCCGUGGCAUACUUUAGUGAAGCACUAAAAGGGUCUUCUUUGACACUAUCCACUUAUGAGAAAGAAAUGUUGGCCAUCGUCAAGGCAAUUCGUAAGUGGCGACCAUAUCUGCUUGGUAAACCAUUCACAGUUCGCACGGACCAGAGGAGUCUCAAAUAUCUCCUGGAGCAGAGGAUUACUACCCCAGCACAGACACGUUGGCUUCCUAAAAUUCUCGGCUAUGACUAUGUAAUCGAGUACAAGAAAGGGAGCGAGAACCAAGGGGCAGACUCACUGUCCAGAGUAGUGGAAUUUCAGUUUUUGUCCAUCUCGUUCCCAAAGGCAGAGUGGUGGCCAACUCUGCAACAGGAGGUGCAACAGGAUCCAUUUUAUGCCAACUUCAAAUCAACGGACCCCUUCAUGGUUCAAAGAGACGGAGUGUGGUUCAAGAAGGGUAAGGUGUUUUUAAGCCCGAAUUCUACUCUUAUCCCUCUACUUUUGGCAGACUGUCAUGCCACGCCGAUUGGUGGACACUUUGGGUUCCAUAAAACACUCGCACGCAUUAAGCAAGACUUUACCUGGCCCAGAGUUCACGUCACAGUGAAGGAAUUCUUGCAGCAAUGUACCACAUGUCAACGCUUCAAAAAAGAUUGCAUGAAGCCAGCUGGGCUGCUGCAACCCCUACCUGUGCCUUCCAAAGUUUGGACUGAUAUCUUCAUGGACUUCAUCAAAGGAUUGCCUUCCUCCCAAGGGUAUACUUGUGUAAUGGUGGUAGUGGAUCGCCUGUCCAAAUAUGCCCAUCUCAUUUCGUUGAAGCAUCCCUACACAGCAAUCACGGUGGCCAAAGCCUUCAUCUCCUGCGUCGUCCGCCUGCAUGGUAUUCCAGCCUCUAUUGUGAGCGAUCGUGACAAGGUGUUUAUUAGCUCCUUCUGGCGCACCCUCUUUCAGUCCCAAGGCACUCAGCUGUGCAUGAGCUCAGCUUACCAUCCUCAGUCGGAUGGUCAGACUGAAGUUGUCAACCGCAUCCUCGAACAGUAUUUGCGGUGCUUUGCAGGUGACCAGCCACGUAAAUGGUUCGACUGGAUUCCAUGGGCAGAGUUCAGCUACAAUACCUCGCUCCACUCUGCCACUAAGAUGACGCCAUUUGAGGUGGUUUAUGGUGUUCCCCCUCCUAGUUUACUCACCUAUGUUCCCGGUACCUCAAAUGUUCAAGCCGUGGAUGAGCAUCUGCGCGAUAGAGACUGUCUCCUUCGUGAGCUGAGGAGGAAUCUGUUGAUUGCCCAGAACAGGAUGAAGAGCCAAGCUGAUCAACAUCGCAGGGAUGUCUCCUUUGACGUUGGAGAUUAUGUGUAUUUAAAGCUCCAACCUUACCGUCAAUCCUCAGUGGCAUUUCGUAGCUCAAUGAAGUUAGCCCCACGGUUCUUUGGGCCUUACCAGGUCCUAGCUAAAGUCGGAACAGUUUCCUACAAAUUAGCACUGCCACAGGAUUCCCAAAUCCAUAACGUGUUUCAUGUUAGCUUGCUACGGAAAUACUUUGGGCCCCUCCCUCCUACAUCAACAGUGGUGAGCCUUCCUCCUAUUUCAGAAUCAGCCAAUAUUCUUCCACAACCUGAGGCUGUCCUGGACCGACGAGUAGUUAACAAUGGGAAAUAUCAUCCAAAACAUGAAAUUUUGGUCAAAUGGGAUGGUGCACCAGUGGAAGAUGCUACUUGGGAGAAUGAAAGGCGUUUUAUCAAGACCUAUCCCACCUUCAUCCUUGCGGACAAGGAUUCUUAAGGGGGAAGGAUUGAUACGUGCAUGAAGAUACAUGCAAACCGCAACAAACCAGAAGGUGGCAGUAGCGCACGUGGUACGUGGAAGACACUUGGACGUGGAUCAUGCUUGGUCGCCAGAUUGUUAGUGGGGUUUGUUAUGGAAUUAGUCAUUCUCCAGUUAUUUUUAGUAUUAACAGUUAAUAAGGAUUCCUCGGAGGAUCCCUUGUUUGUUUCCCAUUUUCUAGAUAGUUUCCCAAAUUCUAGCAUUGUUUGUUAUUCAAUUCAUGUAUAAAAGGGCCUGGUGGCAUCCAAUAAAGGUAUCGAAAAUUAUCCAAUACUGUCUCCUCUCUUACUUCUCUGCUUCUCUUCUCACUCCCUAAAUUCAACCUAUCAAGAUCAUGAAGGGAUUGUACAGCCGCAGAGUUAGUGAUAUCAGGUGAAGAAGUGUGCACUGUCUCCUGCUGGAAUGUCUCCGGCUGAGUAAUUGAAGUGUCAGACUGCUGCUGAAGCUGUUGGCGGGCUGGAGUACUGUCACCAUGGAGUUGCAGAGCAACAUCAGCGGGAGAAAUAUCUGUAAAGCACACUGUCUCCUGCUGGAAUGUCUCCGGCUGAGUAAUUGAAGUGUCAUACUGCUGCUGAAGCUGUUGGCGGGCUGGAGUACUGUCACCAUGGAGUUGCAGAGCAACAUCAGCUGGAGAAAUAUCUGUAAAGCACGCUGGUGUAUCUGAGGUCAUAGUAGGAAGCAGGGGUAUGGGCAGUGAGCUGCUGCAUGGUGGCGUUGCUGGUGUUUCAGAGAUAUCUGUAGGAGAGCGUGAAGCAAGGAUAGUUAGCCAAGAAUCAAAUAUGCUAAGGACAUGAUUAGAAUGAUCAAUAUUUGUGGUGAUAUUAUUUUGUUUAUACGGAAGGAUAGAUUCACUAAAAACCACAUGUCGUGAGACAAAAAAAUUUUUGCUUGUUGGAUGAAAGCAUUUAUAUCCCUUAUGUUGAUCACUAUAUCCUACAAAAAUACAUGGAACACUUUUUGGAUCAAAUUUAUUUCGUCUUGUAUCCCAAGUGUAAGGGAAACAUCGGGAGCCAAAAAUACGAAGAGAUGAAUAAAUAGGGUGGUUACCAUGUAAGCGGAAGUAUGGAGUGUCAUAGUUAAGAGCAGAAGAGGGCAGUCUAUUAAUGAGAUAAACAGCAGUUGUGAAGGCUUCAACCCAUAAAAAUAAAGGAGUACCACUAUGGAAUAACAUUGUCAUACCUAGUUCUCUUAUAAUUCUGUGUCGCCUUUCAACCAUACCUGUUUGUUCAGGAGUGUAAGGACAAGAUACCUGGUGAACAAUUCCUGUGGAGCGAAAAUGACUUGAUAAUUUUGAGUUAAUAAAUUCUCCUCCUCCAUCUGAGUGAAAGACUUUGAUCUGUUUAUUGAAUUGCCUACUAACAUACUUUUCAAAUGCUAUAAACACUGUUAGAAAAUCAAAUUUGUUAUGAAGAGGAAUUAUCCAUGUAUAUUUAGAGAAAUCAUCUACUAGGCAAGCAUAAUAUUUGAAUUUUCCAAUAGAUAAAACAGGGGCAGGUCCCCAUAAAUCACAAUGUAUUUUUUCAAAAACAUCAGUACUUGAAUGUUCAGAAUGCGAAAAAGGUAAGUUGCUAAGUUUUCCUAAUUGACAACUAUCACAAAGGUGCUCAGUCUUCAUAGCUCCUGUGACGUCAAUCAAUCCUGUAUUUUUUAAUAGCUGCACUGCAGAAGCUUGAGGAUGUCCUAGGCGUUGAUGCCAAACUGCUGCUGAUCCAGUUUUAAAACGAUAAGAAAAAUGUAAUUCUGGCGAGUUGUGCAAGACAUAAAGAUCACCCUUACGUCUACCUGUGAUCAGAGGUUGUCCUGUUUUCCGUUCCUUAACACAAAAAUCAACGUCAGAAAACUCACAGUUCACAGGAAAUUGUUUGGUAAGCUGACUUACUGAAAGUAAAUUUUUAGUUAAUUCAGGAACAAGAAGAACAUCAUUAAUAUGUAAUUUAGUAUUGUUUUGUUUAAUAAAUGAAUCUCCAAUACCAAUAAUCGGUAGAGACGAUCCAUUUCCAAUAACCACAGAAUCAGUUCCAAAAUACUUACGAACAUCAGUUAACAUACCUGGCUUACUUGUCAUGUGAUUCGAUGCACCAGUGUCUGAUGUCCAUUCCGUGUCAACCACGGUGCUUCCCAAAUAGCGGUUGCUCUUUUGCAAUAUUAGAAGCAUGAACCACAAACAAUACUCUUUUGAAUAUUAGAAGCAUGAACCACAUUGUUCAUAAUCGACUCUUUCAUAAAUGUCAUCCUUAACAUCACCUUUUUCUAGCCUAGGAUUUUGCACACUAAGAGCCUAUUUGACGUUGCAGUUGAAUCGUUGUUUUUCCAUUUUGAAAAAAAUUAUUCUUGCUUCAAUUGUUUUUGCGUUCUUGGAUUGUUAUGAUGUGUUAAUGUUAAAAAUGAAUUAAAAAAUAUAUUUUGAUAUAUUUCCAAGUGAAAAACACUUUACAACGCAACCGCUACCACACUUUUAAACAAUCACUAAGAAGUUAUCCAGGAAUAAUUGUUCUCCAUUUGCAGUUGUUGCAUACUCAAAAAAAUAUUAUGUCAAAACAUACAUGACAGGUGGCUCCAAUAUCAAUCCACCACUUUUUAAGAUUGUGCACCAGGUUUGCUUCUGACAUAACUACAACAAGCUUUGCAGCUUUCUCAUCAACAUUCUCAAUGAUUUUGUUUUGUGCAUUUUUUCCUUACAGAUAUGCCUUUGCUUUUUACAAACAAAACAAGUUUCUUUGAACUUCUUUUUGCCGACACUAUUACCAUUAGAACUCUUGAGAGAACUUGCUUCAUAUUUAAGUUCACCAGGUUAAGAAUGUUUAGGAAUCGGGUUUGCCAUCGAGACCGCAAAGAUUACCAGGUUAAAUUAUUUUGGUUUUUUCCCCGCAUGAUAGAAUGUUUAGGAAUCGGGUUUGCCAUCGAGACCGCAAAGAUUACCAGGUUAAGAAGUACAUUGAAAUUAUUAACAAUAGAUUUAUCCAUUUAUUAUCUCAAUAACAAGAUUAACUUUAUAAUUAUAUAUCACACUUAUAUAAUCUGAAAUAAUAUUAAUUAAAAUGAAUCCCAAAAAUUUAACACACUAAUUCUGCAAAAAACAAAUUUAAUAAACAAUUUAACUUUGCAACUAUGUAUUUAUUUAUUUGUUUUUCUAUGAGACUCAAUUUUUUUUUUAAUAAUCAUCAAGAGUAUAUUGAAAAGGCCAUAAAGCCAAUAGACAGUGAAAUUUUUAACAGAAACUCAAUGUAAUUUUCAACAAAAACUAUAACAAUACAAAUAAUUACAAAUAUUUUUCUUUCAACAUCAACAUAAGAAAACAAUAUGCACUCUUCUAAAGUUAUGAUAAAAAAAAUCUGAUUGAUACUUAUGUUGUUUUAUGAUUAAAGUAACAAUAGCAUCUAAAGAGAAUGAAUUAGGUGUUGCACUAAUUAUGUCAAAAUAAUGCAAGUAAACACACUAAACACAUAUAACACAAAAACCAACAAUAUAAUUCAAGUGCUUAAAGUAAAUAUAUAAGAAAAAAGAGAUUGCAAACUCGAUUUUUAACGUGAUUCGGUAAGCUUACAUCCACAUCUCAAGUACUAAUCAUACUUAAGUAUUGUACUUUUUUACUAAUCCAAGUGAAAGAUACAUUGCCCUUGAUGAAUUCACACCAAGAAAUUACACCACUUGAUGAAUUUUUCUCUUUAAGAUUUUUCUCCUAGAAUUCCGGUUAAAUAGAAUUGCACUUAAUAUAUAUUAUUUCACCAUAAUUAUUAUCCAGAUAUGCAACUUUUUUUCUUUCCGAUCAUCUGUUUUCUUUUUUUCAUAUCAAUACAACAACAAAGGAAAAUACCAUGCAAUAUAAAAUGUAUUUCCCUGUAGAAUCAAUGCAACAAGUUUACAGACAACAGACGACAAGGAAUUUAACAUAGUCAUGGAAUUUAACUGAAGAUAUAUACACUUUACUUUCUCUAUUAAAAUUAAACUAUUUUUUUUAAUCUAUGUCAAUAUAUAAUCAAUUUGGUCUUGAAGAUAUAUAAAUAUACACAGAACAAAUAUGUUAGAAAAUAAAUUGUUUAAGAUUGUUAGAGCACCUUAAAUAGUUCAUAAAAUUAUUCUUCCCUUUUACUAUAAUGAUGAAGUACAAGGGUUGUUGAUGAUGACCUCUUGGAUGGCUACAUGAAGCUUGUUCCGUUUUAAAUUUCAAGGUUAAUCUAUUGCUAUGAGCAUACGUGUCUCAAUUUAAAACUCGAGUUGCAACUGAACUUAAAUGAAUGGUGUUGGAUUUGGGCCUUCUAUUUGUUUUAACUUCUACAGGGUUGAAAUGAUAGUGAUCUUAAAGUAGAAAAGCAGCAGACAAAAAUCAAUUAACCAUAAUGGUGCAUGGUUUCCUAGUUUCUCAGCAUAAAGUUGAAUGUUUUGUUGACCUUUCUACAUCAAAAAUCAUAUAGACAGCUACUGCUGGCACUUGCAGUGGCCAAUGCAUACUGUAGAGUAUAUAUUGCAGUGUGAGAUAAGGUUAACUCGUUGCAUUUUCAUAUAUUGAAAGGAUUUCUCUUCUUUUCUUUGUCAAUUACAGCACAUGCAUAUAAGUGUUCUUCCUCAGAGUAAAUGCUAUAGUAAUGUUUUCACGGACUCCCCUGGUUUGCAACUGAUUCACUUAUAUAUCUUGGAACAUAGCCAUAAAUGAAAGGUUCUUCUAGUUCAAGAAAAUUAACCAUGAAGCUCGUAACUAGAAUUUUUAGACAGAAGGGUGGCCAAGCGAACUCCUAUACUCCGUACGUCUGGAAUAAUACAGGGAAAGGGUGUUUAUGUAUUUUGAUGUCUUAUAUUACUUGACCAACUCUUGCUUAUCUCAUUAUUUGUUUUAAUUUUUUGCUAAUAAUUCCACACAUUUCUGAUAUGGUGUGGUUUUUGAGUUCAGGGUUCUUGCUCAUUGCUGCUAACUUCUCUAUACUUGCCUGGUCAUUAAAAAUGAAACGUAAUGAUUUGCAUAUGCUGAAUGGAGACAUUAAAGAGGCAUCUUCUGUUUUCUGGUCAGGAGGGAUUACAAGAACUCAAGAAAUUUUCCAUAUGUUUUGAGGAAAAGAUUUAUACUACCACUACCAAUCAGGUAUUUGCCUAAUGUGAGGUUUAAUAAUUACGAUAUUAUCUAGACAUUAAUAUACACACGCAUUUAUGCUUGUACAAAUGUGUGUGUAGUGUAGUGUGCCUACACUUCCUCACCGUUCAUUCUGUAUGCAAGGCUGAUUGGGAGUUCACAUUAUUUUGUUAAUUCUCUUGACAAGUGUUUUAUUUAGAGUGACCAAGUUCAAGUACAAGGGAAGAGUGCAAAAAGCAAAUAGCGAAUCAAUACAUAAAUAAUUAAAUAAAAAGAGAGGAAACAAAAGUAUAUCAUAGAGAAGAUGAAAUGAUAGAGCAUAUAUCCAUUUUCCUCCUCUUGUAACAUGGAUUGCUCUGAGAUCUGAUGUUUUGUUAUUAAUAUCUGAUUUCAGUCUGAUUAUAUAUCUACGAAAAAUAUCUCUGGAGAUGCUUUCGAUGGAGAUCAGGUCUCAAAAUGCCAUGCCCACUGUCCCCAUGGAUCCAGCAGGUAAUAAUGCACCCGAGCAUUGAAUUUCUAAACAUCUUACCUUUUGUUUUUCUUCUCACAUUGUUAUCAAACUCUUUUACAUUUUAUUGCUGUAUAUUGCUAUGUAUAUCGCCUUGCUAGAAAAAUCUCAUGAUCACCUCCACGAUGCUAAUUCUAUAAUGCAUGUGAAGUGUUUCAUCCUUAACUUGUUAAGAACAAGGACUAUGAUGCAUUGCUAUUUUAUAUUUUAUGAUUGAGAUGGUAGAUUUUAAAGAUUUUCCUGUUUAGGAGAUAAAAGUAAGAUGUCACUUUUUUGCUUUUCUUCCGAGAGAGUAUUUGAUCCUUUUUUCGUAUAAAAUAAUGCUGGCAUGCAUUGAAUUUCCAAACAGCUUAGCUUUUGUUUUGUUUGUCGCAUUGUUAUCAAACUCUUUUACAUUUUAUUGCGGUAUAUUGCUAUGUGUAGGGCAUGCUUUAAUCAAAAAGUUGAGUAAUUGAUGAAUGCUAGGCAUGAAAAUGACAUAUUAUUUUUGUUUUCUGUCUCCUCCUUUUCUUUCCCCCACCUCAAAAAUUGUCAUGUUAUUUUUGUUUUCAGCCGCCUCUUCUUCCCCAAACCUUUAAAAUUGUUUAUAUUUGCUUUGGAAGCAUGACAAACUUCAUUGCCUCUCAGCUUAAGGAGAUUGCAGCAGGUCUCGAAGCUUCUGGGCAUUAGUUUAUCUGGGUAGUUAGAAGAAACAAAAAGAGUCAAGAAGACAAGGAAGAUUGUUUACCUAAAGGAUUUGAGGAAAGAAUGGAAGGCAAAGGGCUAUUAUCAGAGGAUGGACACUCCAAGUUUUGAUUCUUGGUCAUGAAGCAAUAGGUGCAUUUGUGACUCAUUGAGGAUGGAACUCAACUCUUGAAGGCAUAAGGCAAAUAUUUGCUGAGCAAUUCUAUAAUGAGAAGUUGGUGACUGAUGUUUUAAAAAAUGGAGUUAAGGAAUGGCUUAGAGUGCAGAGAUCAUGUUAAAAGUGAAGCUGUAGAGAAGGCAAUCACUCAAAUUAUGAUGGGUGAAGAAGCAGAGGAAAUGAGAGAGAAGAAAGCUGAACAAGGGAACGCAGUAGAUGAAGAAUAUGAGUUUACUGCAUUUACUGUCAAGAAUACAAACGUGAGCACUAAAAACUAAUUUGUACAGGAUACUCUUUAUAUAUAGAGUAGUAAUUAACUUCAUCACUUAUUUCUUUCUAUGAAUACAAUAUUCCUUAUUUAUAUAUAUUGAUUUGUUUCUUAUAUGAGGUAGCUGUAGUUUCCUUCUAUGAAAGAUCUGCCAUGGCUGUAGUUUCCUUCUUUGAGAAGUAGCCGUUGGUUGAGGUAGCUGUUGAUUCCUGUGAUUUCCAUGUAUGGUUAAUUACCAUUCUGAAUAGUAGCCGUUGGAGGUGUUAAUUCAGAAUGGUUGCUGACGAGAGUGAGGAUCCUGUGGUGGUGCUGCUGCUGUCUCCUGCUGCUGCUGCAGAGGUGUGUUGUUGCUGUUAAUAAUGAGGACUAGAGCAAAGAAGCUUUCAGUGCUUUGAUUUAAUAACUGCCAAGAAUGGAAGGCUGUUGAAGAUGGUGGAUCUUCUUGCUCCAAUUUCAAUGCUUUGAUUGAAUAACUGAGGUGGGGUAGCCCUUGAAACAGAGGCAUAGAACAUUUUGUUACUACUUAGUAGUGGUUUUGGCAAUUUAUUUUCAGAUAAGUCUUGAGAGUUGAAAGAGUAAUCACAGACGAGUCAAUGACCAAUCCAAAUCAGUUCCCUUCCUAAUGGUUCAGGAAUGACAAGUCCAGCUUAUUUAUUGAGCCCAAAUAACUUUUCAAAUAAAAAGGUUGAACUUAGAGACAGUACACUACAAAUUAAGCACCUAAUAGCUAGACAUACAAGACAAACAAUCAUCACAAACUAGGAACAAUCGUCUUCCCAGUAACAAAUUCACCUUCUCAAGUUGGAGAACUUGCGAAAACUAGCCACUACAAAAUAGUAGCAAGUAUCUAUGCAGUCUUCGAUGAAGUACGACCACCUGCGUCGCCAAUAUGGAUCGAUGUAAAGAACUACUACAAUUAUCAUCACCACAACUGUGUAACAUACACCGAAAUUGAUGUAGAAAAACUCCAUGUCUAUGAAACCAUCAUCUCCUUGUUCAUCAUAAGGCACUGGCUGUGAUGGCACUGGUUGUGAUGGCACUGGCUGUGAUGGCACUGCUUCCUCACUACAAUUGUUUCGCAAUGGAGGUCCACACAAAAAAGGAUUUCCUUCGUAACAACUUUCAUCAAAGGUCCCAAACUGAUAUUUUCUCUCGGGUGUGUUACCUGACAAGUUAUUAUGCGCCACACUAAAAACUUCCAGUGUGGUAAUAUCAGUAAGUUGUGGAGGGAUGACACCAUUCAAGUUGUUGUAAGAAAGAUCCAAACUCUCAAUCUGCUUUAGGUUUGAGAAUGUUGCAGGGAUAGAUCCAGUGAGAUUGUUGUGUGAUAAGUUUAAUGACAGUAUCUUACUUAAGUCUCCAAAUUCUGGUGGGAUUGCUCCUACGAAGUUGUUAUUGGAGAGAUCAAUACCAGACAUGUAGCUGAGAGUCUUCCCCUUGUAACGAUAAUACAUAUUUUUAGUUGUAAAUUCUAUCACUUCUUCUGUAAAGUUAAGCAGAAAACCCUUUCUCAAGUUGUACAUACUCUCCACUAGUGGUGGACCCAUUGUUUCAUAAUAAGCUUUUUCUAUGGACCUUGAUAGAACAUCAGCUCCGAGAUCUGCGAGCGUUUUCUGGGAACUUUCCUUGAAAGUAAGAUUGCCCAAACAGGAGGGUAGUGGACCAGAGAGUUGGUUUUGUGAAACAUCCAAAAUGCUUAAUUGUUCUAACAAGCAUAAUUGAACAGGGAGCUCACCAUCAAAGUGAUUAGCCCUCAGAAGAAGAACACUCAAUGAUGAAAGAUUGCCAAUCCAAUUUGGAAAGGAGCCGGUGAAGUUGUUAUCUCGAAGAUCCAUCGUAACCAGGGAAGAGUUGUUAUAAAAUCCAUAUGUUAAUGGACCGCUCAAUCUAUUUUCAGAUAGAUGCACAUGGGUUAUUUGUGGUGGACUGAAACAAGAUGGUAUAUAUCCAGACAAGUUGUUCUCAGAAAGGUCCAAAUAUUCAAGCUGGUUAAGCUUACAAAAGUCUCUUAGGAUCGGACCCUUAAAAUAGUUUUUGGACAAAUCAAUUGCGAUAAGGCCUGUAGAAUUGACUAACCACCUUGGAAGCAUGCCUGAAAAUUGAUUGUCACUCAAAUCCAAUGUUGACCACAUUUUCCACCCAUAUAAUAGAAAAUCUGAUAUCUGACCCCAAAAGUUGUUACCGUGUAGGUAGAGAUAUUCUAAGGUAGAAGAAUUGAAUACUGAGGUUGGUAAUUGCCCACCCAAAUUAUUGUUUGACAGCUUGAGAAACCAUAUUGUUGUUAGUUGUUCUAGUUUUACUAUAGACAAUUGAUUGUUGGAUAAAUCUAAAAUUUUCAAAGAGCUAAUAUUUCCUAAACAAGAAGGAAUACAACCUGUGAAUCCAUUAUUGGCCAUCCUUAAGCUCCACAUAUUUGGAAAGAUCAAACAAAUAUCUUUAGGAAUUUGACCGUUCAUGUUGUUGUUGGAAAUAUCUAAUUCGGUCAUAUUCAGAUAUGGGUGAUCUUGCAACUGUAAAGUACCGACAAAGGAGUUGUUGCUUAGAUAUAGUUGCUCCAAUCGUGUAUUGUUCUUAAGCAACCAUGAUGGAAACAUUGCGGUGAUGUUGUUGUGGGAGAGAUCAAGGACUCUUAUGUCGUAUUGGUAAUAAAGGAAGUCGGGAAUUUUUACAUUUAGUGCUUCUGUUGUUUUUGACAAUCGGAAAAAUACUAGUUGGAACUUUGGAAUCAAAUUAUCAAAGGCAGCAGGUUCUGUUACUAGCUUGUUGUUCUCACUGGAGAAGAACUUGAGGCUUGAGUGGUUCAUAAAAGGCUUCAUUGAAAUGGGAACUUCAAAGAGGUUAUUUGAUAGUGAGAGGAAUUCAAGGGAUGUGAGGUUGGUAAGAGGACCGGAGGCAAUAUUUCCAGUAAACUGGUUUUCAGAAACAUCUAAUAGUUGUAGAGAUGACAAGUUCCCCAAACAAUCUGGGAGUGAACCUCCUAAAUUAUUUCCAGAGAGAUCUAACUGCCUCAGAUUCUUUAAUUCACACCAACCUGUACAAUUUAUCUUGAAACAGUCAAAACAGUGUUGAAAGAAUCUUUUAUUGAUGAUAGUUGUUAAUUUACCUUGAGCGGGUAGGGUGCCAUGGAGGUCACAUUCAGCAACAGACAAAACUUUAAGAUCAGGCAAUGCUCCAAUGUUCUGGAGAAAGUUUAUUGGGAGAGAAGUACGAUCUAGAUACAAUUCUUCAAGGGUGCUAGAAUUGAAGAAAGUCCCUGUGAAAAAGAAAGAAGAAGAGAUAUGAUGAAAAUUGUGGUCGUACAGAAUAGCCAUUCCAUUUAAUAUUAUUAAUUAAGAUUUUAAGAAACUAAACUAUGAUUAACCUUGACUUAAAUUAGUAUCCUUGAGAGAAAGGGUCUUCCUUAAACCUAUGAUGUGUAGAAUUGAAAGCAGGCAAUCAAGUAAGUAGUGAAAUUAAGUGUUAUCUUGAUCGAGUUUUUAAACCUAUGAUAAAGAACUGAUAUUGAAUAGUGAGAUGAUUUUUGGAUAGAAACAACAAAUUGCCUGAAAAAUCCAGAGAUAUUGCCUGAUAAAUUUAAAUUUAAAGACUUUACCAUUGACGGUCGUCGAUCCUAGCAACAUAUUGCCUGAUAAAUUUAAAGACUUGAGAUAAGAAAGCCCACGCAGAUGUGAUAAAAUGCUGUCGUUGAAUAUAUUAUAGCUCAGGUCCAGGUUAUCGAGUUUCUCCAAAUGUGAUGAUAUGAUCUCAAAACCUGCAAGAGAGUUGUUUCUAUAAGCAAGUCAUAAUUACAUAAUAACUUUAAUCAAACAUGAUGAAAUACUAUCGUUGAUUAUUAAAUGAAUAUAAAGUCCUCAAUUUUCAUAGAAGGAGAUAUGAGAAGGAGAAAAGAAAAUGUUUCGAAGCUAAAUAAUUAAAAGGUUACCAUAGAAGCUACCUGAUCCUGUCAAUCCAUUGCCUGAUAGAUCCAAAGACUUGAGAGUGGAAAGCCCAGUCAUGCAUGACAAAAUGCUUUUAUCAUUAUUAAAUCGGUUAUCACUUAGGUCAAGAUUCCUCAGAUUUGAUGAUAGGACUUCGAAGCCUGGAAGAGAAUCAUCAAAGCAAGAUAAUUGACAUUAAACACCAAUCAACCUUGAUUUAUUUUAUGAUUAUAAGUGCAGAAACAUUGAACUAACCUUCAUUCUCCAAGCAACCAACCAAUCCAUUAAAUCGCAAUUCGAGACUUUGCAAUUCUUUAAAAGGCAGAAACAAAGAUGCGUUGAGAACCCAAUCGCCAAAGCUCUGAUCCCUUGCUCCACUAAGAGAGAGUUCGAUCACUCGCCUUGUAGUGUUAUCACACUCGAUCCCAUCCCACUCACAACAAUUACUACUGUCCACCCAAUGUCUCAAGGAAAAGCCAUCUGGGUCGAUCAAAGAUUGGAUCUCCAAGAGACCAAUUCUCUCUUCCUCCAAACAUCCAUAACAACGACCAUACCAUUCGCCAACCAAAGUCAAUAAUAUUGCUAGCAACAUCCAAGCCCCCAUUCUUUUCAUCAUCAUCUUAGAUAAUUCUAUGUGACAUCAAGAACGUAGAAUAUUGUUGUUUGUUAUGUGCCUUUGGGCAACCAUAGAGGUCCUAUUUAUACUACACUGUGGCCAUUUCCGUGACUUUGAGAUGUUUUCUUUAUUUAAUUUCCAUGACUUUAUCUGCAUAUCUUGUGCAGGUUCGGUGUUUUGAGAUUUGAAUAUUAUUUUAUUUCUUUUUGGAAUAUUCUUGGAUUUGAAUAUUAUUUUAUUUUAUUGUUUAGCACUUAGUCUAUUUGCAUUUAAUUAUAUUUUGGUUACUAAUUAUUCAAUUUAUAAAAAAAUAAAAUAAAAAAAUUGUUGCAGUACUUCAACAUAACAUAUAUUUGUUUUUAUGGUGGGAAAGGUAUUCUUGACUUGUUUUUAUUACAUUUCAAUAUUAAAUAUAUUUUUUUCAAUCGAGUCAAAGAUAUACAAUUUAUAUUAGAAUGAGAAGACUAAUCAAUUUCUCUAGUUUUCUCCCUAAUUAUAAAAUACAUCUAAGAUAAAAGGAAUUUAUUUCUUGAAAUUAAUGCAUUAAAAAAUAUAAAAAUAUUUUUUAAAAAUUAAAAUAGUAGUAAAAGAAAAUUUAGUUUUUGAUUGAAGUGUAAACUAGUGGUCAAUGAACAAAAAGAAACUUUAUUGAUUAUCUAAUGAGUUACUUCUCCAAAAAGAAUAUAUAUAUUAUUGAAUAUCUAAAGGAAACGAUUCAUGAAACUCCGCCUAAUAUAUAUAUAUAUAACAGAGAAAUUGUCGAUAAUAGCAAUCAUUUUCUUAUCUCUUGUAUCAUUCAUAUCUUCCACAAAUCUUAAGUAAUUGAUGAGAAAGAUCGUGAACGCGGAUGCUUGACUUGUUGUGUGGCAUUUUGAUUUUUAAACACAACCAUGCAGUGAUUUCCUGGUGAUUUCCUUAUGCAUACUGGUGGUCCUUCAGAAUCUUGGAGGACCACCACAAGCCAAUCUAAAAAAAUGCUAAAAGUAAUCUUGAGGGUUGUAACUUAACUGGUCAGGUCCUGAGUUUGUUCCCCGAAGAUCACCAGUUCGAGUCCCACAAACCUCAGAGCCACUUGAGGCUUACAUGAUCAUUAACUUCAGGGCUCGUGGGAUUAGUCGAGAUGCACGCAAGCUGACCCGAACACCCACGUUAAUAAAAAAAAAUGCUAAAAGUCAAAACACACAAGCCAUAUAAAAAUCACACGACAGCCAAUUGCCUUAUCUUGUGAAAAAAAGAUCAAAAAAAAAAAAAACAUUCUCUUAGGUAUGCAAUGACUGCCUAUCUUCUCAUGGGGAGCAAAAAUCAGUAGCCUCCCAUGGAAUCCUAAUAAACCUUUCUCUGUGCUCUUCUAAGAUAUUAAAAAUGUCAAACAUACAUCAAUAAUCAAGAUUUGGGUCCUAGAUCAGACAAGUUAGCUUAUGUUGACUGGUGUUAAUCUAAAAUUGUAUCAUUUUAAGAAGAAAAAAAACUGUGUAGUUAAAAAAAAAAAACUAGUUUUUGACUGAGUUGAUUAGGUUCUUGGUUGAUUUAUCUGGUCGAUGAGGCUUGAUUGGGUCAACUCUCACUUGGUUUUUUCUAAACCUGAAUCCGGUCAGAUUCCAGAUUAAAAUGGUAGGCUUGAAUUAAAUUUAAUAACGCUGAUUAAAACCACAUUGUAGAAAAAAAAAUUGAAUUGCAUAAAAGUAAUUAACCGAAAACUUAUAUUCCUUCUUAUUGUCAAAGAACCAUCUCAACCCUUAAGCUAUUAGGUGAGGUCCCAAGAUAUGAUUUAUAUUAUUCUUUAACACACUCCCUCAAGUGAAAGCCCUUUGGGCUUGAAACUUGCAAAUGUCUACAUUACCUUGUGCUUGAUUUUUAUCAAAUUAAUGGGGGGUGAGAUUCGAACUCGUGACCGCUUGGUCAUCAAAGCUCUGAUAUUAUAUCAAAUAAUCACCUCAACCCAAAUUAAAACUUAAACUAUUAGAUGAGAUCCCAAGUUAUGAUUUAUAUUAUUCUCUAAGAACCCAUAUCAGUUUUUUUUAAGGAAAAGUAUGAAUCAAAGGUUAACGCUAGGCAGCUCACUUUGCAUGACAAUGACGGAUAUAGAAGACUUGCUACUUUCUUUAUGGAAAUAACGUGUGGAAAAUCAUGCCUUAAUGUUGAUGGUGAUGGCAAAAACAACCAGUAUCGUUGAUAAAAUGAACCACAAAUGAUAUUAUUUCUAAAAUACUUUUUUUCAUUGUCAUGACAACAAGUCUUCUUCUUUUUCUUUCUAAAGAGUCUAUUUUUUGUAACACAACCAACAAGUAAAAUGGAUAGGAAUUUGCAGUGUGAGAUGGGUCUGUGAGACUUUUGCCAUCUGCAUUUUUUCCAUGAUAUAGGCCAGUGAGAUAGUCCAUGAAACCAUUGCCCUGUAAGCAUUUAUGAGUUCGUGAGACCAUUUCCAUCUGCACAUUGGUCCCUGAAACCGUUGCCAUCAUGCAUUUUUUCCACGAGAUGGGUUCGUGGAACAUACUUUGGUUUAAUUGGGAAUGCUGUUAUUGAUUGAAAACUUUCUAAUUAAAAUAAAUUUGAUUAUUUGAUUGGAAGAAAUCCUUAAAUGUUAUUAACACAAGAAAUCAAUUUAUUUUCUUAAGAAAAAAAUAUUGUAACCAUAUAAGUAAUUUAUUUAUUUAUUUUAAUGAAAUAUAAAAUAGUUUUAAAUAAUCUUGUGGUAUAUUUCUUGUCUUUAAGAGCUAUGAACUUAUAUCUCAAAACUUGAAAACUAAUAUAAAGAUAUUAAGUGAUCAUUGAGUGUGUGUGUAUGUAUAUAAUCCUUUUCAAAACAAAAAGGAUUUUGAUGGAGAUCAGGACAUUGCAACAAAUUAUCCACGAGAUGGGUCGGUGAUACCAUUGUCAUCAUGUAAUUUUUCCCACGAGAUGGGGUCGUACGCUUGGGGCUCUAAAAGCUAUGGUUUUUAAUUUCAUCAGGUAUAUUUUAUUUCAAUUCUAAAAAUGAAAUAAAUUAGAAGAUAUUUCAUCUUGUUUAGAAUAUUAUCUCCUUACAUGCAUGAAUUUCACCUAAAUUUUGACCAGAAUAUAUCGGUUCUAUUCCGGCCAUUCUAUUAUGUCCAAAUAAUGUUUUGUUUUGCUUUUAUAUAUAUAAAAAAUAUAAUUUAUUUUUAUGAUAUCAAUUAUACCUUUCAAUUUGACUAUUAGAUUAGACUGAAAUUUUAUAAUCUCUUAAUAUGUAUUUAUAUCACAAGUUAAAAUUUUAGAGCAAUCAGAGUUUAGAAAGACUUGUGAAAUUACUGUUGAUAUUUUCAUAAUUUUAUUUAAAUUCAUAAUUUUUUUUUGAAAUGUUAUUUUUUGUGUUUUUUUAGAUUGAUUUUUUUUAAUUUUAUAAUUUAAUAAUAAAUUUAUUAAAAAUUAAAAUUCAUAAUUUAUUUUUAUUUAUUUUAUUUAAAAUUAUUAUAUUCUCAUUACUCAUAUCACGAAAAAAACCUUUGCUUUAAUUGGGAAUGCUGUUACAAGUAAUUGGACUCCGUGGGAUGGGAGACCGUUGCCAUCAUGCAUUUUUUUUCCACAGCAUGGGUCCGUAAAGUCCUCUAUAAAAGCUUAAACCUCCUUACUAUCCUCUAUAUCAAUUGAUCAGCAUUUAUAAGAUGGGGCUGUUCCUUCUGAUGCUGAUGGUUUUAGUAAUGAUGGUUUCUUGCAAGGAUGGCUGCCUCUUGGAGUAUAUUGACUUGAGAAUUAAUUGUUUUGAUAACAGUAUUUUAUUAUUUGUGGAGUUAUUUCUAUUUUUUAAAUUAUUAUAUUUAGAUUAUAAUAGAGUGAAAGAGUUAAUAGGUUUAAGAGAUUAGGAAAAAGCUAAUAUUAAUUAUAGUUAGGGACCAAACUGGAAUUUUUGCAUAUUUUUAAGGGUCAAAUUGUAAUUUUAUUAAAUUGAUGAAGGACCAAAAUGAAAAUAUCAUAUUUAUAACUAUACUGGAAUUUUGCCCAUAUUUCUUCUUUAAUUUUGCCUAGAAUCUCGGAUUAUGCUCUAGGGACCAAUCUGUAAUUUUUUUCAAAGUUUGGGGAUUAAACUGAAAUUUUCACAAAUUGAGGUACCAAGCUGAAAUUUUUUCAUCUUCAACCUCAUACCCAGAUUUUUCACAAAUCACCUAUUGAUAUAUCAAGAUUUUUAACUAGAUGAGGGUUUAGGUCAUAGAUUGGCCUAAUACUCAGAUCAAGAUUUGGAUCAAGUUAGCUUAUUGACUAGUGUUAAUAAAAAAUUGUAUUAUUUUAAGAUUUAAUUUAAUCAAAUAGAUUCAACUCCCAUGCCAUUCCACAAUUAAUUUAUUUUAUUAUGAUUUAGUGUUAUGUUAACCAGGCAACAUUUAAUUACCAUGAUAUAAAAUACAAAAAUAGUGGGAACAUAAAAAACAUGCUUUUAUAUAUUUUUUAUUUUAAAAGUACAAAUUUUACUCUAAGACUAUUGUAAAAAGAUAUUUAUUUUAAAUUUAUUUAUAUUUUUAUAAUUCAAAAAUUAAAAAUAAAACAGAAUUAAUCCAUACUCAUCUAAAAACAAUUAACUCUAACAUCAUUAUUUUAUAACAAAACUAGCAAAGAUAAUUUAUUAAUCACUAAGUUUUCUGGUUAUAAAUACAUUAGUAAUUGUCUUCGUCUCUUUUGUAUUUCUAACUAUUAACGAAUUGAAUAUAUAUAAUAAAUACCGAGUGAAAGAAUAAAUUUAGUUGUAUAAUGUACUAAAUAUUAAAUAGGUGACUUUAGAAUCACCAAGCAGUGAAUCACACGGGAAGAUUGAAAGAAUAAUUAAAGUGAUUUUAGUAACCGACAAGUUGACCCCAAGUCAAAAGUCUUUUGUGGAAAAACAUGAAUAAAAGGUUGAGGGUAAGGUCAUUGCUAUCAAGCGUUUUUUUCUACGAGAUGGGUCCGUUACACCAUUUCCGCUCAAGCUUGAGAAGUGAUGAUAUAUGCUUUAUUUUCAACUUGUAUAAAAAAUAAAUUUUAAUGUAGUGUGUUAGUGUUAAAUAAUUAUCUUAAUCUAAUAGUUUAAGCUGUUAGAUAAGGUCUCAAGAUAUGAUUUAUAUUAUUCUCUAACACACCUCUCAAGUAAAAACCCUUUGGACUUGAAACUUGUUCAGGUUCACAUUACCUUGUGUUUAAUUUUUAUCAAAUAAAUGAAGAUGGUGAGAUUCAAACUCGUAACUGUUUGGUCAUCAAGGCUCUGGUACCAUGUUAAAGAAUCAUCCCAACCCAAUAGCUUAAGCUGUUAGGUAAGGUCCCAAGAUAUAAUUUAUAUUAUUCUCUAAUACACCUCCUACUUUGUGUUUAAUUUUUAUCAAAUAAAUAGGGAUAGUGAGAUUCGAACUCGUGACCGCUUGGUCAUCAAGGCUCUGAUACCAUGUCUAAAAACUAUCUCAACCUAAUAGCUUAAACUGUUAGGUGAGGUCUUAGGAUAUGAUUUAUAUUAUUCUCUAACAAUAUUUUCUUCACUUUCUAUAUAGUUUUACCUUACACUAAUAUUGUCAGAAAAUGAUAUAUAGUUCUUGUGUUAUCCUUCAAGAUUUCAAUUGAAAAGGAGGGUCGUAAAAAAUUUAAUUUUUAUAAACAUACCCUUAACUUAAUUUGGAUGUGGAUAAUUGUUUGCAAUAUAUUUACAUCCAAUAUAAACAAUUCAUCAAUGAUCAAGUCGGCAUUGGUUAGCUAAAAUAUUGAAAAUACUUACUCUUUUUUUUUUUUUGGCCAUGCAGUUCCUAUAUAUAUAUAUAUAUAUAUAUAUAUAUAUAUAUAUAUAUAUAUUAGUUGAAAUUUCAUGAUGUCCAUUAAUCCUUUUAAAUUAAAGUCAAGUUAUUAAUUAUAUCCUAUAAAUUUCUAGAAAAACUAAUUCUCUCAAAUUUCGUCGUCUUUUUUACUAACUAUAGAAGGCGAUUGCUACAAACUAAAAUUUCAAGAUGAAAUUGAGAAAUCUGAAGGAGCAAACUGAGAAUCUACCAAAAUCUGACCAAGUCGUUUCACUAGUGGUUUCAAUUAAAAAGCUGAGAGGCAGGCAAUUUCCCAGAAACCCUCUUGGACCCCAUAAAUGAAAUAAUGACACAUGCCGGGGAACAUAGAAAAAUGAGCCUAUAAUCGAAUGAUCAAUACCGGCGAAAGAAAUCAAAUGGAGUAUAAGGUGAAGAGUAAGCCAUCGACAGCACUUUGGAGGCUAUAAUCGAAUCAGCUGCUUCUAUAUAUGCAAUGGGUCGCAUCCCAACUUGCAGACCUGAUAUGAAAUUGUUAUGAUGUUCGUUCUGUAACUAUCAAAACUCACUUAAUUCUGUAGUUUCCAUCUCUUUUUUACUUAACAUGUGAUGUUUGAGAGUGAAGGUAACUAUUGCUUUUUAAAAUAAAAUAUAAUUUAUGUGGUAUCUGAAUACAUAGGAACAAUAUCUGUGUGCCUCAUGCAUGCUUUUCAAAAUCAAGUUUGGGGUUUUUUACACCCAAAAAUCUAUUUUUCAAUUAUGUUUUCACCAAAACAAAAGCAACUAAAAAUCACUUAAUUAAAAGAUCAAAGUGAAUCUAUUUACUUUCUCAUACAAAAAUCAGUCCAAAAAUAAAAAAUAACUUAAAACCUAAAUUUUCUGAUAUCAUAUCUACUUUUUCAUGUAAUUUUAAGGUGAACACUCGAAUAAAACUACUUUUAUCUAAUGGACUAUUGACACAAAGAUUGACUAUUUUGAGGGCCAAAAUUGAUUUUAACCGAGAUUUUAUCUUUUUACCACUAGAAUUUAGCUACUCUCUUUUCUCUUUGAAACUAAAAAAAUAAAAAUAAAAAAAUGACCUUUUGAGUCAAAAUUGAAUCUUACAAAAUUAUAGGGAUUGAAGAUCUAUCAAUUGGAAGUAAGAAAAUCCAAGCUAACUUUUCGCAUUAAUUUUGAAAAAGCCACCUAGUGCCUUUGUUUUUUUCACUUUGAUCCCUUAACUCUCAAUCAUGCCCUUCAUCAAUAAAUUGAAAGAAAUUUAUUGGCGAAAUAAAUUUAUUUCGAAGCCCUUCAUCCUUUGCAAAAUUUACAAGAACAUACCUGAAAGUCCUUGUUGAGAAUCUUGGAGAUAGAGCAAAAUAGAGUGGCAAACAUUGAUACAAUGAACUGAACUUGCAGGACAAGGUCAAAAGUCAUGGCCUUGCCAGCCUUCAAGAAAGUAAACUCCAAUGCAGGCAUUAGAAACCCAUGAAGAGCUGCACCACCAAUAUUCAUGAAGAAACCCAAAAUAUAUUUUCCUUUAGACUCCCACUUGGUCUAUCUCCGUUCAUGUGAAAUACAAGAAUAAUAGACCCAAGGGUCAUCAAAAUCACCGCGUUUAUUCAGUAAUGUGUGAAGCCACUGAGCUAAAGAAUAAAUAAUCCAAGAAAAUUCCACCAAUUACCAUUAAUGUAAGGAAUUCCUGCUUCUUUUUUAGAAGAUCUUCUGGUUGUAUUUGGUUAAUAUCUCAUGCAGAAGAGACACAAAUAUAUAAAAGACAAACAAGUUUAAUUAAAGAGAUAGAAACAUAAAAUAAAUAUGUUUAUAAGAUAAUUUUAGAGUAAAUUUCUAUAUAUAUUUUCAAAUAAAAAACACAAAGAGACAUGUUCAGUACUUGUAUCAUAAGUUUUAUUAUCAUCAAACGUUUGCCUUUCACUACUUUUGCAUGUCUAUAAAGGAAUUUGAUUUCAUUCAAAACACAAUCUAAUAAUUUUGUAGAGAUAAAGAAGACAAGCACGUCGCAAACUGAUCAAUGGCCAUUGAAGUAGACAAAACAGUACUGACUAGCACCACCAGCUUUUACUUGCAUUUGGCUUGAAAGACGAGUGGACUACAUCAAGCAAAUAACAAAAAAAAGCAUGUAAAGAACUAUGAUUAAUUUAAUAAAAAGUAUCUUGCAGUAUUAGAAGGUUUCAGUGAUAUGCCUAUUAAAACAUAUUUGUCAAGUGAUUCUUUAUCCUACAUUGGUUAUAUAUUUAUUCGACGUGGUGGUACUAUUUGUCGUGAAUCCACAAAUACUAUUCAUCAUCAUAGUGUUCAUCUACAUGCAGAUCACUAUGGAUUGAAGCAGUAAUAUUUUUAAAAAAAUUUCAAUUUGGUUCUUAAAAUUUUAUUUCACAUGAUUUUAGCUCUUUUAAACCCAAAUUAUCACUCAAUUGCAUAUUUUUUUGGGAGAGAUGGUUGAAUUAAAAAACAUAGGACUGAAGUGAAAAAACAGGUGAAAUAGAUGGUGACCUUGAAAUUUCUCUUAAAAGUUCAUUUUUAUCCCCCAUAUUUUUUUUAGCUCUUAGGUGACCGGUCCCUUUAAUUUUUAAAAAUUUAAUUUUAAUAUUAAACUUUAUUUUUUUUAUUUUUCAGACUUUUUUAUGGGAGGAGAGAGAAAGUUGUCGUUGGUGAUGAUUUCAGCCAUUGAAAUAAUCAAUUUUUGUCUCAAAUAAUUCCAUCUAAAGAGAAGAGUUUGAAUUAAGUGUUUUGUUUUACCUUGAAAAUACCUAAAAAAUAGAUCCGAGCUCAAGAAGAUUUUUGAAUUCAGGUUGAUAUCAGAUUUUAAGGUGUUUUUUUUGUGUUUUUUUUAGUCCAUUAAUUGUUUAACAAGAUUUCUAAGGUAUUUUUUAGGAGUUUUAAAUAACAAAUAGAUUAAAAAUAAGUUUUUAGAUAAAAAAAUAUAAACAUCAGUUUUCCCGCUACAACAAUGGAUGGAAUCUAGAAAUCUAGAUGACACAUUAUCUUUUUUAAAAAAAAAAAACAGUGUCUGACCCCUUAGCUUAGAAAAUAAAAGCCCUUUGAUUAGCAGGCUUGUCAAUGUCUAAUCUCAUUCUUUCUUUCUUUUUUAAUUAGUACCUUUUUUAUAUAAUUUUUUAUUUUAUGUUUUACUAAUACAUCAUCUAUUGUUUUGGCUUAUUUAGAAUUUUUUAAAAUGAAAAUAGUUUAUUUAAUUAUAUUGAUUGUAUUUAAUUUUUAAAAAGGUUGAUAUGAUUUAUCUGUAAUUUUUUAUAUAAAUAUUUAUAUAUGGAUUAAAUUUACCUUUAAAAAAUUAAUUAAUUAUUUAUUAUAAUAUUUUUAAUAUGUACAGCCUUGUAUAAUAUUUUUUUCUCUCUUAUUUUAUUUAAUAAAUCUUAUAUUCUGGACAUAUCAGUAUGGUUGGUUAGGUUUGGUUUUGGGGUGAAAAAAGAAAAAUCCAACCACAUCAAAUUAAAUGUUAUGGUUUGUUUUAAUUCAAUUCAUUUUUUUAUUAAGAAACCCAAUUUCAUUCUUGGGUUUUUUAGUUGAUUUUUGUAGAUAGACUCUGAUGUAAUAGGCAUGGUUGUUUUUGAGGUUUUUUUAGUUUUUUAUUUUAAAAAAGCAAUUGUUUGGUUUCAUUCAGUUUAAUUUUUUUUAAUCUCUUAAAUCUAAAGCCAAUUUAAGAUCUUUUAAAACUUUCUAAUCGGUUUUUUUUUUAAUUUUAUAUUGGUUUUUUUUUUCAAUUAAUUUUAUGAUAAGAAUCUCGUUAUAAGAAGUAAAAGGAAAAAAAAAAAAAAACAAUUACAUGUCGCAGCCAUGUUUUCACAUGGCCUCCGUAAAGUUCGAACAUUAACAUGGUCUCUAGACAAUAAGAACCUGUUUGUAAGUUUAGCAGAAUUAUUUUUUAAAAUAUUUUCUAGUUUAAAAUAUAUUAUAAUAAUAUCUAGUUAAUUAUUUUUAACAUCAAUAUAUUAAAACGGUCUAAAAAUACUAAAUAAUUAAUUAAGUUUUUUUAUAAAAAAAAACCGGUUCAACUACGGGGCUAAGGAUGUGUUUGGAAGUAUGGUAGUAGUAAUUUUUCAAAGUGAUUGUACUUGAAAAUGUAUCAAAAUAAUAUUUUUUAUUUUUUAAAAAUUAUUUUGACAUCAGCCCAUUAAAACAAUACUCACAAAAUUGAGCAUCAACCUAAAAAUAAACACUUAUUUGAGACAAUUAUCCCUCGAAAGCAAACAAAAAGUAAUAAUGCAGUUCAUUUCCUAACCAAUUCAAUGUUAAAUGAUAAAAUCAAAAUAUUAAAAAUAAUUAAAAGACAAAAAAAACAUAUUAUAAUGGUGGGUAAACUCGUCAAACUUGUGAAUCGGGUAAGUCGAGCUAAUAUGACAAACCUGUAAAUUGGAUCAUUGACUCCAUUGGAAUUAUAAUUUGUUUUUUAAAGCUAUUUUCUUAGUUAACUAUAUGAUAAUAAAAAUAGAUAAUUACAAAAUCAAACACCAACUUAAUACCAAAAUGUUUUUAGAUCAUGAUAACCUCAUAAAAUGUGAAACAAAACCAAUUAUGAAACUAAAUUCACAAUUAAUCCAGUAUCCAAGGAUGAAAAAAAAAACUGAUUUAAAAAAGUUAAUCUUGUCAACUAGCCAAAUAUAUCCAUGGAAUUUAUAAAGUUUAAUAACAUAAUUUUUUCUAAAAAUUAUUUUUUUAACUAUAUAAGGAAAAAAUAGACUAUAAAAAAGUCAAGUUUAAUUAUAAAAAAAAAACCCCACCAAACUUGUAAACUAGGGCAACUUAGAUUACCUAGCAAACUCACAAACCAUGUUAACCUUAUAGAAAUGUAAAAUAAAAGAAACAAAUUAUAAAGUUAAAUUCUCAACCAUCUCAAUAUUAAAAGAUAAAAUUGAUAAAAAAAAAAUUUGAGAAAAAAAUCAUAACAAAAAUUAAAAAAACAAAAACAAAAAUGAAAGAAAGCAAAACAUUAUGGAUUACUAUUGUCAUUCACAAUACAAUGUGUGUGGGUGAACAAUGAUUUUCUCACACCCUUUAAUUUUUGUUAUUUUAUAAAGUUUAAUAACAUGACUUUUCUCUAAAAGUUUUUUAAUUAUAUGAGAAAAAAAUAGACUAUUAAAAAAGUCAAGUUCGAUUUUAAAAAAAAAUACAACCCACCAAACUCGUAAACCAGGGAACCCUAGGGUACUUUGGCAAACUCAUAAACUACACUAAUCCCAUAUAAAGGAAAAAAAAACAAACAAAUUACGAAACUCAUUUCUCAACCAUCUCAAUUUUAAAAAAUAAUAUUGACAAAAAUAGAUUUUAAAAAAAAUCAUAAUAAAAUUUCAAAAAAAAAGAAAAAAAAAAGCAAGACACGGUGGAUUAUUAUUGUAAUACAUAGUGUAAUGUGUGCUGGGUAAACAAUGGUUUCCCCUACAUCCUUUAAUUUUUAUUACUUCAUAAAAUUUAAUAAUAUGGUUUUUCUCUAAAAUUAUACUAUAAAAAAGCCAAGUUCAAUUAAAAAAAAACCUCACCAAAUCCAUAAACUGGGGUACCCUGAGUUACCUCGACAAAAUCGCAAACCACAUAGAAAGAAAAAAUAAAAAGAAAAAAAAUUAAAUUUAAAUUCUCAACUAUCUCAAUAUUAAAAAUGAAAUCAAUAAAAAUAAUUUUUUUUAAAAAUCAUAUAUAAGAAAAACAAUGAAAAGGAAAACAUCAUGUGUUCAAGGGAAAAAAAAAACAAAUAAUAUGAGGAAAUAUUAUAGCAAUCUAUAAUGUUUUAUGAGAAUAAUUGCAGUGCUAUCCCCAUAUAUUUUAAUUUUUCUUAUGAUAAUAAUAAUUAUAGUCUCUCAUGUCUCACAACUUUAUUUGUUUUUCUUGAAUAAGUGCUAAUGUUCUUUGAGGGGUCCAAGCACCAUAUAUUGAAAGAAAGAACUAGUUCAAAUUGAAGCACUAUUAGUUUUAGAAGCACCAUGAAGAUUCAGGCGUGUAAAGAUAUCAAAGGCUCCUGCCACAUGUCAAAAGAUUAGAGAAUGAAAUUGUUAGAAUACUGUUAGUAACUGUUAGUAUUGUUUGUCAGUUAAGAGAAUUAGUUAGCAUUGUUUCAGUGAAAUAAAAAGAGAAUAGAUAACGUGCAUAACCUUUCUACUAUAGCAUAUAUAAACAUGUCAGAUAAGAGAACUGUAAUCAAUUAAUAAAAGAAUCAGUGCUAAAGUUCUUCUUCUUCUUCUUCUCUGUUUAACAGAAUCACUCUCUGCUUUUCUUCAUCUUUAUUCUCUGUUUUUCUUCAUCUCUAUUCCUUUUCUGUGUAAAUCUUACUGUCCUCACAAGGCCCACAUCUUGCUUAUAAUACCCAAGAUCCUAGCACCUUGUAUUUAUAAACGCUAGACACAGCUGCUGUUUCAAUGAAUAAUUCUCCACGCUAUUAUUGAUAAAUAUUGUGUGCUAUAUAUACAGCAGUGUGGAAAUUCAGUUUAGGAAAAAUAUAAAUGGUAAUGCUAAAACUAUGCUAUUACAAUAUACAGCUGCAGAAUUCAAGUUUGGAAUCGGCUCCAAAUAUAGCGUUAAUGGCAGAAUCUUUGCCAUGAUUUUCGGCUACACCUUCUCUGUUUUGAUUUGAGCAGAUUCUCUGCUAGUUUCCCUGAUAGUAUUUAAAUGAAAGAAAAAGAGAAGGGCAAAAGACUGCCAUGAGGCAACCUCAAGUAUCAUACACCUCUGUUUUUGUCCUUUUCAUUUUUCACGUGUUUCUCACAAGAAGCGAACAUAAAGUGCUGGAAGGAAUUUUUUGUUGCAGCGUGAGAUAAGUUUAACUCAUUGCAUUUUCAUAAAUUAAAGGGCUUUGUCUUCUUUUCUUUGUCAAUUACAGUGCAUGUAUAAAAGUUUUAUUGCUCAGAGUAAAUGCUAUUGUAAUGUUUUCGCAGAGACUCCCCUGCUUUGCAACCAAUUCACUUAUAUAUCUUGGAGCAUAGUCAUAGCCAUAAAUGGAAGGUUCUUCCGGUUCAAGAAAAUUAACCACGAAGCUCGUAACUAGAAUUUAGAGUGACCAAGGUCUUUUUCAAGAACAAGGGAAGUGUGCAAAAUGCAAAUAACGAAUCAAUACAUAAAUAAUUAAGUAAAAAGAGAGGACACAGAAGUAUAUCCUCAGACGAUGAAAAUACAGAAAGCCUAGCAUAUUAGAAAGAGCAUUUAUCCAUUUUCCCCCUUCUCUUGUAACAUGGACUGCUAAGAAAUCUAAUGUUUUGUUAUUGAUACGUGAGUUCAGUCUGAUUAUCUGUUGUGCAUACUGGACCGAAAGCAAACACAAAUAAAACACAAACAAGCAGAUUUACGUGGUUCCCCAAAACCGGGUACGUCCACGGAGGCAGCAGAUUGUAUAUUAUUGGAGGAAUGAUACAAACACUCAACUCAACCCAGUACAAUCCCACAAAACCCAGUGUUUCACUCUUACACUCGGUGUUUCUCUCAAAUCUGCACUCUUUCACUCUCACAGUUGCACUAUUUUCUUCUGCACACUUGCACUCACACUGCACUCUCUCGUUCCUCUCUUCUAUCUUCUAUCUUUCACACACAUUUACAGGAGAAAGGAAAGCAUAAAUAUAAUGGAUGAAAAGGAGAGGGUGGUUGAAAAGGAGAGAGUGGUUGAUGGUUGUUGAGAAAAAAUAUUGACAAUUAGCAAAUGUUGACAAUUUGCUACAAAUCUCCACCUUGGCAAGAUUUUUCCAUUCAAUCCUCGUGAACAAUCAAUGCUACCUCCAAUGCGUCAUAUGACGCUGCACCCUGAAGGUGCUCAACACCGAGAGAUGUUGACCAAGUCCAAACAAUGUUGGAACUUGAUCCCUGAGACACAUUUUGUGAGCAUGUCAGCUGGAUUAUAUGCGGUACCAAUCUUCUGUAGCAGAAUAUCCCCUUCAUCCACAAUUUCUCGAACAAAAUGAAAUCGAACAUCGAUGUGCUUGGUGCGGGAAUGAUGAACCUGAUUCUUUGCAAGACAAAUAGCACUUUGACUAUCACAAUGGACAUCCACGUGCUCUUGAACAAUUCCCAAAUCUUCAAUCAACCCAUGUAACCAAAUAGCUUCCUUGAAAGCUUCCGUUACUGCCAUGUACUCUGCCUCAGUUGUUGACAAAGCUACUGUUGAUUGUAACGUUGACCUCCAACUUACAGGCCCUUUAGCAAGUGUAAACACGUAGCCUGUUGUGGAACGACGUUUGUCUAAGUCACCAGCAUAGUCCGAGUCCACAUAACCAACUAAAUUUUGCCCAAGUCUAUCAUCCCUCUCAAACUUCAAACCAAUAUCAGUUGUGCCAUGAAUGUACCGUAGAAUCCACUUAACUGCCUGCCAGUGACCCUUUCCCGGAUCAUGCAUAUACCUGCUCACCAUACUGACAGCAUGUGAAAUAUCUGGUCUCGUACAAACCAUUGCAUACAUUAAUGCACCAACUGUAUUUGCAUAAGGAAUUUGAGCCAUAUGCUUGCGCUCUUCCUCUGUGCGUGGAGACAUUGAAGCACUUAGCUUAAAAUGAGGAGCUAAAGGUGUGCUUACAGGCUUGGUCUUACCAUCUACCCCAAAUCUCUGUAGAAUUUUCUUCAAGUAUUGGGUCUGUGUCAAACAGACUGUGCCUUUUCUUCUGUCUCUCUGAAUCUCCAUGCCAAGAAUCUUCUUAGCUUCUCCAAGGUCCUUCAUUUCAAACUCAGUGCUCAGUUGAGCUUUCAGUCUAUCAAUCUCCACCUUGCUCUUCGAUGCGAUCAACAUAUCAUCCACAUAUAAGAGCAAAUAGAUGAAAGAACCAUCAAGAAGUUUGCGAAAAUAUACACAGUGAUCAAACUGACUCCGUGUGUAUCCAUGUUCUGCCAUGAACUUAUCAAAUCGCUUAUACCACUGGCGAGGAGAUUGUUUCAAUCCGUAUAAUGACUUCUUCAGUUUACAAGCCCAAUUCUCUUUCCCAGUGACUUUGAAACCAUCUGGCUGAGACAUGUAAAUUUCCUCUUCCAAAUCUCCAUGUAGGAAGGCAGUUUUCACAUCAAGUUGGGCUAACUCCAAAUCAAACUGUGCAACCAAGGCUAACAGAAUACGGAUUGAUGAAUGCUUAACAACUGGAGAGAAUACCUCAUUAUAAUCUAUCCCCUCCUUCUGAGCAUAGCCUUUUGCUACCAAUCUCGCUUUGAAUCGGAUGUUGUCUUUUCCAGGAUUACCUUCCUUCUUGGCAUAUACCCACUUGCAACCAAUUGUCUUCUUUCCUUUAGGGAGUUGUACCAAAUCCCAAGUCUGAUUCUUAUGGAGAGAUUUCAUCUCUUCAUCCAUUGCCUCUUUCCAUUUUGCACUUUCUACACUCUGUACUGCUUCUUUGUAGGUGUAGGGGAUUCCAUCAUCAAUCACCGGAAGUGCAUAAGCCACCAUGUUACAAUACCGAGCAGGUUUCUUGAUAACCCUUUUUGGUUUACUCGUUGCAAUGGAUUCUUGUUGUGUGGUUGCUGGAGUUGUUGCAUCCUCUUCAUCUGAACUUUCAUCUGAAUCUCCUUCAGUAGAGAUUGUCUGAACAGUCUUUAUAGGGAUGACUGAAGUCUCCAACUCCACCUGUUGUGCAUCACCAGACUGUUUUUCCUUCUCCUGUGAUUUCUCUUGCUGUAACAUGCCAGACUCAUCAAAAGUGACAUCUCUACUCAAGAUCACUUUCUUUGAUUCAGAACACCAGAGUCUGUAGCCUUUUACUCCUCCACUAAAGCCCAAAAAUAUAGCUUUCUUGGCUCUAGGAUCUAGCUUGGACUCAGUAACAUGAUAAUAUGCUGAGCAACCAAAUAUACGCAUAGAGUCAUAAUCAUUUGCAGGAGAGCCUGACCAUACCUCUAAGGGGGUUCUUCCAUUUAAUGCUGCUGAAGGUAACCGGUUAACAAUAUGACGAGCAUAACUUAAUGCCUCGCCCCAGAACACUUUGCUUAGUCCCGAAUGUGAUAGCAUACAUCGGACUUUCUCCACCAAUGUGCGGUUCAUGCGUUCUGCUACUCCAUUCUGUUGUGGUGUUUUGCGAACAGUAAAAUGUCGCUUGAUCCCUUCAUUCUGACAAACUUCAAAGAAAGGAUCUGAAGUGUACUCACCACCAUUAUCUGACCGAAGAGUCUUAACCCUCCUUCCAGUUUGAGUCUCCACCAUUUUCUUCCAUUUCAGAAAGAUAUCAAGGACCUCAUCCUUGUGUUUCAUCAUGUACACCCAUACUCGUCUUGAGAAAUCAUCAAUAAAAGUAACAAACCAACGAUUACCUCCAAGAGAUUCAUUCUUUGAAGGUCCCCAUACAUCUGUGUGAACAUAAUCUAGGAUCCCUUUUGUGUUGUGUACUGCAGUGCCAAACUUGACCCUUGUCUGUUUUCCAAGAACACAAUGCUCACAGAACCCAUGCUUCCCAGUCUUGGCGCCUUUUAAUAGACCUUGCUUGACUAAUCCUUGCAAAGCCUUUUCACCAGCAUGCCCUAAGCGCAUGUGCCAAAGUCUGGAAUUAUCUGCUUCAUCAUCUUCUAUACUUUUGGAAACAGCUGCUGUACCAGUAACUGUAGAUCCAUCCAGGAAAUAUAAGUUUCUUAUCCUCGUGCCUCUUAAGACAACUAAUGCACCACGAAUUGCUUUCAGGACUCCACCAUGCAUGAUAAUCUUAUAACCACUGGAUUCUAGGACUCCAAGUGAGAAGAGAUUUUUCUUCAAGUCAGGUACAUACCGUACAUCUGUUAGUGUCUUGACUACCCCAUUAUGCAUCUUCAGAUGGAUAGUCCCAAUCCCUUUGAUCUCACAAACAUCAUCAUUACCCAUCAACACAACUCCUCCAUCGAACUCCUCGAGUCUCGAGAAUAAGUGCUUGUUAGGGCACAUGUGAUAGGAACAUGCAGAAUCAAGAAUCCAUUCACCAGAAUGGUUUUCUGGUGAUGAGACCAUGAAUGCAGAGUCUCGUUCAUCCUCAUCCCGUGCAACGUUCACAGUUGGUUCAUCUUUUUCCUUGUUGCCCUUGAUUGGACAAUCUUUCUUCCAGUGCCCUUUUUUGUGACAAAAGGCACACUCAUCUUUUGCAAGAUAUCGUCUGUUUGAUGAUUCUCCUCUGGAUUUUGAGCGAGAUCUCCCUCGCCCUCGAAAUCUUCUGGGGUUUGUUCUGCCUCUAACUGUCAAUGCUUCUGACGUUGACUCCUUGUGAACAAUCUGGUCCUUCUUUCGGUACUCAUUAUUCACCAAAGCAUUGGACACAUCAAUGAAUUUAAUCUUUUCUUUACCAUACAGUAAAGUGGUGACGAGAUGUUCAUAUGUGUCAGGCAGUGAAUUCAAUAAUAGCAGAGCUUUAUCUUCAUCAUCAAUUUCCACAUCUAAAUUCUUCAAAUCAGCUAUCAUUUUAUUGAAAUCAUUUAGAUGCUCAUUCAUAGAAGUACCUUUCUUGUGCUGAAAACGGAAGAUCCUUUUCUUCAGGUAGAGACGAUUCUCUAUACUCUUCUUCAUAAACUUGUCCUCCAGUGCUUGCCAUAAUUCCUUUGCAGAGUUUUGUUCUGAAAAGGCGUACUUCUGAUCCUUUACAAGACAAAGUCGGAUGGAACUGCAGGCCAACCGAUUUAUCCUUUCCCAGCUUUUAUCAUCCAAAUCCUCCGGUUGAUCUUCUAAAGUGAAAUCCAAAUUCAUUUGGACAAGCAUAUCCAUGACUUCACAUUUCCACAUGCCAAAAUUACCUUUCCCAUCAAACUUCUCCACCUCAAAUUUGGUAUUCGAUACCGGGAUGUAUUGUGGAGGUAUACUAGCAUUCCCCGCUGAUUUUUCUUCUGGAAUAUCAGCCAUUAGGACGUCUUUGGAUUACAAAUGGACUCCUGAAAUUGUUAAAACACGCACUUUUAUGCUCAAAAGAGCCAAAACAGUAACUUCGGUGUGCUGUUUCACAAAACGGACAUCACGGUUGCGUCCGGAAUGGUUGAAAAUGCUAGGAACCAACUUGACUCGGCCAAAAAACAGGUCAAAAAUCACUGAGUUGGCCAAAAAACCAAUCUGACCGAGUUGACUCAGGGAAGGAAUAUUCUGUCUCUGAUAAAGAAUAUUCUGUCACGGGAAUAUUCUGUUACUGGUAACGGAAUAUUCUUAUUCUGUCAAGAGAAUAUUCUGUCACUGUUAGAUGACAUGUCUGAUGACGUGGCUGAUGACAGGGCGAUGUGGACCCUCUGUUGAUGACGUGGAUGAUGACUCAGCGCCUACGUGUCGGAUGACGUGGCUGUCUUCUCAGGCGAGAAUUCCGGCAAUGACUGGUUUUUCCGGCAGAUUUCCGGCGAAACUUCGGCGAGCUCUACAGGGCUCGUUUCAACUCCGAUUUCGAUGAUCUUUAUAUCGCCGGACUCGUAUGGACGAGAGGAAUCUCCUCAGCUGGUCAAAAGCAAGAUCUGAGAACUUUGAAAAUUCUGCAACUUUGAACAGAGAGCUGAAAAACGUGUUUUUUCAGUGUUCUAGCUUCCCUAAUGCUCUGAUACCAAUUUGUUGUGCAUACUGGACCGAAAGCAAACACAAAUAAAACACAAACAAGCAGAUUUACGUGGUUCCCCAAAACCGGGUACGUCCACGGAGGCAGCAGAUUGUAUAUUAUUGGAGGAAUGAUACAAACACUCAACUCAACCCAGUACAAUCCCACAAAACCCAGUGUUUCACUCUUACACUCGGUGUUUCUCUCAAAUCUGCACUCUUUCACUCUCACAGUUGCACUAUUUUCUUCUGCACACUUGCACUCACACUGCACUCUCUCGUUCCUCUCUUCUAUCUUCUAUCUUUCACACACAUUUACAGGAGAAAGGAAAGCAUAAAUAUAAUGGAUGAAAAGGAGAGGGUGGUUGAAAAGGAGAGAGUGGUUGAUGGUUGUUGAGAAAAAAUAUUGACAAUUAGCAAAUGUUGACAAUUUGCUACAUUAUCUGCGUAAAAUAUCUCUGGAGAUGCUUUCGAUGGAGAUUAGGUCUCAAAACGCUAUGCCCACUGCCCCCAUGGAUCCAGAGCGUGAAAAUGAAGCCGAGCAUUGAAUUUCUAAACAUCAUUUCCUUUUGUUUUAUAUUUCGCAUUGUUACCAAACUCUUUUACAUUUUAUUGCUGCAUAUAUUGCUAUGUAUAUACCAUGCUUUAAUCAAAACCUAUAAUGCAGGAAUAUCUGCAGAUGGCCAUUCCCAAAGGGAAAACUAAUCUUCCCUAGAAUAUUACAAAGUGCCAUUUCUACAGUGAGAAUAGCGUUUCGUUUUGGUUGUUUUGUUGAUGAUAACUAGAUCUUAAAACUAAUCCCUGUACUUUUACAUGAUGCUAUAAACUGGUCCCUUUUAUUAGUAAAAUGUUGAGCCAGUCAAUUGAUUAUUUAAAAAUCUUGAGGGAUUAAUUUGUUUGUUUCACAAAAAAAGACACUGAUUAAAUAAAAAAAUUAUCAUCAUAUGCAUGAGUGUUUACUUGUCCAACAACAGUUUGCAAGGGGCAGAUCCUUGGAUGGAUAUUAGAGGUGAGCAAAAAAACCAAUAAACAGAUUAAACAAAGAAAACAAAAAACAAAUAACCGAAAAAACCGAACCGAAAAAAAACUGAAUUAACUGAUUAAAAAAUCACAAAAAAAUUCCGGUUCGGUUUGGUUUCGGUUUCUAAAGUCUGAAACAGAUUGAACCAAACCGGUUAAACCAUGCCAGCACUUAAAAAAAAAAAGUAUAAAUAUGAUGUUUUUUCUAACACUAAACCUAAAGUAACAUUCAGUCGCGACCCCCGCCCCCCCUUCCCUUUGCUCUCUACAUCUCUUCUCUUUGAUUUUUCUUCAUGCUCCACAAUUGUUACUUGUUAAGCUCCUGCUCCAUGCUCCUAAAGGUCCUAAACCAACGCCCCCCCCCCCCCUUCUCUGCCUCUCAUCAUCUUCUCACAACCCCUCCUUUUUUCUCCCUUUUUCUCUCUGCCUCUCAUCUCUCCCCGUAGCCCCCCCUCCUUUUCUCUCUAUCUCUCAUCUCUGCAUCUUAUCUUCUCCACUUCAAGUUUGUGGGCACUGGGCAGAUAAAAAAAAGAGAUGGCUUUUUGAUGAUUAAGAUUCUAACUCCACUUCAAGUCCAUCCCUGCAUCUUGUGGGUUUUUGCUUUUUUUUUAUUAUGCUAUAAUUUGCUUGUAGUUUGUGGGCAAAUAUGUUUUUCAAAUAUGUCUUGGUCAUGUAAAUUGGAAUAAGUUUCUGAAUAACAAAAAUGAGAUUUGCUUUUCGGUUUUAUCGGUUGUCAUAACCCAAUUUUUUACCCUUUUAUUUUAAUUUUAUGAUAAAAAGAAAAAAUGAUGAAAAAAUAUAUAUAUAUAAUAAUGAUGAAAAAAAUAAAAAUGAAAUAAAUGAAGAAUGAAUUAAAAUUUGGGUUAAUGGCAACAUGAUUGGACGCUUAAAGAUUUAAUUUUUGACUUGUCUAAUUAAUCAAAUCAAUUGUUUAAUUGGAGAAUUGAUAAGUUUUGGGACUUAAUUAAGCUUGAAAUUAAUUUAAUUAAUCCAAUCAAGGGUUUAAUUGGAGAAUUGAUAAGUUUUGAGACUUAAUUAAGCUUGAAAUUAAUUUAAUUCAUCCAAUCAAGGGUUUAAUUGGAGAAUUGAUAAGUUUUAAACUUAAUUGGACUUUGGAUUUAAUUAAAUUAAUGAAAUCAGGGACUUAAUUGAAGAAAUAGCAAAGUUUGGGGUUAAUUGGGAGUCCCAAUUGUGAAAUUAAAAUCCAAGGAUUACAUUGAAAAAGGCGCGCAAAUGCAGGGGGCCAAUUACAGUUUAAACCAGGGGUUUAAUUACAAGACUUUCAAAACUGCAUGGAUCAAAACGAAAAAUGGCCGAACGACGUCGUUUUGAAGAUGUUGUUCAUCUUCUUCUCCUUUAUGCCAGUGACCGUUUCCGCAGUAAUGGAGGGAGGAACAUUGCAGCAGUAAUCGUCGUCCGUUGGCUUCAGUUAUGAGCGCCUUAAUGGUGGCCGACUGUUAGCCUACCGCCCGUUAUCAACCCGCCAAGGCCUAUAUAAACCGAGCAGCACCGAAGAGGAGCGAGGUUAGAGGGAGAGAGAGAGAGAGAAAAGAAACCGAAAAGAAGAGAAACACAACCAAAGCACACAAUUUUUAGGUUCAUCUCCAGAACUCCCAUACCAGAACUAGGCUUCCCUCACCAGUUCUGACUUAAGAAAAACGAGAGAGAAAACCGGCCGAAAGAGAGAGAGACGGUGUUCUGAAAAACAGAGCAAAAGAAACGAAGAAAAAUAAACCAAAACAGAGACGCAGGAAAGGAAUACAACAUGAAAACCAGAAGGAGUAAGAAGAAAUUCGAAGGCAGAAGCGUCGUCCUCAGCAAUCACGAACAAAUUCCCUGCAAACGAACCAGGUAAGUCUUCUGCUCUGUUUCCCUCGCUUUGCCUUAUUUCAUUUUCGACGUCCGUGUUUAAUUCAAUAACAGGGCCAUGUACGCGUGAUUUAGAUCACGCGUGCCUAGUGUGGCCCAGCCAGGUCACUGGCUUGGGCCAGUGACCGGGCUGGGCUGGCUGGGUCUAGCCCAGCCCAUGUGGGCUGAGCUGGGCACAGCCCCAAAAACAUAAAAAAUAGAAAAAUAGAAAAAUAGAAAAAAAAUAAUAAUAAUAAAAAAAUAAAAAAGUAAAAAAGGUAGAAAAAAUAAAAAAUGUGUAUGCAUAAAUAAAAAUAAUAUGAAUUUAUUGGUGUAUUCAUUGACGCCAGAGUCAGGAAUAAAAAUACCGGUUUAAAUUUAUAUUAUUUUUAUUCAUUGUAUUUUAUUUUAUUUAGCUAGAAAAUAAAAAAAUAUGUGCAUGUGUAAAAAAUAAUUUUUUUUAUGUGAAUAUUCACUUGCGCCAGAGUCAGGAAUAUUAUAAGAAAAUUAUCAUAGCAUAAACUAAUAAAUAUUUAGCAAUUUAAGACAAAACUAGCAAUGCAGUCUGCCUCAGGCAGAACGUUUAAGGGGUGAUAAUAUCUUCCCUUUUACGUAAUCAAUCCCGAGCCAUAGAAUCUCUGAUGACCAGUUAGGGUUCCUAGUGACCGUAAUACUAGGUGGCGACUCCUUAUACAAGACCUUUUCCCCUAAAAGAACAAGAUGCCAGAAAUCUGUUCUUUUUUCACAAUCUAGAAUUAUUUGUGGGCCGCCGUGAUGUCGGGUGCGACAUCGGUUUUUGAACAACAAAAGUCGAACCGAACCGAACCGAAACCAAUAAAUUUGAACCGGUUUCGGUUCGGUUUUGAUUUUAAAUUUUAAAAUUAAUAAUGUCGGUUUGGUUAAUUUUUUCAUGUAAAAAUUGAACCGAACCGAACCGAAAAUGAUCACCCCUAGGGAAUAUGUCUUCUCUUGAAUUCUUGAACCUAUCAGGGGACAAUUUCUCUGGUCUUUUACUGCCUAGAUUCAGCAAUUCCUCAAAAUUGAGAUAUGUUUAUUUGUCUAGAAAUAAAUUGCAAGGACCAAGCGCAAUAAAAUUUUAUGAUUCCUUUGAGAUAUUAGCCUUAGAUCUUUCCCAUAAUGAUUUAACUAGUAGGAUUCCAGAAUGGAUUGACAGGUUAUCUAACUUGAGAUUUCUACUUUUGAUUUAUAACAAUCUUGAAGGUAAAAUCCCAAUUCAAUUAUGCAAGUUCGACCAAUUAACCUUGAUUGAUCUAUCUCACAAUUAUCUUUCUGGUAACAUCCUCUCUUGUAUGAUAUUUACUCAUCCUUUCCCUAUUCAAUACAAUUCUCGUGAUUUUGUGUCCUUAUCACAACAACCUUUCGAGUUUACAAUGAAGAAUGUAUCUCUUUUUAAUAGAGGCAACAUUAUCUGGAAUUUCACUGGAAUUGAUGUCUUAUGCAACAAUUUCACAGGAGAGAUUCCCCGUGAAAUUGGAAGCCUCAGCAUGAUCAAGGUAUUGAAUCAUUCCCACAACAUUCUAACUGGACCAAUUCUAUCAAUAUUUUCAAACUUAAAGGAAAUAAAGAGCUUGGAUCUUUCCUACAACAAAUUGGAUGGAAAAUCCCAUCUUGACUAUAGAAUUUUUCAGUGUGGCACACAAUAAUCUGUCUAGCAAGACUCUUGCAAGAGUUGCACAAUUUGCCAUGUUGAAGAGAAUUGCUACAAGGGCAACCCUUUUCUUUGUGGAGAACCGCUACCCAAAAUAUGUGGUGCAGCUAUGCCACCAUCACCAAUGCCAACUUCAACGAACAAUGAGGAUCAUGGUGGCUUCAAUAAUCUGUUUGAAGAGAGCUGCUACAAGGACAACCCUUUUGCAUGUGAGCUUUAAGGUUGCAUAGAUCAUGGUGUUGUUGGUGAUAGGUGCAAUUCUGUACAUAAAUUCAUAUUGGUGACAAGCUUGAUUUCACUUUAUUGAGGUGAGCAUCAAUAAUUACUAUUAUUUUCUUGUGGAGAAUCUUUCCAUUUUAUCUAAGUUUGGAUUUUCAUAGCCUUUUAUCUUGAUGGUACUAAGCCUUGGUGCAUUGUUUUGGAUUUUAGUUUCAAGAUUUAAAUAAGUUUAUAUUGAUUUUCAUAUGAGUUUUGUUUUUGUUUUUAGCUUCUAUGUGAUAUAUAAUAAUCAAGUUUUUUUUUUUUUUUAAAGGUUAUCUAAGUUUUUUUAGCUGUUUUUUUUAUGCUUUUUAGGAUUUUUUUUUUUGCUUUUUUCUUUAUUUUUUUUAAUUAAUUUUUUUCGUUUAGUUUAGUUUGUUAAUGUUAAAUUUCUUUCUAUUUAGUUAUUAGACUUUCAUGACACAUAUCUCGAGUUUCACGGGUUAACCUGGUUUCACGGGUGAACCCAGUUAAUUCCGGGUUGACCCGUCAAUUUUUUAUUAUUAUUAUUUUCAUAAAUAUUUUUUUUUAAUUUAGUUUGUUAAUGUUAAUUUUUUUUUAUUUAGUUAUCAGACUUUCAUGACACAAAUACUGGGUUUAACAGAUUAACAUGGUUUGACGAGUUAACCCGAAUUUUUUUUCUUUUUAAUUAAUUUUUUUUGUUUAGUUCAGUUUGUUAAUAUUCACUUUUUUUUAUUUAGUUACCAGACAUUCAUGACACAGAUCCCGGGUUUAACGGGUUAACUUGGUUUGACGAGUUAACAUGAAUUUUAUUUUAUUUUUUGCUUUUUUUUUCUUUUUAAUUAUUUUUUUUCGUUUUGUUUUGUUUAGUUUGUUAAUGUUAAAUUUCUUUCUAUUUAGUUUUUUUUCUUCUUAGAGGUUUUUUUUCUUUUAUUUGUUAUUUUUAAUUAAUUUUAUUUAAUUAAUUUAGUUUAUUAAUAUUAAAUUUUUUUCUAAGUAGUUCUCGACUGAUGCCUUUAGUUUUUUUUUUAUGCCUUUGACUGUGAACUGCACAGUGCAGUCCACUGUGAAAAGGCUGAUGCUUUUUUUUAAUUAAUUUUUUUUGUUUAAUUUAAAUUGUUAAUGUUAAAUUUUUUUCUAUUUAGUUAUCAAACUUUCAUUACACGGAUUCUGGGUUUGACAGGUUAACCUGGUUUGACGAGUUAGCCUAGUUAAUUCUGGGUUAACCCAUUAAUUUGUUUUUUUCUUUUUAACUAUCAAGCUUUCACGAUGCAAAUUCAAUGUAUGACGGGUUAACCUGGUUUGAAGGGUUAACCCAAUUAAUUCAUUUUUUUUUUCAUUAGUUUUUUUUUCCUGUUAGUUUUUUUUUAACUAAUUUAUUAAAUUAUCACACUUUUAUGACACAACCUUGCAGCCAGACCCAUGUCCAAUGUUAUUGGGUCUGGUAUUGCAAUCCAGACAUUUUUAUGCUAAGGGUUAACCCAAGUUUAAUGUUAUUAUUAAUAUUAUAAACAUUACUCUUAGAUCAGGCGUUGCAACCAAACCUGAGACUCUUGGGUAUAACUUUGUAAAAAAACCUAAUACUUUUAGAUCUUAACUAUUUUUAAAAUGCAAAAAAUAAUUGACCUGCGGCAUCGCGCGGGGCAUGUAACUAGUAGAUUACUAAAGGGGAUCGAUUUUGAUUAUGAUUUGGUGUGGGAAAUUCUCUGCGUGCCUACAUAGAGUGUGGCUUCUUGAAACUCCAAAAAAUAUAUAUAGGUGUUUGCCUAAACCAGUAUUGGGCAGAUAAAGAUAAGCCAGGAUUGCCGAGGAAGAGGCUGUUCAGGUAGUCCGAACAGGGAUCUAUAAUCAUUAGUUAUAUAAUCAACCCUAAUCAGAAUUUCCCAAGAAAGAAUUAACUAAAGACUUCAGUUAAUGCUGAUGAACACGAGUAAAGGAUUUGCUAAAGACAAAACCAUGUAUUUAAGAACCAUUGCUAAGCUACAGGUUCUGGAGCCACAAACCACUCACAUUUACUGGGGUUGAUCCCAAAUUGAGACAAAUCUAUUUGUCCGGUUCGGAGAACCUUCAAACAAAAAGAAGAGUUAAACCUUGUAAAAUUGACUAUAUAUCAUCAAAAGGACAAGAAACACACAGGAAACCUCAUAAUUACCUCAGAAUGCACCGACGUAAAACACACAGGAAAUCCCAACACAUCAUAAGACAACAAAAGAAAACAUAUAUUUAGCAGAAUAAAAAGGUUGUACAAUUCUUUCACAGCUUACAGUACGUAUAGAAUAAGCAUUAAUAAUUACCUUCAUCUGGAUCACCCGAACUACCUGCAACAUGUAUCAUCACAUCACGCGGGCCACCCUAAGUACAACAAACAAGGAUAUGGUCACUUGCACUAUCUAAGCAGAACACACCUCCAGCACCAAUAUUACUCAGGAUUCUUUGCAAGUCUUCCAAUUUCACUGGUUCUGAUGAAGAGUUUACAUCACUCAUUACUUCUGCACCAAGGUCUGGGACAACUGAGUUUCCAGUCCUGAGAGCGAUGAGCAAAAAUCUCAUCGGAAUAAAAGAAAAUGGCCACGUAAUAUAUACCUGGCCAUUUGUUUUUGGUAACAAAAGUGCUCCUUAACCUUUUUGAAGUUAUUUUAGAAUGAAUUACAAGCAUUAAACAUUUAUAUAUAUGGACAAACACCGAGUUUAUGCAAGUCUGUGCAAGGGCAAUAUGGGGUGAAGGAUUUGACAUGGGCUAAGGUGGGUGAGAUGUUUUUGUCAAGAAAUGAUUUUGGAAAAUUUCUUGAUAUUUCAUGAAUAAAUAAGAUAUGAGUCUUUAUCAAGGAAAGAACAUAGGCUCUCCAAGAUGAUUGACCAGAAGGAGAGAAGGGAGGCUCAUUCUGCUCCACUGACUCUUAGUCUCAAAGAACAAAAAAUUACAUAGCUCUAUAUCCUUACUCUUACUUGCUAUAUCAACUCUUAGAGUUGAAGUAUCAUCUUUGACUAUGCUUCUUUGUUAUAAUAAAUAUACCUUGAUGAGAUAUUAUCUUCAAGCAUGUCUUCAAAAACUUGGAAAGGAGUAGAAGCAUCAGGCUCUUCUUCAUCAACUACACCAAAUUGUUUGCAUUUAAGAGAUCGGGGGAGGGGGGCAGAAGAUUAGACUUUGCAUUUAAAUAUAAGCCAAGAUGAUUAGGAACAAAAUAAUGACGAGUAGCAUGGCUAACAAAGGACUCAAAACACAAAAUUGUUUACCAAAUGGACGAUUAAUAUAAUAGUUGAAAGAGCUACAUAAUUGUGAAUCAUCUUUAGCUUUUGGCUCCUGCAAACAUGUUACACAAUUUUCCAAAAUCAUGCAGCUAACAGCUGAGUCAAUGUUACACAUAAGAGAGUGAAAAACGCAGAAAGUGAACCUGACCUGCACCCAAAUGAAAAACUUUCGAUCAUCUGUAUUGAAUUUCAAGAUGUAAACUCUUCCCAAAGCUUGAUUAACCUGAAUAACCCAAGGAAUUAUGAAUCUAUGAUAUUACAAUCAAUUAUUAGAGUCAAAUAUCUUCCAUCUAAGAAAAAACUAGGAGAGAAAAGUGUACCUUCUCAAAAACAGCAUCUUCAGAAAAAAAUAAUAUGAUCCUGUCAAUCAACGCGUCAAGAAAAAGCUACCAAAGUUCUCACCUCAAAAGAAUAUUAACAAAACAAACAACAGAAAAAAAAAUAAAAACCAAAGUUGGAAGGGAGAAACAAAAUCCCCAGGCUCAAAAACAUAAUAAUAACUAGGAUACAUCUUCCACAGCAUUCAAAUUCCUAUCAAGCCACUGGAAAUGAAGCAAACCCUCAUCACCCUGGAACAAUUCAAAAAUUUCGACUUCAAACAGGAAACAAGAUGCUAGAAACACUCUAUCUAGUACUUAAGAUAAACCAAAACAAUAGAAUUAACUAAAAAUCUUUACACAGACACGAACUCUAUAUAACACAAAAAAAAAAAACCAAAAGACACCAGUUUACCCUUCCAAUGCGAACAAGUCCUUUUCGAGAAUCAGGAACAAACUUUUUUCCAACGAAAACCAUUUUACCAGCACGAAACUCCAACAUAAUUUCCUACCAACAAAACAACCACAACACCAUAACAUAACCCCACCAAGAAAAACAUACUUGUACAUCCAACAAAGCAAUUACAGGCUCUAAUUAAAAAGAAACAGAGAUUUUAAGCAAAACCCACAAUUUUAAAAGUGAUUUUAUUUACCUGCAUUGCUGAAAUAUCUACAGUUGAUGAAGAACCCAUUUUUCGCAUACUUCCUCUAAAGCUUCCUUUUUUUCAACACUGCAAAAAACAAAAAACAAAAAAAAGAAGGACAAAUCAAAUACCCAAAUCAGAAACAAUAACAGAAAAAAAAUAAAAGAAAAUCCAAAGCUGGAAGUUGUAAUCAGGAGGAGAACCAGACAAUUUCAGAUAGAAUGACAUUUUAUCAAGAAUUGAACUGGGCAUUCAGUUAAUUAAAUAGGUUGUAAUCAGGUGAGAGUAGUGUCAACAACAUGUUUAGUUUUCCUCUCGGAAGUGCCAUUCUGCACAAGUCAGUGUUUUAAAAAUAUUUUUAAAAAAAUUUUAAUUUGUUUUUUUAGUGGUUUUAAUUUAUUUUCAUGUAUUAAUAUUAAAAAUAAUUUUAAAAAAUAAAAAAUAUAUUAUUUCAAUUUAUUUUAAAAUAAAAAAAACUUAAAAAAUACUGUUAACACAGUAUUAAACAAACUCUAAUCCUAUAACCAGAUGAACAACGUUAAGAUAUUUGUUUUUUGUUUUUCUUUUUUUUGAUAAUGAGACUGUCGUAAACAAUCUUGCCUAAUGAUUGUUAAGAAAUGAAAGAGGCAAUGCAUGGCUAAACCAAUGGAAGCUAAAAAGCUAAUGUUAUCCCUAGUAAGCAAUUGUUGCCGCAAUGACAUAUGCCUCGUUAGAGAUAUAUUUGAAUUUACAUAUUAUUAUUAUCAUAUAUUUUGUAUUGUCGUUUAAAAAAUAAAUAUUUUCCUUAUAUAGAGUAGAAUGUUUUUAAUUUUAUCAUUUAAAAUUUAUAUAUUUUUUAAAAAAUUAAUACAAUAUACAGUUAAUUAAACAUCUAUAAAUUAAUAUCAUUGAGAACAUGAAAUUUAUUAAUUAAUUAAGAUGUUAUUUAGUAAAUAAAUUUAUACACUUAUACAUUAAUCAAUAAAAAAUUUUCUUUUUCAAAAACAUUGAACUCAAUACAUGCAUCGUGUAUAAUAUUAUCUAAUCAUCAAAUUAUGAAUUAUCAUAAUUCUAUAUAUUUAUUUAAAUAAAACAAGUUCAAGAAUUAAUGUAAUCAAUCUUAUUAAUUAAUAAAAUUCAUGUAUGUAUUAACAUACAAGCAAAAAAUCUAUAAAAAGAAUAUACAAGUGAGCCAAACAACAAUAUAUAUUAAAAACGAACAAGAGGUCGAAUUAAUAUCCAUUAACUAAUAGUAAAAUUAAGAAGAUGAUACCAAAGAGACACAAAAUCACAAAAAAGCAUUUAACAUUUCAGAGAAAGAAGCCUGCAACACCCAUUAAGGAAAAGAGAGAAGGGAAAGAAAUGUGGAUUAAUUCAUACAGAGGCUCACCUUGUUCCAGACCAGCGCGAGACUGUAGACGAACCAAGAGCAAAAAAUGCAGGAGAGAUAAUCAUGAGAGAAACAAAUUCAUAUAUCCACGAAUAUGUACAAUAUUUGAAACCUAUAAUGCAAGAAUAGCUGCAGAUGUACAUUAAUAUUUUUAAUUUAAAGAAUCAAUUAAUUAUUUAAAAAACUUGAGGGAUUAAUUUGUUUGUUUCACAAAAAAUAGACACUGGUUAUAUAAAAUUUUACUUAAAUUUUUAUCAUCAUAUUUUAAAAGAAACCAGUUUAUGUUUUGCGCAACACGAAAAAUCAUAUAUGCUUAAGUAACUAUUUGGCAUCUUAAACUCAAUUUAGUAAAUUAAUUUUAAUUUUUUUCUAUCCGGCUCUUUUCCUAUAUCAAAUUUAAAAUUAACCAACAUAAAAAUUAUCCUCAAAUGAUACAGUCAAUAUGAUAGGUUUACAAAAAUAUAUUAAAUUGAUUCUAAUUUCAUGGCUUAACUCUUCAAACCCACUACUCGAAUAAUAGACUCCAUCUAGUUGUAAUUAUUAUUUUGUUUUUUAAUUAUUUUUUAUUGAAUAAUAUGAUAACAAUAUCAAUUCAAAAUCAACUAAAUAUUAAAGGAUAAAAUAAAAAAAAUAAAAAAAAUUCAAUAGAAAAAAAAAGGAGAAGAAUGGUAGAGUUUAAAAACAAAUAAACAAUAUGACGUCAUUGUUAGAGCACCUGAAAUUACUGUUCCUUUUUACUAUAAUGAUGAAGUUUCCACAUAAUAUAAAACAUGCUUAUAAAUUAAUAACCGAAAUAAAAAUUAAAUUGAGACGACAAUCAAUUCUUUAACUUUAAAACGAUUUAUUAACAAUAGAAUUGAGAAGGCCCGCCACAGAUCAAGAGGACAGCUUCAAUGAAGCCAUCCCAGCCAAUGCAGGUGAUUACCCGUCGGUUGAAGUCUCAUCGCGCGCCUAGCACCAGCCAAACCGCCUCAAUCUGAACAUGCACCAGACAAAGUUCAUGAAAAGACGCCAGGGAGCCUCAGCAGCUGAGAAGAAAGUGCGGGAACACCCACCGCACGAGAAGAAACGUGAAAAGCAGAGAGGGAGCGCGGUAAAGAUUGUCAAGCCACGGGAUUCACACACAGUGCACCGAGUUUUAAUGAGCACUCUUAGUUUUUUUUUAUAUAUAUAUAUAUAAAAUUCUUUUAGUUUUAGUUUUAGUUUUAGUUUGUUAGUUAUGAACAGUGAAGCAGCACCAGAAUACAGUUCUUUUAGUUUGUUAGCGAAUCUGGAAAAGAAUAAAGUCAUCUGUCAAGCUCUGUUCACUUUGGUCCGACAUUCCUCACCUCUCCCCACCUGAGCUCUCUCUCUUUCCCUCCUCCGCUUUCAGAAACCGCCGCCGCCACCACCUCAACCAAUAAGGCUUCAAAUCUCACCCAGAUGCUUCCUUUUCUAUUAUGUUUUUGUUUUUUAAAAUUUACGUCUGCUUUUUCAUUUAUUUAAUUGAAAUUACUAUCCAGAGAGAGAAAUUCGAUUUUAAUAAGUAAAUUAAAAAGAUAUAUAAUCGAACCCGAUGAAAUCGCUGCUCGUGAACGCAACUCGAAGAAAGGCGCAAUCAGCCGACUAUACUAUGGGUGGAGCAUUUAAUAUGGUCAGGGUUAUUGUGUUGUCUAUUCAAAGAAAGAUGUGCCUGUAAAUUUGUUAAGUUGAUUCUUAUCAGUCUACUCUUUAGAGUUGAUGAUAACAUGAAAUACUCGUUGUUAAUGCUCGUUGUUUUCUUCUUCUUUUUUCCUAGAUUAAAACAUCCUAGACAAUCUCUUUGGGAUGGUUUAGUAUUUCUGGCCUCUUCAUCUUCUAUUUGUGCUAUGGUUUUUAGUCUGCUGAUAUUGUUGAUAUUCAUUGGGGAUUGAAAGGCCUCGUUUUAUGACUUUGUUUUGUCUUCUUCUUAUUUCUUUAUUCUUUUGGGGAUGCGGCAUUUUCCUCUUUCAGAGAAAUAAAUAUAUACAUAAAUAACAAGAACAGGACGGGAAGGAGAGGGGGUUUUGACAAUAAGUAUUUGCUUAGAAGGGAAUGCUUCUUUGGUUUAGAAGCACCAUGAAGAUUCAGGCCCAAAUCUUUGCUUAGAAUGCCCGAAAUAAAUAUAUCACACACUUCUUUUUUUGUUUUUUGUUUUUCAUCUUUUCAUGUGUUUCUCACAAGACGUCACUUUCUUGCUUUUCUUUCGAGAGAGUAUUUGAUCCUUUUUUUGUAUAAAAUAAUGCUGCCAUUCAUUGAAUUUCCAAACAUCUUACCUUUUGUUUUGUUUGUCGCAUUGUUAUCAAACUCUUUUCCAUUUUAUUGCGGCAUAUUGCUACGUGUAUGGCAUGCUUUAAUCAAAAAGUUGAGUAAUUGAUGAAUGUUAGGCAAGAAAAUUACAGAUUAUUUUUGUUUUCUGCCUCCUCCUUCUCUUUCCCCCACCCCGAAAAUUGUCAUAUUUUUUUUUCAGCCGCCUCUUCUUCCCCCAACCCUAAAAAUUGUUUAUAUUUGCUUUGGAAGCAUGGCAAACUUCACUGCCUCUCAGCUUAAGGAGAUUGCAGCAGGUCUCGAAGCUUCUGGGCAUCAAUUUAUCCGGGUAUUUAGAAGAAGAAAAAAAAGAGUCAAGAAGACAAGGAAGAUUGUUUACCUCAAGGAUUUGAGGAAAGAAUGGAAGGCAAAGGGCUAUUAUCAGAGGAUGGACACUCCAAGUUUUGAUUCUUGAUCAUGAAGCAAUAAGUGCAUUUGUGACUCAUUGAGGAUGGAACUCAACUCUUGAAGGCAUAAGGCCAAUAUGUGCUGAGCAAUUCUAUAAUGAAAAGUUGGUGACUGAUGUUUUAAAAAAUGGAGUUAAGGAAUGGCCUAGAGUGCAUGGAGAUCAUGUUAAAAGUGAAGCUGUAGAGAAGUCAAAUUAUGAUGGGUGAAGAAGCAGAGGAAAUGAGGAGUAGAGCAAAGAAGCUAGGAGAAACGGCCAGGAAGGCUGUUGAAGAAGGUGGAUCUUCUUGCUCUGAUUUCAAUGCUUUGAUCGAAUAACUGAGGUGGGGUCGCCAUUGAAACAAAGGCAGAAGUAAGUGUUGUCACUCGUGCAUAGAAUAUUUUGUUUCUACUUAGUAGUGGUUUUGGCAAUAUAGACAAGUCUUGAGAGUUGAAAGAGUAAUCACAGCCGAGUCAAUGACCAGUCCAAAUCAGUUCCCUUCCUACUAGUUCAGGAAUGACAAGUCCAGCUUAUAUAUUUAGCCCAAAUAACUAAUCAAAUAGAAAGGCUGAGCUUAGAGGCAGUACACUACAAAAUAAGUACCCAAUGUCUUAGAGACAAACAAUCAUCACAAACUAGGAAAGACCGUCUCCCCAGUAACAAAUUCACCUUCUGAAGUUGGAGAACUUGCGAAAACUAGCCACCACAAAAUAGUAGCAAGUAUCUAAAUUAUUUCCAGAGAGAUCUAACUGCUUCAAUUCACACCAACUUGUAUAAUUUAUCUCUAAACAGUCAAAAUAGUGUUAAAAGAAUCUUUUAUUGAUGAUGUGAUUAUAUUUGUUAAUUUACCUUGAGCGGGUAAAGUGACAUAGAGGUCACAUUCACCAAUAGACAAAACUUGAAGAGCAGGCAAUGCUCCAAUGUUAUGGAAAAAGUUUAUUAGGAGAGAAGUACGAUCUAGAUACAAUUCUUCAAGGGUGCUAGAAUUGAAGAAAGUCCCUGUAAAAAAGAAACAAAAAGAAAAAAGAUAUGAUGAAAAUGGUGGUGGUACAUAAUAGGCAUUCCAUUCAAUAUUAUUAAUUAAGAUUUUAAGAAACUAAACUAUGAUUAACCUUGAUUUAAAUUAGUAUCCUUGAGAGAAAGGGUCUUCAGGGAUGGCAAUGACUGCAGGAAGUCCGGCUUCCUUAAACCUAUGAUGUGUACAAUUGAAAACAGGCAAUCAAGAAAGUAGUGAAAUUAAGUGCUAUCUUGAUUGAGUUUUUAAACCUAUGAUAAAGAACUGAUGUUGAAUAGUGAGAUGAAUUUUGGAUAGAAACAACAAAUUGCCUGAAAAAUCCAGAGAUUUCACAACUUUACCAUAGACAGUCGUCGAUCCUAGCAACAUAUCGCCUGAUAAAUUUAAAGACUUGAGAUAAGAAAAUCCACGCAGAUGUGAUAAAAUGUUGUCGUUGAAUAUAUUAUAGCUCAGGUCUAGAUUCUCGAGUUUCCUCAAAUGAUAUAUGAUCUCAAAACCUGCAAGAGAAACUAAAGAUAAUUAGAAUUGAUGAGAUGCUGUUGUUCAAUUGAUAUAUGAUUCUCAAAUUAUACAUACAUAUACACACACACACACACACACACACACAUAUAUAUAUAUAUAUAUAUAUAUAUAUAUAUAUAUAUAUAUAUAUAUAUAUAUAUAUAUAUAAUUGAUAUUUAUAAAAGCAUUAACUGUAGAGGAAUAUUUGGUACUUUGUUUCCCAAUAAAAAAUAGAUUUUUCUGCAAAGUAGCACCAAAAAAAAAACUGUUCAAAACUUAUAUAAGAAAUUAUACAGUUAGCGAGUCACAGAUGAUGAAUCUUAAAAAAAAUUGGCAAUAAUAACAGUACUCUAUUGCUAUUAAUUAACUUAAAUAUUCAAAACUUAAAAAUAGUUUUUAAAUUUAUCCAUGCCAAUUUAUCUUAAGAGAGUCGCAAUCUGUGACUAGUUAAAUUAUAUUGUUUCUGUAAAUAAAUUUUGAAUUGUGUUAUUUUUUGUUCUAGGUGCUAUUUUGCAAAAAAAAAAAAAACCUCCAAAUAAAAUAAUAAGAUUAACGUUUAAGUUGUCUAUUGUUCUUGGAUUUGUAGGUAUAACAACAGAAGAUAGCAAUCAAAAGCGAUGGUGACAUGGUAGAGCUUUGAGUUAUUGCUGUGUUCUAAUGAUGAAGAUGUAGGAAAACGAUCUCCCUUCUGCUGUCUGGAGCUGGGCUUCCUCUCCCUGUAAGAACAAUCAACAUCUUAUCUGCGUUGUUGUUAGUGGCCACUUCAUCGACCCAUUAGUGGGUGGAUUUUAAGCUUAAAAAGGAUUUUUUUUAUAAAAAAAAAAAGGGAAGAGAGAGGGGGGGCGCAUCAUCACGUGAAAGCAAGGAGCUUGCCACCCAUUAUAGAGUGUGGGGCACUCUUGCAUCUAAGAAUAAAUGAUCCUGAGGUUGUUCUGGUGAUGGGUAUUGGCCAUUACAUAAAGCUUCGACAAGCCCUUUUAGCUGCCUGUUAUUAGAAUUUGUAUAAUGAGCAUUCAAACUUAAACUUCUUUAAAUGGGAUGAAAACGAGUGAAAAUCAAGAAGUUGGAGGUGUUCAUCUCUAAUGCAUAGCUAAAGAUCCUUUGUAAGAAAAUACAGCUAAAGACAGUGUGUGUGUGUGUACCAGAGAAAUUGUCGAUAAUAGCCAUCAUUUUCUUUGUCUCUUGUGUCAUAUCUUCCAAAAAUCUUAAAGUAAUUGAUGAAAAAGUGGAUACACCUCUUUGUCUUCUUUAUAGCACUGCUGGCCACUGUGAGUUAAAGCAUUAAAAGGUCGUGAACGCGGAUGCUUGACGAGCGAGUGUUUACUUGUUAAUUUUUUUAGAAGGAAUCUGGAAAAGAAUAAAGUCAUCUAUUUCACUUUGGGACAACAUUCCUCACCUCUCCCCGCCCUCCCUCCCUCCCUCUUCCGCCUCUCGGAAACCGCCGCAUCCAAUAAGGCUUCAGAUUUCUGCCAGGUGCUUCCUUUUCUAUCAUGCUUUUGUUUUUAAAAUUUAUGGGUGUUUUCAUUUAUUUUAUUGUAAUUAUUAUUCAGAGACAGAAAUCCAUUUUAAUAAGUAAAUUAAAAAAAACAAAUAAGCGAUCCGAUGAAAUCUCUGCUAGUGAACGCAAUUCGAUUUUAAUAUGUAAAUUAAAAAAGUAUAUAAUCGGAUCCGAUGAAAUCGCUGCUCGUGAACGCAAUUCAAAGAAACGCACAAUCAGCCGAUUCUAAUAUUUUCUUUUUCAACCCCACCCUAAUUUACAUGAUAUUAUCCGAUUUUUCUCACAGUUAUUGUUGUAAUAAUCAAGCCCUGAAUUCUUGAACCCAAAUUUAUUUUAUUUUAUUUUUUAGUUUUAUUUUUAAGUGGAGAAUAGAAAUCAAUUCAAAUCUUUUAGGCUCGAUCGAUAAUUUGUUAAUUAGUUUAUGCAGCAGCUGGAGUGGAAGAGAUAUUACUGCCGGAAUGGCCGAAAAAUGAGCUGUUUGGUUGAUUCUUCUUUUUUGGAAUUUACUGAAUUCUUCAAAAUUAUUGUGUUUUUAACAACAAUACGAUAUCCUUGGGUUUCAUGCUCGCUCACACAUGGAAAAAAGAAAGAAAGAACAGAACUUUAAAUUUUAUAAUUUGGUCAAGUUAAUGCUCGUCGUUUUCUUCAUUUUCCUAGCUUAAAACAUCCUAGACAAUCUCUUUGGGAUGGGUUAUUGUUUGUGGCCUCUUCAUGUUCUAUUUGCUGGGGUAUUUAGAGUACUGCUGAUUGAAAAGCCUUGUUUUAUUGCACGUUAGAAAAGUUAAUACAUACAUAAAUAACAAGAACAGGGGCCGGGGGGGGGGGUGUUGGGGUUUGACGGUAUGUAUUUGCUUGCGAGUAAAAAUUGGUAAGCACUUGAAAAAGGUCCUGUGCUGAAUCUAAAUUGGUAAGAUGUUAUAUACUGAUAUCUAGAAAGAUAACUUAAUCUAUCUAUUGAAGUAAAGCAUUUAAAUACGUAUACAAUGUUUUUGGAAUAUUAAAUAUCUAUUUGAUCAGAAUCUGUGAACCUCUAAAACCACAAUGAAUACAAAUGCAAGUUUGUCAUUGUAAACAUUGCAUCGAUGAUGUAUCACAAGUGUUGCUAGAAAACAUCAAGUUAAAAUUGAAGCACCAUGAGUUUCUCUAUGGCUUGGUUUACCAACACUCACCAUCUGUUGGUGCGGCAAGUUAUGAACUAGCUGGCUAGUUUUUUGCUUCCUUGGUUUUAGAAGCACCAUGAAGAUUCAGGUCCAAAUCUUGCUUAUAAUACCCGAAUACCCAAGAUCCUAGCACCUUGCCUUGAAUGGUCGUGUAUAUUUGUUAUGGCUGUUCAGAUUUUAUGCAUCCAUAUUUGGGAGAAUUCUUUAAUAAAGUACAUGCUAUUAGAUGGAAGUUCUCUUUAAAUCUAUUCAAGUCUGAAUAAACUGAUAUUCCAAUUUUCAUGACUUUGAUGUGCUCUUACUCUUCUGCUGUUCCUGACUUUCUUUUUAAGGUCUAUUCUAACGUGCAAUAUUAUUUAUUUAUUUAUUUAUUGUCAUGAUAGAAGUGAUUUUUUUUGGUUGGCCAAAACCCCUUGGAUGCCAAUAAUUGGAGGUCCACUGCCCCAGGCGGAGAACAUGUCAUUGACACGGGUGAUUGGAGAAUUCAAUUGCAGCCUGACUCACGGAAAAGAAUAGUCGACAAAAUGUAAGUACGUGUUUCCUAAUAUGUGCAAGUGCUGCAAAAUAGUAAAUUUUUUAUUUAUAUGAAAGAAAAGUAGAAGGGCAAAAGGUUAAUUAAAAUUAGCUGGACUGCCAUGAGGCAACCUCAAGUAUCACACACCUCUUUUUUUUGUUUUUCAUCUUUUCGCUUGUUUCUCACAAGAAGCAAACUUGAGGGAACGUAAAGUGCUGGGAAGUGAUUUUUGUUGGAACUUCUUGUGUAACAUCUUCUUUUGACGAUGACCUCUUGGAUGGCUGCAUGAAGCUUGUUCCGCUUUAAAUUUCAAGGUUAAUCUAUUGCUAUGAGCAUUGGUGUUUCAAUUUCAACCUUGAGUUGCAACUGAACUUAAAUGAAUAGUGUUGGAUUUGGGCCUUCUAUUUGCUUUAACUUCUACAGGAUUGAAAUGAUAGUGAUCUUAAAGUAGAAAAGCAGCAGACAAAAAUCAAUUAGCCACAAUAGUGUAUGGUUUCCUAGUUUCUCAGUAUAAAGUUGAAUGUUUUGGUGAUAUCUCCACAUCCAAAAUCAUAUAGACAGCUACUGUUGGCACUUGCAGUAGCCAAUGAGCACUGUAGAGUAUAUAUAUUGCAGCGUGAGAUAAGGUUAACUCAUUGCAUUUUCAUAAAUUAAAGGGAUUUCUCUUCUUUUCUUUGUCAAUUACAGUGCAUGUAUAAAAGUUUUCUACAGUGCACUGUAGAGUAAAUGCUAUUGUAAUGUUUUCACAGAGUUCCCCUGGUUUGCAACUAAUGCACUUAUAUAUCUUGGAGCAUAGCCAUAGCCAUAAAUGAAAGGUUCUUCUGGUUCAAGAAAAUUAACCAUGAAGCUCGUAACUAGAAUUUUAGACAGAAGGUUGGCCAAGUAAACUCUUACCUCUGGAAUAAUACGGGGAAACGAAGUAAAAAUAGAUGUCUGUAUUUUGAUGCCAUUUAUUACUUUACUAACACUCGGCUAUAUCAUUAUUUGUUUUUACUUUUUGCUAAUGAUUUUGUUGUAUACAUUUCUGAUAUUAGUGUGGUGUAUGAGUUCACAGUUUUUUCUCACUACUGCUAACUUCUCUAUACCUGCCUUGUCAUUAAAAAUUAAAUGCAAUGUUUUACAUGUGCAGAAUGGAGACAUUAAAGAGGCAUCUUCCGUUUUCUGGUCAGGAGGGAUUACAAGAACUCAAGAAAAUUGCCGUACGGUUUGAGGAAAAGAUUUAUACUGCCGCCACCAAUCAGGUAUUCGGCUAAUGCUAGGUUCAAUAAUUUUGAUAUUCUCUGGACAUGAAUAUACACAUGCAUAAGUUUGUGGAUUUAUGCAUGUACACGUGUGUGUAGUGUGUCCACACUUCCUCACUGGUCAUUCUGUAGAAGUUCUUAUCUUUCCGUUAAUUCUCUUGACAAGUGUUUUAUUUAGAGUGACCAAGGUCCUUUUCAAGUACAAGGGAAGUGUGCAAAAAGCAAAUAACGAAUCAAUACAUAAAUAAUUAAAUAAAAAGAGGAGACACAGAAGUAUAUCCUCACAGAAGAUGCAAAUACAGAAAGCCUAGCAUAUUAGAAAGAGCAUAUAUCUCUUUUCCCCCUUCUCUUGUAACAUGGACUGCUCAGAGAUCUAAUGUUUUGUUAUUGAUAUCUGAUUUCAGUCUGAUUAUCUGCGUAAAAUAUCUCUGAAGAUGCUUACAAUGGAGACCAAGUCUCAAAAUACCAUACCCACUGGCAAUGGUAACAAACCCCUGGAUCCAGGAGGUAAUAAUGCAGCCAAGCAUUGAAUUUCUAAACAUCCUUACCUUUUGUUUUAUAUUUUGCAUUAUUAUCAAACUCUUUUACAUUUUAUUGCUGCAUCCUUACUCUUUUACCAUUAGGGAAAUAAUUUCUAAAAAUUACAGAUUAUUUUUGCCCCCCCCCCCCCCCCCCCCCCCCCGCCAGCCCCAAAAUUGUCAAAUGGCACUUUUAUGCUUUGAGUCAAAACCACCUUAAUUAUUUCCCUCAUAACUUUAUGUGUGAACUGUCAUUGUUUCAUUUGUUUUUCUUGUUCAAUGCCUUCUUUUUUUCCUUUGACAUGGUUAUCCUUUUUGCCUUUUAUCUUGAACAGCAUCUCAUAGUAUGCCGCCUCAAGUUCACAACCAAGGGCAGUCGCUCCCUAUCUCAUUGUCCAGUAAUCAGCCUCAAGCACGUCAGCAGUUAUCACAAAACAUGCAGAAUAGUAUGUCAUCUAAUGGAGUUCAAAGUUCUGCUGGUUUACAAUCAGCAAUGCCUUCUGUCUCCAGUUUAACCCAGACUAUCGCAAACACUGUUGGACAGAAUGCUAACAUGCAGAGUAUCUCUGGUGUUUCACAGAACCCAGUUGGGAAUUUAAUGGGACAAGGGAUUCCCUCCAAUAUGUUUGUCAAUUCUCAGAGACAAAUGCCAGGCAGGCAACAGGUUGUUCCUCCACAGCAACAGCAGCAGUCCCAAAAUCCUCAGCAGUAUCUUUAUCAGCAGCAGAUACAACAACAGCUUUUAAAGCAGAAGCUUCAACAGGGAAAUCAUCCACACUCACUUGUGCAAUCUCACAUCCACCACCAGCAGCAGCAGCAAAACUUGUUACAGCCAAAUCAGUUGCAAUCUGGUUUGCAAACAUCAACUGUUAUGCAGCCUUCAAUGAUGCAAACCGUCUCUGGCCUUCAACAGAACCAACCAUCUUCUGUUCAACAGUCAACACAACCAAUGCACCAGCAACAUCCACAAUCAGUCCUUAGGCAGCAGCAGCAACAACCUCAACAGUCUGCUGGUAUUCAUCAGCAGCAAACACCAAUGAUGCAGCAGCCACUAUUGCCUCCACAACAGCAGCUAAUGGGGCAACAAUCAAAUACCACUAACAUGUCGCAAAAUCAGUUAAUUGGACAGCAAAACAUUGUUGGGGACUUGCAGCAGCAGCAGCAGAGAUUGCUAGGGCAGCAGAAUAACCUUCAAAAUCUGCAGCAGCAGCAGCAGCAGUUAAUGGCUCAACAAAAUAACCUCUCAAGUAUGCAUCAGCAACAGUUGGGCCCUCAAAGUAAUGUCACUGGUUUACAGCAACAGCAGUUGCUUGGAGCUCAGCCUGGUAACUCAAGCAUGCAAUCUAAUCAGCACUCUCUACACAUGCUGCAACAGCCCAAGGUUACGCUGCAGCAGCAAGCACAACAAAGUGGAAGUGCUUUGUUGCCGAAUCAAGGGCAGCAGUCACACUCACAGCUGCCACAGCAGCAAUUGAUGGCACAGAUUCAAUCACAGCCUGGACAGCUGCAACAGCAAUCAAAUCCAUUACAACGUGAUCUGCAGCAAAGGCUUCAAGCAUCAGGCUCCUUGCUUCAACAGCCGAAUGUGAUUGAUCAGCAAAAGCAGUUAUAUCAACCUCAAAGAGCCCUUCCAGAAACGUCCUCAAGUAAGUUUUUGUCAUCCUUGCAGCUUUCUAGCCUUGCUCCAACUUUAAUUUUGCAGCUUUGUGCUUUCAUGUUAGAUUAUAACAUAUUUAUUUAAAUUUCUUGAAAAUACAAUAAUGGUUCAAGUCAGUAAUGCUCUUUUUGGUAGCUUUAUGAGCUACGGCUGCCACUUAUGGCAUCAGAAAUGCCACUGCUAUUGGAGCCAUUGUAAUCACACAUACAUUUGUUACGACAUCAUGCCAUCCAGUGCAUUGCACCAACUAUUCACCUCUCAUAAUGGUUCAAGUCAGCAAUGCUCUUUUGGUAGCUUUAUGUUCUACUGAUGCCACUGCUAUUGAAACCAUUGCAAUCACACUCGUUUGUUACCACAUCAUGCCCUCCAGCUCAUCGCACCAAUUGUUCACCUCUCAUUUUGAAUUUAACAGACAUGAAUUUUAAAAAUAUAUGUAUAACUGGACAAUGCAUUUGACACUAGGGUAACUAAUCAUCAGCCAAUUGAUUUUUAUGGGAAGAAAGAAAUUAGCAAGUGGACUAACUCUGAGGCACUUAAGGUUUGGUGUGCUGAUAAAUCAUUGAGCCUUUUUUUUUAAUAUAUAAUGAUCACUUGUUGGGGGGGGGGGGGGGGGGGAAGCAUUUUAAAGGGUCUCUCUGUCUAUUUGAAUGAUUACAUAACGUUGAGAUGGAGUUCCUAGUACUCCAAGUCCAAAAAGGACUUGUAUUCCUAUGUAAGAAAAUACCAAUGGUCCUAUCUGGGAUAGGGAAAACCUAUUAAAGCUCCUUAUUCUUUAGGAACAAUAAAAUACUAAAUAGAAAUAAAACCAAGACCUACAAUAUUCCAUAAUUUUCAGCAAGUGUGAAAAUUACAGAAAUACCCUUGUGUGCAGAAAACAUUCAUAAAAUACAUGAAUUCUAAUCUUUUGUUGGCUGUAUCAAAAUUUUUGUAGCAUCCCUAGAUUCUACAGCAGAGAUUGGACAUGCAAAUGGUGCUGAUUGGCAAGAGGAGAUCUACCAAAAGGUAAUUUCUGUAGUUUACUGUUCAUUAGAUGAAGUUCAUGUAUGUCAUUGUCUUGCAAGAUUUCAAUGGAAAAGGUCUCCUGGAAUUUGGUACAAGGGAGUUUUAUUCAGCUAUGGUUGUGAUUAGUUAGGAAGCAUUGUAAGUUCCAUGAUUGCAGCAACUAAGAAACGAUAAAUUACUGAUAAGAUGAUUAAAGGUAAAUAAUCAGAUUUCUAGGUCAAGAGGGUUAUUUUCUUGGUACUGACACGACAAUUUUUUCUAUUGCAAAUCUCUCCCUUUCAAUUUUUUCCCUGUAUUUCCAUACAUUUAUUGUGUGGUGAAUUAUUAUUUUAUUAUUUCCAAUAAGUCCAAUUGACAAUACUUCUUACUGUAAUAGACAGACUUGAAAACAAGAGUGAACUGUUUCUGAAUAGUCAUCGUUAUAUUUGGUUAAGUGAACAGUUAUUUUCAGGAUUACAAUCAAAUUUGUUCUGAAACAUGUGACAAUGGAAGAAAGGAAAAUAAGUGGACCUAAUCCAUUGAAUCAUGACCAUGUCCAGUAUUGUUGAAUUUUAUAGAAAACGAGGUUGAAAUUCUGAAUCGUUUAAUGGCUGUAGUUGCAAUUCAUAACUGCAUAUUUGAUGAGGUCAAUUUUUUUGUGCCUGGGAGGGUACUAAAACGGGAAUAGGAGUGGUUGUUGAUAAUUAGGAUAUAAGGGUUAUAAAUCUAAAGUUAUAAGGCUAAGAAGUGUUUACCAAAGUCGUGACAUCCAUUGACUUGAGUUAGAACAAUAGAAAACAAUGGUGAGUAGUUUGCCGUGAGACAAAGUAACUGAACUUGACCAACCCCUGAAUCUUGUCUGAAGGGGUAACUACACAAUCCUUUGCAUGCAAUCAAUAACGAUAUUCUCUUUUGAGUUUUCGGCAUUGAUUCCACUUUGCUAUUUUUAUCUCAAACAAUAUAUGCUGUCCUCUGCCAUUUUAUUUAUUUAUUUAUUUAUCAAUUCUCUCAAGUUUGCUUAUGUUUCUUUCUGACUCUGGCACGUGAAGAAAUCAAGCAUAUGAUUGAUAAUGUCUUGCUGGUUAUAUGUACUUCCUAGAUCAAAGUUAUGAAGGAAACGUAUUUGCCUGAAAUAAAUGAAAUGUACCAGAGAAUUGCUACCAAGUUACAGCAGGUAAAUUGUCUUUGUAAUUUUUUCCGAUUUAUUUGCCCACACAUAUUCAUAAACCCCCACAGUUGAGCUUUUGUAUUAAUUUGUUUUCCCCAUCAGCAUUGCUUGUCACUGUAUCAUCUGCACUAAUUACCUCCCCCACCCCCAACCACCCCACAACCAUGCAUUGACACAGAAGAAUUGGAAUAGAAACAUUUUUUUCACUUAUGUUUUACUAGUUUUGCUAGAAAGGAUCAAUGCAAUUUUUAAUUCUCGUGUAUGUUAACUUUGCUUUCCAGCAUGACCCUCUUCCGCAACAACCGAAGUCAGAACAGCUUGAAAAGCUGAAGGUAUUCAAGGUCAUGUUGGAGCGCUUGAUAACAUUCUUACAGGUCUCUAAAAACAACAUCACACCUAAUUUCAAGGAGAAAUUGGGUUUCUAUGAGAAGCAGAUUGUAGGUUUUCUAAACCCAAGCAGAUACAGGAAGCCUAUUCCUAAUCUACAGCAAGGACAACCUCCCCAACCUCGUAUUCAACCUAUGCAGCAACCCCAAUCUCAAGUUCCUCAAUUGCAGUCCCAUGAAAAUCAACUGAUUCCCCAGUUGCAAUCAAUGAAUACGCAAGGUUCUGUACCACAGAUGCAGCAGAACAAUAUGUCAAGCUUGCUGCAUAAUUCCCUUUCAACUUUAUCUGGGGAUUCGACGUCACAAUCAAACAUGAUGAAUCCAAUACAACCAGGCUCCAAUUUAGAUUCUGGACAAGGAAAUGCACUGAGCUCAUUGCAGCAGACACCUGUAGGAUCUGUACAACAGAAUCUCGUGAGCAUUUCCCAACCAACCAAAGUUAACACAUUGUCAACACAAAGUGGGGGGAGUAUGCUGCAGCCAAAUAUUCCCCUUCAGUCGAAUUCCAAUAUGAUUCAACACCAGCAUCUAAAACAGCAGCAGCAGCAGCAGCAUGAACAACAGAUGCUACAAACACAACAGCUUAAACGAUUCCAGCAACACCAGAAUUUAAUGCAGAAUCAACAGAUGCAGCAGCAGCAAUUACACCAGCAAGCUCCGUCUCCUAUGCCAGGAGAUUCUGACAAACCAGUUUCUGGUAUUUCCUCACUCUUAGAUACUGGAAAUAUUGUACACCAACCAUCUGUUGCACAAGCACUGGCUCCAUCCCUUGCAAUUGGCACUCCUGGGAUAUCUGCAUCACCUUUGCUUGCAGAGUUUACCAGUCCUGAUGGUGCUCAUGGCGGUGCUUUGACAACUGUUUCUGGCAAGUCAAAUGUUACAGAGCAAUCACUUGAGUGCUUGAUUAAAGCGGUUAGUGAUGCUCUCCUUUUGGUUUUACUCCACCCCACCCUUAUUUUGGAGGUUUCUGAAAAAGAAAGAAACUUCUUUGUGAAUGAGAUGGUGAUGCUGCAAUUUUUUUUCCCAGGUGAAAUCUCUGUCUCCCAAAGCACUUAGUGCAUCUGUCGGUGACAUUGGCUCCGUUGUCAGUAUGAUUGACAGAAUUGCUGGUUCUGCAGCUGGUAAUGGAUCUAGAGCUGCAGCUGGUGAGGAUUUGGUAGCAAUGACAGGAUGUCAUCUUCUUUCGUUUUUGUCUUUUUUAUUUUUCACGUGUUUCUCACAAGAUGGGAACUCGAGGGAAUAAAAAGUGCUGGGAAGUAAUUUUUGUUGGAACGUCUUGUGUAACAUCUUCUUUCGAUGAUGACCUUUUGGAUGGCUGCAUGAAGCUUGUUCCGCUUUAAAUUUCAAGGUUAAUCUAUUUCAAUUUGAAACUUGAGUUGCAACUGAACUUAAAUGAAAAGUGUUGGAUUUGGGCCUCUAUUUGUUUUAACUUGUACAGGGUUGAAGUGAUAGUGAUCUUAAAAGUACAAAAGCAGCAGACAAAAAUCAAUUAGCCACAAUAUAUAGUGUAUGGUUUCCUACUUUCUCAGUAUAAAGUUGAAUGUUUUGGUGAUAUAAUCUCUACAUCCAAAAUCAUAUAGACAGCUACUGCUGGCACUUGCAGUAGCCAAUGUUAACCAAAAUCAUAUAAUCUUAAAGUUGAAUGUUGUAUUUUCAUAAAUUAAAGGGAUUUCUCUUCUUUUCUUUGUCAAUUACAGUGCAUCAUAAUAAGUUUUCUUACUCAGUAAAUGCUAUUGUAAUUUUUUCACAGAGACUCCCCUGUUUUGCAACUAAUUCACUUCUGAAUAAAUCUGGGAAACAGAAAGGCAAUCAACAAAGAGUAAGGCAUCUUCUGAAGAAACAAAGAAAUUUAAUACCAUAAACUAAGCAGCACGUAGAAGGCAAAAACUGAGCACAAAUUUUCAGGAAGGGACAAACGAAAAAAACCAAAAAGAAAGCAAAGAAAAAUACAGACUCAAAUUCACAACACCCAUUUUCUUUCCAUUGGAACACUUUAAAUAGUUUAUUAAAUUUAUAAUGAUCUGAUUUCUACGCAUAUAAAAAAAUCAACUAAAUGAUCAAUUCUCUAUAAUUUCGGCAUUACUAAAAACAUCCAAACUAAUAAACAAUUAGUUAUUUUACUCAUUUUAAUAAACAUUUUAGUUAUGAAUUCACCAAACAUUUUGAACAAUUCAUAUUGAUGAAUUAACAUUUAAAUUUUAGAUUUUUUGAUUUAUUAUUUCCUUCGUGAGUUACUUCUAAAGUAUGCUAUAUAUCUUUAAGCAUUUUUAUAGAAUAUAAUUCUAUCAAAUUCACUUUUACCCAAUGCAUAAUAUAAAGUAUUCAUGGCUUUAACAUCCAUAAAAAAUAACUUUUUAUCAUUGUCCGUAUAUUCCCUUUUAGUUUUAGAAAUCUCAAUACCAUUUUUAAUUUGAUAGGUCUAGGAGAUCUAUUUUGUAUGGAUAGCCACAAAUUAAAAUCAAUAAAUUGAUAAUAAAUUAUCAUUAAACAAUUUAUUACUUGCUCUUUGGUAAUAAGAAUGUGAUUGUAAUAUUAUUUUGUAUGGAUAGUUUUAUCUAUCUAUUAUCUCAAUAACAAGAUUAACUUUGCAAUUAUAUAUCACACUUAUAUAAUCUCAAAUAAUAUUAAUUAAAAUGAAUCACAAAAAUUUAACACAGUAAUUCUGCAAAAAAAAUAAAAACAAUUUAAUAAACAAUUUAACUUUGCAAUUAUGUUUUUAUUUGUUUGUUUUUCUAUGAGACACAAUGGAAUUUUCAAUAGAAACUACAACAAUACAAAUAAUUACAAAUAUUUUUCUUUCAACAUCAACAUAAAAAAACAUUAUGCACUUUUCGAUACUUACGUAAUUCUAGGAUUAAAGAAACAAUAACAUCUAAGGGGGGUGAAUUGGGUGUUGCACUAAUUAUAUCAAAUAAUGGUGUUGCACUAAUUAUAUCAAAUAAUGCAAUAAUUAACAAUAUAAUUAAAGUGUUUAAAGUAAAUAGAUAAGGAAAUAGAUAUUACAAACUCGGUUUUUAAUGUGAUUCGGUAAGCCUACAUCUACACCUCAAGUACUAACCGUACUUGAGUAUUGUACUCUUUUACCAAUCCAAGUGAAAUAUACAAAUGCCCUUGAUAAAUCCACACCGAGAAAUUAUACCACUUGAAGUUUUUUCUCUUGGUGACAAUACAUCACUAAUGCUAGGAGUUUAUCCAAACUCACAAAUGUUUACAAUUAUAAUUUGUUUGCAACAAGAUUCACUCUCUCAUAAAGUAAAUUGUACAAUUGAAAACUAUAAUCUUUAUAACUCACUCGAUAGCACUCAAGAUGAUUGAAAGUGUGUAAAUAUAAUGAGUGUGAGACAUUAUACUCAUGUGUUAGAAUAUAAAGAUUUAAUUUAGCACAACUUAAAAGCAUGUUAUGAUUGAUGAUUUCUAAUUGAUUUUUUUUUAAAAUAACUUCUAUGUUAUAUAUGUUUGGAAUCUCUCUUUUAUUUGUUAUAUAUAUAUAUAUAAACUAAUUGUUUAUAGUUGUUGAGAUGUCUCUAACAGCUAAAGUAAUCUAUAUGCAACUUAAACAAAAGAAUUCCAAUUAAAUGGAAUUGCACUUAACAUGUAUUAUUUCAAAUGCAACAAUUGCAUAGAUAACAGACAACAAGGAAUUUAACAGAAGAUAUAUACACUUUACUUUUCCUACUAAAAUUAAACUAUUGGAAUUUAACAUAGUCAUAAUCAAUUUGUUCUUGUGAGAUUAUCUAUUACAUGUAUAACAAAUAUAUUAGAAAAUAAAUUGUUUUAAGAUUGUUAGAACACCUUAAAUAGUUCAUAAAAUUAUUGUUCCAUUUUACUAUAAUAAUCAAGUUUCCACAUAAUAUAAAUCAUGCAUAUAAAUUAAUAAUCAAAAUAAAAAUUAAAUUAAGAUAACAAUCAAUUUUUUAACUUUAAAAUAAUUUAUCAUCUAUUUUCUAAUACUAAUAGUAUGAUUGUAAUAUUAUUUUUUAAUUUAUUUAAUAAUUUAAUUUUGAUAGCACAACCAAAAAUAAAUAAUGAACCAAAAUUUAUAUGAUAUUUUUUAUAAAAAAUUUGAUAAAAAAAAUAUAAAAACAAAAAUAAUGUCUCAAUUAGAAUAAUUUUUUCAUUAAUGAGAAGGCCCACCACAGACCAAGAGGACAGCUUCAAUGAAGCCAAUGCAGGUGAUUACCCGUCGGCUAACAUCUCCUCGCGCGCCUAGCACCAGCUAAACCGCCUCAAUCUGAACAUGCACCAGACAAAGUCUAUGAAAAGACGCCAGGGAGCCUCAGCAGCCGAGAAGAAAGCACGGGAACACCCACCGCGCGAGAAGAAACGCGAAAAACAGGAGACGGAGCGCGGUAAAGACUGAAGCCACAGGAUUCACAUACAGUGAAGCACUCUUAGUUUUAUAUAUAUAUAAUUCUUUUAGUUUGUUAGUUAUGAACAGUGAAGCAGCACAAGAAUACAAUUCUCCUGUUUGUUUGCUGGAAAAUAGUUUUUUUUAGAAAGUGAAUUAUUUUCCGAUGUUUGGUAGUGUAAUGGAAAAUAAGUUAGAAAACAUUUUUCAGUGUUUGGUUAUGUCAUGGAAAAUGAGUUGGAAAAUAACUUAUUAAUAUUUUAUUUUUUUCAAUUUUAUUAAAAUAAUAAAGAAUAAAUCUUACAAAUUAAAAAGUUGAAUGAAAAUAAAAUUGAAAAAAAAUAUAAUUUCAUAAAUUAUCUUAAAUAAAAUAAAUAAUAAUCAAAAUAAUAAAAAUCAAAUCUAAAAAAUAAAAAAUUUGAUCGCUUCAUUAAUUUCUCGUUAGGAAAAUGUUGAGCUUCUCAGCAAUAUUUCCUUACCUUGUGCCGCUAACUUGACGGUAAAAUGUGAUUAAAGGAUCAAUUAAUUAUUUAAAUCAACUUGAGGGAUUAAUCUGUUUGUUUAACAAAAAUACAGACACUAGUUAAAUAGAAUUUAACUCAAAUUUUAAUCAUCAUAUGCGUGCGUGUGCGUGUGCGCACGCGUGCGAGCGAGGGUUUACUCGUUAAUUUUUUUAGAAGGAAUCUGGAAAAGAAUAAAGUCAUCUAUUUCACUUUGGUCCAACAUCCCUCAAAGGCGCAGCUGUGCAUCUAGUUAGGAAGAACAUUUUAUAACUCACCUCAAGGUCGAGCAUGGUCAGGGUUAUUGUGUUGUCUAUUCCGAGGAAGAUGUGGCGUUCAAUCCAUGUGAAUCGCACGACUUGUCCAUAUCUUUCUUAUUGAUUACAAAUAGCAUUGAGAAUUAAAGAAUAUUAUCUUAAUAAGUUCCAAUUUAUUCUACAAAACUAUAUAUAAAGAUGUGACAAAAAGAUGUAUACAAAUUAGUUAUUUAUUGUUUGUAAGUAUUAUUGUAUUGCAAAGACAAAAAUAAGAUGCAACUUAUGGCGUGGUCGUCCAACCUGGUUCUGGUUUUGAUCCUGUUCAAAAUCUAUUUUGUUGAAUUGUUGAUCUACUUGUGAGUUAUUGGGUUAACUAGAUCAAUUUUUUAAACAAAACAAUGCCAUUUUAAAAAAAAAAUUGGUUCUGACAUAGAAAUAUAAUAUUAGAAACUUAAACCUUAUUGAUUAGCAAAAACUCAAUGGGAAAUUUAGUUUUGAAAUAGAUUGUUGUAAAAUCAAAUAUGAAUUGAUAACCAGAAAGUUUGCUUAAAAUUGCAAUAACCUUAUAGAAGAAAGCAAACAUAAAUAGAAUUAUUAAAUUCAAUGGAGUUCAUAUAACCAGGAUCACGAGUUUAGCGAGUUAAGCCAUGAAACCCUAAUCGAUCAAAUAUGUCGCCGUUUCAAUUAAAAAAAAUACAUCUUAAAAAGAAUUAAGCUAAACCACGUUUCUACCUAUUAUCUGGGUUGUCUUUAGACUUGUCAAGUCGACUGAGCCAUAUUAGGACAACUUCCAUAUAAUUAAAUUUGAAACUCGAGCUAGAUAAGAAAUCAGGUCAGGAAAUUUUAAUAUUGAUUUGUUGAAUCGGAUUUAAUAACAAUGCCAAAGAUCUGAAUAUUUAUUUUUUACUCAAUUUUUUUUAGGUCCUGUUUGUUUGAUGGAAACAGUUUUUUUUUAGAAAGUGAAUUCCUGUAAAGUGAAUUAUUUUCUGAUGUUUGGUAGUGUGAUGGAAAAUAAAUUAGAAAAUAUUUUCCAGUGUUUGGUUAUGUUAUGAAAAAUGAGUUGAAAAAUAGCUUAUUAAUAUUUUAUUUUUUUUCAAGUUUAUUAAAAAAACGAGGAAUAAAUCUUACAAAUUAAAAAGUUGAAUGAGAAUGAAAUUGAAAAAAAUAAUCUAAUUUUAUAAAUUAUUUCAAAUAAAAUAAAUAAUAAUCAAAAUAAUAGAGAUCAAAUCUAACAAAUAAAAAAAUUGAAAGAUGAUGAAAUUAAAAUAAUAAUAAUUACAAUUUCAUAAAUUAUUUCAAAUAAAAUAAAUAACAAUUAAAAGAAUAAGGACCAAAUUUGAUAGAUAAAAAAUUUCAAUUAAAAAAAUGAUAAGACAAAAGCAAAUAACAAUCAUAAAAAUAAGGACCACAGUUAAUAUAAAAAUCAAAUUAAAUCAAAUUUUAAGGAAGGAAAUUAAAAAAAAAGAUUCAAACAAAAUAUAUAUCAAUUAAAAGUUUGAAGACUAAAUUUGAUAUAAUCAGCAAAUAAUAUGAUAUUUCUAAAUUUUUCACAACUUCUGGAAAAUGUUUUCCGUCCAAAAUAAAAGGAAAAUACUUUCCUGAAAAUCGAGUUAAAUUUUUCUUUGACUGUAAAGUGUUUUCCAUUGACCAACUUUUUUAAUGACAAACAAACACAUGAAUGUUUGGAAAGUGGUUUCUAGAAAAUUAUUUUCCAGGCAAACAAACACCCCCUUAAUUCAAUCACUAAAGAGUUAUCCAAGAAUAAUUAUUCUCCACUAGCAGUUGUUGCAUACUAAAUUUUUUUUGUCAAAACAUACAUGAUAGGUGGCUUCAAUAUCAAUCCACCAUUUUUUAGGAUUUUCCAUGAAGUUUACUUCUAAUAUAACUACAACAAGCUUAGUAGCUUUCUCAUCAACAUUCUCAAUCAUAUGCUAAGAAAUCAUGGUUUUGUUGAGCUUUGUUAUCAUCAUAGGCUUGAUGAUGGAAGGAUUAUUGCUUCAUCAUGCUUUAUAUUUAAGUUCACGCCACUCAAAUUAUUUUGGUUUUUUCCCCACAUGAAGAAUGUUUAGGAAUCGGGUUUGCCAUCUAAACCACAAAGAUUACUAGGUUAACAAGUACAUCGAAAUCAUUAACAAUAGUUUUAUCCAUCUAUUAUCUCAAUAAUAAAAUUAACUUUGCAAUUAUAUAUCACGCUUAUAUAAUCUCAAAUAAUAUUAAUUAAAAUGAAUCACAAAAAUUUAACACACUAAUUGUGCAAAAAAACAAUUUAAUAAACAAUUUAACUUUGCAAUUGUGUAUUUAUUUAUUUGUUUUUCUAUAAGACACAAUGUAAUUUUCAAUAGAAACUAUAACAAUACAAAUAAUUAUAAAUAUUUGUCUUUUGACAUCAACAUAAGAAAACAUUAUGCACUUUUUUAAAGUUACGAUAAAAACAAAUCUGAUUGAUACUUAUGAUAUUCUAGGAUUAAAGCAAUAAUAACAUCUAAUAGAGAUAAAUUAGGUGUCAAACUAAUUAUGUCAAAUAAUACAAAUAAACAUGCUAAACACAUAUAAUAUAAUAAUCAACAAUAUAAUUAAAAUGCUUAAAAUAAAUAGAUAAGAAAAGAGAGAUUACAAACUCGGUUUUUAACAUGGUUCAGUAAGUCUACAACCACAUCUCAAGUACUAAUCGUAAUUGAGUAUUGUAUUCUUUUACUAACCAAUAAUAUAUUAUUUCACCAGUAAUUAUUAUCCAAUAUGCAACUUUUUUUUCCAAUCUUCUGUUUUUUUUUUCCAUAUCAAUCCAACAAUAAAGAAAAUAACAUGUAACAUAAAAUUUCUUUCCCCGUAGAAUCAAUGCAACAAGUAUACAGAUACCACACAACAAACAAUUUAACAAGUCAUGUAAUUUAACAGAAGAUAUAUUUACUUUGCUUUUCCUACUAAAUUUAAACAACUUUUUUGUAAUCUAUGUCAACAUAUAAAACAUAUAUAUAAAUCAAUAAAAAAAAUAAAAAAUAGGUAGAGGUAAUGAUUAAUUUUUUAGCUUUAAAAUUUUUUAUCAUCGCCUCUUUAUGCUAGUAAUGUAAUUGCAAUAUUAUUUUAAAUUAAUUUAAUAUUUUAUUUUUGAUAACAUAACCAAAAAUAAACAGCGAACCAGAAUUUAUAUAGAGUUUCCUAUAAAAAUUUUGAUAAAAAAAAAUAUAAUAGAAAUAAGUUUAUAAAAACAAAAACAAUGUCUCAGUUAGAAUAAUUUUUUCAUUAAUGAGAAGGCCUGCCACAGACCAAGAGGAGAGCUUCAAUGAAGCCAUCCCAGCCGAUGCAGGUGAUUACUCAUCGGCUGACAUCUCCUCGCAUGCCUAGCACCAGCCAAACCGCCUCAAUCUGACAUGCACCAGACAAAGUCGAUGAAAAGACGCCAGGGAGCCUCAGCAGGCGAGAAGAAAGCGCGGGAACACCCACCGCGCGAGAAGAAACACGAAAAACAGAGACGGAGCGCGGUAAAGAUUGUGAAGCCACAGGAUUCACACAUAGUGCACCGUGUUUUAAUGAGUUAUAUGUAUAUAUAUAUAUAUAAUUAUUUUAGUUUAGUUUUAGUUUGUUAGUUAUGAACAGUGAAGCAGCACCAGAAUACAAUUCUUUUAGUUUGUUAGCGAAUUUGGAAAGAAUAAAGUCAUCUGUCAAGCUCUGUUCACUUUGGUCCGACAUUCUUCACCUCUCCCCACCUGAGCUCUCUCUCUUUCCCUCCUCCGCUCUAGGAAGCCGCCACCACCUCAACCAAUAAGGCUUCAAAUCUCCACCAGGUGCUUCCUUUUCUAUCAUGUUUUUUAUUUUUAAAAUUUACAUCUGUGUUUUCAUUUAUUUAACUGAAAUUCUUAUCCAGAGAGAUAAAUUCGAUUUUAAUAAGUAAAUUAAAAAGAUAUAUAAUCGGAUCGAUGAAAUCGUUGUUCGUGAACGCAACUCGAAGAAAGGCGUAAUCAGCCGAUUCUACUGUGGGUGGAGCAUUUAGUAUGGUCAGGGUUAUUGUGUUGUUUAUUCAAAGAAAGACAUGCCUGUAAAUUUGUUAAGUUGAUUCUUAUCAGUCUGCUCUUUAGAGUUAAUGAUAACAUGAAAUAUUCAUUGUUAAUGCUCGUUGUUUUCUUCGUCUUUUUCCUAGACUAAAACAUCCUAGACAGUCUCUUUGGGAUGGGUUAGUGUUUCUGGCCUCUUCAUCUUCAAUUUGUGCUGUGGUGAAAGGCCUCGUUUUAUGACUUUGUUUUGUAUUCUUCUUAUUUCUUUAUUCUUUUGGGGAUGUGGUGUUUUCCUCUUUCUAUUACACUAUUUACUCCCUACAAUAUUUAUUUUUUCAGAGAAGUAAAUAUAUGCAUAAAUAACAAAAACAGGAGGGGAAGGGGAAUGGGGUUUGAUAGUAAGUAUUUGCUUAGAAGGGAAUGCUUCUUCGGUUUAGAAGCACCAUGAAGAUUCUUUGCUUUGAAUGGCCGAAUACCCAGGAUCCUAGCACCUAGGCCUGAAUGUUUGUGUAUAUUUGUUAUGCAUCCAUAUUUGGCUGAAUUCUUUAAUAAAGUACAUGAUAUUAGACGGAAGUUCUUUUUAAAUCUAUUCAAGUCUGAAUAAACUGAUAUUCCAUUUUUCAUGUUCUUGAUGUGCUUUUGCUCUUCUUGUCGUUCCUGACUUUCUUUUAAGGGUCUAUUCUAACAUGCAAUAUGAUUUUUUUUUUCUUUUUGGUUGGCCAACUGUCCUAGGCGGAGAACCUAUCAUAGACACGGGUGAUUGGAGAAUUCAAUUGCAGCCUGACUCAUGGAAAAGAAUAAGCGACAAAAUGUAUGUGCAAGUGCUGCAAAAUAGUAAAUUUUUUUAUUUAUAUGAAAGAAAAGGAGAAUGGCAAAGGGUUAAUUAAAAUCAACAAGAUAGCCAUGAGGCAACCUCAAGUAUCACACACCUUUUUUUUUUUUCAUCUUUUAAUGUGUUUCUCACGAGAAGAAAACUUGAGGGAACAUAAAGUGAUGGGAAGUAAUUUUUGUUGGAAUUUCUUGUGUAAUCUCUUCUUUUGAUGAUGACCUCUUGGAUGGCUGCAUGAAGCUUGUUCCGCUUUUAAUUUCAAUUUAAAACUCGAGUUGCAAUUGAACUUAAAUGAAUGGUGUUGGAUUUAGGCCUUCUAUUUGUUUUAACUUCUACAGGGUUGAAAUGAUAGUGAUCUUAAAGUUGAAAAGCAACAGACAAAAAUCAAUUAGCCACAGUGGUGCAUGGUUUCGUAGUUUCUCAGCAUAAAGUUGAAUGUUUUGUUGACCUCUCUACAUCCAAAAUCAUAUAGACAGCUACUUCUGGCACUUGCAUUGGUCAAUGAAUACUGUAAAGUAUAUAUUGCAGUGUGAGAUAAGGUUAACUCGUUGCAUUUUCAUAUAUUGAAAAGAUUUGUCUUCUUUUCUUUGUCAAUUACAGCAAAUGUGUAGAAGUUACUCAGAGUAAAUGCUAUUGUAAUGUUUUCACAUACUCCCCUGCUUUGCAACUAAGUCACUAAUAUAUGAAGCUCGUAGCUAGAAUUUUUAGAUAGAAGGGUGGCCAAGUAAACUCCUAUAAUAUGUACCUCUGGAAUAAUACAGGGAAAAGAUGUCUAUGUAUUUUGAUGUCUUAUAAUACUUGACCAACUCUUGCUUAUCUUGUUGUUACCCAUUUUUUAGUUCACAUAAAAAUGAGAAAAUACAAAAAACAAAUAUCAAAAGAAAUCCAAAAAAUAAUAGGAGCGAGAAAAGGAUUGCUGGAAUGCCGAAAAAAAAAUGCCAAAAUUGGUUGAGGAGAUUCAAAAAUGCAAAAGGUUGAAAUUUGACAGUGAGAGUCCUGUUGAUGAGGAAAAUUCAAUUUGAGAAAGAAAAGUCCAAAAUCAGAUGUUUAUGGACUCAAUUAAAUUUUAUCCAAGGUUUAAUUGAAUUUAUAGAGGGUUUGAUUGCAAGAAAAUUGAUUUUGUAAGUCAAUUUAGGCUUUUAUCGGAAGAAAUUAAAGUUCUGGGGUCCAAUUAUAAUUUUAAAGAGUUGAUUUGGUCAAAUCAGGGGCUUAAUUGCAUAAUUAUUGAAGUUUGAUGGCCAAUUAGGGACUUAAUUGAAAUAAUUUGAGACCAAGGAUCAAACCAGAAAAGGCGCUAACAUUAAGGGAUCCAAUUACAAUUUUGUCAGGGGGGUUUGAUUAUAAAACAGCGAAAACUUCAAGGGCCAAAUUAGAAGAACCCAAGCGGCGCCGUUUCCACCAUUAAUGGUCUUCAAACAGCUGUGAAUCGGUGACGAUAAUGGAAGGAGACGUUAGCAGCAAUUAUGGAAAAUAUUCUCAAUUCAAUGGGGCUGGUAUCGCGGCUGACAUCCCUCGUCACCGUGAUGGGCGCCGGCUUACCAAUAUUGCUGGCGUCCUCUGGCUAUAAAAGCCAGAGGAAGAGCUGCACCAAAAAUAAAAGGAGGUGAGAGAGAGGAGAGGCUACAGUGAAGAAAAAAAAAGGGGAGUGAGACAGUUUAUGAGAACGUAAGAAAAGUGAGAGGGUGGAGAAAUAGCGAGCAAGCAUAAGGGAGAGAAGAGGAAGGAGAGAAAGAAGCAAACCGAACGGGAACAGAGGACACGGUGAAGCAGAGAACCCAGCACCACCAUCGUCUUCGUCUUCUCAAAAUCAGGUAUGUUCGAUGCCCUUCUCCGUUUCCUUGCAAAAUGAGAUGAUGCAUGUUAGUAUGUAAAAUACAGAAAGAAAAUAUAAGGAAACCGACACCAGAAAUCGCCAGUUACAAUGCUCUGUUUUGUUUUCCUUUUUCAUUCUCGCACUGCAACAAAGAUGGUUAACAGAGCGAAGGUAAUUUAAUUACCUUCGCCCUGUUCAUACAAGCCUAAAUAUAUUAUGGUGCCAUUAGAUAAAAAUAUGCCUUGCAGUCUAGAUGGUCAGCUUACCUGGCUCUCAUCCGAGAGACCCGGUUUCAAGUCCCAACAAGGGAAUUCCUUUUUGAAGGUGGUCACUGGCAUGGGCCAGUGACCAUGCUGGGCUAGCUGAAUCCAGCCCAGCUACGCAGGUUGGCUGGGGUCCAGCCCAGCCAUAUGGGCCGGGUUGGGCCCAGCAAUAAAAAAUAAAAGAAUAAAAAUAAAUAAAAAUUCAAAAAAAUUAUUUAAAUAUCUGUGAUUUUCCGUCAAUUUUUACUGCAUUUUAAUUAAUACGGUUUGUAUUUUUAUACUGUAAAGAUACAAAUCCGGUAUUAAAAUACCAUAUUUUGGUCCAAACAUUAAAAAAGAAGUUUUGUUUUCAUACAUACGGCUAAGUCUCUCAAAAAUAAAAAAUCAUAUUGUAUUUUCAUACAACAAAGAAAAUUUCAAAAAAUAUGUAUUAGCAUGCAUUUUGGCUUUAAUAACCAGUUUAUUAAAGUCACGAGAACUAGGCCAAUAUUUCAAAAAUUCUAAAAAAUUUAUUUUGUUUUCUUUUAAUAUCGGGGGCCGGGUUAUGAUCUUAUACGUAAGACGUGUUCCAGAUAUUAAAUUUUCUUUGUUGGCAUUAGACCGGUUAGGUUUUACCCGAUAAGAUAAGGAUCUCUUUACCGAAGAGAACUUUUCUUAAACCAUAAACGGACCAACAAAUAGAAAGCACAACAUGACCUUAGAUUUUAUCAGACAAUAAAACAAUGCAGCUUACCUUAGGUAGGGCGUAUUUGGGGUGCUAAUACCUUCCCUUUACGCAACCAAUCCUCGUACCCGAUCUCUGAGACCAGUUAGGGUUCCUAGUGACCAAAAUACUAGGUGACGACUUUCAUUCUAUUUUUUCACUGAUAAAAGACAAGAAUACCUUGUCUCCACACAUUUGCCACAUUUUUAGAUAAGAUAAGAUAGAAUUCGAGGGUGGAUGUUUUCGCCGCGACGCCGCACACGUGCGACAUAUCUCAUUAUUUGUUUUUACUUUUUGCUAAUGAUUCCACACAUUUCUGAAAUUGGUGUGGUUUAUGAGUUCAGGGUUCUUGCUUGCUGCUGCUAACUUCUCUAUACUUGCCUGGUCAUUAAAAAUGAAACGUAAUGAUUUGCAUGUGCAGAAUGGAGACAUUAAAGAGGGAUCUUCUGUUUUCUAGUCAGAAGGGAUUACAAGAACUCAAGAAAUAUGCCAUACGUUUUGAGGAAAAGAUUUAUAUUACCGCCACGAAUCAGGGUUCAAUAAUUAUGAUAUUCUCUUGACAUGAAUAUACACAUGCAUUUAUGCAUGUACAAAUGUGUGUGUAGUGUGCCUCCACUUCCUCACCGUGCAUUCUGUAUGCAAGGCUGAUUGGGAGUUCGCAUGUUUUUGUUAAUUCUCUUGACAAGUGUUUUAUCUAGAGUGACCAAGUUCAAGUACAAGGGAAGUGUGCAAAAAGAAAAUAGCAAAUCAAUACAUAAAUAAUUAAAUAAAAAGAGAGGAAACAGAAGUAUAUCCUCACAAACGAUGAAAUGAUAGAGCAUAUAUCCAUUUUCCUCCUCUUGUAACAUGGAUUGCUCUGAGAUCUAAUGUUUUGUUAUUAAUAUAUGAUUUCAGUAUGAUUAUCUGCGUAAAAUAUCUCUGGAGAUGCUUUCAAUGGAGAUCAGGUCUCAAAAUACCAUGCCCACUGCCCCCAUGGAUCCAGCAGGUUAUAAUGCAGCCGAGCAUUGAAUUUGUAAACAUCUUACCUUUUGUUUUGUUUGUCGCAUUGUAAUCAAACUCUUUUACAUUUUAUUGCGGCAUAUUGCUAUGUGUUUAGCAUGCUUUAAUCAAAAAGUUGAGUAAUUGAUGAAUGUUAGGCAAGAAUAUUACAGAUUGUUUUUGUUUUCUGCCUCCUCCUUUUCUUUCCUCCACCUUGAAAAUUGUCAUAUUAUUUUUGUUUUCAGUCGCCUCUUCUUCCCCCAUCCCUGAAAAUUGUCAGAGGACAUUUUUAUGCUUUGAAUCAAAUCCAUCCUAAUUUUUUCGCUCAUAACUUUAUGUGUGAACUGCAUAUGUUUCAUUUGUCUUCCUUGUUCAGUGCCUUCUUUUUUUCUGUGACAUGGUUUUCCCUUUUGCCUUUUAUCUUGAACAGCAUCCCAUAGUAUGCGCCCUGAAGUUCAGAAUCAAGGGCUGUUUCUCCCUAUCCUAUUGUCCACUGAUCAGUCUCAAGCAUGUCAGCAGUUGGUAUCACAGAACAUGCAGAAUUGCAUGGCAUCUAAUGGAGUUCAAAGUUAUGCUGGUUUACAAGCGGCACUGCCUCCUGUCUCUGGUGUAACCCUGACUAACCCCAACACUGUUGUCCAGAAUCCUAACAUGCAGAGUAUCCCUGGUGUUUCACAGAACUCAGUGGGGAAUUCAAUGGGACAAGGGAUUCCCUACACUAUGUUUGCCAAUUCUCAGAGACAAAUGCCAGGUAAUGCUCUUUUUGGUAGCUUUAUGUGCCACUGCUUCCCUUUAUGGCAUUAGAAAUGCCACUGCUAUUGGAACUAUUGCAAUCACACAUGCAUUUGUAACCACACGAUGCCCUACAGUGCGGUGCACCAACUGUUCACCUCUCAUAAUGGUUCAAGUCAGCAAUGCUCUUUUAGGUAGCUUUAUGUGCCACUGCUGCCACUUGUGGCAUUAGUAAUGCCAUUGCUAUUGAAACCAUUGCAAUCACACACGUAUUUGUUACCACAUCAUACCCUCCAGUGCAUUGCACCAGCUAUUCGCCCUCUCAUUCUGCAUUUAUAUGAUCACAUAACAUUUAUAUGAAGUUCUUAAUACAAAAAGGACUUGUAUUCCUAUAUAGGAAAAUACUAAUAGUCCUAUCUAGAAUAGAAAAAACCUAAUGAAGCUCGCUAUACUUUGGGAAUAAUUAAAUACUAAAUGGAAAAUAAAACUGAGACUCGUAAUAUUUCAUAAUUUUCAGCAAGCGUUAAAAUUAUAGAAAUACCCUUGUAUAUGGAAAACACACAAAAAUACAUGAAUUCUAAUAUUUUGUUGUCCGCAUUGAAAUUUUUGUAGCAUCCCUAUAUUCUACAGCACAGACUGGACAUGCAAAAGGCGCUGAUUGGCAAGAGGAGAUCUAUCAGAAGGUAAUUUCUGUGAUUUACUGUUCAUUAGAUGGAGUUCAUGUUUGCCAUAGUCUUGCAAGAUUUCAAUGGAAAAAGGUCUCAAGAAAAUAAGUGGGACUUAUUCCAUUGAAUCAUGACCACAUCCAGUAUUGUUGAAUUUUACAGAAAAUGAGGUUGAAAUUCUGAAUGUCUCAAGUCAUAGCUGCAUGUUUAAUAAGGAGAUUUUUUUUUUGUGCUUAGGAGAGUUUUAAAACGGGAAUAAGAAUGGUUGUUGAUAAGGACAAUUUUUUUUGUGCUGAGGAGACCAAUAUUUGCUGAGCAAUUCUAUAAUGAAAAGUUGGCGACUGAUGUUUUAAAAAUUGGAGUUAAGGAAUGGCUUAGAGUGCAUGGAGAUCAUGUUAAAAGUGAAGCUGUAGAGAAGGCAAUCACUCAAAUUAUGAUGGGUGAAGAAGCAGAGGAAAUGAGUAGCAGAGCAAAGAAACGGCCAGGAAGGCUGUUGAAGAAGGUGGAUCUUCUUGCUCCGAUUUCAAUGCUUUGAUUGAAUAACUGAGGUGGGGUCGCCCUUGAAACAAAGACAUAGAACAUUUUGUUUAUACUUUAGUAGUGGUUGUGGCAAUUUAUUUUCGGACAAGUCUUGAGAGUUGAAAGAGUAAUCACACCCGAGUCAAUGACCAAUCCAAAUCAGUUUCCUUCCUAAUGAUUCAGGAAUGAGAAGUCCAGCUUAUAUAUUUAACCCAAAUAACUAAUCAAAUAGAAAGGCUGAGCUUAGAGAUAGUACACUACAUAUUGCCAAUAACUAGAUAAACAAUCAUCACAAACUAGGAACGACCGUCUCCCCAAUAACAAAUUCACCUUCUGAAGUUAGAGAACUUGCGAAAACUAGCCACCACAAAAUAGUAGCAAGUAUCUAUGCAGUCUUCGAUGAAGUACAACCACCUGCGUCGCCAAUAUGGAUUGAUGUAGAGAACUGCUGCAAUCGUCAUCACCACAACUGUGUAACAUACACCGAAACUGAUGUAGAAAAACUCCAUAUCUAUGAAACCAUCAUCUCCUUGUUCAUCAUUAGGCACUGGCUGUGACACCACUGCCUUCUCACUACAAUUGUUUGGCAAUGGAGGUCCACACAAGAAAGGAUUUCCUUCGUAACAGCUUUCAUCGAAGGUCCCAAACUGAUAUAUUCUCUCGGGUGUCUUGCCUGACAAGUUAUUGUGCGCCACACUAAAAACUUCCAGUGUGGUAACUUCAGUAAAUUGUGGAGGGAUGGCACCAUUCAAGUUGUUGUAAGAAAGAUCCAAACUCUCAAUAUGCAUUAGGUUUGAGAAUGUUGCAGGGAUAGAUCCAGUGAGAUUGUUGUGUGAUAAGUUUACUGACAGUAUCUUACUUAAGUUUCCAAAUUCUGGUGGGAUUGCUCCGAUGAAGUUGUUAUUGGAGAGAUCAAUACCAAACAUGUAGUUGAGAACUUUCCCCUUGUACCCAUAAUACAUAUUUUUAGUUGUAAAUUCUGUCACUUCUUCUGUAAAGUUAAACAAAAAAAAAUUUCUCAAGUUGUCCACACUAUCCACUAGUGGUGGGCCCAUUAUUUCAUAAUAAGCUUUUUCUAUGGACUCUGAUAUAAAACCAUAUGCGACUUCCAAUAUCGCUUUCUUGUCACUUUUCUUGAAAGUAAGAUUGCCUAAACAGGAGGGUAGUGGACCAGAGAGCUGGUUGUGUGAAACAUCCAAAAUGCUUAAUUGUUCUAACAAGCAUAACUGAAUAGGGAGCUCACCAUCAAAGUGAUUAGCCCUCAGAAGAAGAACACUCAAUGAUGAAAGAUUGCCAAUCCAAUUUGGAAUGGAGCCGGUGAAGCUGUUUUCUCGAAGAUCCAUCGUAACCAGGUAAGAGCUGUUAAAAAAUGCAUAUGUUAAUGGACCGCUCAGUCUAUUUUUCGAUAGAUGCACAUGGGUUAUUUGUGGUGGACUAAAACAAGAUGGUAUAUAUCCAGACAAGUUGUUCUCAGAAAGGUCCAAAUAUUCAAGCUGGUCAAACUUACAAAAAUCUCUUGGGAUCGGACCCUUAAAAUGGUUUCCGGACAAAUCAAUUACUCCAAGGAUCGAAAAAUUAACGAAGCUCCUUGGAAGCAUGCCCGAAAAUUGAUUGUUACUCAAAUCUAAUACAUUCCAUACAUUCCACCUAUAUAAUGGAAAAUCUGAUAUCUGACCCCAAAAGUUGUUACCAUUUAGGUAAAGAAAAUUCAGGCGAGAAGAAUUGAACACCGAGGUCGGUAUUUUCCCACCCAAAUUGUUGUUUGACAGCUUGAGAACCCAUAUUGUUGUUAGUUGUUCUAGUUUUACUGUAGACAAUUGAUUGUUGGAUAAAUCUAAAAAUGAAAGAGAGCUAAUAUUUCCUAAACAGGAAGGAAUACAACCUGUGAAUCCAUUCUUAGCCAUCCUUAAGGUGUGUAGAUUUGGAAAGAUCAAACAAAUAUCUUUUGGAAUUUGACCGUUCAUGUUGUUGUUGGAUAUAUCUAAAUUGGUCAUAUUCGGAUGGAGGUGAUCUUGCAACUGCAAAGCACCAAUAAAGGAGUUGUCGCUCAGAUAUAGUUGUUCCAAUCGUGUAUUGUUCUUAAGCAACCACGAUGGAAACAUUCCAGUGAUGUUGUUGUGGGAGAGAUCAAGGGCUCUUAAGUCUAAUUGGUAAUAGAGGAAGUCGGGAAUUACAUUGAGUGCUUCCGAUGUUGGACUACUUGACAAGCGGAAAAAGACUAGUUGGAACUUUGGAAUCAAAUUAUCAAAGGCAGCAGGUUCUGUUACUAGCUUGUUGUUCUCACUGGAGAAGAACUUGAGGCUUGAGUGGUUCAUAAAAGGCUUUAUUGAAAUGGGAACUUCAAAGAGGUUAUUUGAUAGUGAGAGGAAUUCAAGGGAUAUGAGGUUGGUAAGAGGACCGAAAGCAAUAUUUCCAGUAAACUGGUUUUCAGAAACAUCUAAUAGUUGUAAAGAUGACAUGUUCCCCAAACAAUCUGGGAGUGAACCUCCUAAAUUAUUUCUAGAGAGAUGUAACUGCUUCAGAUUCUUCAAUUCACACCAACCUGUACAAUUUAUCUUGAAAUAGUCAAAAUAGUGUUGGAAGAAUCUUUUGUUGAUGAUGUAAUUAUAGGCGGAUGGAGAGUUGUUAAUUUACCUUGAGCAGGUAGGGUGCCAUGGAGGUCACAUUCACCAACAGACAAAACUUUAAGAGCAGGCAAUGCUCCAAUGUUCUGGAGAAAGUUUAUUGGGAGAGAAGUAUUAUCUAGAUGCAAUUCUUCAAGGGUGCUCGAAUUGAACAAAGUCCCUAUGAAAAAGAAAGAAGAAGAGAUAUGAUGAAAAUAGUGGUGGUACAGAAUAUAUAGCCAUUCCAUUCAAUAUUAUUAAUUAAGAUUUUAAGAAACUAAACUAUUAACCUUGACUUAAAUUAGUAUCCUUGAGAGAAAGGGUCUUCAGGGAUGGCAAUGAACACAAUGACUGUAGGAAGUCCAGCUUCCUUGAACCUAUGAUGUGUAGAAUUGAAAACAGGCAAUCAAGUAAGUAGUGAAAUUAAGUGUUAUCUUGAUCGAGUUCUUAAAGCUAUGAUAAAGAACUGGUACUUUUGUAGUGAGAUGAUUUUUUGAUAGAAACAACAAAUUGCCCAAAUAAUAGAAGAUGCCAAGAGAUAUUCACAACUUUACCAUUGACAGCCGUCGAUCCUAGCAACAUAUUGCCUGAUAAAUUUAAAGACUUGAGGGAUGAAAGUCCACUCGGAUGUGAUAAAAUGCUGUCGUUGAAUAUAUUAUAGCUCAGGUCCAGGUUCUCGAGUUUCCCCAAAUGUGAUGAUAUGAUCUCAAAACCUGCAAGGAGUUGUUUCUAAGAGUAAGUCAUAAUUAUGAGCUCACGAUAUGCAUAAUAUAUAGAAACUAAAGAUAAUUAGAAUUGAUGAGAUGUUGUUCAAUUGAUAUAUGAUUCUCAAAUUAUACAUAAAAAGAAUGAUAUAUGAACGCAUAUUUAAUUAUAUAAUAGAUUAAGAAAUAAUUUAUGGAUAAGAUCAAAGCUCCAUAGAUAUUAAUCUUCAUAGAUGAAAUUAAAGCGCAAUCAAACAUGAUGAAAUGCUAUCGUUGAUUUUUAAAUAUAUAUAAAGUCCUCAAUUUUCUUGAUAAACAGAAUGCAACUUACUAUUGAUAGAUCCUGUCAGCUGAUUGUUUGACAGAUCCAAAGACUUGAGAGAUGAAAACCCAGUUAGAGAUGGAAAAAUGCUAUCGUUGUAUUGAUUCCGUCUUAGAUGAAGGUUCUCAAGCUUUUUCAACCUUGAUGACAAGACUUUGAGACCUGCAUGAUGUUCCUCAAAAGCAUAGAAAUGAUACAUGAACGCAUAUUUAAUUAUAAAAUAGGUUGUGCACGCUUCUAAGAUUAAGAUACAAUUUUUAAAUAUCAUUCUAAUUUUGAUCAUUGGAAAAAAAAAAACAAUUUACGGUUAUAAAGUCGCUAAAGAUGGAAGCUAAGUUAUGAUAGACUUACAAAACAAAAUAAAGAAACUUAUAAUUAAGAUCUCAUCGGUAAUUAAAACAAGAAUAAUAAUCGAUCCAUGUAAGUUCAAAUAUUGCCUAAUUUUGAAAAACUAAUUAAUUAGUUAUGAUAGUUUCAAAAACUAACUGCCUCUGUAAGAUGCUAAAUGCCUCUCUCGUUGGCUGUCUAGUGAUUUGUAUUGGAUAGUUUUUUUUUGAAUUGAUGUUAAGAUCCAAGUUUUAAUAAUUACAAUUUUCUUAAUUAUAUAUAAUAUUAUAGGAGAGAGCUUCUUAUUAUGUUAUUCAAAACCCAUUCAAACUCAAAUUCAUAAAAAAAAAUACUUAGAGUUGUGUUCGACUAAGGAUCUCAAGACAGAAAAAACAUAUAUAAAAAUAUAUUUAUUUAAAAAGAUAAAUAUAAAAUAUAUAUUUAUAGGAGAGUUUUGAAGUGAACUUCUGAUUGCUAAUUUAAUCUAAAUAUUACAACACUUUUGGCAUAAAAGGGCCAAAAUAAGAAUAAAAUAUAUGCCUCUUUACGUAGAUAUAAAGUUCUCAUUUUUGUUGAUAAAGAAACAAUAUAAUUAAGAGAAUGUCAUGUGAAGCAUUUAGGUAGAAACUGUGUAUUAUACCUGAUCCUGUCAACUCAUUGUACGACAGAUCCAAAGACUUGAGGGAUGAAAAUCCAGUAAGAGAUGGAAAAAUGCUAUCGUUGCAAUGAUUCCAACUUAGAAGAAGGUUCUCCAGCUUUUUCAACCUUGAGGACAAGACUUUGAGACCUAAAUAGCAGCUACCUCCUGAUCAUUUAAAUGCGUAGAAAAAAAUGAUAUGAGAAGGAGAAAAGAAAAGGUUUCGAAGCUAAAUAAUUAAAAGGUUACCAUAGAAGCUACCUCCUGAUCCAGCUGUCAACCCAUUCUCUGAUAGAUCCAAAGACUUGAGAGUGGAAAGGUUACCAUUGAAACAUGACAAAAUGCUUUUAUCAUUAUUAAAUCCGUUAUAACUUAGGUCAAGUUUCCUCAGUUUUGAUGAUAGGACUUCGAAGCCUGGAAAGAGCAAGAUAAUUGACAUUAAACACCAACCAACCUUCAUUUAUUUUAUGAUUAUAUUUAAGUGCACAAACAUUGAACUAACCUUCAUUCUCCAAGCAACCAACCAAUCCAUUACCUUCCAAUUCAAGACUUUGCAAUUCUUUAAAAGGCUGAAACAAAGAUGCGUUGAGAACCCAAUCGCCCAAGCUCUCGUCCCUUGAUCCUCUAAGAGAGAGUUGGAUCACUCGCCUUGUAGUGUUAUCACACUCGAUCCUAUGCCACUCACAACAAUUACUACCGUCCACCCAAUCUCUCAAGGAAACGCCAUCUGGGUCGAUCGAAGAUUGGAUCUCCAAGAGACCAAUCCUCUCUUCCUCCAAACACCCAUAACAACGACCAUACCAUUCGCCAACCAAAGUCAAUAAUGCUAGCAACAUCCAACUCCCCAUUCUUUUCAUCAUCAUCUACGUAGAAUAUUGUUGUUUGUUAUGUGUCUUUGGGCAACCAUAGAGGUCCUAUUUAUACUACAAUUUUGGCCAUUUCCAUGAUUUUAUCUGCAUAUCUUAUGCAGGUUCUAUGUUUUGAGAUUUGAAUAUUAUUUUAUUUCCUUUUGGAAUAUUCUUGGAUUCGAAUAUUAUUUUAUUUUACUGUUUAGCACUUAGUCUAUUUGCAUUUAAUUAUAUUUUGGUUACUAAUUAUCCAAUUUUAAAAAAAUAAAAAAUAAAAAUUGUUGCAACAUUUCAAUUUUUUUAUCGACAUUCAUGUGUGAUUUCACGUAAGAUCUUUUUAAAUUUAUAAUUGUACUUUUCUCGUUAUAAUUUAGAAUUAUUUAGGAGCCUACUUGCAUGGUGUCAUCACUAUUAUAUAUAAUUAAAUACAUAAAUUAUCAAUAAUAAUAAAUUCGGAAUAAUUAUAAAUCUUAUCCCUGUGGAUUGUGUGGCUACAGUAUGAUAUACAAAAACUUCAAAUAUAUAUAAAUAAAAGAAUGCUAAAAGUGACAUUCUCUUGGGUGACCACCACAAGCCCAUCUAAAACACACAAGCCAUAUAAAAAUCACACGACAGCCAAUUACCUUAUCUUGUGAGAAAAAAGAUUAAAAAAAAAAAAAGCAUUUUCUUGGGUGUGCAAUGACUGCCAAUCUUUCUCGUUAUGACAUUCAAUGCUCUGUAAGAAGUUGCAUGAUGCUCUUCUCAUGGGGAGCAAAAAUCAGUAGCCUCCCAUGGAAUCCUCAUAAACCUUUCUCUAUGCUCUUCUAAGAUAUUAAAAAUGUCAAACAUACAUAAAUAAUAAGAAAAACAAUAAAAAAAGAAAGCUAUACAAAUAGAGCUUCCAACAAAAAGACUAGGAAGUUGUUUACUGAAAAUUGAGAUUCAUAAUUUGUUUUGAUUUGUUUUGAUUUGUUUUGAGUUAUUAUGGUCUCAUGACCCGGGUCACAGAUUUAAAGGUUAAUCUAGAUUGACCCGGGUCGAUUAAUCCAAUAUGUUGUUGUUUCGAUAUACUUUUUUUAAAAAAAUAUGUCAUCUUGAUUUUUUUCAAGUGAAACUAUAUUUUUACCAGUCGUCCAGACAAUCUUUGAGCCCAUCGAAUCGAUCGGGUUAUAUCAAUUUAACUCUUAUUUUUUUAUUUAUAUUUGAAAUUUAAAUUGCAUAAUUUUUUACUUAUUUUUUUAUAUAGGUGGUUAUGAGUUACAAAAAUUAAGCAAUUUCGAGUAUAUUGACAUGAGAAUUAAUGGUUUCGAUAACAAUAUUCUAUCAUUUGUAGAGGGAUUUUCAUCUUUUAAAUCACUAUAUUUAGAUUAUAAUAGACUGGAAGGGUUAAUAGAUUUAAAAUGUUAGUUUUUUUAUAUACUUAUUUUUUCUCUAUUAAAUUUAAUUUCAAAAGAACACAAUUUUCGAUAACAGUAUUCUAUCAUGCAAUUUUUGUUUUGUUUCAAAAGAACACAAUCGCCCAAGCGGAAAUCCCUUGCAUAGAAAAGAGAGAGUUGGAUCACUCGCCUUGUACGUAGUGUUAUCACACUCGAUCCUAGGCCACUCACAACAAUUACUACUGUCCACCCAAUCUCUCAAGAAAAAGCCAUCUGGGUCGAUCAAAGCUUUGAUCUCCAAGAGACCAAUCCUCUCUUCCUCCAAACACCCAUAACAACGACCAUGCCAUUCGCCAACCAAAGUCAAUAAUGCUAGCAACAUCCAACCCCCCAUUCUUUUCAUCAUCAUCUACGUAAAAUAUUGUUGUUUGUUAUGUGCUUUUGGGCAACCAUAGAGGUCCUAUUUAGACUACAAUUUUGGCCAUUUCCAUGAUUUUAUCUGCAUAUCUUAUGCAGGUUCUAUGUUUUGAGAUUUGAAUAUUAUUUUAUUUCUUUUUGGAAUAUUCUUGGAUUUGAAUAUUAUUAUUAUUUUAUUGUUUAGCACUUAGUCUAUUUGUAUUUAAUUAUAUUUUGGUUACUAAUUAUCCAAUUUAUAAAAAAAAAUAAAAAAUAAAAUAAUUGUUGCAGUACUUCAGCAUUGUUAUCGACAUUCGUGUGUGAUUCCGUAUAAGAUCUUUUUAAUUUAAUUGUACUUCUCUCGUCAUAAUUUAGAAUCAUUUAGAACCCUAUUUGUGUUAUGACUAUCAUAUAUAUAAUUAAAUACAUAAAUUAUCAAUAAUAGUAAACUCAGAAUAAUUAUAAAUCUUAUCCCAGUGGAUUGUGUGGCUACAGUAUUUUAUACUUCAAAAUAUAUAUAUAUAUAUAAAAGUUAGAGCUGCUUUUGUUUUUAUGUUCGGAAAGGUAUUCUUGACUUGUUUUUAUUACAUUUCAAUAUUAUUAUUUUUUUUCAAUCGAGUCAAAGAUAUACCAUUUAUAUUAGAAUGAGAAGACUAAUCAAUUUCUCUAGUUUUCUCCCUAUUUAUAAAAUACAUCUGGUUUUUGAAGUCCAGAUUUUAGGAUAAAAGGAAUUUAUUUCUUGAAAUUAAUGCAUUAAACAAUAUAAAGAUAUUUUUUAAAAAUUAAAAUAGUAGUAAAAGUAAAUUUAGUUUUUGAUUGAAGUGUAAACUAGUGGUAAAUGAACAAAAAAAAAAAACUUUCUUGAUUAUCUAAUGGAAACUCCGCCUAAUAUAUAUAUAAUAGCAAUCAUUUUCUUAUCUCUUGUAUCAUUCAUAUCUUCCACAAAUCUUAAGUAAUUGAUGAGAAAGUGGAUAUUGCCAAGAAAGGUCGUGAACGCGGAUGCUUGACUUGCUGCGUGGCAUUUUGAUUUUUAAACACAACACUACUUUCUUUGUGGAAAUAACGCUACUUUGCAUGAAGAUGAUGGAUAUAGAAGACUUGCUACUUGUUUUAUGGAAAUAACGUAUGGAAAAUUAUGCUUUAAUUUUAAUGAUGAUAGCAAAAUCAAACAGUAUUGUUGAUAAAAUGAGCCAUAAAUAAUAUUAUUUCUAUUGUCAUGACAAUAAGUUUUUUUUUUUUUUUUUCUAAAGAGUCUAUUUUUCCUCUAGGAGAGGCCGCGAGACGUCCUCUUCCAACCAUCAUGCAUUUUUUCUACGAGAUGGGUUCAUGGAAAUACUUUGGUUUAAUUGGGAAUGCUGUUAUUGAUUGAAAUAUUUUUAAUUAAAAUAAAUUUGAUUAUUUGAUUGGAAAAAAAAUAUUGUAACCAAGUAAUUUAUUUAUUUAUUUUAAUGAAAUAUAAAAUAGUUUUAAAUCUUGUGGUAUAUUUCUUGUCUUUAAGAGCUAUGAACUUAUAUCUCAAAACUUGAAAACUAAUAUAAAGAUAUUAAGUGAUCAUUGAGUGUGUGUGUGUGUAUAAUCCUUUUCAAAACAAAAAGGAUUUUGAUGGAGAUUAGGACAUUGCAACAAAUUAUCCACCACUAGAUGGGUCAAUGAUACCAUUGUCAUCAUGCAAUUUUUCCCACGAGAUGGGGCCGUACGCUUGGGGCUCUAAAAGCUAUGGUUUUAAUUUCAUUAUGUCACAUCUAGAAUGGCAGGUAUAUUUUAUUUCAAUUUAAACAAUGGAAUAAAUUAGAAGAUAUUUCAUCUCGCUUAAAAUCUUAUCUUCUUAUAUGAUUUCACCUAAAUUCUGGCUGGAAUGUUUAAGUUAUAUUCUAGCUAUUCUGUUAUGGCCAAAUGAUAUUUUGUUUUACUUUUAUAAAAAAUUAAAAUAUAGUUUAGUUUUUGUAUUUAUUUUCUGGUUAUAUUUAAUUUGUCAUCAAUAUUCAUAACGUAAAUUGCUAUGCAUUUCGAAUCUUGAAAGGAUUGAAAGAUGGAAAACAGAAAAGAAAGAGAGACCCCCAGUUCAAAAGAAAAAGAAAAAAAAACAAUAGUAAAAGAAAGAGAAGAGAACAAAAGUGAAGCAGUUUUUACUAACUAUAUAAAUUUUAUAAUUAUUAAUAUUAAAUUCAAAAUAUGUACAUAAUGCAAAUAUGUAAACAUAUCAUGUGGUUUAAAGAAAUGAUUUUUAUAAAGAUAUAUGUCUUAACAAUAUUAAUCAACUCUUAAUAUUUUUCAUUUUAUAAAUAUUAAAAGUAAAUAUUAAAACCUAUUAUAUUAAUUUGUGAAGGUAUUUACUCGGAUGCGAAUUAUAUUUCUAAUUUUUUAUUAAAAAAAAAUUCUACAUACUACAACUAGCCUAAGAAAGUCAUUUUCAUCUAAAAAAAAGUAGAAAAAAUUGAAUUGCAUAAAAGCAUCACUAUAAAUGUUAUACUCCGAAAAUAUCUUCUUUCCUUGAUAAAAUUCCCUAAACUACUGUAUGUCUCUAACAGUGAAAAUAUCACUAUAAUUUACAGUCACCUUAUUUAAUCGAAAGAAAACUUUAAAGAUGCACCUCCAUCUAGUGUAUUUAAAAAGAUUUAACAAAUUACUUUACACGUGCUAUGCUACAAGUUACAUAUUUUUUCAAUGUAAACAAAAAUUAUAUAGGUAUUUUUAACAUUUUUCUAUUAAAAAAAACUAAAACAUAUAAAAAUUAACCAAUUUAUAAUUAAUUAAUUAAUUGAGAAUUUGAGCUCCUUAGAAAAGUUGUUUAUGGACUUUUGUUUUCCGGAGAAAGCUCCUUUAAAACCCUUGAGCACCACCUUCUUUAAAACUUCUAUCUUUGCCAUAACUGAGGGGCUCUGUAUUUUUUUUAAGGUGAAUUAACAAGUUACAACUCAACUCUGUAUUUUUUUUUUUAGUUUAAUGUGGGUGUCUGGGUCAACUUACGCGUACCUCGACUAAUUCCACGGGCCCUGAAAUUAAUGACCAUAUAAACCUACAGUGGCCAUCAUAUGAACAAUCACAGGACUAGGGCUCGAACUUGAGACAAAAAAAAAAAGCAAAUUUUUUAAUCUUAAAUUCUUACCACUGGAUCACUAUCUAAAUUGUUACCUUGUAUCUAAUCUAGAUGUGUCUGUGACUGUGCUUGAUGUUCUCAUAACCAUUAAGAUGGUUCGAACCCAAAUAAAUAGAAACAAAUUUAUUUUCUGUUAUUCUCCGAAUUCCUAGAUAGAAUUUGCUUGGAAAUGAUGAGCUACCACUCCCUUUUGACUUUGCUGGCCUCCCAAAUAAAUAAAGAAUUCCGCUUGAUAGAAUUUUCUUGGAAAUGAUGAGAAUAUUUUAUAAUUUUCUGGUUGACGCCAGCUGUCAACAACUGUCUUACAUUCCCUUGGCAUCGUGUUCCAUGCCCUUGCAAAAUAUUAAAGGCUCCAAUGCCUCUCUCGCAAUAAGAUUAUUUUUUUUAUUUGUCCCCGAAUACAUGUGUCAUUUAUCGAAAUAAUUAAUUUAAUCACACACAUAAAAAAAAAAAAAAAUUUAAAUAGGCGGCUUUAGAAUCAGCAAGCAGUGAAUCACACGGGAAGAUUGAAAGAAUAAUUAAAGUGAUUUUACUAACAUUGUAAAAAAAAUUGAAUUGCAUAAGAGUAAUUAACCGACAGGUUGACCCAAAGUCAAAGUCUUCUGUGGAAAAACAUGAAUAGAAGAUUGAUGGGCGUUGCGUGAUAGCAAAAGAUUUGAGAUCUGCACAGCAGGUUUUGAAUUCGAGUCAGGGCGUGCAUCUCUUGUAAAAGCUUGGGAUAGCCGGGAUUUUACUGUCUCAUCUGGGCCCAUAAAGUGCGCUUUCCAAGGAAAUGAGGUUCCCUCGAAUCCAUAAAAAAAAAAAAAGUAAUACCAUUGCUAUCAAGCGUUUUUUCUACGAGAUGGUCCGUUCCCCCAUUUCCCCUCAAGCUUGAGAAGGGAUGAUAUAUAUAUGCUUUAAUUUCAACUUGUAUAAAAAAUAAAUCUUAAUGUAGUGUGUUAGAAUGCAACCACCGAUUCAUUAUUUUUAAUGGCUGGUCAUUUAAACUUGGGUGUUUUUUCGGUAUUAAUAUAUAUAUUCCUCAAUUAUCAUAAAAAAAUUAAGAAAAAACUAAUAAUAAGAUUAAAAAUAAAUGUUUUAUUUAUCGAAAUAAUUAUUAAAAGUAAGGUAUACUCAAGGUAUAUGUGGGACGAUAAAAAAAUAACAAAAAAAUCAAUUUACAAAAAAAAUCAUAGAUUUAGUUUUCCUAAAUUUUAAAUGUAGUGCAACAUUAGCCUUUCAAGAAAUAGAUAAUCUUCCUCUUUGAAGGAAUUAAUUAGUGGGUUGGAAAAAUGUCGUCUUUUGCUCUAAUAUUUUCUUCGCUUUCUCUAUAGUUUUACCAUACACUAAUAUUGUCAGAAAAUGAUACAUACUUCUUGUGUUAUCCUUCAAGAAUUCAAUUGAAAAGGAGGGUUGUAAAAAAUUUAAUUUUUAUAAACAUACCCUUAACUUAAUUUGGAUGUGGAUAAUUGUUUGCAAUAUAUUUACAUCCAAUAUAAACAAUUCAUCAAUGAUCAAGUAGGCAGUGGUUAGCUAAAAUAUUGAAAAUACUUACUCUCUUUGUUUUUUAGUCAUGCAGUUCCACUAUUGUAUGUUAUUUUUGUUUAGCUAAAAAUAUCAAAAAAUAUUAAUUUGGAGUAAAAAAAAAAAAAAAAUUUAAUUUUUUUAAAAAUAUUUUUGAAACAUAAAAACAAACAGUGCUAAAAGACAUAGAAACAGUUACCCAAAUCAAUUUAUUUUUUUAAAAAAUAAAAAUAGAAUACUAUACAAAUGGAGCUUCCAACAAAAAGAUAUGGGAAGUUCGAGGGAAAAAAUGAUUAGUUAAUUCAAAACACCAGGAGUAAGUAAUAAUUACAAAACACGAUACCGAAACCAAAUUGAAAAGUGAGCAAAAUACAAAACUGGUUACAUGUAUCGAAAGGAACUGGAACCAAUUUCUCCACCACUGGAUGUCCCUUUUGUUCAGUCUAUGUUUGGUGCAAUCACCUAAAGCUAGAAACAAAAACAGCGCCUUAGUCUAUGUUUGGUGCAUUUUUUCCACGAGAUGGGUUCGUGGAAAAACUUUGGUUUAAUUGGGAAUGCUGUUAUUGGUUAGAAACUUUUUAAUUAAAAUAAAUUUGAUUAUUUGAUUGGAAAAAUCCUUAAAUGUUAUUAACACAUGAAAUCAAUUUAUUCUCUUAAGAAAAAAAUAGUUUUACAUCUUGUGGUAUAUAUGUCAAGCAUUUUUUUUCCCUCAAGAUGGGUUCGACAGACAAUCACCAUCAUGCAUUUAUGAGUCCAUGAGACCAUUGUCAUCUGCACAUUGGUCCCCUAUAGCGUUGCUUUUCCUCAAGACCAUUUCCAUCAUGCAUUUAUGAGUUAGUGAGACCAUUUCCAACUGCACAUUGGUCCCUGAAACCGUUGCCAUCAUGCAUUUUUCCUCGAUGAGAGGUCGUGAGACGUCCACUUCCAACCAUCAUGCAUUUUUUUCACGAGAUGAGGCCGUACGUUUGGGGCUCUAAAAGCUAUAUAUAUUAGAAAUAUUAUUUGAAAAUAAAUUAUUUUUUAUUUUUAAAAAUAAAAUUCUUCUAUACAAAAGAUUUUUAUAAGUAUAAUUUAAUUUAUUCAGUUUUUUAAAUAAAGUUAAUCUAUCGCAAGAGUACACGAAAUAAGUAUUUUUCCGUCAUGCAUUUUUUUUCCUCAAGACCAUUUCCAUCAUGCAUUUAUGAGUCUGGGAGACCAUUUCCAUCAUGCAUUUAUGAGUUGCUGAGACCAUUUCCAUCUGCACAUUAGUCUCUGAGACCGUUGCCAUCAUGCAUUUUUCCUCGAGGAGAGGCCGUGAGACUUCCUCUUCCAACCAUCAUGCAUUUUUUCCACGAGAUGGGUUCGUGGAAAAACUUUGGUUUAAUUAGGAAUGCUGUUAUUGAUUGGAAACUUUUUAAUUAAAAUAAAUUUGAUUAUUUGAUUGGAAAAAUCCUUAAAUGUUAUUAACACAUGAAAUCAACUUAUUCUCUUAAGAAAAAAACAGUUUUAAAUCUUGUUGCCGUCAUGCAUUUUUUUUUCCUCAAGAUGGGUUCGACAGACAAUCACCAUCAUGCAUUUAUAAGUCCAUGAGACCAUUGUCAUCUGCACUUUGGUCCCCUAUAGCGUUGCUUUUCCUCAAGACCAUUUCCAUCAUGCAUUUAUGAGUCCAGGAGACCAUUUCCAACUGCACAUUGGUCCCUGAGACCGUUGCCAUCAUGCAUUUUUUCCACGAGAUGGGUUCGUGGAAAUAAUUUGGUUUAAUUGGGAAUGCUUUACUGUAUUUGUUUUCUGGUUAUAUUUAAUUUUUCAUCAAUAUUCCUAAGCACGUAUUUUGAAUCAUGAAAAGCACGUGGAAAAGAGAGGGAUGGUGAAAAUGACAUGUAAAGGGACUGUUUGGCAGUGCGCAUAGAAAAGGGAAAGUGUCAUUGCCAUUUUGAGUGGUGUGUUUGCAUUUGAUUUGUUAAUUUCGAGUUUUGUCAAAGAGUGAUUACUAGUCAUCAAGCAUUUUAUUAAUUUAAUUUAUCCUGUCAAGUGAAGGGCCAAACCUGUCAUUCAUUGCCAGUCACAGUCACAAGUCUUGGUCUUACCAUUUUACUAUCUAUUAAUUAAUUAAUUGUUUGAUUAAUCAACGAAACUGUGCGUUUCUCUUGUGAUUUCUCGAAGACGGCCAUGAAUAUAUAUAUAUAUAUAUACAACUUUUCAAAACAAAAAGGAUUUUGAUGGAGAGGACAUUGAAACAAAUUAUCCUCGUGAUACCAUUGUCAUCAUUCAAUUUUUUCCACGAGAUCAGGCCGUAUGCUUGGGGCUCUAAAAGAUAUUAUUUCUAAUUUUAUUAUAUCACAUCUAGAAUAACAAGUAUAUUUUAUUUCAAUUUAAAAAAUAGAAUAAAUUAAAAGAUAUUUCAUUUUUAAAAUUUUAUUUUGUUUUAUGAAUUUCACCUAAAUUCUGACUAGAAUAUUUUGAUUAUAUUCCAGCCAUUUUAUUAUGAUAAAAUAAUAUUUUGUUUUGCUUUUAUAAAAAAAAUAUAAUCUAAUUUUACAGUAUCAAUCAUAUCUUUCAAUUCGACUGCUGGAUUGGACUAAAAUUUUACGAGGAAUCUCCUAACAUAUAUUUAUAUCGCAAAUUAAAAUUUUAAGGCAAUCAGAGUUUAGAAAAAUUUUGCGAAAUUACCGAUGAUAUUUUCAUAAUUUUAUUUAAAUUCAUAAUUUUGUUAGGAAAUAUUAUUUUUUGUUUCUUUUUUAGAUUGAAUUAUUUCUAAAGUACUUCUUGUCAUUGUCAUGACAAUAAAUCUUCUUCUUUUUCUUUUUAAAAAGUCUAUUUUUUGUAACACAACCAACAUGUAAGAUGGAUGGGAAUUUGCAGUGUGAGAUGGGUUUGUGAGACUUUGGCCAUCUCCAAUUUUUUCCACGCCAUUGAGAUGGUCUAUAAGACCAUUGCCCCGUAAGCAUUUAUGAGUUCGUGAGACCAUUUCCAUUUGCACAUUGGUCCCUGAGACCGUUGCCAUCAUGCAUUUUUUACACGAGAUGGGUUCGUGGAAAUACUUUGGUUCAAUUGGGAAUGUUGUUAUUGAUUGGAAACUUUUUAAUUAAAAUAAAUUUGAUUAUUUGAUUGGAAGAAAUCCUUAAAUGUUAUUAACAAUAGAAAUCAAUUUAUUUUCUUAAGAAAAAAAUAUUGUAACCAUAUAAGUAAUUUAUUUAUUUAUUUUAAUGAAAAAUAAAAUAGUUUUAAAUCUUGUGGUAUAUUUCUUGUCUUUAAGAGCUAUGAACUUAUAUCUCAAAACUUGAAAACUAAUAUAAAGAUAUUAAGUGAUCAUUAAGCGUGUGUGUGUGUAUAAUGCUUUUCAAAACAAGAAGGAUUUUGAUGGAGAGGACAUUGCAACAAAUUAUCCACCACGAGAUGGGGCUGUACGCUUGGGGCUCUAAAAAACUAUGGUUUUUAAUUUUAUUAUGUCACAUCUAGAAUGGCAGGUAUAUUUUAUUUCAAUUUAAACAAUGAAAUAAAUUAGAAGAUAUUUCAUCUCGUUUAGAAUGUUAUCUCAUUUCAUGAAUUUCACCUAAAUUCUGGCCGGAAUAUUUUGGUUCUAUUCCAGCCAUUCUAUUAUGAUCAAAUAAUGUUUUGUUUUGCUUUUAUAAAAAAAAAAUAUAUAGUUUAGUUUUAUGGUAUUAAUUAUAUCUCUCAAUGCAAUUAUUGGAUUAGACUAAAAUUUUACAAGGAAUCUCUUAACAUAUAUUUAUAUCGCAAGUUAAAAUUUUAGAACAAUUAGAGUUUAAAAAGACUUUGUGAGAUUGCCGAUGACAUUUUUAUAAUUUUAUUUAAAUUCAUAAUUUUGUUUCAUAAGGUCAUUUUUUGUGUCUUUUUUUAGAUUGAUUUUUUUUUUUCAAUUUCAUAAUUCAACAAUAGAUUUAUUAAAAAUUAAGAUUCAUAAUUUGUUUUUAUUUGGGAUUAUUAUGGUCUCAUAAUCUGGGUUACGGAUUUAAAAGAUUAACCUAGAUUAACCUGGUUCGAUCUAAUAUGUUGUUGUUUCAAUAUUUUUAACAAAUAUAAUUUUAAUUGAUAUUUAAAAAUAAACUAACUUGAAAUUAUAUAAUUUAAAUUUCAAAUAUAAGUAAAAAUAAAGAGUUAAAUCAAUAUGACCCAAUUGAUUUGAUGAGUCCAAAAUAUAUAUAAAACAAUCCAAACGACACGUCAAAAUACUCAAAAAUCAAAAUAUAUUGUUACAAUUAAAAAAAUAAAACACCAAUUAAAAUGGAAUUGACGACCUUGCUUGAUAUAAGCCUAAACUCCUCGCUGCCAUUUGCAAGAGAUAGUUACUUAUACCAGUAGCAAUUUAAUAAUGAUUGGUCAAAUUUUAUAUUAAGAUGGGGCUAUUAAUUCAAAUGUUGAUGGCGUUAGUAGCAAUGAUUUUCUUGGAAGCAUGGUUGCCUCUUGGCUGCUUGAAAAUAUAUGGUUUUUUUAAUGUCGCAUGUGUGCUGCGUCAUGAAAAAAAAAUUCACUCUCAAAUCCUAAAUAUUGGUAUCCUGGAAAAAUUGGGAAAAAUAAGGAGACAAGAAAUUCUUGUCUUUUAUUAGUGGAAAAAUAAAAUGGGAGUCGCCACUUAGUAUUUUAAUCACUAGGAACCCUGAUUGGUCUCAGAGAUUGGGUACGGAGACUGGUUGCGUAAAGGGAAGGUAUUAGCACCCCAAAUACGCCCUACCUAAGGUAAGUUGCAUUGUUUUAUUGUUUGAUAAAAUCUAAGGUCUUGUCGUGUUUUCUAGUUAUUGGUCCGUCUAUGAUUUAAGAAAAGUCUUCAUCGAUAAAGAGAUCCUUAUCUUUUCGGGUAAAACCUAACCGUUCUAACGUAAACAAAAGAAUUUAAUAUCCGGAAUACAUCUUACGUAUAAGGUCGUAACCCCAGAUACUAAAAGAAAAUUUUUUUUUUGGAAUUUUUUAAAUAUUGGCCUAGUUCUUGUGACUUUAAUAAACUGGUUUUUAAAACCAAAAUGCAUGUUAAUACAUAUUUUUGUUGUAUGAAAAUAUGAUAUGAUUUUUUUCUUUGAGAUACUUGGCCGUAUGCAUGAAAAUAAUUUUUUUUUUAAUUUUUCAAUGUUUUGACGAAAACUAGGUAUUUUAAUACCAGAUUUGUAUCUUUACAGUAUAAAAAUACAAACCAAUACUAAGAAAAAUUUAGUAGAAAAAUAUAUGGGAAAAUUAUAGAUUUUUUGAAAUGAUUAUUUUUGAAGAAUUGUUUUUUACUGGGCCGGACCCGACCCAACCAUUUUGGGCGGGCCGGCACUGUCCGGGCUGGAAAACUAAAACAAACAAUGGAGAGACUCUCCACUGUUCACAUGCAACGUGAACAGUGGAGCGGCCUGGAGAAGACAAAGAAGAAGAGGAGGAAGAGGAAGAAGCAGACCUGCGGCCUAGCGGUGCUGCUAGUGGCGGUGGACGGUGUUGCGGUUGCGGAGUGUUAGAAAUAAUGUUCAGGACUGCUGAGCUGGAAUUUUAUUCUUUCUUAAUUUUUGAUUUAGUCAAUUCUGUUCCUAUUCUCUUGUUCUUGUUGCUACUUCGCAGCUCUGUUAUUUCCAUUAUCAAUUGAUCAUGGCUUGAAUGUAGUACCAUGAUCGUAGGAGUUUGUUAUGUAUCAGCUCUAUAAAUUGAGCUGCAGUUAUGAAUAAAGUAUUCAAGCUUUUCAUUCAUCAAUCUCUUCUUAAACACAAGCAUUAUCCUUUGUUAUUUUUGUUGUUCAGAAUCACUGCAACAACGACAAUUGGUAUCAGAGCAUCUUGAUUUAAAGGGAUCUGUGUUGUAACCCAUGGAGACAGAAGUAAGAUUCUCAUCAAUUGCUCCACCAGUGUUCAAUGGUGACAAUUACCAGUUUUGGGCAGUACGGAUGGAGACAUACUUAGAGGCUCUGGAUUUGUGGGAGGCAGUGAAAGAAGAUUAUGAAAUCCCUGCACUUCCAAAUAAUCCCACCAUGGCGCAGGUCAAAUCACAGAAGGAGAAGAAGACAAAAAAAUCAAAGGCAAAGGCGUGCUUGUUUGCUGCAGUAGCAUCCACCAUUUUCACUCGAAUCAUGUCUCUGAAAACAGCAAAGGAGAUAUGGGAGUUUAUCAAGACUGAGUAUGAAGGGGAUGAAAGAAUUCAAGGUAUGCAAGUGUUGAACUUGAUGCGUGAUUUCGAGUUGCAGAAGAUGAAGAAAACUGAAUCCAUCAAAGAGUACUCUGACAGGCUGCUUAAUAUUGCAAGCCGAAUCAGUUUACUUGGCUCGUCCCUGCCUGAGUCAAGAAUUGUUCAAAAAAUUCUUGUAACAAUUCCUGAAAUCUUUGAGGCUACAAUUACAUCCUUGGAAAAUACCAAGGAUAUGUCAAAAAUUACUUUGACAGAAAUGCUAAAUGCAUUACAAGCUCAGGAGCAAAGGAGGAUCAUGAGACAAGAAGAUGAGAUUGAAGGAGCUCUAUUCGUCAAGCAUAGAGAAAAAGGAAAGAAUUACAAGAAGAAUGGAAGCAGUCAAGCAUCAUCAGGUGAUUCCAGGAAUUUCAACAGGAGCAACACUGGAAACAAAAAAGGACCUUUUCCUCCAUGCCAGCAUUGUAAAAGGAGAUCACAUCCACAUUUUAAGUGUUGGAGAAGACCAGAAGCUAAGUGCAACAAAUGCAAUCAAAUGGGCCACGAGGCUGUCAUCUGCAAAAACAAAAUUCAACAGCAUGGUGAAGAAGCUCAAAUUGCUGAUCAAGAAGAAGAAGAUCAAUUGUUUGUGGCCACUUGCAUUUCCAGAAAUGACUCAAGUGAAAGCUGGCUCAUUGAUAGUGGUUGCACCAACCACAUGACACAUGACAGAAACAUAUUCAAGGAGCUGAAACAAACAACUUCAAAGGUUCGAAUUGGAAAUGGAGAAUACCUUGCUGUUGAAGGAAAGGGAACCGUGGCAAUCUUGACUUGCUCAGGUACUAAGUUCAUCUCUGAUGUAUUGUAUGUCCCUGGUAUAAAUCAAAAUUUAUUCAGUGUUGGUCAGCUUAUUGAGAAGGGUUAUAAAGUAGUGUUUGAAAACAAUUGCUGCUUGAUCAAAGAUGUGAAUGGUCAUGAUAUUUUCAAAAUAAUCAUGAAAGGGAAGAGUUUUGCUUUAAAUCCAUUAGAGGAGGAGCAUAUUGCUUUCCCAAUUAAAGAAAAUAUCACAGAUAUUUGGCACAAGAGGCUCGGGCACUAUCAUCAUAGAGGGCUGAUGCUUAUGAAAUCCAAGAUGAUGGCUAAGGAUUUCCCAGCACUUGAUGAUCACAUAUCCAGCUGCAGAACUUGUCACACUGGCAAGCUAAACAGGAAGCCCUUUCCAGAAGCCACAUGGAGAGCAACAAGGAAGCUGCAAUUGAUUCAUACUGACAUUGCAGGACCAUAAAGGACACCCUCUCUAAAUGGGAGUCUGUAUUAUGCUGUCUUCAUUGACGAUUACAGCCGAAUGUGCUGGAUUUUCUUCUUGAAGCACAAGUCAGAGGUAGCACAGGUGUUCUGGAAUUUCAAGGCCAAAGUUGAAAAUGAAAGUGGCUGCAAAAUUCAAGCCCUCAGAUCAGACAAUGGCAAGGAAUACACUUCCAAUGCCUUCAACAUUUUUUGUGAGGAGGCAGGCAUUCAUCAUCAGCUAACAACUCCGUAUACUCCUCAACAAAACGGAGUUAGUGAGAGGCGAAACAAGUUCAUAUUGGAAAUGACAAGAUGCUUGCUACAUGAGAAGAAUUUACCAAAGAAAUUCUGGGCAGAGGCUGCAAACACUGCUGUGUUCUUGCAAAACCGACUGCAUACAAGAGCCUUGAAGGAUCAAACACCCUUUGAGGCAUGGUAUGGUUACAAACCAUCUCUGAAUUUUCUUAAGGUAUUUGGAUGUUUGUGCUUCACCCUUGUUCCACAGGUCAAGAGGGAUAAACUUGACAAGAAAGCACUUCCAGGCAUUUUUGUUGGCUACAGCUUAGUUUCAAAGGCUUAUAAGAUUUUCCAACCACAAACUGGAAAAAUCAUUAUAAGCAGAGAUGUCCAAUUCCUGGAAGAUGAAGAAUGGGACUGGAACGAUGCAAUCAAAGAAGAUUCAACCUCUCCAAAAGGCAAUUAUCUUGUUUCAGACACAGAUGAUCAAAGCAUGGAAGAUUGGGACAUCAACAUGACAGAUGACACUCCUGUUACAGGCACACGGUCACUCCUUGAUGUGUAUCAAAGGCGCAACAUUGCUGUGUGUGAACCAGCAGACUUUGAAGAAGCCAAGCUAGAUCAAAAUUGGCUUGCUGCGAUGAAGGAGAAGCUUCUCAUGAUCAAGAGAAACAACACGUGGGAGUUGGUUGACAGACCUCAAAACAGAAAUGUAAUCGGUGUAAAAUGGGUGUAUCGAACAAAACUCAACGCUGAUGGCUCAAUCAAUAAGCUCAAAGCCAGGCUAGUGGUGAAGGGUUAUGCACAAAUCUUUGGCGUGGACUACUCAGACACGUUUGCACCGGUAGCAAGACUUGACACUAUCAGGCUGCUACUUGCCAUUGCAGCACAACUGAAUUGGAAGGUGUAUCAAAUGGACGUCAAGUCAGCAUUUUUAAAUGGUGUUUUGCAGGAGGAGAUCUAUACUGAGCAACCAGAAGGCUUUGCAAAUGAAGGAGAGGAGGACAAAGUCUGUCUUCUUAAGAAGGCACUAUAUGGAUUGAAGCAAGCUCCAAGAGCUUGGUACAGCCGAAUCGAUGAACAUUUGCAGCACUUGGGAUUCACUAAAAGCCUCUCUGAAUCGACUCUUUACAUCAAGCAAAAUGGUGAUAACAUCCUUAUCAUCUCACUUUACGUUGAUGAUUUGCUUGUAACAGGAAAUAACAACAAUAAUGUGGAGAUAUUCAAGCAAGAGAUGAUGAGUGUAUUUGAGAUGACAAAUUUGGGUUUGAUGUCCUUUUUUCUUGGAAUGGAAGUUAAGCAAGUUGAACAUGAAGUGUUCAUAUGUCAGAAGAAGUAUGCCAAAGAAAUCCUCAAAAAGUUCAAACUUGAAGAUUGCAAAGCAGUAAGCACUCCUAUGAAUCAAAAGGAGAAGCUAUGUAAAGAAGAUGGAGCCGAGAAGGUUGAUCAAGCACAAUUCAGAAAAAUUGUUGGAUGCUUGAUGUAUCUCACUGCAACUAGGCCUGAUAUUUUGAAUGCUGUGAGUAUCUUGUCUAGAUUCAUGCAUUGUGCUAGUGAAUUGCAUUUCAAGGCUGCUAAAAGAGUGAUAAGAUAUGUCAAAGGAACCUGCAAUUUUGGCAUAAGAUACACAAGAAGUAGAGAGUUCAAACUGGUCGGGUACUCUGACAGUGAUUGGGGAGGCUCAAUUGAUGACUUGAAGAGCACAUCAGGCUACUGUUUCUCUUUAGGUUCUGGUGUGUUUUCAUGGAAUUCAAAAAAGCAAGAAACCGUAGCCCAAUCCACUGCUGAAGCUGAGUUUGUGGCUGCAACAGCUGCUGUCAAUCAAGCUUUGUGGCUGAGGAAAAUUUUAUCUGAUCUUAACCUGGAGCAAAAGGAAAGCACAGAAAUUCUAGUUGACAAUCAAGCUGCCAUUUCCAUCUCUAAUAAUCCUGUGUUUCACGGGAAAACCAAGCACUUCAACAUCAAAUUAUUCUUUUUGAGAGAGGUGCAGAAAGAUGGGAGUAUCAUUCUUAUUUACUGCAAAACUGAAGAACAAGCAGCUGAUAUUUUCACCAAACCACUGCCAGUCAACAAAUUCGAAUUUCUGAGAACAAAGUUGGGAGUUUGCAGCUCCUAAACAAGGAGGAGUGUUAGAAAUAAUGUUCAGGACUGCUGAGCUGGAAUUUUAUUCUUUCUUAAUUUUUGAUUUAGUCAAUUUUGUUCCUAUUCUCUUGUUCUUGCUGCUACUUCGCAGCUCUGUUAUUUCCAUUAUCAAUUGAUCAUGGCUUGAAUGUAGGACCAUGAUCGUAGGAGUUUGUUAUGUAUCAGCUCUAUAAAUUGAGCUACAGUUAUGAAUAAAGUAUUCAAGCUUUUCAUUCAUCAAUCUCUUCUUAAACACAAGCAUUAUCCUUUGUUAUUUUUGUUGUUCAGAAUCACUGCAACAACGACACGGACCGUGGCGCUGACUGGCGGGUGGUUCUUCUUUCUUUCUCUGCGUUUCCCUUCUGCUUUUUUUCUAUUCUGCUCUGUUCUUCCUCUUGUUCCCUGUUUUAUUCUUUCUCUCCCUCUCUGGUCCUCUCAAACGUCCCUUGGAGCUGCUGCCUGAAGAUGAAGACGAAGUUGAGGGUGAUCAGUGCUCUGAUCGGGCGACGUUUCUUUCUUUCUUCUGCUACUGUUUUCGUUUCUGAUUCUCCUCGUUCAAUUCUUAUUUGCACUCUUCUUCUUCUUCGUCUCUGGUUUUUGAAAUGACGAAGACGAUGGCAACGCUGGUUCUAAUCUCAACGAUUUCCUCUUCUUACAUUCUUUCCUUUUGCUCGUUUCUGUCUCCCUCUCGUGCUGCUCCCCACUUUCUCUCUUGUCCUGCUCGCUCUCCCUCCCUGUCUCCUCUUCUUUUUUUUUUGUUGUCCGUCUCUCCUCUAGCUUUUUAUAGCCAGAGGAUGCAUGCUUUUCGGGAUUUAUUGCAGGAAGGUUGUAACGGCCGGCGUGCAUCAUGGUGGAGAGGGAUAUCAGCCGUGAGACGUGCUCCCCUGAUUGAAGCAGCUCCACCACUAACGUCUUCACUUCCUUUUACUGUAGAAACCGUUGUUGAUGAAGAAGGUAAUGAACAGUUGUCAAGGAAAUGGUACCGUUUUAAAAUUCAAAAUGAAUAUUUCCGAUUUGGUCAUUGGAUUUUUUGCAAUUUUGUAAUCAAGCCCCCGAAUAAAUUGUAAUUGGAUCUCUGGAUUUUAGCCCCAUUUACAAGACAAUCUUUGGUUCUGGAUUCAUGCGAUUUGACUCUCAAUUGAUCAAUAAACUUCUAAUUUCUUUAAUUUAGCCCCUGACUUGGUCAAUUGCAGCCCUUAUAUUUACACGCCUUUUCCGGUUUGAUCCUUGGUUUCGGAUUUUUUCAAUCAAGUCCCUAAUUGCCCAUAAAACUUUAAUAAUUAUGCAAUUAAGCCCCUGAUUUGACCAAAUCAACUCUUCAAAAUUAUAAUUGGACCUUAGAACUUUAAUUUCUUCGAAUAAAAGCCUAAAUAGACAUAAAACUCAAUUUUUCUUUCAAUCAAACCCUCCAUAAAUUCAAUUAAACCUUUAAUAAAAUUUAAUUGAGUCCAUAAACAUCUGAUUUUAGAUAUAUUUUUUUAAAAUUGAAUUUUCUUUGUCAACAGGGCUCUCAUUAGUCAACGAUAUACUGUCAAAUUUCAAUCUUUAUAUUUUUUAACCUCCUCAACCAAUUUUUGGCCAUUUUGAGCAGUCCGACAGCUUUCACUGUGACAUAUAUAUUUUUUUAUUUAUAUUAUUUAAUUAAUUUAUUAUUAUUUAUUUAUUUAAUUUUUUUCAACUCUUACUUUUUGUAUUUUCUUCUUUUUUGUGUGGGGUCCCAAAAAUGGAUAACAACACUUAAGUUCAAAUCUAUUAAUAAAAAUAUAGUUUUAUUGACUUUUUUAUAUACUUUUAUUAGAGAAAUCAAUGUAAACAAAUUUAUGGACAAACAUUAGUUUAUCAAGUACUUAAAUAGAAAAAUAAAAUCAAUUAGAGUACUUGAAUAAAAAAAAUAUAAAUUAUAAGCAUUUUAUAUAUCUUUAUUGUUCAUAAAUUAAAAAUAAAAUAAAAUCAAUCCAGACUAAUCUAAAAAGAGUUAACUAUGACAUCAUCAUUUUGAUAGUAAAACUAAUGAAGAUAUUUUAUUGAUUAAAUUCCGUGAAUAUAAGUAUUCAAAUUGAAAAAAAAAAACAUUGAUACAAGAUUUUAAAUAAAAAAAUUAUAAAAUACAUAUAAUUUGUACUUCUCAUUGUCUCUUUUGCAUUGCUAACACUUAACAAAUUGAAUAUAUAAUUCUCAUGUCAAUAACGUCAGAAUAAAUUUAGCUACAUGACAUAAUAAUACCUGUUUAUUUUUGUAUUUUAAAAAUAUUUUAAAAACAUUAAAUUGUUUUAAAUAGAUAACUUUUGAAUCAUCAAGUAGUGAAACACAGGAAAAGCGAAGAAAGUGAAGAAUAAUCAAAGUGGUGCGUGUCCACAUCAAUUUUUGUCCAUGUUUUUGGUAUUAAUCUCUUCAUCUAUUUACAGCUGGAGAAAAGAACAUCACCUACUACUUUUCUUGUCUCUUCUUACUUGGAAGAUCAGGUAUGUGAAUCUUUGAGUGCCACUUAUUUUAGUACAUAGACUUAGUUAUUUGACCACAACUUCACCACAAGUUAAAUUGUUUUAAUUAAAAAAAUUUAUAUAAAGAUUUCUUCAAUAAAUUUUUUAUUUAAAAAAUUUCUAAGUGAAAAUUAAAAAACUUAUACACAAAUAUAGUUAAAUAAAUCAAGAAUUAUGUGUGUUAAUAAGUGAAAAAAACCAUAAAUGAUGACUCAAAAUAAAAACUGAAAAAAUCAACUGAUAAAUGUAGAUCAAAAUAUUUAAUUUCACAAGACGUGAUAUUAAUGCAGUUGUGUUUUCUAAAAUUUUUAAUUAAAAUAAUUUUUUAAUUUGAUCAAACGAUAAUAAAAAUAGACACACAUAUUAUAAAUUGAUUGAAUAAAAUAAAAAAUAAUAAUAAUAUGCUAGGCUUUAUAUAUUGGAAAUAUUAUUUAAAAAUAAUUUUUUUUAUUUUAAAAAAUAAAAUUUAUCUAUUAAAAAAAUUUAUAUAUUAAAUUCAAAAUAAAUAAACUUUAAAAUAAUUUGCAAGGCUGCACAUAACCCCUUUAAAAGGAAAGUGAUAUAACAAACGUGGAACAAUUUUUAUUAACUAAAUAAACUUAAUAACUAUUAAUAUUAAAUUCGAAAUAUAUAUUAAAACCUAUUAUAUUAAUUUUUGAAUUUAUCAAUUCAGAUGUGAAUUAUAUUUCUAAAAUGUUAUAAGAAAUUUCUAUAUACGACAACUAGCUUAAGAAAGUGAUGUUCAUCAAAACCAUAGAGUACAGAAAAAGAAUUGAAUUGCAUAAAAUUAAGUAAUUAACGGAAACUUAUAUUCCUUCUUAAAACGUUGACCCCAAGUCAAGUUUAUUUAUUAUUAUUUUUUUUGAAAAAAACAUGAAUAAAAGUUAAUGCUAGGCACAUGGGAUAUAGAAGACUUGCAACUUUCUUUAUAGAAAUUACGUGUGUAAAAUUUAGGCCUUGAAAAAAAAUUAAAAAUAAAAUACUAUUAAUCGUGUUGAUAAAAAUUAAUAUAGAGACUUUAUUGAUAAAAAUUCAUAAGAGCAAGUAUUCAAAUUACAAAAAAUAAAAAUAUUUCUUCAAAUUUUCAAUAAAAUUUAUUUCUUGAAAUUAAUGCAUUAAACAAAAUUAAAAUAGUAGUAAAAGUAAAUUUAGUUUUUGAUUGAAGUGUAAACUAGUGGUAAAUGAACAAAAAGAAACUUUAUUGAUUUCUCCAAAAACAAUAUAUAUAUUAUUGAAUAUCUAAUGGAAAGGAUUAUGAAACUCCGCCUAAUAUAUAUAUAUAUAUAACAGAGAAAUUGUCGAUAAUAGCUAUGAUCUAAGUAACUGGACCACGACGAAGACAUAUACAAGAAACAAAAAAAAGAUACUUCACUAACAAUUGGGGUUCUUCAUAAGCUUCAAUAGAAUUGAUAGAGGGUCGAAACAAAAAAGAGAUGAAGAGAGAGGAGGGAAUGGAAAGAAGGGAAAAGAGAACUCUUGCGAUCUGUUGAAUAAGACUCAGUAUAUAUAUAUAUAUAUAAAAUAAAAAAAACUCAAGUUAGCGCAUCAAAUCUUCGACUUGGAUUAUGAGAUCGGGAUAAGAAAACUUAAUAUUUAAAAAUAAAAUUAAAGAAAAAAACUAUAAAAACAUAUAUGGUUUAACAAUAUUAAUCAAUUAUUAAAAUCUUUCAUUUUAUAUAUAUUAAAAAUAAAUAUUAAUAACUAUUAUAUCAAUUUGUGAAUGUUUCAAUUAGGAUGCGAAUAAAUGUUUUAUAUAUGACAUUUUUCUUAAGAAACCAAAGUUAUUAAGCAUGUUUAGAUUUAAUUACCAAAUGAGAGUGAGGGUUGAGGUUAUAGAUUGACCUAAUUAAUACUCAGAUCAAGAUUUAGGUCCUAGAUCGGACAAAUUAGCUUAUUGACUAGUGUUAAUAAAAAAUUGUAUCAUUUUAUGAUUUUUGUUAUAGAAAAAAUCAAAAUGGUGUUGUUAAAAAAAGUAAAACUAGGUUUUAACUGAGUUGACUAGGUUGUGGGUUGAUUUAUCUGGUCAACUAGGCUCAAUUGAGUCAACUCUCACUUGGUUUUUUCUAAACCUAAAUAGGGUUAGGUUCCAGAUUAAAAUGUAAGGCUUGAAUUAAAUUUAAUAACAUUGAUUAAAACCACAAUGUAGGAAAAAAAAUUGAAUUCAUAAAAGUAAUUAACCGAAAACUUGAAUUCCUUCUUAUAAAGUUGAACCCAUGUCGGUUUUUUUAAAGGAAAAGUAUGAAUCAAAGGUUAACGCUAGGCUGCUCACUUUGCAUCACAAUGACAGAUAUGGAAGGCUUGCUACUUUCUUUAUGGAAAUAACGUGUGGAAAAUCAUGCAUUAAUUUUGAUGUUGAUGGCAAAAUCAAACAAUAUCGUUGAUAAAAUGAAUGACAAAUGAUAUUAUUUUUAAAAUACUUCUUGUCAUUGUCAUGACAACAAGUCUUCUUUUUUUUCUUUCUAAAGUACUUGUCAGUCUAUUUUUAUGUAACCCAAUCAACAAGUAAGAUGGAUAGAAAUUUGCAGUGUAAAAUGGGUCUGUGAGACUAUGUAUCGCCAUCUGCAUUUUUCCACGAUCUAGGCCAGUGGGAUGGUACAUGAGACCAUUGCUAUCAAGCGUUUUUUCUACGAGAUGGGUCCAUGAGACCAUUGCCCUGUAAGCUUGGGAAUGGAUAAUUAAUAUGCUUUAAUGUCUAUUUAGUUUGCAAAAAAAAUAAUUAAAUGCUUAUGAAUAAAAAAUAAAUCUCAAGUGUUAAAAUGCAACCACCGAUUAAUUAAUGGACAAUGGACCUUAGAUUAAUACAUGACGCAACUUUCAAUGGAAUUAUAUUUGUGGAGGUAUUUACUCGGAUGCGAAUUAUAUUUCUAUUUUUUUAUUUAAAAAAAUUCUAUACUACAACGAGCUUAAGAAAGUCAUGUUCAGGGGCGGAGCUAUAAUUAUUUGUUAGGAAGAUCAAAAUUAAUAUAAUAAGAUAUAAAAUUUAUUUUAAUUUAUUAUACAUGAGUUCUAAAACAAAACCUGUAUAAUUUAGUUUUAUUCAAAUAACUUACUACAAACAUAUAAUAACCUUUGUGAAGUAUAUUGGGACUGCUCAACCAUAACUUUAACAUUACACAUUGGAGUUGGUUCACUAGGCUGUGAGUUAUCAAUAUUUUUUAUUUUUCUUUUUCAAAAAAAAAUCAAUUCUUCUUAUUUUGUUCAUGGUUCAACCUAAAAUCAAAACAUAUAUCGUAAGAAAAAAUUGAUAAUUUAGUGACUCUGCUAAAAAUAAAACAUAAAACAAAUCCAAGCAUAAUCAAAACAAAACCAAUAAAAUAUAUCUAAUUAAUUAGAAAAAAAAUCAUUAUAAUAAGAAUUCAAAAAAAAAUGGUAAAACUAGCAGAUCUGAGAAAAAAAAAGAGCAAAAAUGAUAGAAAUAUAAAAAAAAUCUCAUCAAAUUAUUAACAAACAUCUCAAAACAAAACAAAUAUAGAUUUUAAAUUUAAGUUACUUUGUUUUGUUUGAUGAAAGAUAAAUUAAUUGGUGGCUCUGCUUCAAUCUUUUUGUAGAAACAUUUUGCUCACAAUUUGUAUUUUUAUUUCUUUGUUUGAUCGGCUGCAGGAUUUAUAUUAGGGUAAAUUAAUGGUUUUGUUUUUUAUUUCACAAAGUAAUGCCUUAAUAUUGUUUUCUUCCAUCUAGGUCAAGAGUAAAUUAAAAGGAAAUCAAAAGUAAAGUCAAUAAUAACCCAAAGUAAUGCCUUAAUUAUUUGAUGUCACAAAGUAAUGCUUUAAUAACCCAAUAAUAAAAAAACAAAAUGUCUUGAGGGGGGCUCGGGCCCCUGCUUGCCCCCUACUUCCACCCUUGGUCAUGUUCAUCGAAAAAAAAAAUUAUAUUUACUCGGAUGUGUUUUUUCUACGAGAUGGGUCCAUGAGAACAUUUCCAUCUGCAUAUUGGUUCUUGAGACCGUUACCAUCAGGGGCGGAGACAGAGGGGCUGGCAGGGGCCCCGGCCCCGGCAAGGAAAAAGUUUUUCCAGCCCCUCCCUUAACAAUAUUUAUAUUUUUAGUUUAAAUAAUAAAACAAUUAAUAUUUUGAUCCCCUUUAAUUUUAUUUUCUGGUUCUGCCCCUGGUUGCCAUCAUGCAUUUUUCCUCGAGGAGAGGCCAUGAGACGUCCUCUUCCAACCAUCAUGCAUUUUUUCCACGAGAUGGGUUCGUGGAGAAACUUUGGUUUAAUUGGGAAUGCUGUUAUUGAUUGGAAACUUUUUAAUUAAAAUAAAUUUGAUUAUUUGAUUGGAAAAAAUCCUUAAAUGUUAUUAACACAAGAAAUGAAUUUAUUUUCUUAAGAAAAAAAUAUUGUAACCAUAUAAGUAAUUUAUUUAUUUAUUUUAAUGAAAUAUAAAAUAGUUUUAAAUCUUGUGGUAUAUUUCUUGUCUUUAAGAGCUAUGAACUUAUAUCGCAAACCUUGAAAACUAAUAUAAAGAUAUUAAGUGAUCAUUAAGUGUGUGUGUAUGUAUAUAAUCUUUUUCAAAACAAAAAGGAUUUUGAUGGAGAUCAGGACAUUGCAACAAAUUAUCCACCACGAGAUGGGUCACUGAUACCAUUGUCAUCAUGCAAUUUUUUCCCACGAGAUGGGGCCGUACGCUUGGGGCUCUAAAACGCUAUGGUUUUUAAUUUCAUUAUGUCACAUCUAGAAUGGCAGGUAUAUUUUAUUUCAAUUUAAACAAUGGAAUAAAUUAGAAGAUAUUUCAUCUCGUUUGGAAUCUUAUCUCAUUUCAUGAAUUUCACCUAAAUUCUGGCCGGAAUAUUUUGGUUCUAUUCCAGCCAUUCUAUUAUGAUCAAAUAAUGUUUUGUUUUGCUUUUAUAAAAAAAAAAAUAUAGUCUAGUUUUACGGUAUCAAUUAUAUCUCUCAAUUCAACUGUUGAAUUAUACUAAAAUUUUACAAGGAAUCUCCUAACAUAUAUUUAUAUCGCAAGUUAAAAUUUUAGAACAAUUAGAGUUUAGAAAGACUUUGUGAGAUUGCCGAUGACAUUUUCAUAAUUUUAUUUAAAUUCAUAAUUUGGUUUCGUAAGGUCAUUUUUUGUGUCUUCUUUUAGAUUGUUUUGUUUUUCCAAUUUCAUAAUUCAACAAUAAGUUUAUUAAAAAUUGAGAUUCAUAAUUUGUUUUUAUUUUGGAUUAUUAUGGUCUCAUAAUCUGGGUCACGGAUUUAAAAGAUUAACUUAGAUUAACCCGAGUCUAUCCAAUAUGUCGUUGUCUCAAUAUUUUUAACAAACAUAAUUUUAAUUGACAUUUAAAAAUAAACUAACUUAAAAUUAUACAAUUUAAAUUUCAAAUAUAAGUAAAAAUAAAGAGUUAAAUCGAUAUGACCCAUUUGAUUUGAUGAGUCCAAAGUAUAUAUAGAACAAUCCAAAAUGACACAUCAAAAUACUCAAAAACAAAAAUAUAUUGUUACAAUUAAAAAAAUAAAACACCAAUUAAAAUGGAAUUAACAUCCUUGCUUCAUAGAAGCCUAAACUCCUCGCUACCAUUUGCAAGAGAUAGUUAUACCAAUAGCAAUUUAGUAAUGUUGGUCAGAAUUUAAUAUCCUUCUCGAUAAGAAGAUCCUUAUCUUAUCGGAUAAAACCUAAUUGUUCUAACGUCAACAAAAGAAUUUAAUAUUCGGAAUACAUCUUACGUAUAAGGUCGUAACCCAAAUACUAAAAGAAAAAAAAUAAUAUUUUUGGAAUUUUUGAAAUAUUGGUCUAGUUCUCGUGACUUUAAUAAACUGGUUAUUAAAACCAAAAUGCAUGUUAAUACAUAUUUUUGAAUUUUUGUUGUAUGAAAAUAUGAUAUGAUUUUUUUUCUUUGAGAUACUUGGCCAUAUGCAUGAAAAUAAAAACAUGUUUUUUUUUUAAUUUUUCAAUGUUUCGACGAAAACUGGGUAUUUUAAUUCCAGAUUUGUAUCUUUACAGUAUAAAAAUACAAAUCAAUACUAAGAAAAAAUCAAUAGAAAAAUACGCGGUAAAAUCACAGAUUUUUUAAAAUGAUUUUUUUUUGACCGGGUAGGCGUUGUUCGGGUCAGAAAACUAAAACAAACAGUGGAGAGACUCUCUGCUGUUCACAUGCAACGUGAACAGUGGAGCGGCCUGGAGAAGACUAAGAAGAGGAGGAGGAAGAGGAAGAAGCAGACCUGCAGCCUAGCGGUGCUGCCAGUGGCGGUGGACGGUGUUGCGGUUGCGGACCGUGGUGCUGACUGGUUGGUGGUUCUUCUUUCUUUCUCUGCGUUUCCCUUCUGCUUUUUUUCUGUUCUACUCUAUUCUUCCUCUUGUUCCCUGUUUUAUUCUCUCUCCCUCUCUGGUCCUCUCAAACGUCCCCUGGAGCUGCUGCCUGAAGAUGAAGAUGAAGUUGAGGGUGAUCAGUGCUCUGAUCGAGCAACGUUUCUUUCUUUCCUUCUGCUACUGUUUUCGUUUCUGAUUCUCCUUUUUGUUCAAUUCUUAUUUGCACUCUUCUUCUUCUUCGUCGUCUCUGGUUUUUGAAAUGACGAAGACGAUGGCAACGCUGGUUCUGGUCUCAACGAUUUCCUCUCCUUACAUUCUUUCCUUCUGCUCAUUUCCGUCUCCCUCUCGUGCUACUCCCCACUUUCUCUCUUGUCCUGCUGGCUCUCCCUCCUUGUCUCCUCCUUUUUUUUUUUCCUGUCCGUCUCUCCUCUGGCUUUAUAUAGCGAGAGGAUGCAUGCUUUUCGGGAUUUAUUGCAGGAAGGUUGUAACAGCCGGAGUGUAUCAUGGUGGAGAAGGAUAUCAGCCGUGAGACAUGCUCCCCUGAUUGAAGCAGCUCCACCGCUAACAUCUUCACUACCUUUUACUGUAGAAACCGUUGUUGAUGAAGAAGGUAAUGAACAGUUGUCAAGGAAAUGGUACCGUUUUAAAAUUCAAAAUGAAUAUUUCCGAUUUGGUCAUUGGAUUUUUUGCAAUUUUGUAAUCAAGCCCCCGAAUAAAUUGUAAAUGGAUCUCUGGAUUUUAGCCCCAUUUACAAGACAAUUUUUUGUUCUGGAUUCAUGCAAUUUGACCCUCAAUUGAUCAAUAAACUUCUAAUUUCUUCAAUUUAACCCCUGAGUUGGUCAAUUGCAGCCUCUCUAUUUACGUGUCUUUUCCGAUUUGGUCCUUGGUUUCGUAUUUUUUCAAUCAAGUCCCUAAUUGCCCAUAAAACUUUAAUAAUUAUGCAAUUAAGCUCCUGAUUUGACCAAAUCAACUCUUCAAAAUUAUAAUUGUACCCUAGAACUUUAAUUUCUUCCAAUAAAAGCCUAAAUCGACAUAAAACUUAAUUUUUCUUUCAAUCAAACCCUCCAUAAAUUCAAUUAAACCCUCAAUAAAAUUUAAUUUAGUCCAUAAACAUCUGAUUUUGGAUAUAUUUUUUUUAAAAAUGAAUUUUCUUUGUCAACAGGGCUCUCAUUAGUCAACGAUAUACUAUCAAAUUUCAAUCUUUGUAUUUUUUAACCUCCUCAACCAAUUUUUAGCUAUUUUGGGCGGUCCAACAGCUUUCUCACUACGACAUAUAUUUUUAUUUAUUUAUUUAUUAUUAUUAUUUAUUUACUUUUUUUCGACUCUUACUUUUUGUAUUUUCUUCUUUUUUGUGUGAGGUCCUAAAAAUGGGUAACAAUACUUAAGUUCAAAUCUAUUAAUAAAAUAUAGUUUUAUUGAAUUUUUUUAUAUACUUUUAUUAGAGAAAUCAAUGUAAACAAAUUUACGGAAAAACAUUAGUUUAUCAAGUACUUAAAUAGAAAAAUAAAAUCAAUUAGAGUACUUGAAUAAAAAAAAUAUAAAUUAUAAGCAUUUUAUAUAUCUUUAUCGUUCAUACAUUAAGAUAUUUUAUUGAUUAAAUUUUGUGAAUAUAAGUAUUCAAAUUGAAAAAAAAAACAUUGAUGCAAGCUUUUAAAUAAAAAAAAUUAUAAAAUACAUAUAAUUUGCACUUCUCAUUGUCUCUUUCGCAUUGCUAACACUUAACAAAUUGAAUAUAUAAUUCUCGUGUGAAUAACGUCAGAAUAAAUUUAGUUAUAUGACAUUAUAAUACCUUUUUAUUUUUAUAUUUUAAAAAUAUUUUAAAAAAAUUAAAUUGUUUUAAAUAGAUAACUUUUGAAUCAUCAAGUAGUGAAACACAAGAAAAGCGAAGAAAGUGAAGAAUAAUCAAAGUGGUGCGGGUCCACAUCAAUUUUUGUCCAUGUUUUUGGUAUUAAUCUCUUCAUCUAUUUACAGCCGGAGAAAAGAACAUCACCUACUACUUUUCUUGUCUCUUCUUGCUUGGAAGAUAAGGCAUGUGAACCUUUGAGUGCCACUCAUUUUAGUACAUAGACUUGGUUAUUUGACCACAGCUUCACCACAAGUUAAAUUGUUUUAAUUAAAAAAAAUUAUAUAUAGAUUUCUUCAAUAAAUUUUUUAUUUAAAAUUUUUUUAAGUGAAAAUUGAAAAACUUAUACACAAAUAUUGUUAAAUAAAUCAAGAAUUUUGUGUAUUAAUAAGUGAAAAAAACCAUAAAUGAUGACUUAAAAUAAAAACUGGAAAAAUCAAUAAACAAAUGUAGAUCAAAAUAUUUAAUUUCACAAAACGUGAUAUUACAGUUGUGUUUUCUAAAUUUUCUAAUUAAAAUAAUUUUUUAAUUCGAUCAAACGAUAAUAAAAAUAGACACACAUAUUAUAAAUUGAUUGAAUAAAAUAAAAAAUAAUAAUAAUAUGUCAGGCUUCAUAUAUUGGAAAUAUUUUUUGAAAAUAUUUUUUUUAUUUUUAAAAAUAUAGUUUAUCUAUUAAAAAAAUUAUAUAUUAAAUUCAAAAUAAAUAAACUUUAAAAUAAUUUGCAAGGCUGCACAUAAGCCCUUUAAAAGGAAAGUGAUAUAACAAAAGUGGAACAAUUUUUAUUAACUAAAUAAACUCUAUAACUAUUAAUAUUAAAUUCAAAAUAUAUAUUAAAAAUAAAUAUUAAAACCUAUUAUAUUAAUUUGUGAAUUUAUCAAUUGAGAUGUGAAUUAUAUUUCUAAAAUGUUAUAAGAAAUUUCUAUAUACUACAACUAGCUUAAGAAAAUCAAGUUCAUCGAAACCGUAGAGUACAGAAAAAAAAUGAAUUGCAUGAUUAACCAAAACUUAUAUUUCUUCUUAAAACGUUGACCCCAAGUCAAGUUUUUUUUUUUUUUUGAAAAAAACAUGAAUACAAGGUUAAUGCUAGGCACAUGACGAUGAUGGAUAUACAAGACCUGCUCCUUUCUUUAUGGAAAUUACGUGUGGAAAAUUUAGGCCUUGAAAAAAAUUAAAAAAAAAAUACUAUUAAUCAUGUUAUUUGCAUUAUGGCAAAUAUAGAGACUUGAUUGAUAAAAAUUUAUAAGAGCAAGUAUUCAAAUUUUAAAAUAAAUAAAUAAAUCAAUUCAAGUUUUUAAUUAGAAAAAACAAGAUACAAAUACUCUGUGUAAGUGCCACUAACUCUUUGUAUUUUCUAACUAUUAAAGAAUUGAAUAUAUAAUACACGGGUGAUAAACAUCAAAAUAAAUCCAAUUGUAUAAUUUACUAAGAUUUUAAAAACUAACACUACAUAGAAAAAAAAAUCUUAAAAUAAAUAACAGAAAACUUGUAUUCCUUCGAGGGGUGUUUGAGAGUGUGGUAGCGGUUGCUUUUCAAAGUUUUUUCCCUUAAAAAUGCAUCAAAAUAAAUUUUUUUGAUUUUUUAAAAAUUAUUUUUAACAUCAUUAUAUCAAAAUGAUCUAAAAAUAUUAAAAAUAUAUUAAUUUAAAGCAAAAAAUAUAAAAAAAAUUAAAAAAUUUUAAUAAUACUUUUAAAAUACUAAAACAAACAAGAUAUUAAAAAAUAUACUACAAGUCAAAGUCUUUUUGAAAAAAAACAUUAAUAAAAGGUUAAUGGCAGGUAGCUUAUUUUCUGCCCUAAUAAAGCUCAAGGUCUGUUCAGAAAACUAAGUACGUAGGCAUACACCCAAUCCAAGCACCAUCAAAUCAUUUUUUAUACAUAGGGAUAGGAACGCUAGCUUCACAUGAUAGAUAAAAAAAAUUAAAAGAUAAUAAAAUUAAAAAAAUAAUUAUAAUCUUAUAUAUUAUUUUAAAUAAAAUAAAUAUUGAUUAAAAAAACCAAAUAUAAUAAAUUAAAAUAUUUAAUUUAAAAAAGAUAAGAGAAAAGUAAAUGAGAAUUAAAGUUGAUAUAAAAAUUAAAUUAUAAAAUAUAAAAUUCAAAAAAAAAAUAAAACCAAUUUUUUUUUUCUAAAAGAUAAUAUUCAGAUUAAAAGCAUUAUAAAAAGAAUAGCUCCUUGUUUCUUCCUUGUUUCAAUUUCAAGAUAUUAAGAUUAAAACCCAAUCGUAUAGCUGGUUGGGUUGAGAAGAAAGGUUUGCUUUUGUAUUACAAAUUAUUUAGAUUAGUUUUUUUUUAAAAUUAAUCAAAUUAGUAUCAUUUUGGUUCUCCAUCGAAGAAAAUAGAAAACAUAUUUAGUAAUAAGGUGUUGUUUAAUUCCUUAUAUUAUUAAUAUAAUCAUGGCAUCAUCACUGUAACAAUAAGUCCUCUUACUUGUAUUUUCACCGUCCCAACCUCUUUACAUGGCGUCACCGUAGCAAUUAUAUAUCUCUUGAUCAAUCAUAAUUAAAUUACUGUAAUAAUAUCUUUUUUUAUUCUUUUAUAUGAAGUCUUAAUUUAUUUUUUUAUAUAGGUAGUUAUGAAUUACAGAAAUUGAACAAUUUAGAGAUCUUUGACUUAGAAUCUAAUUGUUUCGAUAACAGUAUUAUAUUAUAGAGGGAUUUUUAUCCCUUAAAUUAUUAUAUUUAGAUUAAAAAAUAAAAACUAAUUAGGAGUCAAUUAAAUAAAUAAAUAAAAACCCUCAAAAGAUAAAAGAAGAAAACAUAAAAAGUACACUACCCAACCAAUAAUUGACCUGAAUCACAUGUUGUCCACUGCCAGAACUUAUUAGCAAUCUGCUUACAACAGCAAAUUGAUCAAUAAGAAAGACUUAAAUUCCAAAUUUAAAAACCAACUCAAUUGAGAUCCUUAUUAUUCAUUCAAUUAGUUGCUUCUUGCUAACUCUUUUAUUUCCUUUAUAAUUUUAAUUCAUUUUAAUAUAAUUUCUUGAUUGUGGCAAGCUUCCUUUAUCUCAAGAACUUGGAAUACUUGGAUUUCCCAAGAAAAAAUUAACUUAAGACUUUAGUUAAUGCUAUGAACACGAGUAAAUGAUAUGCUAAAGAAAAAACCAUGUAUUUAAGAACCAUUGCUAAGCUACAGGUUCAGGAGCCAUAAACCACUCACAUUUAGUGGGGUUGAUCUCAAAUUCAGACAAAUCUACUUGUCCAGUUCGGAGAACCUUCAAACAAAAAGAAGAAUGAAACCUUGUAAAAUUGGCUAUCAUCAAAAGGACAAGAAACAGUACAAGAAGGAUCAGCCUCGCAUUUCUUGCAUAAGUAAAAGAAUCCACUUGUUAAUGGAAAGGAGGACUCUGCAACAAGUCUAAAAUAUCCUCUGGAGUUCAGUGACCCUACAACCUUAUAUUUACCUCAGAAUGCACCCACGUAAAGCACACAGGAAAUCCCAACACAUAAGACAACAAAAGAAAACAUAUAAUUAGCAGAAAAAAAAAGGUUGUACAAUUCUUUCAUAGCUUACAGUACGUAUAGAAUAAGCAUUAUCAAAUCAGGCUAACAUACCUCAGGUAAGUGAGAUGUUAAUCCUUCUUCAAGCGGCAAUGUCUCAAUCAAUGACAUUAUCAAAUCAGGCUUCAGUAUAUCCCCUAAUCCCAAGCCUAGGACAACAAAAGAAAACAUCAUGAAAAAAAAUGAUUUUACAGUAAUGCACCCAGUGCCAGAGCAUAUAAUUAGCAGAAAUAAAGGUUGUACAAUUCUUUCACAGCUUACAAUACGUAUAGAAUAGGCAUUAAUAAUUACCUUCAUCUGGAUCGGCCAAACUACCUGCAACAUCUAUCAUCACAUCACGGCGCGGGCCACCCUAAGUACAGCAAACAAGGAUAUGGUCAAUUGCACUAUCUGAGCAUAACACAGAUAUUACUCAGGAUUCUUUGCAAGUCUUCCAAUUUCACUGGUUCUGAUGAAGAGUUUACAUCAUUCAUUACUUCUGCACCAAGGUCUGGGACAACUAAGUUUCCAGUCCUGAGAGCUAUGAGCAAAAAUCUCAUCAGAAUAAAAGAAAAUGGCAACGUAAUACUGGGCCAUUUCUUUUUUGUAAUAAAAGUGCUCCUUAACCUUUUUGAAGUUAUUUUACAAUGAAUUACAAGCAUUAAACUUGUAUAUACAUGGACAAACACCAAGUUAUGAUUCUAAAUUUCCAUAUAAAAGAUGCCCCAAGUUUUAAAAUUUACCCCGAGGGCAAGUCUGUGCAAGAGCAUAAGGGGAUGAAGGAUUUGACAUGGACUAAGGUGGGUGAGAUGUUUUUGUCAAGAAAUGAUUUUGGAAAAUUUCUUGAUAUUUCUUGAAUAAAUAAGAUAGGAGUCUUCAUCAAGGCAAGAACAUAGGCUCUCCAAGAUAAUUGACCAGAAGGAGAGAAGGGAGGCUCAUCCUGCUCCACAGACUCUUAGUCUCAAAGAACAAAAAAUUACUUGGCUCUAUAUCCUUACUCUUACUUGCUAUAUCAACUCUUAGAGUUGAAGUAUCUGAAAGGGUUUAUUUUUAGUAUUUGAAUAAGUCCAUGAGUCCCUAGUCUUCAGGAAGAUAUACAUGGUCAAGAUUAAAUUAAGGAUUUUAGUUGCUUAUUUUUCGUUAUUUCAUGUGCCACGUUACUGUGAACGUGAGCUAUUUUUCAGUCUUAUUAUUAUUCCUGUAAGGCUAUUUAUUAGCCAUUUCCAUUCAGUAAAAGCAAUUCAUUCAAUUCAAAUACUGUGCACUUUUGUUCUUAUUCUUUACAAUUGGUAUCAGAGCUAUUACAUCUGACCUGUUACGAAGAAAUAGAUACAAAAGGAAGACAUAUUUUUGAGUGACUUCAAACUUAGAGUGAGUGAGUGCUUGAGUGCUUUUAAACACAGAGUGAGUGAGUUUGAGUGUUUUUUAAACACAGAGUGAGAAAGAGAGUUCUUGAGGGUCAAUUUCAACAAUGGCAGCAGAGUCCAGCAAUUUUGUAUCACCUUGCAUCCCGAAAUUUGAUGGAGACUACGAGCAUUGGAACAUGCUAAUGGAGAAUCUCUUGCAUUCCAAAGAGUAUUGGAACGUUAUUGAGACAGGAUAUGUCGAGCCUGCAUCAGGGGAAAUUCUGAAUAAUGCACAGAAAAAGACAUUGGAGGAGACAAAGCUGAAAGAUUUAAAGGUUAAAAAUUACCUUUUUCAGUCCAUCGACAAAUCCAUUCUGAAGACUAUUACUCAAAAAGACACAGCAAAACAGUUGUGGGAUUCCAUGAAGAUCAAAUACCAAGGAAAUACAAGGGUUCGGCGUGCUCAACUUCAAAUCUUUCGCAGGAAUUUUGAAGUGCUGGAAAUGAAACAAGGAGAAACUGUCACAAGUUAUUUUGGAAGAGUUAUGCUGGUGGCAAAUGACAUGCGAAAUCUGGGAGAAAGCAUACCUGAUGAGAAGAUUGUAGAGAAGAUUUUACGCACACUUACUGAGAAGUACAAUUACAUAGUGUGCUCCAUUGAGGAGUCUAAAGAUAUUAAUCAUCUUUCAGUUGAUGAGCUGUAGAGUUCAUUACUUGUUCAUGAACAGAAAUUCAAAAGGCAUGACACAGAUGAUCAUGCCCUGAGAAUCUAUGAUGACAGAUUCUGUGGCAGAGGUCGUGGCAGAAACAAUUACAGAAGCCGAGGCCGUGGGGGCAGAACACAAACAUUCAAUAGAGACAUGGUGGAAUGUUUCAGGUGUCACAAACUUGGACACUUCCAAUACGAGUGUCCAACCAUGAACAAGGCAGCUAAUUAUGUGGAGCUAGAUGAUGAAGAUGAGAUGCUGCUAAUGUCCUAUGUUACAUUAGCUAAGACAACACGGAAUGAUGCAUGGUUCCUGGAUUCAGGAUGUUCUAAUCAUAUGUGUGGUUAUAGAGGUAUGUUCUCCUACUUGGAUGAAAAUUUUCAGCAUUCAGUCAAACUUGGAAACAAUAGCAGAAUGGCAGUAGUUAGCAAAGGCAGAGUAAAAUUACUAAUCAAUGGUAUUAAGCAUGUUGUUAAUGAUGUCUAUUAUGUACCAGAGCUUAAAAAUAAUUUACUGAGCAUAGGUCAACUACAAGAAAGGGGCUUAGCAAUUUUAAUUAAGAAUGGAGUUUGUAAGAUUUACCAUCCUGAGAAGGGUUUGAUCAUUCAAACCAAGAUGAGUGCAAAUUGGAUGUUCAUCCUACUUGCACAGACUCAAGCUCCCGUACAUGCACAGACUCAGAAUCAAGAGAAUUGUCUUCUCACCGGUUCUCAAAAUCCCUCAGUGCUAUGGCACAGACGGUUCGGUCACUUAAGCUACAAAGGCUUAAGAACCUUACAAUGGAGACAUAUGGUACAUGGACUGCCCACCUUCUCGACUCCCACCAUCACCUGCACAGAUUGCCUCAAUGGCAAGCAACACAGAGAGGUCAUGCCCAAACACAGCAAAUGGAGAGCAAAUCAGAAAUUGGAAUUAAUUCAUGCAGACAUUUGCGGUCCUAUUUCCCCCGAAUCCAAUAGUGGCAAAAGGUACAUAUUAUGUUUCAUUGAUGAUUUCAGCCGAAACUAUGGGCAUUUCUUUUAGCUACAAAAUCCGAAGCUUUCAUUUAUUUUAAGAAAUUCAAAGCUAUGGUGGAAAAAGAAACCCUAUUGCAUGUGAAGUGUCUAAGGACUGACAGGGGAGGAGAAUUUACCUCAAGUGAAUUCAACGAAUUCUGCAGCCAACAAGGUAUCAAACGGCAGCUCACCACGGCGUACACUCCACAGCAAAAUGGAGUUGCAGAGAGAAAAAAUCGAACCGUGAUGAACAUGGUCCGAUCAAUCCUCUCUGGUAAAGGGAUUCCAAAACCCUUCUGGCCAAAGGUAGUGAACUGGGCCUUCUAUGUGCUCAAUCGGUGCCCAACUUAUGCUUUGACAGACAUCACUCCUCAUGAGGCAUGGAGCGGAACUAAACCAUCAGUAGACCAUUUCAGGGUCUUUGGGUGCUUGGCCCAUGUUCACGUUCCAGAUGUGAAACGGAGUAAGCUUGAUAACAAAAGCUUUGUGUGUGUACUGUUGGGUAUGAGUGAGGAGUCAAAGGGGUACAAGUUGUUUGAUCCUUUAAACAAAAAAAUCGUGGUUAGCAAAGAUGUGAUCUUUGAGGAGGACAAACAGUGGGAUUGGGAUGUUGCUUAUGAAGAACAAAUCUUGACAGAUUUGGUUUGGGGUGACAGAGAAGGAACACGUGAAGAUGGUGAUAAUAGUGAUGACAAUCACGGGGAUGAGAGUGGUGAACGUGAGGCUGAAAUCAAUGGGGAAGAAGGGGAAGAAAACGAAGAACACAGACACAUUGUCUGUGAAGAUGAUGAAAAUGCUGAGAGAGAAGAAGAAGAAGCUGAGUUAAAUGAUCUUACGGUGUGUAUGCUGCCAGUUGGAAGAAUAGGUGAGCAGGUCAAUCCUACGGCAUGAACGCGGCCAAGUGAACAAAGGGAGAUGACAGAUGGCAAAAUAGAUGUUAAUCCAACGGUGAGAAUUCAGUCUGACAGGGAGAGUGAUUAGAUGACAUGUGGCGUACAUCCAACGGCACAAAACAUGGCAGACGGAGAGAAUGAGCUGCUGACAAGUGGAGACAAUCCAACGACUGACAUGCAAUCUGACGGGGAGAGUGGCCUGCUGACAAGUGGAAGAAGAGAAAGGGGUCCUCCGGUGUGGAUGCAAGAUUAUGUUACAGGGGAGGAUUUAUCUGAAUAUGAGUCCAAUAUGGCACUAAUUAUGUCUUCUGAUCCCAUUUAUUUUGAAGAUGCUGUGAAAGUUAACACUGGAGACUUGCUAUGGACAGUGAAAUUAAUGCAAUAGAGAAGAACAAUACCUGGACGCUCAACGAGUUGCCGGAGGGAGCAAAAAAAAUUGGAGUCAAAUGGGUCUACAAAACAAAGUACAACGAACAUGGGGAUGUUGAUAAAUACAAGGCAAGGCUAGUUGCCAAAGGGUACUCGCAACAACACGGAAUUGACUAUACAGAAGUCUUUGCACCAGUGGCAAGGAUGGAUACAGUAAGGAUGAUUAUUGCUCUCGCCGCUCAAAAAAACUGGAUUGUUUAUCAGUUGGAUGUCAAAUCGGCUUUUCUGCAUGGGGAAUUGCAUGAAGAUGUUUAUGUUGAUCAACCAAAAGGGUAUGAAAAGAAGGCUAGCGAACAUCUAGUUUACAAGCUGCAUAAAGCGUUGUACGGGUUAAAACAAGCUCCAAGAGCUUGGUUCAGUCGAAUCGAGGGUCAUUUUUUCAAUGAAGGCUUUCUACGGUGUGAAAGUGAGCAAACUUUAUUCACAAAGAGAAGCAGGGAAGGAAAGAUUAUCAUUGUAAGUGUUUACGUUGAUGAUCUAAUAUUUACUGGCGAUGAUACACAUAUGUUGUCUGAAUUCAAAAACUCCAUGAUGAGGGAGUUUGACAUGUCAGAUUUGGGGAAGAUGCGGUAUUUCUUGGGAAUCAAAGUAUUACAGCAUUCAGGUGGCACCUACAUAUGUCAGAAGAAAUAUGCACUAGAGGUGUUGAAGAGGUUUGGUAUGAUGGAAUGCAAUGCGGUGAAAAAUCCAAUAGUUCCCGGAUGCAGAGUCAACAAAGAUGAAGGCGAAGCUAAAGUAGAUGAAACAUAUUAUAAGCAGUUAGUGGGCAGCCUAAUGUAUCUCAUAGCAACAAGACCAGACAUGAUGUUUGUUACUUGUCUCAUCAGCAGAUACAUGGCCAAACCUACGGAACUUCAUCUACAAGUAGCAAAAAGGGCACUUAGAUAUCUAAGAGGGACAAUAAAUUUUGGAAUUUAUUACAAGAAAGGGGGAAGUGAUGAACUACUCUCAUUUACGGAUAGUGAUUAUGCUGGAGAUAUGGAGGAUAGAAAGAGUACAAGUGGAUAUGUUUUUUUGUUAAGCUCAGGAGCAGUCUCAUGGAGUUCGAAGAAGCAACCAAUAGUGACUCUUUCUACAACUGAAGCAGAAUUUGUAGCAGCCGCAAUGUGUGUAUGUCAAGCUCUUUGGAUAAAAAGAGUCUUGAAGGAAUUGGGACACUCAAAUAAUGAGUGCACACAAGUGAAAUGUGAUAACAGCUCAACUAUUAAAUUGUCCAAAAAUCCAGUGAUGCAUGGACGCAGUAAGCAUAUCGAUGUAAGAUAUCACUUUCUGAGAAAUCUUACUAAAGAAGGUACAAUUGCAUUAGUUCAUUACGGAAGUCAGGAUCAGGUGGCAGAUUUAAUGACCAAGCCUUUAAAGCUUGAUGCAUUUCUGAAACUAAGAACACUGUUGGGAGUCCAAGAAAUUACUGAUGUAAACUAACUGCAUACUGCAGUAAGUUUAAGGGAAGGAAUGAAAGGGUUUAUUUUUAGUAUUUGAAUAAGUCCACGAGUCCCUAGUCUUCAGGAAGAUAUACAUGGUCAAGAUUAAAUUAAGGAUUUUAGUUGCUUAUUUUUCGUUAUUUCAUGUGCCACGUUACUGUGAACGUGAGCUAUUUUUCAGUCUUAUUAUUAUUCCUGUAAGGCUAUUUAUUAGCCAUUUCCAUUCAGUAAAAGCAAUUCAUUCAAUUCAAAUACUGUGCACUUUUGUUCUUAUUCUUUACAGUAUCAUCUUUGAGUAUGCUUAUUUGUUAUAAUAAAUAUACCUUGAUGAGAUAUUAUCUUUAAGCAUGUCUUCAAAAACUUGGAAAGGAGUAGAAGCAUCAGGCUCUUCUUCAUCAAGGAACUCUGCCAGGCAAUAAGAUAAAGUAGCGACGUUGCUGAUGGAAAAACUUCACUCUUGAAUGAGUGCUGAAGUUAUAAGCCAGGUCAUUAGUUUGAAGGAGUAAAACUGGUUAGUAAAAUUUUAGGAAAACCAAUUCACACAUACGGAGUGUGUAACUAAAAUAAAUAAACAGGAAGUAGAAAACAGGAAAUCCAAUUAGUCUAAUAUGAUAUUUCUGUGAAAUAGAGGUUUUCUUUAUGAAAUUGUGGAGAUGAGAGGAGAUAAAUGCAGAUGCAAGAUAAAAAAAAACAAUAAAAAAAAACACAAAAGUAGCAUGGCUAGCAAAGGACUCAAAACACAAAAGUAUUUACCAAAUGGACGAUUAAUAUAAUAGUUGAUAGAGCUACACAAUUGUGAAUCAUCUUUAGCUUUUGGCUCCUGCAAACAUGUUACACAAUUUUCCAAAAUCAUGCAACUAACAGCCGAGUCAAUGUUACACAUAAGAGAGUGAAAAACACAGAAAAUGAACCUGACCUGCAUCCAAAUGAAAAACUUUCAAUCAUCUGUAUUGAAUUUCAAGAUGUAAACUCUUCCCAAAGCUUGAUUAACCUGAAUAACCCAAAGAAUUAUGAAUCUAUGAUAUUACAAUCAAUUAUUAGAGUCAAAUAUCUCCCAUCUAAGAAAAAACUAAGAGAGAAAAGUGUACCUUCUCAAAAACAGCCUCUUCAGAAAAAAAAAUCUGAUCCUGUCAAUCAACACGUCAAGAAAAAGCUACCAAGUUCUUACCUCAAAAGAAUAUUAACAAAACAAACAACAGAAAAAGAAAUAAAAACCAAUGUUGGAAGAGAGAAACAAAAUCCCCAGGCUAAAAAACAUAAUAAUAACUAGGACACAUCUUCCACAGCAUUCAAAUUCCUAUCAAGCCACUGGAAAUGAAGCAAACCCUCGUCACCCUGGAACAAUUCAAAAAUUUCGACUUCAAACAGGAAACAAGAUGCUAGAAACACUCUAUCUAGUACUUAAGAUAAACCAAAACAACAGAAGUAACUAAAAAUCUUUACACAGGUACGAACUCUGUAUAACACAAAAAAACCAAAAGACACCAGUUUACCCUUCCAAUGCGAACAAGUCCUUUUCGAGAAUCAGGAACAAACUUUUUUCCAUCAAAAACCAUUUUACCAGCACGAAACUCCAACAUAAUUUCCUACCAACAAAACAACCACAACAUCAUAACAUAACCCCAUCAAGAAAAACAUACUUAUACAUCCAAAAAAGCAAUUACAGGCUCUAAUUAAUAAGAUACAAGAUUUUAAGCAAAACCCACAAUUUUAAAAGUGAUUUUAUUUACCUGCAUUGCUGAAAUAUCUACAGCUGAUGAAGAACCCAUUUUUCGCAUACUUCCUCUAAAGCUUCCUUUUUUCCAACACUGCAAAAAAAAAAAAAGAAGAACAAAUCAAAUACCCAAAUCAGAAACAAUAACAGAAAAAAAAUAAAAGAAAAUCCAAUGCUGGAAGUUGUAAUCAGGAGGAGAACCAUACAAUUUCUGAUGGAAUGACAUUUUAUCAAGAAUUGAACUAGGCAUUCAGUUAAUUAAAUAGGUUGUAAACUUGUAAUCAGGUGAGAGUAGUGUCAACAUGUUUAGUUUUCCUCUCGGAAGUGUCAUUCUGCACAAAUCAGUGUUUUAAAAAUAUUAAAAAAAAAAUUUAAUUUGUUUUUAAAUUUGUUUUUUAGUGGUUUUCAUUUAUUUUCGUGUAUUAAUAUUAAAAAUAAUUUUUAAAAAAUAAAAAAUAUAUUAUUUCAAUUUAUUUUAAAAUAAAAAAAAAACUUAAAAAAAAUACUGUUAACACAGUAUUAAACAAACUCGAAUCCUAUAACCAGAUGAACAACGUUAAGAUAUUUGUUUUUUGUUUUUUGUUUUUUUUGAUAAUGAGGAUGUCCUAAACAAUCUUGCCUAAUGAUUGUUAAGAAAUGAAAGAGGCAAUGCAUGGCUAAACCAAUGGAAGCUAAAAAGCUAAUGAUGCCCCUAGCUAGUAAGCAAUUGUUGCCGCAAUGACAUAUGCCUCAUUAGAGAUAGAUUUGAAUUUACAUAUUAUUAUUAUCAUAUAUUUUGUAUUCUCGUUUAAAAAAAUAAAUAUUUUCCUUAUAUGGAGUAGAGUGUUUUUAAUUUUAUCAUGUAAAAUUUAUAUAUAUUUUAAAAAUUAAUACAAUAUACAGUUAAACAUCUAUAAAUUAAUAUCAUUGAGACCAUGAAAUUUAUUAAUUAAUCAAGAUAUUAUUUAGUAAAUAAAUUUAUACACUUAUCCAUUAAUCACAAAAAAAUUUCUUUUUCAAAAACAUUGAACUCAAUACAUGCAUUGUGUAUUCUGAUUAUAUGAAUAUUAUCUAAUUAUCAAAUUAUGAAUUAUCAUAGUUCUAUAUAUUUAUUUAAAUAAAACAAGUUUAAGAAUUAAUGUAAUCGAUCUUAUUAAUUAAUAAAAGUCAUGUAUGUAUCUAUUUUUGCAAAUUGGAUGCAUACUUAAUUAAUAUUAAGUCAAGAACAAAACCAAAAAAAGGAAUAUACAAGUGAGCCAAACAACAAUAUUAAAAACGAAUAAGAGGUUGAAUUAAUAUUCAUUAACUAAUAAUAAAAUUAAGAAGAUGAUACCAAAGGACACAAAAUCACAAAAAUUCGUGAAACUACAUAAGGCGGUUUGUUCAAUACCAAGAAAUUAAAUAUUUAAAAAAAAACUAAAUGAAUUGUUUAAAAAGUUAAAAGAAAAUAAAUGCACUUUUGUCCACGUCAACAACAACUAUAACAAAAUGCUGGGCUGUAGAAGAUUUUCCACAGCAACCUGAAAAAAUCAUAUAUGCUCAAGUAACUAUUUGGUAGAGCGUAUUUGGAGUGCUAAUAUCUUUUCUUUAUGGAAUCAGUCCUCGUACUCGAUCUCUGAAACCAGUUAAGGUUCUUAGUGACCAAAAUACUAGGUAGCGACUCUCAUUCCAUUUUUCCACUAAUAAAAGACAAGAAUUCCUUGUCUCCCCAUAGAUGCCUGAUAGAUAAUACAUUUUGAGAGUGGAUAUUUUCACCGCAACAUCGUAUACGUGCGACAUUAUGUAUACAGGUAUUUCACGAGAUGAUGCGGAGUGUUAAAUAUAAGCUUUGUGUUUAAAUCUGUUUUUUUAUGUAAUAUCUUUUGUUUUAUAUGUAAUUUGUAUUAUAUGUAGAUUUUAAUAUAUGAAUCCUAAAGAUAUUUGCUUUUGGUAUUUAUACAUUUAGAAUGUAUGAGUAAGGAACUAAUAUUAGUAAACUAUUUGAAAAGAAUACUUAAUAAUUAUAAUUAUGCAUGUUUAAAAGAUGGAUGCAUGUUAACGUAAUAAUUAGUUCAAUAUGAAUCCUUUGAGUUUAUAUUUGUAUGCAGUUAAUGUUUUAUUUUAAGAGAAUAUAAUUGCUAUGUUUUAUUUUUUUAUGAUGUAAGGUUGAGAAAGCACAACAAAGUAUUGCUAUGUGAAAUAUUGUAUGAUGAGAUGGGAUAUGAUCCAGGAUGGUUGAAUUGAAAUAGAAGAUUGAGUAUUGUGAUUGAAUGAAGUCUAGUCGAUAACUUGGUAACAUAAAAAAACAAAAGAAACUCUGCCGAAUUUUCUGUAGAAAAUUAGAUUUAUAUAAUAACUAUUACUUUGAUGAUAUAACUUUGAGAGUGAUACAUCAAAUGUGAGAUAUGUUAGACAAUAACCGCAAGACAAUAACGGUUCAAGACGUAGACAAUAACAAUUCAAAUUUCGGUAGUCCUCAUAUGAAUACCAUAUAUAUAUAUAUAUAACUUUACUCUGUUUUUCAGUUGCAUGAUAUUGUUAUUUUAUCCCGAUUGAGGGGGUGUUAUAAUUAUGGUCUUAUGAUCCGAGUCACUGAUUUAAAAGGUUAACCUAGAUUGACCCGGGUCGAUCCAAUAUGUUGUUAUCUCAAUAUUUUUUAAAAAAAUAUUAUCUUGAAUUUUUUGAAGUAAAACUAUAUGUUUAUCAGUCGUCCAGACUAUCUUUGGACUCAUUGAAUCGAUUGGGUCAUAUCGAUUCAACUCUUUUUUUUUAGUUAUAUUUGAAAUUUAAAUUGUAUAAUUUCAAAUUGGUUUGUUUUUAAAUGUCAAUUAAUAUAUAUAUAUAUAUAUAUAUAUAUAACAAUCCAAAAUGACAGGUUAAAAUACUAAAAAACCAAAACAUAUUGUUACAAUUAAAAAAAUAAAAUACCAAUUAAAACGGAAUUAAUUGACAACUUGCUUGGUAGAAGCAUGAAACUCCUCGCUGACAUUUGCAAGAGAUAGUUACUUAUACCAGUAGCAAUUUAGUAAUGAUUGAUCAGCAUUUAUAGUAAGAUGGGGCUAUUAAUUCAAAUGUUGAUGGCAUUAGUAACAAUGAUUUUCUUGGAAGGAUUGCUUCCUCUUGGUUGCUUGAAAAUAUACGGUUUUUUUUUAGUUCAAAUCUAUUAAUAUAAAUAUAGUUUUAUUGAAUAUUUUUUAUAUAAUCUUAUUAGAGAAAUCAAUGUAAACAAAUUUAUGGACAAACACUAGAUUAUCAAGUAUUUAAAUAGAAAAAUAAAACAUUGAUACAAGCUUUUAAAUAAAAAACAUUUAUAAUAAAUAUAAUUUGUACUUGUCAUUAUCUCUUUUUCAUUGCUAACACUUAACGAAUUGAAUAUAUAAUUCUCAUGUGAAUAACGUCAAAAUAAAUUUAGUUGCAUGACAUAAUAAUACCUAUUUGUUUUUUGUAUUUUAAAAAUAUUUAAAAAAAUUAAAUUUUUUUAAAUAAAUAACUUUUGAAUCAUCAAGUAGUGAAACACAGGAAAAGUGAAGAAAGUGAAGAAUAAUCAAAGUGGUGUGGGUCCACAUCAACUUUUGUCCAUGUUUUUGGUAUUAAUCUCUUCAUCCAUUUACAGCCGGAGAAAAGAGCAUCACUCAGUGCUUUCCUUGUCUCUUCUUGCUUAGAAGAUAAGGUAUGAGAACCUUCGAGUGCCACUCAUUUUAGUACAUAGACUAGAUAUUUGACCAUAACUUAACUGUUAGUUAAUUGUUUUUUCAAUUAAAAAAAUUUAUAUAUAGAUUUCUUCAACGUAUUGUUUAUUUAAAAAAUCUUAAGUGAAAAUUAAGAAAUUUAUACACAAAUAUAGUCAAAUAAAUUGAGAAUUAUAUGUGUUAAUAAGUGAAAAAAAAACCAUAAACGAUGACUCAAAAUAAAAACUGGAAAAAUUGAGAGACAGGUGCUGAUCAAGAUAUUUAAUUUCACAAGACGUGACAUUUAUGCAGUUGUGUUUUUAAAAUUUUCUAAUUAAAAUAAUUUUUUAUUCAAUCAAACGAUAAUAAAAACAGACACACAUUAUAAAUUGAUUGAAUAAAAUAAAAGGAGAAAAAAUAAUAUGCAAGCCUACACAUAUUAAAAAUAUUAUUUGAAAAUACAUUUAUUUUUAUUUUCAAAAAUAAAAUUCAUCUAUACAAAAGAUUUUUAAAAAAUAUAGAUUAAUCACAAAAACCUCCUCAAAAAUUAAAUGCAUAAUUAAAAAAUAAUUAUCAUUUCAAAUAGGCUUUCUAAAUAAUAUAAAAGAGAGAAGGGAUAUAAAUAUAAAUAUAAAUAAGAUUAAGAUUAAGAUUAAUUUAAAAAAAUACAAACAAAAAAAAAGAAAAUAUUUUUUCUUAAACAAAAAAAAGUGAACAAUGUCGUUCACAGUAAAACUUGUGGGGUGAACUCGAACUCAACCGAGUUUAAUAUUUUUCCUCUUAAAUUUAUAACAAACCUAAAAAAAGUAAACAAUGUCGUCCAUUGUAAAACAUGAGGAGGUGAAUAGUGCAACUACACAGUGUUCACCUUAUAUAUUUUUCCUCUUAAAUUUAUACCAAAACCGUAAUAAAAAAAGGUGACCAAUGUUGUCCAUAGUAAAACGUGAGGGGGUGAACAACGCAUCUUCAUAGUGUUCACCCCGCACACCUUAGCUUAUUUAGGGUGAACCUGAAUCAUGAACUCAAUCGGGUUUAAUAUUUUCCCCUCUUAAAUUUAUAGCAAACCUAAAAAAAAGGUAAACAAUAUAGUCUAUAAUAAAAUAUGAGGGGAUGAACAAUACAGAUGCACAAUGUUCACCUCACAUAUUUUUUUCCUUAAAUUUAUAGCAAAACCUAAUAAAACAAAUAGUGAAUAGUAUAUUCAUUGUAAAACGUGAGAGGGUGAACAAUGUGGCUAUAUAAUAUUCACCCCACAUGCUUUAGAUUAAACGUGAGAUGGUUAUUUUUUAAAAUAAAAAAAAAUUAAUAAGCAGGCUAUUACAAUGCGCUUUUUAAUGAUGACGAUAUUUGUAGCAAAAAUUUCAAAGGAUUUAAUACAAAUCCAAGCCAAAAUAUUUCACUAGAUUACUAUUUUACGAUCUUCUUAAAACUUGGGUUCGAGCUUGUCAUGUUGAAUCAUCUCUUCUAGAAUCCUUUUUACCGUCUAAUGACUGCCGCUUAUGUUUGUGCAAUUUCUUGUUUACUAGUAAAAUUGUACAGACGUGGGCUUGAAGCUGUUAACUUUCCCUGGACUGGUUAUGUAAUAUAUUUAUAGGUCUAACUGUAUACUAUCACUUGGUCCAAGAGGCAAUAUUGCAAGAUUCCAACGAAAUCUACUGUAAUCUACUGUCCUGGGACAAGAGUUCCAAAAACAUCUACUCCAAAUUUUGUUCUUUUUGAAUCUUUAGUUAUUUUUAUUUUUUCUCAUCAUUUUUUAAAAUAAAAAAUAUAAAUAAAUUACUACAAAAUGAAUAAAACAAAACCAGAAUAAAAAAGUAACAUUAAACAGCAGCCAUUUCAUCAGCUUUAAUUUUAGUAUAACACAAUAAUAUGAACCAACCUUGAUUCUCGAAGGCACCCAACUAAUUCAUUAGCCUUCAAAUUGCCAUCACCUAAUUUCACGAUCCAUGACCGACAUAUAAACAAGGGUCCUCUCCAAGUUCCCAUACAUAUACGAAUCCAAAUAUACAUAGAAACUUAUCUUUUAAAUAAGUCAAUUAGAGUUCAACACAAUAUUAAUAACAAAAUUAAUUAAAUAAGUCAAUCAGAGUUCAACAUAACAUUAAUAACAAAAUUAACUUCAUAAUAUAAUUUGAUUGUCUUAAUACAAAAAUUAAUACAAAGUUCGUAGUUGUGGAGCACUAUCUAGACAUAAAAAAAAUCAUAACAAAAACAACAAGGGAGGGGGUUUGAUAGUAUGUAAUACAACAACUAGAAAUAUAUAUAUAAUUAUGGCUUUAGGUUUUUAUAAAAACGUUUUUUAAAUAGAUCAUAUAAGAACAACGGAGGAGGGGGUUUAACGGUAUGUAUUUGCCUGCUAGUAAAAAUUGGUUAGCACCUAAACAAGGUCCUGUGCUAAAUCUAAAUUGGUAAGAUGUGAUAUGCUAAUAUCUAGAAAGAUAACUUAAUCUAUCCAUUGAAGUAAAGCAUUUAAAUGCGUAUACAAUGUUUUUGGAACAUUAAAUAUCUAUUUGAUCAGAAUCUGAUGGGGCAAUAGGUGAUGCAGGCAUAAACUAGAAAGACAACAAACAAACACAAAGAAAAAAGAUUUGUUAAGCAAACAGGGUUGCAAACUUAAACACUAAAUUCGCAAUUUAUUAUUCUGAAAAAAGUCUAAUGAUGUUUGCCUCUCAAAGAGGUUUCUAAAACAUUUAAAUAUGCUAAAAAACCUAUCUCUAUUGGAAAAAAAAAAUUCAGAAUCCAAAAGAAUAAACAAAAACUACAUAAAAUCUGAAAUAAAACAAUAAAUAUGAAAAAAAUCAAGGAAAAAUAGCUAAAUUGGCUCAAAACAGGAUCUUAUGAACCUAAUUUCAGGGGAUCCGAACAUCAAAUGAUCAACAAAGUAUGUUUCCAAUUGAGAUGGGCCUUAGAAAUCUCCUAUAAAAAUUGAGAUCUAAGCAAAUUAAGUGAUAUUUGUUUGAGACUUCGCUAACUACAUAUAAAGGAAUUAAAAAUAAAUUAUGAUGAUCAAUUCAAAAUCAACAAAAUAUUAAAGUGAAAUUGGAAGCAAAAACAGGGCAAAAAUCAUUAAAUCAAAAGAAGAAAAAAUUAGAAGAUAGAAUUUAUUUAUUUUUUUUAAAAAAGGGGGGAGGAUAUGAAUAGUGAAGUAGGAGGGAAAAACCUAAUUUUUUUAGUAUAAUAAAUAAUUUUUAAUUAAAUUAAAAUCUUCAUCUCAUACAAUUAGACCCAAAAAGAGUUAAAUAAAAAAGGGAAGAAAAUUUCUAAAGAUAUAAGGACCAAUUUAAAAAAAUAAAAGGAAAAAAAAAUGAAAAAACACCAAAUCAAGAAACGAAAAAAUAUAAGGACCAAUUUAAAAAAACAAUAAAAAAUAUAAAGAGUGAAGGAGGUAGAGAAACAUAAGUUUUUUAGUAUAGUAGUUUAUUUCUAGUUAAAUUAAAAACUUUAUCUCAUAUAAUUAGGCCAAAAACAAUUUUUUAAAAAAAAUAAGGACUAAUUUGUAAAAAAAGAAGAGAAAAAAACAGAAUCAAAUCAAAAGGGAAAAAAAACUAAUUUAAAAAUAAAAAUAAAAUGCUUCAUUAUUCAUGUAAAAACAAAACAUCAUUAUAGUAUCCAACUAGACAAGUGACCUACACUACGGGCUAUCCUAAUUUUUUUAAAGCAAAAUUUUUUUUUAGCAUUAUUAGAUGUGAGAAAAUAUUUUUUAAAAAACAUACAUGUGUACAAGAUAGGAGAGAUUUGGUUUGAGAAUGCAUGCUAAAAAUCUAAACAUGAACUAAAACAAAGUGGAAUUAAAAAAAAAAAAAAAACUUAAAAGAGAUCAGUGAUUCAUUAUAGACUGUGAGGUAAAACACUGUAGAUUAGCAUAAUAUAUUUAUUUUUUGACCUUCUCUACGUAAAAUAAUUGCCUUGCUAACAGGGUAAAGUUGUUAUUUUCAAUGGAUCUAAAGGUUAUUUGUAAAUUGAUUGGGAAUAAUUUAGUAGGUUAGCUAUUUUAUUUGCGUAGUAAAAUGACGUCAAUACCCUUGAGAGUUCAAAAAUAUUGACCUUGACAAAGGCAUUUUUUAGUCUUUUCCAUGUUUUGUAUACUGUAAAAUGACAAAGUUAACCUUAGAAUAAAAAAAUCUAAAGCUGGUCUGGGAUAGCAUUUUCAUCUUUGCAAUAUAGCUUUUUUGUAAUAUUUAGAUGCUCUUAUGAGCUAUUUAGCAAUUUAAAGUAUUGAAAUAUUAAUAAAUCAAUAAACAAAGGCUGACAUGUGUGUAGCACGUGUCAACACGUGAUAGUCCACCACGUCAUUUGGGAGGCGUGUGAUAGUCCAACAUGUAAUAUGGAGGUGUAGUUGAUGACGUGGCGUGUCGUCAUAUUUGUAGUGGUUUAAUGGUGAUAAAAAAAUUUUCCCGUCCCCCUCUUUUCUCUCUCUAAGGCUUUAGUAUUCACGCCGAUGCUUUAAAAUUUCACUUGUAUCCUUUGGAUUGUAUUUAUAUUAAGUUUGAUUCUUAUUAUUUUAAUUUCUAUUUAUUUUGAUUUUAGUGUUUUUUAAAGAAAAAAAUUUCAAUUUCAUUCCUCAACAUUUUAUUUCAUUUAAUUUUUAUAUUAAACUUGGUCCUCAUUCUUUUAAUUACUAUUUUCUAUCCUUUACUUAAUUUUUUUAAUUUUAUUUCUUAUUAUUUUAUUUUAUUUUAUUUUGUUUGCAAUUGCAGUUCUUUUUUUUUUUUAUCCCUAGUAAGCAAUUGUUGCCGCAAUGACAUAUGCCUAGCAAGAGGAAAAAAAAAAAAAAAAAGAGACGCUUGAAGGUUAGAGAAGGCACCUCUGAGUGGAAGGAGGCUGAGGUGCGCUAUUUUUGAAGUAUGUGAAAAUCAUAUGUUUCAAUGCUACUUCUUGCAAGAGUCUCCUUAACCAACCUAGAGUGUUAUAUUAGACUGCUAACGUAUUUUAUAAAAAUAUUGAUAAAAAUAUUUUUGGAUAAUUUUUUUUAUUUUAUUUGAAUUUAUUUCUUAAAUAAUUUAAAUUAAUAAGAUAAUUACAUAAAAGAUAAUGUUAGUCAAGUUAUCUUUUUACCAACCAUAAAAAGAUUUUUACUAAUCCAAGCCAACAAAAUAACAAUUACAUGUAUAAAUUGUCAUAUGUUGGAAAAAGGAGUUAGCUCAUAUUUUAGGGAUUAUAUUAAAGUGUUAGCAUCUUGCCUGGUUAGAAAUAGAAUUGAAUUUACAUAUUAGUAUUAUCAUAUAUUUUGUAUUGUCGUUUAAAAAAAUAAAUAUUUUCCUUAUAUGGAGUUAAGUGUUUUUAUUUUUAUCAUGUAAAAUUUAUAUAUUUUUUAAAAUUAAUUUUUCUAAUCAUCAAAUUAUUUUUAUUUUUUAAAAUUUAUAUAUUUUUUAAAAUUAUUUCUUAAAAAUAAAUUUAUUUUUCUAAAAAAUUGAACUUAAUACAUGCAUAUUAUCUAAUCAUCAAAUUAUGAACUAUCAUAAUUCUAUAUAUUUAUUUAAAUAAAACAAGUUCAAGAAUUAAUGUAGAUCAAUCUUAUUGAUUAAUAAAAUUCAUGUAUGUAUCUAUUUUUGCAAAUUGGAUGCAUACUUAAUUAAUAUUAAAUCAAGCAAAAAAUCUAUAAAAAGAAUAUACAAGUGAGCCAAACAACAAUAUUAAAAACGAACAAGAGGUCGAAUUAAUAUCCAUUAACUAAUAGUAAAAUUAAGAAGAUGAUACCAAAGGACACAAAAUCACAAAAAAGCAUUUAACAUUCAGAGAAAGAAGCCUGCAACACCCAUUAAGGAAAAGAGAGAAGGGAAAGAAAUGUAGAUUAAUUGAUACAGAGGAUCACCUUGUUCCAGACCAGCGCGAGACUGUAGAAGAAUCCAGACGAACCAAGAGCAAAAAAUGCAGGAGAGAUAAUCAUGAGAGAAACAAAUUCAUAUAUCCACGAAUACGUACAACAUUUGAAACCUAUAAUGCAAGAAUAGCUGCAGAUGUACAUUAAUAUUUUUAAUUUAAAGAAUCAAUUAAUUAUUUAAAAAACUUGAGGGAUUAAUUUGUUUGUUUCACAUAAAACAGACACUAAUUAUAUAAAGUUUUACUCAAAAAACAGACACUAAUAAUCAUAUGCGUGAGUGUUUACUUGUAAAUAUUUUGGAAGGAACUGGUUUAUGUUUUGCGCAUCAUGAAAAAAUCAUAUAUGCUUAAGUAACUAUUUGGCAUCAAUCUAGUAAAUUAAUCUUAAAUUCCUUUUAUCCAACUCUUGCCGUUUUAAAAUUAAUCAAUGUAAAAGUUAACCAAACAUGAUAAAAUCAAUAUAAUGGGUUUACGAAUACAUAUUAAAUUAAUCUUGGUUUUAUAGCUUAAUUUUCUAAACUCACUACUCAAAUAAUGAACUACAUCUAGUUUUAAUUUUUUUUAUUUAAUAUUAUAAUAACAAUACCAUUUCAAAAUUAACCAAAUAUAUAUAUAUAUAUAUAUAUAUAUAUAUAUAUAUAUAUAUAUAUAAUAGAGUUUAAAAACAAAUGAACAAUAUGAUAUUGUUCCAUUUUACUAUAAUGAUGAAGUUUUCACAAAAUAUAAAACUUAAAUUAAAUUAAGGCAACAAUCAAUUCUUUAGCUUUAAAACGAUUUAUUAUUUGCUUUCUAGUGGUAGUAGUAGGAUGAUUGGAAUAAUUUUUUUUCCAUUAACAAUAGAAUUGAGAAGGCCCGCCACAGACCAAGAGGACAGCUUCAAUGAAGCCAUCCCAGCCGAUGCAGGUGAUUACCCGUCGGCUGACAUCUCCUCGCGCGCAUAGCACCAGCCAAACCACCUCAAUCUGAAAAUGCACCAGACAAAGUCAAUGGAAAGACGCCAGGGAGCCUCAGCAGCCGAGAAGAAAGCGAGGGAACACCCACCGCGCGAGAAACACGAAAAACAUAGAGGGAGCGCGGUAAAGACUGUGAAGCCACAGAAUUCACACAUUGUGCACCGUGUUUUAAUGAGCACUCUUAGUUUAUUUUAUAUAUAAUUCUUUUAGUUUUAGUUUUAGUUUGUUGUGUUAUGAACAGUAAAGCAGCACAAGAAUACGUCUGCGUCAAGCUCUGUUCACUUUGGUCCGACAUUCCUCACCUCUCCCCACCUUAGCUCUCUCUCUUUCCCUCCUCUGCUUUUAGAAACCGCCGCUGCCACCUCAACCAAUAAGGCUUCAAAUCUCACCCAGGUGCUUCCUUUUCUAUUAUGUUUUUGUUUUUUAAAAAAGAUUUACGUCCGCGUUUUCAUUUAUUUAAUUGAAGUUACUAUCCAAAGAGAGAAAUUCGAUUUUAAUAAGUAAAUUAAAAAGAUAUAUAAUCGGAUCCAAUGAAAUCGCUGCUCGUGAACGCAACUCGAAGAAAGGCGCAAUCAGUCGAUUCUACUGUGGGUGGAGCAUUUAGUAUGGUCAGGGUUAUUGUGUUGUCUAUUCAAAGAAAGAUGUGCCUGUAAAUUUAUUAAGUUGAUUCUUAUCAGUCUGCUCUUUAGAGUUGAUGAUAACAUGAAAUAUUCAUUGUUGAUGCUUGUCGUUUUCUUCUUCAUUUUCCUAGCUUAAAACAUCCUAGACAAUCUCUUUGGGAUGGUUUAGUGUUUCUGGCCUCUUCAUCUUCUAUUUGUGCUGUGGUAUUUAGUUUGCUGAUAUUCAUUGGGGAUUGAAAGGCCUCGUUUUAUGACUUUGUUUUCUUCUUAUUUCUUUAUUCUUUUGGGGAUGUGAUAUUUUCCUCUUUCUAUUUACACUAUUGGCUCCCUACAAUAUUUUUUCCUUCAGAGAAGUAAAUAUAUACAUAAAUAACAAGAACAGGAGGGGAAGGGGAGGGGGGUUUGACAAUAAGUAUUUGCUUAGAAGGGAAUGCUUCUUUGGUUUAGAAGCACCAUGAAGAUUCAGGCCCAUAUUUGGCUGGUUUCUUUAAUAAAGUACAUGAUAUUCCAUUUUUCAUGUCCUUGAUGUGCUUUUACUCUUCUUGCCGUUCCUGACUUUCUUUUUAGGGUAUAUUCUAACAUGCAAUAUGUUUUUUUUUUGUUGGCCCACUGUCCCAGGCGGAGAACCUGUCAUGGACAUGGGUGAUUGCAGAAUUCAAUUGCAGCCUGACUCACGGAAAAGAAUAGUCAAAAAUUUUUUUUAUUUAUAUGAAAGAAAAGGAGAAGGGCAGAAGGUUAAUUAAAAUCAGCAGGAUUGCCAUGAGGCAACCUCAAGUAUCACGCACCUCUUUUUUUUUUCAUCUUUUCAUGUGUUUCUCACAAGAAGCAAACUUGAGGGAACAUAAAGUGCUGGGAAGUAAUUUUUGUUGGAAUUUCUUGUCUAAUCUCUUCUUUUGAUGAUGACCUCUUGGAUGGCUGCAUGAAGCUUGUUCCGCUUUAAAUUUCAAGGUUAAUCUAUUGCUAUGAGCAUACGUGUUUCAAUUUAAAACUCGAGUUGCAACUGAACUUAAAUAAAUGGUGUUGGAUUUGUGCUUUCUAUUUGUUUUAACUUCUACAGGGUUGAAAUGAUAGUGAUCUUAAACUAGAAAAGCAGCAGACAAAAAUCAAUUAGCCACAAUGGUGUAUGGUUUCUCAGCAUAAAGUUGAAAUGAUAGUGAUCUUAAACUAGAAAAGCAGCAGACAAAAAUCAAUUAGCCACAAUGGUGUAUGGUUUCUCAGCAUAAAGUUGAAUGUUUUGUUGACCUCUUUACAUCCAAAAUCAUAUAGACAGCUACUGCUAGCACUUGCAGUGGUCAAUGAAUACUGUAGAGUAUAUAUUGCAGUGUGAGAUAAGGUUAACUCAUUGCAUUUUCAGAUAUUGAAAGGAUUUCUCUUCUUUUCUUUGUCAAUUACAGGACAUGCAUCGAAGUGUUCUUACUGAGAGUAAAUGCUAUUGUAAUGUUUUCACAGAGACUCCCCUGCUUUGCAACUAAGUCACUAAUAUAUCUUGGAACAUAGCCAUAAAUGAAAGGUUCUUCCAGAUCAAGAAAAUUAACCAUGAAGCUCGUAGCUAGAAUUUUUAGACAGAAAGGUGGCCAAGUACGCUGUACCUCUGGAAUAAUACAGGGAAAGGAUGUCUAUGUAUUUUGAUGUCUUAUAUUACUUGACCAACUCUUGCUUAUCUCAUUAUUUGUUUUUACUUUUUGCUAAUGAUUCCACACAUUUCUGAUAUUGGUGUGGUUUAUGAGUUUAGGGUUCUCGUUGCUGCUAACUUCUCUAUACUUUGCCUGGUCAUUAAAAAUCAAACGUAAUGAUUUGCAUAUGCAGAAUGGAGACAUUAAAAAGACAUCUUCUAUUUUCUGGUGAGGAGGGAUUUCAGGAACUCAAGAAAUUUUCCAUACGUUUUGAGGAAAAGAUUUAUACUACCGCUAACAAUCAGGUAUUUGCCUAAUGCGAGGUUCAAUAAUUAUGAUAUUAUCUAGACAUGAAUAUACACACGCAUUUAUGCUUGUACAAAUGUGUGUGUAGUGUGCCUACACUUCCUCACCGUUCAUUCUGUAUGCAAGGUUGAUUGGGAGUUCACAUCAUUUUGUUAAUUCUCUUGACAAGUGUUUUAUUUAGAGUGACCAAGUUCAAGUACAAGGGAAGAAUGCAAAAAGCAAAUAACGAAUCAAUACAUAAAUAAUUAAAUAAAAAGAGAGGUAACAGAAGUAUAUCCUCAUAGAAGAUGAAAUGAUAGAGUAUAUAUCUAUUUUCCUCCUCUGGUAACAUGGAUUGCUCUGAGAUCUACUGUUUUGUUAUUAAUAUCUGAUUUCAAUCUGAUUAUUUGCAUAAAAUAUCUCUGGAGAUGCUUUCGAUGGAGACCAGGUCUCAAAAUGCCAUGCUCACUACACCUAUGGAUCCAGCAGGUAAUAAUGCAGCCGAGCAUUGAAUUUCUAAAUAUCUUACCUUUUGUUUUUCUUCUCGCAUUGCUAUCAAACUCUUUUACAUUUUAUUGCUGCAUAUUGCUAUGUAUAUCGCCUUGCUGGAAAAAUCUCAUGAUCACCUCCACGAUGAUAAUUUUGUAAUGCAUGUGAAGUGUUUCAUCCUUAACUUGUUAAGGAACAAGGACUGUGAUGCAUGGUAUUUUAUAUUUUAUGAUUGAGAUGGUAGAUUUUAAAGAUUUUCAUGUUAAGGAGAUAAGACGUCACUUUCUUGCUUUUCUUCCGAGAGAGUAUUUGAUCCUUUUUUCAUAUAAAAUAAUGCUGGCAUGCAUUGAAUUUCCAAACAUCUUACCUUUUGUUUUGUUUGUCGCAUUGUUAUCAAACUCUUUUACAUUUUGUUGCGGCAUAUUGCUAUGUGUAUGGCAUGCUUUAAUCAAAAAGUUGAGUAAUUGAUGAAUGUUAGGCAAGAAAAUUACAGAUUAUUUUUAUUUUCUACCUCCUCCUUCUCUUUCCCCCACCCCGAAAAUGGUCAUAUUAUUUUUUUUUUCAGCCACCUCUUCUUCCCCCAACCUUGAAAAUUGUUUAUAUUUGCUUUGGAAGCAUGGCAAACUUCACUGCCUCUCAGCUUAAGGAGAUUGCAGCAGGUCUCGAAGCUUCUGGGCAUCAGUUUAUUUGGGUAGUUAGAAGAAACAAAAAGAGUCAAGAAGACAAGGAAGAUUGUUUACCUCAAGGAUUUGAGGAAAGAAUGGAAGGCAAAAGGCUAUUAUCAGAGGAUGGGCACUCCAAGUUUUGAUUCUUGAUCAUGAAGCAAAAGGUGCAUUUGUGACUCAUUGAGGAUGGAACUCAACUCUUAAAGGCGUAAGGCAAAUAUUUGAUGAGCAAUUCUAUAAUGAAAAGUUGGUGACUGAUGUUUUAAAAACUGGAGUUAAGGAAUGGCUUAGAGUGCAUGGAGAUCAUGUUAAAAGUGAAGCUGUAGAGAACGCAAUCACUCAAAUUAUGAUGGGUGAAGAAGCAGAGGAAAUGAGGAGCAGAGCAAAGAAGCUUUCAGUGCUUUGAUUUAAUAACUGCAAAAAAUGAAAGGUUGUUGAAGAUGGUGGAUCUUCUUGCUCCGAUUUCAAUGCUUUGAUUGAAUAACUGAGGUGGGGUAGCCUUUGAAACAGAGGCAUAGAAUAUAUAUAUAUAUAUAUUUUAGCUUUUUUAGUUUAACGUGGGUGUUCGGGCCAGCUUGCGCGCACCUCGACUAAUCCCACGGGCCCUGAAGUUAACGACCAUGUAAGUCUCCAGUGGCCAUCAUAUGAGCAACCACAGGGCUCGAACCUGAGACCACAGAGGGAGCAAACCUUUUAGUCCCAAGCUCUUACCACUGGGCCACCACCUAGAUGGUUAAGGCAUAGAAUAUUUUGUUUCUACUUAGUAGUGGUUUUGGUAAUUUAUUUUCAGACAAGUCUUGAGAGUUGAAAGAGUAAUCACAGCCGAGUCAAUGACCAAUCCAAAUAAGUUCCCUUCCUAAUGGUUCAGGAAUGACAAGUCCAGCAUAUAUAUUUAGCCCAAAUAACUUUUCAAAUAAAAUGGCUGAGCUUAGAGACAGUACACUACAAAUUAAGCACCCAUUAGCUAGACAUACAGGACAAACAAUCAUCACAAACUAGAAACGACUGUCUUCCCAGUAACAAACUCACCUUCUCAAGUUGGAGAACUUGCGAAAACUAGCUACUACAAUAUAGUAGCAAGUAUCUAUGCAGUCUUCGAUGAAGUACGACCACCUGCGUCGCCAAUAUGGAUUGAUGUAAAGAACUGCUACAAUCAUAAUCACCACGACUGUGUAACUUACACCGAAAUUGAUGUAGAAAAACUCCAUGUCUAUGAAACCAUCAUCUCCUUGUUCAUCAUUAGGCACUGGUUGUGAUGGCAUUGGCUGUGAUGGCACUGGCUGUGAUGGCACUGCUUCUUCACUACAAUUGUUUUGCAAUGGAGGUCCACACAAGAAAGGAUUUCCUUCGUAACAGCUUUCAUCGAAGGUCCCAAACUGAUAUUUUCUCUCGGGUGUCUUACAUGACAAGUUAUUGUACGCCACACUAAAAACUUCCAGUGUGGUAAUUUCAGUAAGUUGUGGAGGGAUGACACCAUUCAAGUUGUUGUAAGAAAGAUCCAAACUCUCAAUCUGUUUUAGGUUUGAGAAUGUUGCUGGGAUAGAUCCAGUGAGAUUGUUGUGUGAUAAGUUUAAUGACAAUAUCUUACUUAAGUUUCCAAAUUCCGGUGGGAUUGCUCCUACGAAGUUGUUAUUGGAGAGAUCAAUACCAGACAUGUAGUUGAGAGUCUUCCCCUUGUAACCAUAAUACAUAUUUUUAGUUGUAAAUUCUAUCACUUCUUCUGUAAAGUUAAGCAGAAAACCCUUUCUCAAGUUGUACAUACUCUCCACUAGUGGUGGACCCAUUGUUUCAUAAUAAGCUUUUUCUAUGGACCUUGAUAGAACACCAGCUCCGAGAUCCGUGAAUGCUUUCUGGGAACUUUCCUUGAAAGUAAGAUUGCCCAAACAGGAGGGUAGUGGACUAGAGAGCUGGUUUUGUGAAACAUCCAAAAUGCUUAAAUGUUCUAACAAGCAUAAUUGAACAGGGAGCUCACCAUCAAAGUGAUUAGCCCUCAGAAGAAGAACACUCAAUGAUGAAAGAUUGCCAAUCCAAUUUGGAAUGGAGCCGGUGAAGCUGUUAUCUUGAAGAUCCAUCGUAACUAAGAAAGAGCUGUUAUAAAAUCUAUAUGUUAAUGGACCGCUCAAUCUAUUUUCGGAUAGAUGCAUAUGGAUUAGAGUUGAUGGACUGAAACAAGAUGGUAUAUAUCCAGACAAGUUGUUCUCUGAAAGGUUCAAAUAUUCAAGUUGAUCAAGCUUACAAAAGUCUCUUGGGAUCGGACCCUUAAAAUGGUUUUUGGACAAAUCAAUUGCUGCAAGAAUCGUAGAAUUAAGAAAGCUCCUUGGAAGCAUGCCUGAAAAUUGAUUGUUACUCAAAUCCAAUACAAUCCACAUUUUCCACCUAUAUAAUGAAAAAUCUGAUAUCUGACCCCAAAAGUUGUUACCACCUAGAUAGAGAUAUUCUAAGGUAGAAGAAUUGAACAACGAGGUCGGUAAUUGCCCACCCAAAUUGUUGUUUGACAGCUUGAGAAACCAUAUUGUUGUUAGUUGUUCUAGUUUUACUGUGGACAAUUGAUUGUUGGAUAAAUCUAAAAUUCCCAAAGAGCUAAUAUUUCCUAAACAAGAAGGAAUACAACCUGUGAAUCCAUUCUUAGCCAUCCUUAAGCUCUUCAGAUUUUGAAAGAUCAAACAAAUAUCCUUUGGAAUUUGACCGCUCAUGUUGUUGUUGGAUAUAUCUAAUUCGGUCAUAUUUAGAUAUGGGUGAUUUGGCAACUGCAAAGUACCAACAAAGGAGUUCUCACUCAAAUAUAGUUGCUCCAAUCGUGUAUUGUUCUUAAGCAACCACGAUGGAAACAUUCCGGUGAUGUUGUUGUGGGAGAGAUCAAGGACUCUUAAGUCGUAUUGGUAAUAGAGGAAGUUGGGAAUCUCUACAUUGACUGCUUCUAUUGUUUUUGACAAACUAAAAAAGACUAGUUGGAACUUUGGAAUCAAAUGAUCAAAGGCAGCAGGUUCUGUUACUAGUCUAUUGUUCUCAUUGCAGAAGAACUUGAGGCUUGAGUGGUUCAUAAAAGGCUUCAUUGAAAUGGGAACUUCAAAGAGGUUAUUUGAUAGUGAGAGGAAUUCAAGAGAUGUGAGGUUGGUAAGAGGACCAGAGGCAAUAUUUCCAGUAAACUGGUUUUUAGAAACAUCUAAUAGUUGUAGAGAUGACAAGUUUCCUAAACAAUCUGGGAGUGAACCUUCUAAAUUAUUUCCAAAGAGAUCUAACUGCUUCAGAUUCUUCAAUUCACACCAACCUGUAUAAUUUAUCUCGAAACAGUCAAAAUAGCUAAAUAAUUAAAAGAUUACCAUAGAAGAGGAUGGAGUGUUGUUAAUUUACCUUGAGCGGGUAGGGUGCCAUGGAGGUCACAUCCACCAACAGACAAAACCUUAAGAGCAGGCAAUGCUCCAAUGUUCUGGAGAAAGUUUACUGGGAGAGAAGUACGAUCUAGAUUCAAUUCUUCAAGAGUGCUAGAAUUGAAGAAAGUCCCUGUGAAAAAGAAAGAAGAAGAGAUAUGAAGAAAAUAAUGGUGGUACAGAAUAGCCAUUCCAUUCAAUAUUAUUAAUUAAUAUUUUAAGAAACUAAACUAUGAUUAACCUUGACUUAAAUUAGUAUCCUUGAGAGAAAGGGUCUUCAGGGAUGGCAAUGACUGCAGGAAGUCCAGCUUCCUUAAACCUAUGAUGUGUAGAAUUGAAAACAGGCAAUCAAGUAAGUAGUGAAAUUAAGCGUUAUCUUGAUCGAGUUUUUAAACCUAUGAUAAAAAACUGAUAUUGAAUAUACUUUUAUAAUGAUAUGAUUUUUGGAUAGAAACAACAAAUUGCCUGAAAAAUCCAGAGAUUUCAAAAGGUAUUGUUAAAAAAUGAAGUAAAUAAUAUUCACAACUUUACCAUUGACAGUCGUCGAUCCUAGCAACAUAUUGCCUGAUAAAUUUAAAGACUUGAGAUAAGAAAAUCCACGCAGAUGUGAUAAAAUGCUGUCGUUGAAUAUAUUAUAGCUCAAGUCCAGGUUCUCGAGUUUCCCUAAAUGUGAUGAUAUGAUCUCAAAACCUGCAAGAGUAAGUCAUCAUGAGCUCACGAUAUGCAUAAUAUAUAGAAACUAAAGAUAAUUAGAAUUGAUGAGAUGCUGUUGUUCAAUUGAUAUAUGAUUCUCAAAUUAUACAUAAAAAUAAUGAUACAUGAACGCAUAUGUCAUUAUAUAACAGGUUGUGCACACUUCAAAGAUUAAGAAACAAUUUUUAAUCAUUCUAAUUUUGAUCUUAUUGGAAAAAAAAAAAAAAUUUAUGGAUAUAAAGUCGUUAAAGAUGGAAACUAAGUCAAACAUGAUAAAUGCUAUCAUUAAAUUGAUCAUUACAUAGAUAUAAAGUACUUAUUUUUUAUGAUAAUGCAUGUAACGAGUAUUAUUGAUUAUUGUUCUUGUUUUAAUUACCGAUGAGAAAUUUUGAACAAUCAUUUGAUUUUAUUAGUUUUGAAUAAUAUAAUAUUUUUGAAGAUUAUAAAAUGUUAUGUAUUUUUAAAUAACUUGUUUUUUUGAUAUGUUUGUUAUGAGGCUUAGCGUAGGUGGGGUGUCCUUUCGAUACAGCUCCUGCGUUGCCAGUAAUAAACUUGAGACUCGAGUGGUGACAAAAUUGAUCUUUACAUGGAUAUAAAGUUCUCAUUUUUGUUGAUAAAGAAACAAUAUAAUUAAGAGAAUGUCAUGUGAAGCAUUUAGGUAGAAACUGUGUAUUAUACCUGAUCCUGUCAGCUGAUUGCCUGAUAGAUCCAAAGACUUGAGGGAUGAAAAUCCAGUUAGAGAUGGAAAAAUGCUGCUGUUCAACUUAUUAAACGAUAGAUCCAAAGACUUGAUCAGGGAUGAAAGCCCACUCAGAAUUGAUAAGAUGCUGCUGUUCAAUUGAUUGAAACUCAGGUCAAGGUUCUCUAACUUUCCCAGCCUCAUCGGUUGGAGUUGAAAACCUACAAGAUAUACAUAAAAAAAAAUAUACAGUGCAUAGAUUAAGGAAGAAGAUAGAUUGCAAGUAUCCAUUCUAUACAUGUAAUUUUUAAUCAUCCUAGUUUUGAUCAAGUUGUGUCUUAUUAGAAAAACAAUUUAUGGAUAAGAUCAAAGCCCCAUAGAUAUAAAUCUUCAUUGAUGAAAGCUAGCGCAAUCAAACAUGAUGAAAUGCUAUCGUUGAUUAAUUAUUAAAUAAAUAUAAAGUCCUCAAUUUUCUUGAUAAAGAAACCGUAUAAAAGAAUGUCACGUAAAGCAGUUAGGUAGAAAUUAUAUAUAACUUACUAUUGAUACCAGCAGAUCCUGUCAACUCAUUAUAUGAUAGAUCCAAAGACUUGAGAGAUGAAAAUCCAGUUAGAGAUAGAAAAAUGCUAUCGUUGUAUUGAUUCCCACUCAGAUAUAGUUUCUCCAGCUUUUUCAACCUUGAUGACAAGACUUUGAAACCUGCAUGAUUUUUCUCAAAAAACAUAGAAAUGAUAUGAGAAGGAGAAAAGAAAAGGUUUUGAAGCUAAAUAAUUAUAAGGUUACCAUAGAAGCUACCUCCUGAUCCAGCUGUCAACCCAUUGUCUGAUAGAUCUAAAGACUUGAGAGCGGAAAGCCCAUUGAAACAUGACAAAAUGCUUUUAUCAUUAUUAAAUCGGUUUUCACUUAGGUCAAGUUUCCUCAGUUUUGAUGAUAGGACUCCGAAGCCUGGAAGAGAAACAUCAAAGCAAGAUAAUUGACAUUAAACACCAACCAACCAACCUUCAUUUAUUUUAUUAUUAUAAUUAAGUGCACAAACAUUGAACUAACCUUCAUUCUCCAAGCAACCAACCAAUCCAUUAUAUCCCAAAUCAAGACUUUGCAAUUCUUUGAAAGGCUGAAACAAAGAUGCGUUGAGAACCCAAUCGCCCAAGCUCUCAUCCCUUUCUCCACUAAGAGAGAGUUGGAUCACUCGCCUUGUAGUGUGAUCACACUCGAUCUCAGGCCACUCACAACAAUUACUACUGUCCACCCAAUGUCUCAAGGAAAUGCCAUCUGGGUCGAUCAAAGAUUGGAUCUCCAAGAGACCAAUUCUCUCUUCCUCCAAACACCCAUAACAACGACCAGACCAUUCGCCAACCAAAGUGAAUAAUGCUAGCAACAUCCAAGCCCCCAUUCUUUUCAACAUCAUCGUAGAUAAUUCUAUGAACUACUACGUAGAAUAUUAUUGUUUGUUAUGUGCCUUUGGGCAACCAUAGAGGUCCUAUUUAUACUACACUGGCCAUUUCCAUGACUUUGAGAUGUUUUCUUUAUUUAAUUUCCACGACUUUAUCUGCAUAUCUUGUGCAGGUUCCGUGUUUUGAGAUUUGAAUAUUAUUUUAUUUCUUUUUGGAAUGUUCUUGGAUUUAAAUAUUAUUUUAUUUUAUUAUUUAGCACUUAUUCUAUUUGCAUUUAAUUAUAUUUUGGUUACUAAUUAUUCAAUUUAUAAAAAAAAUAAAAUAAAAAAAUUGUUGCAGUACUUCAACAUCGACAUUCGUGUGUGAUUCCACAUAAGAUCUUUUCAACUUUAUAAUUGUACUUCUCUCGUUAAAUACAUAAAUUAUCAAUAAUAAUAAACUCGAAAUAAUUAUAAAUCUUAUCCCUGUGGAUUGUGUGGGUACAGUAUUAUAUACAAAAACUUCAAAUACAUAAUAUAUAUAAGUCAGAAAUAUUUUUGUUUUUAUGGACUUGUUUUUAUUACAUUUCAAUAUUAAAUAUAUUUUUUUCAAUCGAGUCAAAGAUAUACCAUUUAUAUUAGAAUGAGAAGACUAAUCAAUUUCUCUAAUUUCUCUAGUUUUCUCCCUAAUUAUAAAAUACAUCUGGUUUUUCAAGUCCAGAUUUUAAGAUAAAAGGAAUUUAUUUCUUGAAAGUAAUGCAUUAAACAAUAUAAAAAAAAUUUAAAAAAUUUAAAAUAGUAGUAAAAGUAGUUUUUGAUUGAAGUGUAAACUAGUGGUAAAUGAACAAAAAGAAACUUUAUUGAUUAUCUAAUGAGUUACUUCUCCAGAAAGAAUAUAUACAAUAUUAUUGAUUAUCUAAUGGAAACUCCGCCUAACACACACACACACACACACACACACACACACACAUAUAUAUAUAUAUAUAUAUAUAUAUAUAUAUAUAUAUAAGUUAGAGACACUUUUUGUUUUUAUGUUCGGAAAAGUGUUCUUUACUUGUUUUUAUUACAUUUCAAUAUUAAAUAUAUUUUUUUCAAUCGAGUCAAAGAUAUACCAUUUAUAUUAGAUUGAGAAGACUAAUCAAUUUCUCUAGUUUUCUCCCUAAUGUAUAAAUUUCUCUAGUUUUCUCCCUAAUUAUAAAAUACAUCUGGUUUUUCAAGUCCAGAUUUUAGGAUAAAAAGAAUUUAUUUCUUGAAAUUAAUGCAUAAAACAAUAUAAAAAUAUUUUUAAUAAAUUAAAAUAGUAGUAAAAGUAAAUUUAGUUUUUGAUUGAAGUGUAAACUAGUGGUAAAUGAACAAAAAGAAACUUUAUUGAUUAUCUAAUGAGUUACUUCUCCAAAAAGAAUAUAUAUAUUAUUGAAUAUCUAAUGGAAAGGAUUCAUGAAACUCCGCCAUAUAUAUAUAUAAAAGAGAAAUUGUCGAUAAUAGCAAUCAUUUUCUUAUCUCUUGUAUCAUUCAUAUCUUCCACAAAUCUUAAGUAAUUGAUGAGACAGUGGAUAUUGCCAAGAAAGGUCGUGAACGCGGAUGCUUGACGAUUAUGAUUUUUAAACACAACCAUAUAGUGAUUUCCUUAUGCAUACUGGUGAUCCUCCAGAAUCUUGUAGGAACACCACAAGCCAAUCUAAAAGAAUGCUAAAAGUCAAAACACACAAGCCAUAUAAAAAUCACACGACAGCCAAUUACCUUAUCUUUUGAAAGAAAGAUAAUAAUAAUAAUAAUAAUAAUAAUAAUAAUAAUAAAAGCAUUCUCCUGGGUGUGCAAUGACCGCCAAUCUUUCUCAUUAUGACAUUCAAUGCUCAGUUAGAAGUUGCACGAUGCUCUUCUCAUGGGGAGCAAAAAUCAGUAGCCUCCCAUGGAAUCCUCAUAAACCUUUCUCUAUGCUCUUCUAAGAUAUUAAAAAUGUCAAACAUACAUCAAUAAUAAAAAGACAUUAAAAAUGUCAAACAUACAUCUAAGAUAUUACGCAAAACGAGGUUUUUUUCUGCAAAAAAAUAAAAAUAGAAUGUUAUACAAAUGGAGCUUCCAACAAAAAAGAUAUGGGAAGUUCGAGGAAAAAAAUGAUUAGUUAAUUCAAAACACCAGCAGUAAGUAAUAAUUACAAAACACGAUACCGAAACCAAAUUGAAAAGUGAGCAAGAAUACAAAAAUGGUUACAUGUAUCAAAAGGAACUGGUACCAAUUUCUCCACCACUGUAUGUCCCUUUUGUUCAGUCUAUGUUUGGUGCAAUCACCUAAAGCUAGAAACAAAAACAGCGCCUUACUCUACAAGUAGCUCAUCAAAGUAUAUGUUGUAAAUUGCAAACACGUGCUAACAAUAAAUUGUGGCCAGAGGAUUUGCUUCGAUCCCAGAGGCCAUUGAGGAUAUUCGUCAAGGAAAGGCUCAUGCACCCUCUUGAUUUGAUGAUUCUUUGCAUUUAGUUAUUGUUGUUGAUGAUGAACAAAUUAAGAGAAAAUGAGGGGGGCCUUAUAAUGGCAGCGUCAAAGGCAACACCAGAAGCUAUGGCAUUUAUUGUCAAGCAUGGGACUGGUAUAGUGUGUGUGAGCUUCCAUUAAUGGUAACUCAUAAGGAGAAUGAGGAAAACUGUGCACUGCAUUUACUGUAUCAGUGGUACGUCAUUAACUUCUCCAUUUAUAUUAUCUAAUGGAUAUGAUCUUUUCAAGAAACCUUUAUCUUGGUUUGAUUUUAAAGUGCUAAUUUAAUUGCGGAUUCUGUCCCAGAUGAGGUCCGGUUUCCUGAAAUCAAAGAUGUCUACACUGUCCCGUGGACUUAUAGUUCAGUUGCUCAAUCAGAACUGAUGACAUCUGCACAUUCGGCGACUCCAGCAUUAAUUGUGGCCUUGACAGAUUGUGAGAGGCCAGAUGGGAUGGAUUAGAUGCGUCUGAGUUUGUUGGAGAGGAAGACUUGCAGAAUAAUUUUGAGGGAGUGGGUGGCAGUUCGAUGGAGCGGUUCCUGUUGGUGCAACGCCGAACACAUGCCACGCAGGAUAUAUAGAAAUGCUAGUCAGCUUAUGAAAUCCGAGGUUGAUACGAUACUUAUCUUCAUAGAUUGUGAAUGUUGUUCUUUUUUCUACAAACGAUCCGUUAUGCAAAGCAAAUUCCAAGACCAGAAAAAUAAUGUUUAGAGUUAAAAGACAAUGUCUUAGCAGCAAGGACCUAUUCCAUCAGGAGAUAUGUGAAUUCUCAAGCCUUUGCAAUGCUUUUAAAUUAAUGAAGGAUCAAAAUGAAAAUGUUAUAUUCAUAACUAUACUGCAAUUUUGCCCAUAAUUCUUCUUUAAUUCUGUCCAGAAUCUUGGAUUAUGCUCCAGGGACCAAUCUGGAAUUUUAGUAGAUUUUUAAGGGUCAAAUUGUAAUUUUAUCAAAUUGAAGGACCAAAAUAAAAAUGUCAUAGAUUCAUAACUAUACUGGAAUUUUGCUUGUAAUUCAUCUUUAGUUCUGUCCAGAAUCUAGGAUUAUGCUUCAGGGAUCAAUCUGUAAUUUUUUCAAAGUUUGGGGAUUAACUUAAAUUUUCACAAAUUGAGGGACCAAAUUGAAAUUUUAUUAUCUUCAACCUCAAACCCAGAUUUUUCAUAGAUCACCUACUGAUAUAUCAAGAUUUCGAACUCAAAUUCAUCAUUUAAACAAACUAUAACUCAAAAUCAUCAUUUUUACCUAAAAUUUUCAAAAAUCAACUAAAUAACUCAUUACCCAUAACAGUCAUUCCGCUAAAUUAUUUCUACUUCUGCUUCUUCUUCUUCUUUUUUAUAAUACUCGAGUAUUAUUAUAGAAAGAUGCUUGAGCCAAAAUUAGAGGCUAUCUAGCAUAAAAGAAAAACAGAGGUAUAUACAGGACAGAGAGGAAGUAAUAACAUUAUAUAUAUAUAUAUAUAUAUAUAUAAAACUUGAGUUAACCCGUCAAGUCUAUGACCUGGAUUAUGAGAUCGGGAUAAGCAAACUCAAUAUUAAAAAAUAAAAUUGAAAAAAAAACAAUAAAAACAUAUAUGGUUUAACAAUAUUAAUCAAUUAUUAAAAUAUUUCAUUUUAUAUAUAUUAAAAAUAUAUAUUAAUAACUAUUAUAUCAGUUUGUGAAUGUUUCAAUUUGGAUGCAAAUAGAUGUUUAAUUAUCUAUGACAUUUUUUUUAAGAAACCAAAGUUAUUAAAUAUGGUUAGAUUUAAUACCUAGAUAAGGGUUUAGGUCAUAGAUUGGCUUAAUACUCGGAUCAAGAUUUGAAUUAUAGAUCGAACAAGUUAGCUUAUUGAUUGAUGUUAAUAAAAAAUUGUAUCAUUUUAAGAUUAUUUUUUAGUAAAAACCAAAAUCAAGUAGUUAAAAAAAGUGAAAGUAGUUUUUGAUAGGGUUGACUAGGUUGUAAGUUGAUUUAUCUAGUCGAUUAGGCUUGAUUGAGUCAACUCUCACUUGGUUUUUUUUAAAUCUAAAUCGGGUCAGGUUCCAGAUUAAAAUGUUAGGCUUGAAUUAAAUUUAAUAACGCUGAUUAAAAUCACAUUGUAGAAAAAAAAUGAAUUGCAUAAAAGUAAUUAACCAAAAACUUGUAUUCCUUCUUAUAAAGUUGAACCCAUGUCAGUUUCUUUUUUGGAAAAAUAUAAAUCAAAGGUUAACGCUACUUUCAUGACGAUGACGGAUAAAGAAGACUUGCUCCUUUCUUUAUGGAAAUAACGUGUGGAAAAUCAUGCCUUAAUUUUGAUGGUGAUGGCCAAAUCAAACAGUAUCGUUGAUAAAAUGAACCACAAAUGAUAUUAUUUCUACAAGACUUCUUGUCAUUGUCAUGACAAUAAGUCUUCUCCUUUUUCUUUCUAAAGAGUCUAUUUUUUGUAACACAAUCAACAAGUAAGAUGGAUAGAAAUUUGCAGUGUGAGAUGGGUCUGUGAGACUAUAUAUUGCCAUUUGUAUUUUUUUCAUGAUAAAGGCUAAUUGGAUGGUCCUAUCAAGCGUUUUUUUUACGAGAUGGGUCCAUAAAAACAUUUCCAUCUACACAUUGAUCCCUGAAACCUUUGCCAUAAUGCAUUUUUUCCACGAGAUGGGUUCGUGGAAAUACUUUGGUUUAAUAGGGAAUGCUGUUAUUGAUUGGAAACUUUUUAAUUAAAAUAAAUUUGAUUAUUUGAUUGGAAGAAAUCCUUAAAUGUUAUUAACACAAAGAAAUCAAUUUAUUUUCUUAAGAAAAAAAUAUUGUAACCAUAUAAGUAAUUUAUUUAUUUAUUUUAAUGAAAUAUAAAAUAGUUUUAAAUCUUGUGGUAUAUUUCUUGUCUUUAAGAGCUAUGAACUUAUAUCUCAAAACUUGAAAACUAAUAUAAAGAUAUUAAGUGAUCAUUGAGUGUAUGUGUGUGUGUAUAAUCUUUUUCAAAACAAAAAGGAUUUUGAUGGAGAGGACAUUGCAGCAAAUUAUCCACGAGAUGGGUCGGUGAUACCAUUGUCAUCAUGUAAUUUUUCCCACGAGAUGGGGCCGUACGCUUGGGGCUCUAAAAGCUAUGGUUUUUAAUUUCAUUAUGUUACAUAUCUAGAAUGGGAGGUAUAUUUUAUUUCAAUUCUAAAAAUGAAAUAAAUUAGAAGAUAUUUCAUCUUGUUUAGAAUAUUAUCUCCUUACAUGCAUGAAUUUCACAUAAAUUUUGACCAGAAUAUUUCGGUUCUAUUCCGGCCAUUCUAUUAUGUCCAAAUAAUGUUUUGUUUUGCUUUUAUAUAUAUAAAAAAUAUAAUUUAUUUUUAUGAUAUCAAUUAUACAUUUCAAUUCGACUAUUGGAUUAAACUGAAAUUUUAUAAUCUCCUAAUAUGUAUUAUAUCACAAGUUAAAAUUUUAGAUCAAUCAGAGUUUAGAAAGACUUUGUGAAAUUACUGUUGAUAUAUUUUCAUAAUUUUAUUUAAAUUCAUAAUUUUAUUUUGAAAUGUUUUAUUUUUUGUGGUUUUUUAGAUUGAUUUUUUUUCAUUUUAUAAUUUAACAAUAAAUUUAUUAAAAAUUAAAAUUCAUAAUUUAUUUUUAUUUAUUUUAUUUAAAAUUAUUAUAUUAUCAUUACUCAGAUCACGAAAAAAAAACCUUUGCUUUAAUUGGGAAUGCUGUUACAAGUAAUUGGACUCCGUGGGAUGGGAGACCGUUGCCAUCAUGCAUGUUUUUUCCACGGCAUGGGUCCGUAAAGUCCUCUAUAAAAGCUUAAACCUCCUUACUAUCCUCUAUAUCAAUUGAUCAGCAUUUAUAAGAUGGGGCUGUCUGUUCCUUCUGAUGUUGAUGGUUUUAGUAAUGAUGGUUUCUUGCAAGGAUGGCUGCCUCUUGGAGUAUAUUGACUUGAGAAUUAAUUGUUUUGAUAACAGUAUUUUAUUAUUUGUGGAGUUAUUUCUAUUUUUUAAAUUAUUAUAUUUAGAUUAUAAUAGAGUGAAAGAGUUAAUAGGUUUAAGAGAUUAGGAAAAAGCUACUAUUAAUUAUAGUUAGGGACCAAACUGGAAUUUUUGCACAUUUUUAAGGGUCAAAUUGUAAUUUUAUUAAAUUGAUGAAGGACCAAAAUGAAAAUAUCAUAUUUAUAACUAUACUGUAAUUUUGCCCAUAUUUCUUCUGUAAUUUUGCCUAGAAUCUCGGAUUAUGCUCUAGGGACCAAUCUGUAAUUUUUUUCAAAGUUUGGGGAUUAAACUGAAAUUUUCAUAAAUUGAGGUACCAAACUGAAAUUUUUUCAUCUUCAACAUCAAACCCAGAUUUUUCACAAAUCACCUAUUGAUAUAUCAAGAUUUUUAACUAGAUGAGGGUUUAGGUCAUAGAUUGGCCUAAUACUCGGAUCAAGAUUUGAGUCAAGUUAGCUUAUUGACUAGUGUUAAUAAAAAAUUAUAUUAUUUUAAGAUUUAAUUUAAUUAAAUAGAUCCAACUACCAUGCAAUUCCACAAUUAAUUUAUUUUAUUAUGAUUUAGUGUUAUGUUAACCAGGCAACAUUUAAUUACCAUGAUAUAAAAUACAAAAAUAGUGGGAACAUAAAAAAACAUGCUUUUAUAUAUUUUUUAUUUUAAAAGUAUAAAUUUUACUUUAAGACUAUUGUAAAAAGAUAUUUAUUUUAAAUUUAUUUAUAUUUUUAUAAUUCAAAAAUUAAAAAUAAAACAGAAUUAAUCCAUACUCAUCUAAAAACAAUUAACUCUAACAUCAUUAUUUUAUAACAAAACUAGCAAAGAUAAUUUAUUAAUCACUAAGUUUUCUGGUUAUAAAUACAUUAGUAAGUGUCUUUGUCUCUUUUGUAUUUCUAACUAUUAACGAAUUGAAAGAAUAAAUUUAGAAUCACCAAUUAAGCAGUGAAUCACACGGGAAGAUUGAAAGAAUAAUUAAAGUGAUUAUACUAACCGACAAGUCGACCCCAAGUCAAAGUCUUCUGUGGAAAAACAUGAAUAAAAGGUGGACGCUGGGCAGCUCACUUUCCAUGAAGAUGAUGGAUACAGAGCCCUCCCUUCUAUCUUUAUGGAAAUCACGUCUAGAAAAUCAUGCUUUAAUUUUAAGCUUGAGAGGGGAUGAUAUAUAUAUAUAUAUAUAUAUAUAUAUAUAUAUAUAUAUAUAUAUAUAUAUAUAUAUGCUUUAAUUUCAACUUGUAUAAAAAAUAAAUCUUAAUGACUGGUGAUUUAAACUUGGGUGUUUUUUCGGUAUUAAUAUAUAUAUUCCUCAAUUAUCAUAAAGAAUUAAGAAAAAACUAAUAAUAAGAUUAAAAUAAAUGUUUUAUAUAUCGAAAUAAUUAAAAGUAAGGUUUACUUAAGGUAUAUAUGGGAUUAAUUUAAAAUAACAAUAAAAUCAAUUUAUUAAAAAAAAUCAUAAAUUUAGUUUUCCUAAAUUUUAAAUGUAGUGUGAAUGCAUUCCGCAAGAAAAAAACAGUGCAAAAUUAGCCUUUCAAGAAAUAGAGAAUCUUCCUCUUUGAAGGAAUUAAUUAGUGGGUUGGAAAAAUGUCGUCUUCUGCUCUAAUAUUUUCUUCACUUUCUCUAUAGUUUUACCUUACACCAAUAUUGUCAGAAAAUGAUACAAUAUACUUCUUGUGUUAUCCUUCAAGAUUUCAAUUGAAAAUUAAGGAGGGUCGUAAAAAAUUUAAUUUUUAUAAACAUAUCCUUAACUCUGUAUCUUCUCUAGAUAUGUCUGUGACUGAGCUCCAUAAAGAAUUCCUAUUUAACAUUAAUCUGUCCAUCAAGUUUUUGAUCCCCGAUUAAGGCCAUCUUGAUAAAUGAGAUUUUACUCUGUAAUUUUAAUGUAUAGCUGUCAAUGACCUGAAACAUGCAAAUUAAAAUUCAAAGUGUGAGCAUUGAAUUUCUUGUCAGUUUACACCCUUCUGUGGUGUUUCCUCUUUCCAUUGAUUGAAGAGCGUCCAAGAGGAAAAACUGAAAAGGCAAAAGUUCUAUUGUACAGUGAAAAAGAGCAUGAGAAAUACACAGAAGCAGAGAUGCAUGAAUCCUUCUCCACUAGCAGCUCUCGUCCAUAGGAUCAUUGUGGUUUCAAGAUUGAUGCCCAAUCAUUUCCCUCUUUGUUCGAUUCCUCAGACCUUUUGGAAACUGUACAUUCCGGGGGAAAGUCUGUGCAAGGGCAAAAGGCGACGGUGGACUUGACAAAGGGCUGAGGGGUGGGUGAGAUGUUAUGUCAAGAAAUGAUUUUGGAAAAUUUCUUCAUAUGUGUUGAAUAACUAAGAUAAGAUAGGAGUCUUGAACAAGGCAAAAGCAUAGGCUCUCCAAGACGAUUGACCAGAAGGAGAGAAGGAAGGCUCUAUAUCCUUAGCACGUCAAACACUCCUUUGCACAUUAGAGAAAUUGUCGAGUUAUUCCUGCUUCUUCUUCUUCUUCCUUUUUUUUUUUUUUAUUUAUAAUAGUCCAGUAUUAUUAUAGAAAGGUGCUCGAGCCAAAAUUAGAGACUAGCUAGCAUAAAAGAAAAACAUAGGACAAUAUAUACAAGACAGGGGAGGAAGUAAUAACAUAACAUAAUAUAUAUAUAUAUAUAUAUAUAUAUAUAUAUAUAUAUAUAUAUAUAUAUAUAUAUUAAAAAAAACUUGAGUUAACGCAUCAACUCAACGACCCGAAUCAUGAGAUCAGGAUAAGCAAACUCAAUAUUAAAAGAUGAAAUUUAAAAAAAAAACCUUAAAAACAUAUAUGGUUUAACAAUAUUAAUUAAUUAUUAAAAUCUUUCAUUUUAUAUAUAUUAAAAAUAAAUAUUAAUAACUAUUAUAUCAAUUUGUGAAUGUUUCAAUUUGAAUGCGAACAAAUGUUUUAUAUAUGACAUUUUUCUUAAGAAUGUCUCUUUCAUUAAAACCAAAAUUAUUUAACAUGAUUAGAUUUAAUACCCUGAGAGUUUAGGUCAUAGAUUGGCCUAAUACUCGGAUAAGAUUGAGAUCAUAUAUCAGACAAGUUAGCUUAUGUUGAAUGGUGUUAAUCUAAAAUUGUAUUAUUUUAAGAUUUUUUUUAGAAAAAAUCAAAAUUGCGUAGUUAAAAAAAAUAAAACUAGUUUUUGACUGAAUUAACUAGGUUGUGGGUUGAUUUAUUUAGUCGAUUAGGCUUGGUUGGGUCAGCUCUCACUUAGUUUUUUCUAAACCUGAAUUGGGUUAGGUUCCAGAUUAAAAUGUUAGGCUUGAAUUAAAUUUAAUAAUGCUGAUUAAAACCACAUUGUAGAAAAAAAAUUAAAUUGCAUAAAAGUAAUUAACCGAAAACUUGUAUUCCUUCUUGUAAAGCUGAACCCGUGUCAGUUUUAUUGAAGGAAAACUAUGAACCAAAGGUUAAUGCUACUUUCAUGACGAGAAGACUUGCUACUUUCUUUAUGGAAAUAACGUGUGGAAAAUCAUGCCUUAAUUUUGAUGGCGAUGGUAAAAUCAAAGAGUAUCGUUGAUAAUUAAAUGCUUAUGCAUAAAAAAUAAAUCUCAAGUGUUAGAAUGCAACCACUGAUUAAUUAAUGGACAACGGACCUUGGAUUAAUACAUGACGCAACUUUCAAUGGAAUUAUAUUUGUGGAGGUAUUUACUCGGAUGUGAAUUAUAUUUUUAUUUUUUUAUUUUAAAAAAAAUUCUAUAUACUACAACUAGCUUAAGAAAGUCAAAAAAAUUUAAGUGAAAAAAAAUAUAUAUAUAUUUAUAUACACUCACGCACACACAAAAAUAUAGUCAAAUAAAUCAAGAACUAUGUGUGUUAAUAAGUGGAAAAAAAAACCUUAAACGAUAACUCAAAAUAAAAACUAGAAAAAUCAAGAGACAAGUGUAUAUCAAGAUAUUUAAUUUCACAUGACGUGACAUUUUUUUUUUUGGAUUCGACGAAACCUCACCCCUCCGAAAAGCACACUUUGUGGGCCCAGGUGAGGGAGUAAAACCCCGGCUGUCCCAGGCUCUUACAAAAGGUGCACGCCCUGACUCGAACUCGAGACCUGCUGUGCAGAUCUCAAACCCUUUGCCAUCACGCUACGCCCCUUGGGGACAACGUGACAUUUACGCAGUAUUGUUUUCUAAAUUUUCUAAUUAAAAUAAUUUUUUAUUUGAUCAAACGAUAAUAUAAACAGACACACACAUUCUAAAUUGAUUGAAUAAAAAAAAAAUAUAUGCAAAGCUGUAUAUAUUAAAAAUAUUAUUUGAAAAUAAUUUGUUUUUCAAAAAUAAAGUUCAUCUAUGUAAAAGAUUUUAAAAAAAUAUAGAUUAAUCAAAAAAACCUCUUUAAAAAUUAAAUUCAUGAUUAAAAAAUAAUCAUCAUUUCAAAUAGGCUUUUUAAAUAACUAAAAAGAGAGAAGGGAUAUUAAUAUAAAUAUAAAUAUAACUAAAAUUAAGAUUAUUUUAAAAAAAUAGAUAAAAAAAAUUUUAAGCGAAAAAAAGUGAACAGACACGGUGAACUUAACUCAUAAACUCAACUGAAUUUAAUAUUUUUUUCGUUAAAUUUAUUAUAAAUAUAAAAAAAAACAAAAUUAAUAUCAUUCACGGUAAAACAUAAAUAAAAAACAGUACAACCGCAUAGUAUUCACCUCAGGCAUUUUCUUUUAAAUUUAUAGCCAAACCUUAAAAAUAAACUUUUGUGCUCAGUAUCUUUUUAAGGUGAAUUAACAAGUUUCAACUCAUCUCUGUAUCUUCUCUAGAUACAGAGAAUUCCUAUUUAACAUUAAUCUGUCCAUCAAGUUUUUGAUUCCCAAUUAAGACCAUCUUGAUAAAUGAGAAUUUACUCCGUAAUUUUAUUGUAUAGCUGUCAAUGACCUGAAACAUGCAAAUUAAAAUUCAAAGUGUGAGCAUUCAAUUUCUUGUCAGUUUACACCUUUCUGUGGUGUUCCCUCUUUCCAUUGAUUGAAGAGCGUCUAAGAGGAAAAACUGAAAAGGCAAAAGUUAUGUUGUACAGUGAAAAAGAGCAUGAUCAGAAAUACACAAAAACAGAGAUGAAUGAAUCCUUCUCCACUAGCGCUCUCGUCCAUCGGAUCAUUGUGGUUUCAAGACCGAUGCCCAAUCAUUGCCCUCUUUGUUCGAUUCCUCAGACCUUUUGGAAACUGUACAUUCCGGGGGAAAGUCUGUGCAAGGGCAAAAGGGGACGGUGGACUUGACAAAGGGCUGAGGGGUGGGUGAGAUGUUAUGUCAAGAAAUGAUUUUGGAAAAUUUCUUCAUAUGUGUUGAAUAACUAAGAUAAGAUAGGAGUCUUGAACAAGGCAAGAACAUAGGCUCUCCAAGACAAUUGACCAGAAGGAGAGAAGGAAGGCUCUAUAUCCUUAGCACGUCAAACACUCCUUUGCACAUUAGGGAAAUUGUCGAGUUAUUUCUGCUUCUGCUUCUGCUUCUUCUUCUUUUUAUAAUAGUCGAGUAUUAUUAUAGAAAGGUGCUAGAGCCAAAAUUAGAGGCUAGCUAGCAUAAAAGAAAAACAAUGAUUAAUUGCAAGAGAUGGUUACUUAUACCAGUAGCAAUUUAGUAAUGAUUAAUUAGCAUUUAUAUUAAGAUGUGGCUAUUAAUUCAAAUGUUAACAAUGAUUUUCUUGGAAGGAUGAUUGCCUCUUGGUUACUUUAAAAUAUACGGUUUUUUUAGUUCAAAUCUAUUAAUAAAAAUAUAGUUUUAUUGAAUUUUUUUAUAUACUUUUAUUAGAGAAAUUAAUUUAAACACAUUUAUAUACAGACACUAGUUUAUCAAGUACUUCAAUAGAAAAAUAAAAUCAAUUAGAGUACUUAAAUAAAAAAAAAUAUAAAUUAUAAGCAUUUUACAUAUCUUUAUUGUUUAUAAAUUAAAAAUAAAAUAAUAUCAAUCCAGACUAAUCUAAAAAAAAAUUAACUAUGACAUCAUCAUUCUAAUAAUAAAACUAAUAAAGAUGUUUUAUUGAUUAAAUUUCGUGAUACAGGGUUGAAACAAAAAAGAGAUGAAGAGAGAGGAGGGAAUGGAAAGAAGGGAAAAAAGAACUCAUGCGAUCUGUUGUUUGUAAGUUUUUUACAUAAUAUAUAGGAAGGUAUUUUAAUUAUUUUGUUCAAAUUAAAAAUUUUCAUUGACUAAAAAGCGUAAUUAUCUAAAACAUAAAAGCAAAGUAAAAAACUCAAAUGCUUCAUUAAAAAACUCAAUUGAUUCGGUGCUUUAUUAGUUUCUAUAGUAUGGUGUCUUAUGCAUUUUGUUCUAAUCAUAUAUGGGAAAGUGUUUGGUUGAUUAACGUAUAUCAUGACUUUGUAUGGGUCCUACCACAAACUCUCUCUUUUGAAAUAUUAAUUAAGAAAAAGCUAUAAUUUAUAGUUUUUUUAAAUUUAUUUUUUCAAAUUACAAUCAUAUAAACUACUAUAAUAUCAAAUACAUAUUUGAAUAAGACUCAGUAAAAAUUUUCUUCUUCUAAAUACAAAGUGGAAAUGAGUUACUUUCUCCAAAAAGAAUAUAUACAAUAUUAUCGAUUAUCUAAUGCAAACUCCGUCUAACAUACACAGAGAAAGAGAGAGAACCUUAACUAUGUUUAUUUUAUGCACUUUAAUUAAAAAUAAAUUUUGGAUUGUACGAGAGACUUUAAUUAAAUUUCAAUAUUAAAUUUAUGCACUUUAAUUAACAUACACAGAUCAACUAUUAAUAUAUCAAGACUUUUAACUCAAAUUCAUUAUUUAAACAAACCAUAACUUAAAAUUAUUAUCUUUAUCUAAAAUCUUUAAAAAUCAAUGAAAUAACUCAUUAUUCAUAAUAAUUAACCUGCUAAGUUAUUUCUGCUUCUUCCUUUUUAUAAUAGUCGAGAAUUAUAUAUUAUAGAAAGGUGCUAGAGUUAAAAUUAGAGGCUAGCUAGCAUAAAAGAAAAACAGAGGUAUAUACAAGACAGGGGAGGAAGUGUGCGUGCGUGCGUGUGUGUGUGUGUGUGUGUGAUCCCUUCUCAAGCUUAAAAGUAAAGCAUGAUUUUCUAGACGUGAUUUCCAUAAAGAUAGAAGGGAGGGCUCUGUAUCCAUCAUCUUCAAGGAAAGUGAGCUGGCCAUCGUCAACCAUUUAUUUAUGUUUUCAACCAUUUAUUUAUGUUUUUCCACAAAAGACUUUGACUUGGGGUCAACUUGUCGGUUAAUUACUUUUAUGCAAUUCAAUUUUUUAAAAAUAUAUAUAUAUAUGCUUUAAUUUCAACUUAAGUUAUAUACGGGACGAUAAAAAAAUAACAAUAAAAUCAAUUUAUAAAAAAAAUCAUAGAUUUAGUUUUCCUAAAUUUUAAAUGUAGUGUGAAAGCAUUCCGCAAGAAAAAAACAGUGCAAAAUUAGCCAUGACAAUAAGUCUUUUUCUUUCUAAAGAGUUUAUUUUUUGUAACACAAUCAAUAAGUAAGAUGGAUGGGAAUUUGCAGUGUGAGAUGGGUUUGUGAGACUAUAUAUUGCCAUCAGCAUUUUUUCCAUGAUAUAGGCUUGUAGGAUGGUCCAUGAGACCAUUGCUAUAUAUCAAGCGUUUUUUCUACGAGAUGGGUCCAUGAGACCAUUACCUCGUAAGCUUGGGAAUGGAUAACAUGAUUUAAUGUUUAUUUAGUUUAAAAAAAAAUUAAAUGCUUAUGCAUAAAAAAUAAAUCUCAAGUGUUAGAAUGCAACCACUGAUUAAUUAAUGGAUAAUGAACCUUGGAUUAAUACAUGACGCAACUUUCAAUGGAAUUAUAUUUGUGGAGGUAUUUACUCGGAUGUGAAUUAUAUAUAUAUAUAUAUAUAUAUAUAUAUAUAUAUAUAUAUAUAUAUAUAUAUAUAGGGGCACACACAAAUAUAGUCAAAUAAAUCAAGAAUUAUAUGUGUUAAUAAGUGAAAAAAAAAAUAUUAAACUAUAACUCAAAAUAAAAACUAGAAAAACCAAGAGACAAAUGUAUAUAAAGAUAUUUAAUUUCACAAGACGUGAUAUUUACGCAGUAUUGUUUUCUAAAUUUUCUAAUUAAAAUAAUUUUUUAUUCGAUCAAACGAUAAUAAAAAUAGACACAUACAUUAUAAAUUGAUUGAAUAAAAUAAAAGGAGAAAAAAUAAUAUGCAAGGCUGUACAUAUUAGAAAUAUUAUUUGAAAAUAAAUUUCUUUUUAUUUUCAAAAAUAAAGUUCAUCCAUGUAAAAUAUUUUUAAAAAAUAUAGAUUAAUCAAAAAAAUCUCUUUAAAAAUUAAAUGCAUGAUUAAAAAAUAAUCAUCAUUUUAAAUAGGCUUUUUAAAUAACUAAAAAGAGAGAAGGGAUAUUAAUAUAAACAUAAAUAUAACUAAAAUUAAGAUUAUUUAAAAAAAAUAGAUAAAAAAAUUUUAAGCAAAAAAAAGUGAACAGACAACUUAUAAACUCAACUGGAUUUAAUAUUUUUCCUGUUAAAUUUAUUAUAAAUAUAAAAAAACAAAAUUAAUAUCAUUCAUGGUAAAACAUAAAUAAAUAAAUAAAUAAAACAGUACAACCGCAUGUUAUUCACCUCAGGCAUUUUCUUUUAAAUUUAUAGCCGAACCUUAAAAACAAACUUUUGUGCUCUGUAUGUUUUUAAGGUGAAUUAACAAUUUUCAACUCAACUCGGUACCUUCUCUAGAUAGAUCUGUGACUAUGCCUUGGAUUUUCUCAAAACUACUAAGUGUGUGCUUGAGAGGGUGAUUAUAGUUGUUUUUUAAAGUGUUUUUCACUCAGAAAAACAUGUCAAUAAUAUUUUUUUAUAUUUUAAAAUUUAUUUUCGAAAUCAGCACAUCAAAAUGAUUUAAAAACAUCAAAAAUAUAUUAAUUUAAAGUAAAAAAAAAAUUCAAAUUUUUGCGGAAGUGCUUUUGAAAAGCACUCCCAAACACUCCCAUGGUUGGAUACCAAGUAAAUAGAGAUAAAUUUAUUUCCUGUUAUUCUCCGAUAGUAUCUUCGUCCCUUGAUAGAACUUUCUUGGAGAUGAUGAGCUACCACUCCCUUUUGACUUUGCUGGCCUCCCAAAUAUAAAUAAAGAAUUCCUCUUGAUAGAAUUUUCUUCGAAAUGAUGAGAAUAUUUUAGAAUAUUCUGGUUGACGCCAGCUGUCAACAACUAUCUUACAUUCCCAACGCAUGCCUUUGCAAGAUGUUAAAGGCUCAUCUAAAAACAAUUAACUCUGAUAUCGUUAUUUUAUAACAAAUUAGCAAAGAUAAUUUAUUAAUCACUAAGUUUUCUGGUUAUAAAUACAUUUGUAAUUGUCUUUAUCUCUUUUGUAUUUCUAACAAUUAACGAAUUGAAUAUAUAAUAAAUACCGACUGAAAGAAUAAAUUUAGUUUAAAUGUGCUAAAGUUUAAAUAGGCGACUUUAGAAUCACCAAGAAGGCAGUGAAUCACACGGGAAGAUUGAAAGAAUAAUUAAAGUGAUUUUACUAACAUUGUAAAAGUAAUUAACCGAAAAGUUGACCCCAAGUCAAAGUCUUCUGUGGAAAAACAUGAAUAAAAGGUUGACGCUGGGCAGCUCACUUUCCAUGAAGAUGAUGGAUACAGAGCCCCCCCUUCUAUCUUCAUGGAAAUCACGUCUAGAAAAUCAAACAUUAUUAUUGCCAUCUGCGUUUUUUCUUAGAGAUGGGUCCGUUCCACCAUUUCCCCUCAAGCUUGAGAUAUAUAUACGUGACACGAUUUAAUUUCAAAUCUUAAUGUAGUGUGUUAGAAUGCAACCACCGAUUGAUUAAAUUUAAUGGCUGGUCAUUUAAACUUGGGUGUUUUUUCGGUAUUAAUAUAUAUAUAUAUAUAUAUAUAUUCCUCAAUUAUCAUAAAAAAUUAAGAAAAAACUAAUAAUAAGAUUAAAAAUAAAUGUUUUAUUUAUCGAAAUAAUUAAAAGUAAGGUUUACUUAAGGUAUAUAUGGGAUGGUAAAAAAAUAACAAUAAAAUCAAUUUAUAAAAAAAAAUCAUAGAUUUAGUUUUCCUAAAUUUUAAAUGUAGUGUUUAUAAUUAAUUAAUUAAUUGAGAAUUUGAGCUCUUCUAAAAGUUGUUUAUGGACUUUUGUUUUCCGGAGAAAACUCCCUUAAAACCUUUGAGCACUUCCUUCUCUAAAAUAUAUGUUUUUGCCAUAACUCAGGGGCUCUGUAUCUUUUAAGGUGAAUUAGGCUUUAUAUCUUUUUAAGGUGAAUUAACAAGUUUCAACUCAUCUCUGUAGAUACAUAGAAUUCCUAUUUAACAUUAAUCUGUCCAUCAAGUUUUUGAUCCCCAAUUAAGACCAUCUUGAUAAAUGAGAUUUUACUCUGUAAUUUUAAUGUAUAGCUGUCAAUGACCUGAAACAUGCAAAUCAAAAUUCAAAGUGUGAGCAUUGAAUUUCUUGUCCGUUUACACCUUUCUGUGGCGUUUCCUCUUUCCAUUGAUUGAAGAGCGUCUAAGAGGAAAAACUGAAAAGGCAAUCACUAGCGGCCCUCGUCCAUCGGAUCAUUGUGGUUUCAAGAUUGAUGCCCAAUCAUUGCCCUCUUUGUUCGAUUCCUCAGACCUUUAGGAAACUGUAUAUGAGAUGUUACAGAGUGACGGAGGACUUGACAAAGGGCUGAGGGGUGGGUGAGAUGUUAUGUCAAGAAAUGAUUUUGGAAAAUUUCUUCAUAUUUGUUGAAUAACUAAGAUAGGAGUCUUGAACAAGGCAAGAACAUAGGCUCUCCAAGACGAUUGACAGAAGGAGAGAAGGAAAGCUCUAUAUCCUUAGCACGUCAAACACUCCUUUGCACAUUAGAGAAAUUGUCGAGUUAUUUCUGCUUCUGCUUCUGCUUCUGCUUCUUCUUCUUUUUAUAAUAGUAGAGUAUUAUUAUAGAAAGGUGCUAGAGCCAAAAUUAGAGGCUAGCUAGCAUAAAAGAAAAAGAAAAACAGAGGACAGUAUAUACAACUAUACAAGACAGGGGGAGGAAGUAAUAACAUAAUAUUAAUAACUAUAUAUAUAUUAAAAAAACUCGAGUUAACCCAUCAAGUUUACGACCCGGAUUAUGAGAUCGGGAUAAGCAAACUCAAUGUUAAGAAAUGAAAUUAAAGAAAAAAACCAUAAAAACAUAUAUGGCGUAGUGUCUUAUCGAUUAAGUUUGAUUGGGUCAACUCUCACUUGGUUUUUUCUAAACCUAAAUUGGGUUAGAUUCUAGAUUAAAAUAUUAGGCUUGAAUUAAAUUUAAUAACACUGAUUAAAACCACAUUGUAGAAAAAAAAAAUGAAUCGCGUAAAAGUAAUUAACCGAAAACUUGUAUUUCUUCUUAUAAAGUUGAACUCAUGUCAGUUGUUUUUUAAGGAAAAAUAUGAAUCAAAGGUUAAAGCUAGGCAGCUCACUUUGCACGACAAUGACGGAUAUAGAAGACAUAACGUGUGGAAAAAUCAUGCCUUAAUUUUGAUGGUGAUGGCAAAAUCAAACAGUAUCGUUGAUAAAAUGAACCACAAAUAAUAUUAUUUCUAAAACACUUCUUGUCAUUGUGAUGACAAUAAGUCUUCUUCUUUGCAGUGUGAGAUGGGUUUGCAUUUUUAUUUUCCACGAUAAUUAAUUAAUUAAUUGAGAAGUUGAGCUCCUUAAGAAAAGUUGUUUAUGGACCUUUGUUUUCCGGAGAAAACUCCCUUAAAACCCUUGAGCACCACCUUCUCUAAAACAUCUAUCUUUGCCAUAACUGAGAGGCUCUGUAUCUUUUUAAGGUGAAUUAACAAGUUACAACUCAACUCUGUAUCUUUUUUAGAUAUGUAUGUGACUGUACCUUGAUGUUCUCACAACCAUUAAGAUGGAGACAAAUUUUCUUUUCUGUUAUUCUCCGAAAAUAUCUUCGUUCCUUGAUAGAAUUUUCUUGGAAAUGAUGAGCUUCCACUCCCUUUUGACUUUGCUGGCCUCCGAAAUAAUUAAAGAAUUCCUCUUGAUAGAAUUUCCUUGGAAAUGAUGAGAAUAUCUCACAUUCCCUUGGCAUCGUGUUCCAUGCCUUUGCAAAUUAUUAAAGGCUCCAAUGCAUGUGUCCUUUUAUUCAUGUUUUUCCACAAAAGACUUUUGACUUGGGGUCAACUUGUCGGUUAGUAAAAUCACUUUAAUUAUUCUUUCAAUCUUCCCGUGUGAUUCACUGCUUAAUUGGUGAUUCUAAAUUUAUUCUUUCAAUUCGUUAAUAGUUAGAAAUACAAAAGAGACAAAGACAAUUACUAAUGUAUUUAUAACCAGAAAACUUAGUGAUUAAUAAAUUAUCUUUGCUAGUUUUGUUAUAAAAUAAUGAUGUUAGAGUUAAUUGUUUUUAGAUGAGUUUGGAUUAAUUCUGUUAAUUUUAUUUUUAAUUUUUGAACUAUAAAAAUAUAGAUAAAUUUAAAAUAAAUAUCUUUUUACAAUAGUUUUUUAGUAAAAUUAGAGUAAAAUUUGUACUUUUAAAAUAAAAAUAUAUAAAAACAUGUAUUUUAUGUUCCCAUUAUUUUUGUAUUUUAUAUCAUGGUAAUUAAAUGUUGCCCGGUUAACAUAACACUAAAUCAUAAUAAAAAAAUAAUAAUUAUGGAAUGGCAUGGUAGUUGGAUCUAAUUUUUUUAUGGAAUGGCAUGGUAGUUGGAUCAUAAUAAGAGUAUUCAAAUUAAGAAUAUUUAAAUGAGUGUUAAUUGGGUUUAAAAGACUUACAAGCAAAAUAUAAGUUGUUUGUUAGAAUUCUUAUGGAUCCGAUAGAAAAUUAAUACUUCAUUCAUAUACAUUACAUGAGCAUAUAUAUAUUUCUUUUAUCAACAUAAUGAUAUGUUUAUUUAUGUAACAGGUCCAUCAAAUAUCCAUGGAGAUCAUUAGUUUAGGGCUCUACUUUGUCAAGCUUAUGUAAAUAUUUAACUUAAGCAAAAGGGAAUUAACGCAUUUAUGUAGUAUGCUUUUGUAUAAACCUUGAUGUAUUUAUAAAAGUUCAGCUUAGCAUGUAGUACUUUAGUUAUCUUGUAAUUAACCCUUCUGAAAUAUUUAAAAACACUUAUUAUGUUGUAAAUGCUUUAUUUACAUGUUAGUAUUCCUUUUUCUUUUAAUUUUAUGAUAUGAUAUAUGGGCUAUGUUCAUAUUGAACUUGCUCAUAGGAUAUAUAUAAAUAUAUAUUGUGUGGAUUAUAUGAGGUGUUGAAUUAUGAUGAUUAAUAUAAGGUUCGGAAUUAUGGGACCUUGUGAUGAUGGAUUGAUUGUGUAAAUUAAUAGUAGUCGAUAACUUGGGAUGUUCUAAAUACAAACAAAACUCUGCUGAAUUUUUGGUAGAUUUAAAAAAAAAAAUUACCCUCAAAUUAAAAGCAUAUGUUGAGAUCUUUUAACAUUGAUCAAGUCGUAUAGUUGGUUCUGUUACAUGUUAGGUAUACAAUGUCUCUGUGAUAUGGACAUAAUGAUUUUUGAUGUGUCAAAUUCUUACUAUUUCACUCUUAAGAGUAGAAAGAUCUACUUCGUUGGACAACCACCAAGGCUUAACAACAAUAAUGAGAAAAUAAGCAUGUGAAAGGAAAAAGACUUAAUCUUAUAAGCCCAAAUGAUUUUGAGAAUCAGGUUCAUGAAGAGUUUGUUGCAUUUGCUUUAGUGGCUAAGAAAGUUUUAGAGAAAGCACUCGAAGAAAUAAGUGUAGUUUUGAAAGAAUUUCAAGAUGUUUUUCCUCUCAAAGUUCAUAAUUCCUUACCCCAUUAUACGUGACAUUCAACACGUAAUAUUUUAUCCCUAGUUACCUCUUGGUUUCAAGCAAGAAACACACUUCAAUAUCAUUAUGCGUUACUGUAUUCCUAAUAGAUGCCCUCUUAGCAGACAUACCCAACCCACAACUAUUCCAGAAUAAAAUCUUCAUUGAUAAAUGAUUUUAAACCUUACCAAGUUAUACUGCAAAAUGGAAUUAUUCCCAAAACCCAAAGCAAAUAACAUCCUCUGCGCCUCAUCUUCAACAAUACAUUCUGCUGUUGCAGCAGAACUGUAAGUUAUCAUAUAACGAAGAUUCCCUUUUCUGAUUCUAGAAUCCAGUGAACCUGGUGAUUCCACCUCACGUUCAUCCUCCACCCGCUGAAGACUACCAUUGAAAGAGAAAAGCUCCACCUUUGGGUGUAAACUGGAUUGAUUGCAUCCCAUCUGAAUCACGUGGGCUUAAUGGAAGGAACGAACAAUUGUCGGUUUUAAAAGUUUGGUUUGUAACAAUCAUUGUAAUUCCAAAUUUCCAUACUCCUUCCAUUUAAGCAAUUAAUAAUAACAGAGAAUAUGUAUAAAUCUCAAUGUUGUUUUAAAUUUUAUGUAAGAUAGUACAGUUUCAUUCAAAAAAUGAGAAAGAACAAUAAAAAUCCUCAAAUUCUACCACCUUCAAUUCUCAUUCAUCAACAACAGCAUACAUUCAAACAAGUGAUCAAUAGUGUUGAUGAAAAAUAAAUCAUUAGCGAUCAAGUGACGAGGACUAUAGUAAGAUUGGCGCCAUUGUAAGCUUGACAAGCUUUGCCUACUCUAAUUAACAGCAACGAAAGAUUCAGUGCCUAAUCUCUGGACGGAGAAGGGGACGCCUUUGUUAUGUACAUGGUUGCCCUAAAUGGUUCGAUGAUGCUCAUUUUAAACAUUUUUUGUCAAGGUUGUCAAUUUUGCUCCGUUUAGUGUUUCAUUUUUUUAAUUGAAACGGUAUGUUUUGGUUUCGGAGCAUUUCAGUGUGUUGUUUCAGGAUUAUAUAUAUAUUAACUCAAUUAAACAUAAUUUAAAUUUAAAUUUAAAGAUAAAUUAACUUGAAAUUAUGCAAUUUAAAUUUCAAACACAAGUAAAAAAGUGAGAGACUGAUAUGACUUGAUCGACUAGAUGGGUCCAAAGACAACCUUUACGACUGGUAAGAAUAUAGUUUGACUCAAAAAAAUUUAAGAUGAUAUUUUUUAAAAAAUAUAUUGAGAUGACAACAUAUUAAAUCAACCUGGGUCAACUCGAUCGGAUUAACUUUCUAAAUUCGUAAUCCAGGUUAUGAGACCAUAAUAACCUAAAAUAAAGCAAAUCAAAACAAAUUAUAAAGCUGAAUUCUCAAUAAACAUGUUAUUGAAUGGUUAAAUUGGAAAAAUUUUAAUAUAAAAAAAGACACAAAAAAAUGACCUUCAGAGACUAUUGUCGUCACCAGAAUGUUUUGCCCGCCACACAAGCUUCACAUAUCUUUUGCAACUCAGAUUUGGAAACUUUAGAGUACCUUUUUAUAUACUGUAACUUUUCUAGGAGUGUUUGGAUGAAAGUUUUGGAUUAGUGGGGUAUCUAAUGUUGUUGUCGAGCACUUUAGACUCGCUACUUCUACAACAACAUGGAAUGGUGCAGGGUAAAUUCCAAAGAUUAGCUUGGAGACUAAUCUCUAGUAGUAUUACUCGGGGUAUUUGGUUGUUGAGGAACAAAAUUGUUUGUGAGGAGAGAACUAUAAGUUUGUUUGAUUGUUUCUCUAUCAUCCUUUAUCAGGUUGCUAUUUAGUUGUAUACUCUGUAUUCAAACUUUACUUAUACAGGAAAUGAUCUCUUAAGAUCUUUUGAUGAUAUCAAAUUGUGGUGUAAUAAGAAAUCUUAGGUAGUUUCUUUGUUUUUUUGUUGUAGCAAAUCAGUUUUGUUUUCUUUUUUUCCCCCUUUUUUCUUUUUUUUUUUGUCCUAUGAGACUAUUGUCAUCUGCAUUUUUUCCAUGAUAUAGGCCAGUGGGAUGGUCCAUGAGACCAUUGCUAUCAAGCGUUUUUUGUACGAGAUGGGUCCACGAGACCAUUGCCCUGUAAGCUUGGGAAUGGAUAAUAUGCUUUAAUUUCAAUUUAGUUUACAAAAAAAUUAAAUUAAAUGCUUAAGCAUAAAAAAUAAAUCUCAAGUGUUAGAAUGCAAUUACCGAUUAAUUAAUGGACAACGGACCUUAGAUUAAUUAAUAUAUGAUGCAUCUUUCAAUGGAAAUGUAAAUGCUUUACUAGAAUAUUAUUUUUUUUUGUAUUUGUUUUCUGGUUAUAUUUAAUUUUCAUCAAUAUUCCUAACAUAAAUUGCUACGUAUUUUGAAUCUUGAAGGAUUGAAAGAUAGAAAACAGAAAAGAAAAGGAGACAAGGCAGUUCAAAAGAAGAAGAAAAAAGUACGAUAGUGAAAGAAAGAGAAGAGAAUAAAAGUGGAGCAGUUUUUAUUAACUAUAUAAAUUUUAUAAUUACUAAUAUUAAAUUCAAAAUAUGUACAUAUUACAAAUAUGUAAACAUAUCAUAUGGUUUAAAAGAAAUGGCUUUUAUAAACAUAUAUGGCUUAACAAUAUUAAUCAACUCCUAAUAUUUUCAUUUUAUAUAUAUUAAUUAAAGUAAAUAUUAAAACCUAUUAUAUUAAUCUGUGAAGGUAUUUACUCGGAUGCAAAUUAUAUUUCUAAUUUAUUAUUAAAAAAAAUUCUAUAUACUACAACUAGCUUAAGAAAGUCAUGUUUAUCAGGAUCAUAGAGUAAAAAAAAGAAAAAAUUGAAUUGCAUAAAAGUAUCACUAGCUUAAGAAAGUUAUGUCAUCUGCAUCUUUCCUCGAGGAGAGGCAGUGAGACGUCCUCUUCCAACCAUCAUGCAUUUUUUCCAUGAGAUGGGUUCGUGGAAAAACUUUGGUUUAAUUGGGAAUGCUGUUAUUGAUUGGAAAAUUUUUAAUUAAAAUAAAUUUGAUUUUUUGAUUGGAAAAAAAUCCUUAAAUGACAUUAACACAUGACUCCACUUUAUUUUCUUAAGAAAAAAAAUAUUGUAACCAUAUAAGUUUCAAGUUUAAAGGGUUUUCAUUUGAAGGGGUGUGUUAGAGAAUAAUAUAAAUCAUAUCUUAGAAUCUAACCUAAUAGCUUAAGCUUUUGGGUUGAAUCGGUUCUUUGACAUGGUAGCGGAGCCUUGAUGACCAAGCGAUCACGAGUUCGAAUCUCAUCAUCCCCAUUUAUUAGAUAAAAAUUAAACACAAGGUAAUGUGGAUCUGUACAAGUUUCAAGCCCUUCUAUUGGGUUAAGAUGGUAUCUUGAGGUCUCACCUAACAACUUAAACUAUUGGGUUGAGAUGGUUCUUCGACAGGCUACCAGAUGGUGCGGCGCUACACCUCUGUUCUUGCUUUUCUCUGCUUGUUUUCUCUUCUUUUUUUAUUUCUCUUGUUCCCUUUGUCUCUCUCUGUAUUAUCUAUGUUUGUUCAUUUUUCGUCUAUGUCUUUUUGUAUUAUCUGUCUGUGGUUCUCCCCUUCUAUGUGGCUUUUCUUUGUUUGUCUUGAUUUCUCUGGGUUUGUAUUUGGUUGGUUCAACAACCUACGGUGAGGGGAAGUUGAAUAUUAAAGGCUCCCAUGCCUCUCUAGCAAUAAUAUUAUUUUUUAUUUAUCCCCAAAUACAUGUGUCAUUUAUCAAAAUAAUUAAUUUAAUCACCAAAAAAAAACAAAUAGAUCCAACAACCAUGCCAUUCCACAGUUAAUUUUUUUUAUAUUAUGAUUUAGUGCUAUGUUAACCGGGCAACCUUUAAUUACCAUGAUAUAAAAUAAAAAAAUAAUGGGAACAUAAAAUAAAUGUUUUUAUAUAUUUUUUAUUUUAAAAGGAAAAAUUUUACUCUAAUUUUACUCAAAAACUAUUGCAAAAGGAUAUUUAUUUUAAAUUUAUCUAUAUUUUUAUAGUUCAAAUAUUAAAAAUAAAAUAGAAUUAAUCACUAAGUUUUCUGGUUACAAAUACAUUUGUAAUUGUCUUUAUCUCCCUUGUAUUUCUAACCAUUAACGAAUUGAAUAUAUAAUAAAUACUAAUUAACAAAAGAAUAAAUUUAGCUGUAUAAUGUACUAAAGUUUAAAUAGGUGACUUUAGAAUCACCAAGAAGGCAGUGAAUCACACGGGAAGAUUGAAAGAAUAAUUAAAGUGAUUUUACUAACCGACAAGUUGACCCCAAGUCAAAAGUCUUUUGUGGAAAAACAUGAAUAAAAGGUUGACGUAAGACCAUUGCUAUCAAGCGUUUUUUCUAAGAGAUGGGUCCGUUCCACCAUAUAUAUGCUUUAAUUUCAACCACCAUAAAAAAUAAAUCUUAAUGUAGUGUGUUAGAAUGCAACCACCGAUUGAUUAAUUUUAAUGGCCGGUCAUUUAAACUUGGGUGUUUUUUCAGUAUAUAUAUAUAUAUAUAUUCCUCAAUUAUCAUAAAAAAAUAAGAAAAAACUAAUAAUAAGAUUAAAAAUAAAUGUUUUAUUUAUCGAAAUAAUUAAAAGUAAGGUUUACUGAAGGUAUAUACGGGAUUAAUAAAAAAUAACAAUAAAAUCAAUUUAUAAAAAAAUAAAUCAUAGAUUUAGUUUUCCUAAAUUUUAAAUGUAGUGUGAAUGCAUUCCGCAAGAAAAAAAACAGUGCAAGAUUAGCCUUUCAAGAAAUAGAGAAUCUUCCUCUUUGAAGGAAUUAAUUAGUGGGUUGGAAAAAUGUCGUCUUUUGCUCUAAUAUUUUCUUCACUUGGUCUAUAGUUUUACCUUACACUAAUAUUUUCAAGAUUUCAAUUGAAAAGGAGGGUCGUAAAAAAUUUAAUUUUUAUAAACAUACCCUUAAUUAACUUAAUUUGGAUGUGGAUAAUUGUUUGCAAUAUAUUUACAUCCAAUAUAAACAAUUCAUCAAUGAUCAAGUCGGCCUUGGUUAGCUAAAAUAUUGAAAAUACUUGCUCUCUCCUUUUUUCUUUUUUGGCCAUGCAGUUCCUAUAUAUAUAUAUUAGUUGAAAUUUUAUGAUGUCUAUUAAUCCUUUUAAAUUAAAGUCAAGUUAUUAAUUAUAUCCUAUAGAUUUCUAGAAAAACUAAUUCUCUCAAAUUUCGUACAUUUUACUUACAAACUAUAAAAGGUGAUUGCUACAAACUAAAAUUUCAAACAAGGAAGCUUAAAUCUCUUUUAUCUACAUUUGAAAUUUACAAAAAAUAAAAUUAUAUUGGAUUAAGCCUAAACACUAUAUAAAAUUCUUGAACAACACAUUAAAAACAAAUCAAAGAUACUUUUCAAAAUAUCAAAUCAUUAAAUCUUACAUAUCAAAUAAAUCAAGUUAUCAUAUAUCAAAUUAAAAGGAAGAAUUAAAUGAUUGUUUUAUUUUUUAUAAAAAUAUUUUAAAUAGAAAUUAUAAUGUGGAUCAUAUGGCUCAAUGCAAAUUAAGGUCUCACAUAUAGCCAGCUAUAGCAUGGGAUAGCCAGCGGUCAUUCCAUCAGGAGAUUUGUGAAUUCUGAAGCCUUUGCAAUGUGCAUGGCAUGUGUCCAAGAACCCACCAGGAACUCCAUUUUGACUGGGAAACCUUUGACGAACUGUAUUAUAUGUGAUUUGCUCCUGGUAUUAUAAAUUAGAAAGUGUAAAUUGUAAAUCCCAACCAAUAAGAUAUCUACAUAAGAGUCUGUAAAUGUUACAGAUGAUUUAAGUUUGUUUAGCAAAUUUUUCAAGAACAUGUUUGUCUUUGAUAGCUUAUUGUCAUAGCUGUGAACUCUGAAGAAAAUUGAUGUAAGAAACCAAAGUCCAUUUUGUUCUAGAUUGUAGAUGGAUAUAAGCUUGGUGAUUCCCGAUUCUUUUAUUAAUUUCAUUUUAUACAUUCCCUGUGAUGUGUUCUUAAUUUAUAUACCACACCGAUGUCUGUUAGGUUCUGAUUCAAUCGAAUUGGAGCCGAUCAAAAUUGUAAUGACUCAGUUUCUUUUAUGACCUGGAUUGGGCUUCACAUGCCCUUGAUUAUGCCCAAGAAGAAAACUAAAUAAAUAGUAGAUGAGUAGUGUACUGAAAAUAAAUAUUUUCAGCAUAUUACAUAGAUCUAAAACAAUAGCACACAGGAAUUAAAAAAGAGGAGGGAUCGCUAGGGAUACAAGAUUUGCAGCCAAAACUAUGACCUGACAUGUUCAGGAAACAGAAGGGAACUAUGACCUGACAUGUUCAGGAAACAGAAGGGAGGUGUUUCUUUUAAACACAAGGCAGAUUUUUAUGAUCUUAUUCCUUUUGGUCAUUAAAUUUUCUUAAAAGGAGCUUUGGUUUGAUUCCUACAAGCUGGGGGCAAAUCUUCAGCGUUUCGACAGUCAGCCUCAUGAGCAAAAGAAAGACAAUGUGCGACCACUCCAAGCUUCUCGUUGCUCCCCUGUUCCGAUUAGAAAUGGAGAUUCAAGAAGCUAUGCUACUGUCCUGAGACAAGAGUUCCAACGAAAUCUACUGUAAGUUCCCAAGACACUCUUUUAUAACACUUUGGUCAUUUCCAUGACUUUAUCUGCAUAUCUUGUGCAGGCCAGUUCCAUGUUUUGAGAUUUGAAUAUUAUUUUAUUUUAUUGUUUAGCACUUAGUCUAUUCGCCAGGUUGGGAAAAAUAUUCAAAUUAGUUUUGUUGGCAUGUAACCUCACCAAACAAUUUAAGACUUCACUAAACAAUUUGCGUAGACCGUAUUGACUGGGAGUCAACUAUUGUCGUAGUGCUUUUUUGCACUAUCUGUGUGCGUGAAUGGAAAGAAAAGCAGGGUGGCAACUGGGGUGAGAAAAUGAAUAGAAAACUCCAACAAGGGUGUGAAAAUGAGUUACUUCUCCAAAAAGAAUAUAUAAAUUAUUGAAUAUCUAAUGGAAACUGUCGUGAACGCGGAUGCUUGACUUGCUGUGUACCAUUUUGAUUUUUAAACACAACCAUGCCGUAAUUUCCUGGUGAUUUCCUUAUGCAUACUGGUGGUCUUCCAGAAUCUUUUUCCAAACAAUCCUCGUUAGACCCUGCUCGGGGAUUAACCUGGAGUAAGAUUUGUAUCAUGGUUUUUUAUCAUGUUCCAGGUCAACUUGGAUCAACUAAAUUUUAUGAGUAUGUCAAAACGACAUUGUUUUUUAUAUAUAAACAUAAAUAUGAAUCUUGAGCUCUUUUAUAAUCUUAAGACGAAGUAUAUUAAUAGUUGAACCAUUAUCCACCAAGAUACAAUUCAUCAUCUUUUCAUCGAUAUAUCUUUUAAUAAAAAAAUAUCGUUUAUGGAGUUUUGAUUCAAGCAACAGGUCUUCAUCGUUAAAGAAUAUCUAUGUAGUGUAUACACCUUGAGACAAGUCGAAAGAGUUAGUCAUGACAGGUUUAGUAGGAGUUUUCUUUAUAGUUUUCUCAUUUUUUAUGUUAAAUUAGGAAGAGAUCAAUAAGAAACUGAACUUGAAGAUGGACUAUAUCAUUGUUAACUUCUUGAUCCGAAUACUCCAACAUGAUGGUUAGUGCAAAUUUUUUUUUUUUUAAAAAUAGCAAAAACAAAGUAAUUAAACAAGACAGACUUAGGAUUCCACAGAUAAAUAUAUGGCCAUAUUUGUUUCCCGGAAUUCACUUUCCGGGAAGCCACUUUCCAAACUUUCCUGUGUUUGUCUGCCAUUAGAAAAGUUGGUCAACGGAAAACACUUUCCAGUCAAAGGAAAAUUUAGCUUGGUUUCCAGGAAAGUGUUUUCCUUGAAAAUUUAUGCGGAAAACACUUUCUGAAAGUUGUGAAAAAUUUAAAAAUGUCAUAUUAUUUGCUGAUUAUAUCAAAUUUGGUCCUCAAACUUUUGAUUGCUAUAUAUAUAUAUAUUUUUGUUUUGAAUAUUUAUUUUUCAAUUUCAUCUCUUAAAAUUUAAUUUUUAUAUUAACUUUGGUCCUCAUUUUUAUAAUUGUUAUUUGCUUUUCCCUUAUCAUUUUCUUAUUGAAAUUUUUUAUCUAUCAAAUUUGGUUCUCAUUCUUUUGAUUGUUACUUAUUUUAUUUGAAAUAAUUUAUGAAAUGUUAAUUAUUAUUAUUAUUUUAAUUUCUUCAUCUUUCAUUUUUAUUUUAUUUUUUAGAUUUGAUUUUUAUUAUUUUGAUUAUUAUUAUUUAUUUGAGAUAAUUUAUGAAAUUAUAUUUUUUUUCAAUUUCAUUCUCAUUCAACUUUUUAAUUUGUAAGAUUUGUUCAUCAUUAUUUUAAUAAACUUGAGAAAAUAAAAUAUUAAUAAGUUAUUUUCCAGUUCAUUUUCCAUGACAUAACCAAACACUGAAAAAUAUUUUCCAACUUAUUUUUCAUUACACUACCAAACAUCGAAAAAUAAUUCACUUUCCUGGAAUUCACUUUAAAAAAAAAACUACUUUCCAGCAAGCAAACGGGCCAGUUUCAACACUUCUCUAUUGAAACGUUCAACAAUAAGGCUAAGCUAUGAGGUCAACCCACUAAAAAGCACCCAUUAGCUGGACACAUUCAAGAAAAUUGCCGACAAGUUUCGAACUAACACAAUUUUGGGCCGAGAAUGCAAGAAGCAAACCACUGAUUCCCCCACCAGCAACCACAACAAAUUCAGUGCUCCCAUGCUAAGAUCCUCUGAUGUUGGAGAACUAGCGAAAUUUAAUACAAGGCUUCAACACUCCGAAGCCUGCUAGAGAAAUAUUAAAGCAAAAUAAGUAGUAGCAUUAAACAACAGCCAUUUCAUCAGUUUUAAUUUUAGUAUAACACAAUAAUAUGAACCAACCUUGAUUCUCAAAGGCACCCAACUAAUUCAUAGCCUUCAAAUCAAGACUUUGCAAUUCUUUAAAAGGCAGAAACAAAGAUGCGUUGAGAACCCACUCCCCUAACCCCCAAUCCCCAGCACCCCCAAGAGAGAGUUGGAUCACUCGCCUUUCGGUGGUAUCGCACACGAUCCUAGACCACUCACAACAAUUAUUGCCCAGGUAUUUCAACAGUUAUGGCUUGUGUGGGUUUUGGUUCACGAUGGAGAUGAUGGAUACAAUAAUGUAUUUCGACAACAAAACUUUCAAUGCUUGUGAAUGGCUCUCCAACUAAAGAGUUCUUUAUCGAAAAGGGAUUGCGACAAGGGGACUCUUUAUCAACAUCUCUUUUCAAUAUAGCAACUGAGGGUCUUAGUAGAAUGCUAAGAAGAGAUGUGGUUUGGGACUUAUAAAAGGUAUUUGUUUUGGUCACUUUCAAGUUUGUAGAUGAUACACUCAUCUUCAGUUCAUAUGAUUUUCCAUCUCUUCAAAACAUCAAAAUAACCAUGUGAUGUUUUGAGUUGAUUUCUAGGCUGAAGGUUAAUUUCCACAAGAGCUCAAUCACGAGAACUAUUGUUAUUUCUUCAACUGCUAGCAAUCUAAUAUGUAGUAUGGAGGGGAUGCCAUUUAAGUAUUUGGGCCUGCCUAUUUGUGCAUCUUCAUCUCAUGUGGAAAACUAUUGUUAAUAGAAUCAAUAGCAAGUUGGCACUUACCUAUUGGUGAGAGAGUGUGCUUGCUUAAAUCAAUUAUAAAUAAUCUUCCUAUCUACAACCUUUCUUUAUUUCCUAUCACAUCCAUUGUUGCUACCAAAAUUGAGAAACAUAUCAUAUCUUUCUUUGGUUCUUAGGAGGAAGGAGGGAAAAAACUAUGCAAUGUUAAAUGGGCAUCGGUGGUUCCUCCAAAAAAAAACAAAAAGGGCUGGGUAUAGACUACAUUAUUGAUAAAAAUCAUGGGUUACUAACACUUCCAUAGCAAAGAGAUAUGUAUUUUCCCUAUUAAUUUCUCAAGUUACCAUAAUGAGAGUGUGAUGUGACUCCAAUAAAUGUAGGAUAUGUUAAUUAGGUAUACAAUGUCUAUGUGAUAUGGACAUAAUCAUUUUUGGUAUGUCAAAUUCUUACUAUUUCACUCUUAAGAGUAGAAAGAUCUAGUUAGUUGGACUGCAUUCCGAUCUGCAAUCUUCCUAUAUAUCCCAAUUGUUGUAUUUGCUUUAGUGGCUAAGCAAGUUUUAGAGAAACCACUUGAAGAAGUAAGUGCGGUUUUGAAAGAGUUUCAAGAUGUUUGUAAUAGAUUUGAUCCCUAGUGUUAUAUUGACCUCUUGGUUUCAAGCAAGAAACACACUUCAAUAUCAUUAUGCGUAAUUGUAUUCCUAAUAGAGUUAUGAUGUAAGUUAUGAUGUAACGAAGACUCCCUUUUCUCAUUCUAGAAUCCGGUGAUUCCACCUCACGUUCAUCCUCCACCCGCUGAAGACUUAUACCAUUGAAAGAGAAAAGCUCCAGCUUUGGGUGUAAACUGGAUUGAUUGCAUCCCAUCUGAAUCACGUGGGCUUAAUUAAUGGAAGGAACGAACAAUUGUCGGUUUUAAAAGUUUGGUUUGUAACAAUCAUUGUAAUUUCAAAUCUCCAUACUCCUUCCAUUUAAGCAAGUAAUAAUAACAGAGAAUAUGUAUAAAUCUCAGUGUUGUUUUACAUUUUAUAUAAGAUAUUACAGUUUCAUUCAAAAAAUGAGAAAUAACAUUAAAAAUCCUCAAAUUCUACCACCUUCAAUUCUCAUUCAUCAACAACAGCAUACAUUCAAACAAGUGAUCAAUAGUGAUCAAGUGAUGAGGACUAGAGUAAGAUUCGCACCAUUGUAAGCUUGACAAGCUUCGCCUACUCUAACUGUAACGAAAGAUUCAGUGCCUAAUCUCUGGACGGAGAAGGGGACGCCCUUGUUAUGUACACGGUUGCUCUAAAUGGUUCGAUGAUGCUCAUUUUAAACAUAUCAUGUCAGGUUGUCAAUUUCGUUCUGGUUAGUGUAACGGACCCGACUGUACGACUUGAUCAAUGUUAAAAGAUCCCAAUAUAUUCUCUUAGCCUGAGGAUAAUUUUUUUUUUAAUCUAUCAAAAAUUCAGCAGAGUUUUGUUUGUAUUUAGGACAUCCCAAGUUAUCGACCACUAUCAAUUUACUCAAUCAACCCAUCAUCACAAGGUCCCAUAAAUCCGGACCUUAGAUUAAUCAUCAUAAUUCAACACCUUACCCAAUCCACACAAUAUAUAUCCUACGAGUAAGUUCAAUAUCAACAUAACCCACAUAUCAUAUUAUAAAAUUUAAAAGAAAAGGAAAUACUAACAUGCAAAGAAAGCAUUACAACAUAAUAAGUGUUCUUAACCAUAUCAAAAGGGUUAAUUACAAGAUAACUAAAAUACUACAUGCUAAGCUGAACUUUUAUAAAUACAUCAAGGUUUACACAAAAGUAUACUACAUAAACACGUUAUUUCUCUUUUGUUUAAGUUAAAUAUUUACAUAAGCUUGACAAAGUAGAGUCCUAAAUUAGUGAUCUCUCUGGAUAUUUGAUGGACCUGUUAUAUAAAUAAACAUGUCAUUAUGUUGAUAAAAGAAAUAUAUAUAAGCUCAUGUAAUGUAUCCGAAUGAAGUAUUAAUUUCUAUUGGAUCCAUAAGGAUUCUAACAGACAUCUUAUAUUUUGCUUGUAAAUCUUUUAAACCCAAUUUACACUCAUUUGCAUAUUCUUAAUUUGAAUACUCUUAUUUAUUUGCAUGAACCGGGUGACCUUGCAAAGUCUAUUCUUGUAAUCCAUUUCCCAGCAAUCAUAUCACGAAUACCAUUAGCCGAAGCAAAUCUUGUAAUUCAUCUCCCGGCAAUCAUAUCACGGAUGACAUUAGCCGAAGCUAAUCUUGAGAUUCAUCUCCCUGCACUCCUAUCACGGAUGCCAUUAGCCGAAGCUAAUCUUGCAAUCACGGAUGUCAUUAGCCGAAGCUAAUCUUGUAAUUCAUUUCUCAGCACUCCAAUCACGGAUGCCAUUAGCCGAAGUUAAUCUUGUAAUUCAUUUCCCGGCACUCCUAUCACGGAUGCCAUUAGUUGAAGCUAAUCUUAUAAAUACACUAGACUUUAUUUACAUUGAACACGAUAUUUAUUAUAAUUGCAUUCACUAGAGGAAUUUUAAAUUGUAUAAGUACAAAUAGGAGGGAAAAAUCACGCACCUGCUUCGCCUGUUUCGUGACCUCCUCUAACAGAAGAUCCAAUCCUGGUUGCUCCUCCUGAAUCACAAGGAAGUUUUUGGUUAUGAUUCCUUCAAGCUGAUAUUAUAGAGGCUCCAUAUUCAUUCAUUACUCAUAUGUUACUUUCUAUGCAUGUUCAUUUCCUUAUAAUAACAAACAUACAUAAAUCAAGUAUAUUUUCAAAGUUAGUAUCUCAAUGUGCAAGUGUUCGUAUGACUCAAUUCUUUUAUAUUCUUACAUAUAAUAUUCACGUGAAAGUCUACUAUUACUAUCUAACUUUGAACUGUUACUGUCCAACGGUUGCUGUCCAACAGUUGCUGUUUGAACAGUUGCUGUUUGAACUCUUAUCAGAUUUUUAACUAUAUCUAGAGUUCUAGAACUCCAUUUUAAGUGAGAUUGAUCUUGUUGGAAAGCUAAGACACGAGGCUACAAGUUCUCUAAAGGAAGGAGAACCCAGUUCUGCCUCCAGGAUAGUCAAAAUUGCUCAUCAACCCAUCAAUCCUACUGCUCUACAAAAUCAGUCACGACUCAGUCUUGGUUGGUAACCCAUAACUGGAGUUAUACAUCUCCAAAUUGAGCAAGAUUAAUUUCCUUGGUUAGCUAACAUCCAAAUCUACAAUUUCUAUAAAGGAAUCUGAUCCUAAUUCCCUCAUCCUCCUACCCGAAAUCUCACCAAAAGUUAGGAGACAAGUUUGUCCAGAUUCGUUUGCCCCUCCCCUUCACACAAUACUUUCAUAAACUACACACCACACACAUGAAUUAACUUAAUCUUAAUAAUAAGUACUUUUUCUCCAAUUCAUGUCUAAGAACCCUAACCUAUGAUUCAAUAUCAAGGCAUCAAUUCAUUAUCGAUUUGAAAUGAAUUUUUUUAAUAUCAUGUUUAGAACACCUUACCCAGUACAAAUUAAGAUUUUGAUCUCCAACCAGUUGAAGAUUUUCAACUCCCUCCUUUCUUUUCUUCUUGUUUAAUUUCUUGGUAAUCCCUUGCUCUCAAGUGUUUAUCCCAUCUAUAAACCCUUAAUCUUGGAUGGGUUCUCGAAAUUUUAGUGUUUCUCUCUUGAUUUCGCAAGAAUGGGUAUAAAACUCCUUAUUUUCUCUCAUUAUCGUUCCUGCAGAUUUUUGGUGAGGAGAGAGUAUUUAUACUCUAUAGUUUCCCUUAUUUGUAUUUAGGCCCCAUUUCCUUUAAAUUUCUGAAUUCUUGUCUUUUAUUUAACCAUACGCAUGAAUUUCUUGACUUUUAUUUCUCAUAUAGUUAGUUUUCAAUUUAAGCAACCUUUAUUUUUUUAUUUUUUUUCUGAGGUUUACAGUUAGUGUUUCAUUAUUUAAUUGAAAUGGUAUGUUUUGGUUUCGGAGCAUUUCGGCGUGCUAUUUCAGGAUUAUACUGUUCAUACUAUUCAUAUAUAUAUAUAUAUAUAUACAUACUCAAUAAACAUAAUUUUGAUUCAAAUUUAAAGAUAAACUAACUUGAAAUUAUGCAAUUAAAAUUUCAAACACAAGUAAAAAAAGUGAGAGUUGAACCAAUAUGACCCGAUCGACUAGAUAGGCCCAAAGACUACCUGAAUGACUGGUAAGAAUAGAGUUUGACUCAAAAAAAUUUAAGAUGACAUAGUUUUUUAAAAAAUAUUGAGAUGACAACAUAUUAGAUCGACCGGGUUCAACUCAGGUUAACCUUUUAAAUCCGUAAUCCAGGUCAUGAGACUAUAAUAACUCUAAAUAAAACAAAUCAAAACAAAUUAUAAAGCUCAAUUCUUAAUAAACCUAUUAUUUAAUAGUUAAAUUGAAAAAAAAUAAUCUAAAAAAAGGACACAAAAAAAAUGACAUUUCAAAACAAAAUUAUGAAAAUGUCACUAGCAGUCUCGCAAGGCCUUUCUAAACUCCAAUUGCUCUAUAAUUUUAACCUGAGAUAUAACAAUAUGUUAGGAAAAUCUUCAUAAGAUUUCAGUCUGAUCCACCAAUCGAAUUGAAAGAUAUGAUUGAUAUCGUAAAACUAGCUAAUAUUGUUUUAGAAAAAAAAAACAUUAUUUGGCCGGAAUGGAACCGGAACAUUCGAGCCAGAAUUUUGGCGGAAUUUAUGGAACGGGCUAAGACUCUGAGCAAGAUGAAAUUUGUUUCAGUUUGUUUUAUUUUUUAAAUUGGAAAGAGAUAUACCAGUCAUUUUGAAUGGAACAUAACAAAAUUGACAACCUUGUAUCAUGGUUGAUUAGAGUUUUUUUUUUUUUGUCUUUUUUUUCAAAAAUUUUUCCAACAUUGAGUUGAUUGGUAAUCGAGCUUCAUAAUUUAUAUGUUAACAUGCCAAAUUCAUGACCUGAGUCAUGAGACUAUAAUAACCUCAUAAAAGUAUAUUGAACAAAUUACAAAGCAUAAUUCUCAACCACCAGUGUUUAAAAAUGAAAUUGAAAAAAUAACAUAAAAAAUGACUCAAGUCAACUCAAGAACCUGCCAAAUCCGUGAUCCAGGUCACAAGACCUAGAUAACCUCAUAGAAAGCAAACUGAAAAAAUAAUUCGGGUCAACCUAGGUUACCCUGCCAAACACGCAACUCAGGUCAUAAAACUAGGAUAAUGCUAUAUAAAGCAAAUAGCAACAAAUUUUAAAGCAUAAAUCUCAAUCAACUUAUUUUAAAGCAUAAAUCCCAAUCAACUUAUUACAAUUCACUCGCAUUGUUCACUUUAGUGAACAGUGCUACAGUGGAGCCAUGCUCCACUGUUGAGGUUUCUCCCAGACGAGAAGCAAUAAAACGUUUAAGGAAAUAAAUGUUGCUUCUCCAAAACCUGCGGUGCCAUAUGGGUCCUACGUGCUGAAAGCACUUUUAUUUUCUUAACCAAACGUUUAUUAGCGUGGCUGCGGGUGAACCUCACCCGCAACCACGUUACCAAACGAGCACUUAGUCUCAAAGAAGAAACAAUUACUUGGUUCUAUAUCCUUAGCACGUCAAACAUGAGGGUAUGAACAGUAACCAUUGUGUCCACUAUAAAAUAUAAGGGGGUGAACAGUGCGGCUACAAAGUAUUCACCCCACACACUUUAUAUUAUAAGUAACUAGUUUUUGUAUUGGCACUCCGCGGCGGGGUGGUUAUUUUUUUAAGUAAAAAAAUAAUAAUAAGCAGGCUCUUACAAUGCACUUUUUAAUAUAAUUUUUUUUCAAUCACAAAUCAAAAUGCCUAUACAUAUAUUUAGUAAUUAGAUCGAUAUUUGAUAAAUAGGUAACUAAGAUUAAGAUAUUUGAUAUCACGACAUGAAUCAUGUGCUUAGUUGUGUUUAACAAUUAUGUUUCCUAGAGUUUUUUUUUAUGAACCAACCAUAUAUUCCGAUAAAAGGUAACAAAAAAUUCAUACCAAUAUUGAAUGAAGAAACUAAAAAAAAAAACCAAUAAAAAAAAGACUGUAUAAAUACACUAAUUUAUUGACCAUAUUGACAAAACAAGUCAAAACUGUAUAAAUACACUAAUUUAUUGACCAUAAGUAAAUGAUUGAGAUAAUAAUACGAAAAGAAAAACUUUUUACCGGACAAUGAUCAAUCCUGGUGAUGUCCAAAGUGUAAAUCAAACAUUUUAUAUCUUGCCAUGAGAAACAAAUAUAUCACAACUUGUUUUUAUUGUAUUCUAUUAUGACUUGUUUUGUGCCUUACAUUAUUUAAUAUAUUAAAAUAAAUUUAAUAAAUUAUACUGAAGCAAGAUCUAAUAUUAGAAAGUUAACGGAAAUAAUAAAUAUAUUUUUAAAUAUAUUUACAGUUCGGUCCCUUAAUUAACUUUUUGUUUGUAAAAUGUGGAGCUGUCAGCAAUAUUUCCUUAGUUUGUGUCGCUAACUGUGAUUAAAGGAUCAAUUAAUUAUUUAUUUAAAUCAACCAGAGGGAUUAAUCUGUUUGUUUAACAAAAAUACAGACACUAAUUAAAUAGAAUUUAACUCAAAUUUUAAUAAUCAAUAUUUUUAGAUGGAAUCUUGGUAGAAAAUUUAAUCAUCAUAUCCUGGGUAUUUUGGAAACAAAAUUGGAAACUUUGAAUGAUUUCACUAUUACUGCUAUAUGGGGUCGUCAUCCUAGGGCUUGGUAUGCAGUUCCCUCAUUAGGCCUUUCGGGGGGAUAUUAUGUAUAUGGAAUCCGAAUCUUUUUUGUGUCUCUAGCUGUUCUGUUGCUAUGAAUGGCUGUAUUUUGCAUAUUGAAGGCACCUUCACUCGGUCCAAUCUAGAUUGCCUAGUCUCUUUUGUAUAUGCUCCGAAUGUUGGGAACCUGAAGAAUGAGCUGUGGACUUAUCUUGUUACAUUCAGGGAUAGUGUUAGCAUGUCGUGGUGUCUUGCAGGUGAUUUUAAUGAAACCUUAUUCCCAUCAGAUAGGAAAGGCGGCUCACAAAUAACAUCUUCCAUGACAAGAUUUCAAAAUUGCAUUGAUGGUUGUAAUCUUAUGGAGCUCCCCUUAAAUGGGAGAAAAUUUACAUGGUCUCGAGGUAAUGCGGCGAGCCGUAUUGAUAGAAUAUUUUUAUUGGGGGAUUGGUUGCAGGCUUUCCCGUCCUCUACUUUAUUCGGUCUCUCAAAAUAUUCAUCUGAUCAUAGGCCUCUGCAUCUGUUGCUAGACUCUACAAAUUGGGGCCCGAAACCUUUUCGCUUCAUGAAUUGCUGGUGGCUUGCGUCUGAUUUCAGGAUUAUGAUUCAGAGCUUUUGGAGAUCACUCACGGUUUCAAAAUCUGGCAUAAGGAAAAUGGUCCCAGCUCUAAAGAUGUUGAAAGAGAGAUGUCGGCAGUGGAGUAAAGCUACUGUGGGAAACAUGAAUAACAGAAUUGAAGAACUGGAACUUGAAGCUGACUCAAUGGAUCAUCAAAAUGAGUGCAGGGUUUUGACUGCUGAUGAACUGAUUAGAAGUAAUUCCAUUGCCUCCCGGCUCAAAAUCCUGUAUAGAGCUCAAGAGUCUGCCUAGCAUUAGAAGUCAAGAAUUCAGUGGUGUAAGCUUGGAGAUAAAAAUACCCGAUUCUUUCAUUUAGCUGCAACAACAAGACAGAAAAAGAAUCAGCUUGCAUGCCUAGAGGUUGAUGGACAGAUCCUAUCUAAACCAAGCGAUGUGAAUCUAGCUGUCUUUCACUUUUUCCGCAACCUAUACUCCCAUCAGAACAGACCUAGAGCUUCAUGUUCAAACCUGGAAUUCUCAAGGCUGAAGCAUUCAUCCUCGGCUGCUCUUGAAUUGCCAUUUUCUGCAGAAGAGAUUACAGCAGCUGUGUGGGAUUGUGAUGGAAAUAAAGCUCCAGGUCCUGAUGGUAUUAACUUCCUUUUCAUCAAGAAAGCAUGGAACAUUAUAGGUGAGGACAUUAUCCAGAUGGUUGAUGAAUUCUAUCGGACUAAUCUCCUUCCUGCAGGUAUCAAUAGCACCUUUGUUACUCUUAUUCCGAAGAUUAAAGGUGCUAACAAGCUAUCAGAUUUCAGACCUAUUAGUUUGGUGGGCAGCCUAUACAAGAUCUUCUCAAAGAUUCUAGCAACUAGGUUGAAACAUGUUAUGCCAGAGGUCAUCUCUCAUCAUCAAAAUGCUUUCAUCAAAGGGAGGCAAAUUUUAGACAGCGUCUUGAUUGCAAAUGAGGUUCUUUCUUUCAUCAAGAAGAAAAAGGGUAAAGCUUAUCUUUUCAAAUUAGAUUUUCAUAAAGCCUUUGAUUCGGUGUUAUGGGAAUAUAUUAAUGAAAUCAUGGCUAGUAUGGGCUUUGACCUGGUUUAUGCAAUGCAUAUCAACGGCAAAAAUGUCUGUGCUUGUUAAUGGGUCUCCCACGGAGGAAUUCUGCUUAGCAAAAGGCCUACGCCAAGGAGACCCUCUCUCUCCGUUUCUCUUCAACAUUGCAGUCCAGGGCUUGAGUUGUAUGUUGCAGCGUGGCUGUGAUUUGGGUUUGACUUCGGGUAUAAACAUCGGCAAUACAGGGCUUGUCAUAUCUCACUUACAGUUUGCGGACGACACCCUUAUGUUCAGUUCAGACUCUUUACAUAGCAUGCAGAACAUUAAACGUAUCCUAUUAUGCUUUGAACUUGUCUCGGGGCUGAAGGUCAAUUUUUAUAAAAGCAGCAUUGUGGGUGUGGGUGUAGCAGCUCAUACAUGUAACUUCACGGCUCAGCUUCUCAGAUGCAAGCAGGAUCAGCUGCCUCUCAUGUAUCUUGGGCUCCCCAUUGGUGGAAACUUGGGCAGAGCUACAAUGUGGAAUCCUAUUUUGCGCAAUAUCAGUUGCCGAUUGGCUUCGUGGAAAGGCAGGUUCUUAUAUAUUGGGGGCUGUUUGUGCUUGAUUAAAUCUGUGCUCAGUAAUCUCCCCAUCUACUACCUAUCUAUGUUCCCCAUGCCUGUUACGGUAGCCUCCAAAAUUGAUCAGAAACUUCGAUCCUUCCUCUGGUCAGGAAAUGAGGAAAGGCACAAAAUAUGCAAUGUCAGCUGGGCCACUGUUACUCUUCCAAAACAUGCGGGGGGUCUUGGGAUUGGUUCCUUAAGGGACAAAAACACAGCUCUGCUAUUUAAAUGGUUAUGGAGGUUUGGGUUAGAGGAAUCAAGUAUGUGGAAGGAUGUGAUCAAAAGCAUCCACAACACCAAUUGCUCUAAACUGCUGCUGCAAGCUCCUAUUCCAGGAGCUGCAACUACAUGGUCCCGGAUUGUUAAUCAUUGUGUGAGAAAUAAUAAGCUGCAGGAUAUUGUGAAUGAGCAAUCUCUGGUUCUUAUCGGAAAUGGCAAGAAGACUAUGUUUUGGCUUGAUUGCUGGCUUAAUAACCACUGUUUAGCAGAGCACUUCCCUACUCUUUUCCAAUUAUCCAAUGACAAAGCUGCCAGCAUUGCUAAGAUGGGAAUAUGGGAAGGGUAUAAGUGGAUUUGGGUUUUUUCCUGGAUACGUCCACUACGGGGGCGAAACAUUGGCUUGCUCGAUCAACUAUAUGCAAUCCUAUCGACAGUAUUGGUAAGCCAUGGCCAUCUUCUUGGUAUGUUCUCUGUUCCAGUUGGUAUUUUAGACUCUAAUAUUGCUGAGUUAAGGGCUAUUGUCAAAGCCAUUGAACUAUCAGCAUCUAAUUGUCUCCUCCACCAUCAACACCUCAUCAUAGAAUCUGACUCUGUCAAUGUUAUUAGCUAGAUGAAUAAGCCUCACAGCCGUCCCUGGAAGCAUCAUAAUUUGUUCUCCUUUGUUAAUAGACUGAAACCAUAUUUUGGUUCAAUCACCUUCUCCCAUAUCUUUCAUGAAAGUAAUUGCAUGACAGAUUGCAUGGCUAAACAAGGAGUGCGGAGAUCAAGUGAAUUUGUUGCCUGGCUUUGACUCCACCAUUUUUCUGUGGCCUUGCUCUUGUGUCUUCUGCCAUUAUGUCUUUGAGUUAUUUCUGUUAUGUUUUGUAGAGGAAUGUUUAGCUUUGAGCUCAUUCGGAUGGAUAUUCUAUGGUUUUCUUUGCUUUUGUUUAUCUUAGUCUGCGCUUUAUCCUAUAUAUGGCUUUUUGCCAUAGUAAGAUAAUGUGUAGCUUCUGUACUACUCCCGCCAGACUUUGGCGUUUAAUAAUAUACGCAUCUUUCAAAAAAAAUCCAUGUGAAUCGCACGACUUGUCCAUAUCUUUCUUAUUGAUUACAAAUAGCAUUGAGAAUUAAAGAAUAUUAUCUUAAUAAGUUCCAAUUUAUUCUACAAAAACUAUAUAUAAAGAUGUAUACAAAUUAGUUAUUUAUUGUUUGUAAGUAUUAUUGUAUUGCAAAGACAAAAAUAAGAUGCAACUUAUGGCGUGGUCGUCCAACCUGGUUCAGGUUUUGAUCCUGUUAAAAAUCUAUUUUGUUGAAUUGUUAUCUACUUGUGAGUUAUUGGGUUAACUAGAUCAAUUUUUUAAACAAAACAAUAUCAUUUAAAAAAAAAAAAUUGGUUCUGACUUAGAAAUAUAAUAUUAGAAACUUAAAUCUUAUUAUUAUAAAAGACUCAAUGGUAAAUUUAGUUUUGAAAUAGAUUUUUGUAAAAUCAAAUAUCAACUAAGCACCUGGAAAUUUAUUUGAAAUUACAAUAACCUUGUAGAAAACAAACAUAAAUAGAAUUAUUAAAUUCAAUGGAGUCCAUGACCUGAAUUACGGGUUCAACGGGUUAAGCCACGAAGCUCUGAUCGAUUUAAAAUAUUGUCGUCUUAAUAUAAAAAAAAAAUACAUCUUAAAAAAAAUAAAUUAAGCUAGACUACGUUUUUACCUAUUAUCUGGGUUGUUUUUAGGUUCAUCAUUUCGACUGAGUUAUAUUAGGACAACUACUACAUAAUUUAAUUUAAAAUUAAAGCUAAACAAGAAAUUAGGUAAAGAGAUUUUAAGAUUGAUUUGUUGGAUUGGAUUUAAUAACAAUACAAAAAAUCUAAAUAUUUCUUUUUUAUUAAAAAAAAAUUCAAUCCAACUCUCAUCGUAACGCAGUAUAGUAAGAUAAAUAGAUAUAAAUAUUUUGAUGGAUACUCGGGAUAAAAGAUUGUUUGAGGACAUUUUGCUAAUUUCUUUUGUUAUCUAAUCAAUCAAGCUCAUAGUGAAUAAGUAUAUUAAUAUAUACAAUUAAAUUAAAUAACAUAUAAGAGAAAAAUGGUCGCAAGCUAAAGCUAAAGUGAUGCGACGUUGAGCCACUAGUCGAUAGUUGUAACGUCAGUUUGUUGGUUCGUCGUUCGUUUCUCGGGCGAGUUUGGUUGUGCUAAACACAAUGAACCAAUAGAGUGCUUUGCUUUCUUACUUGGAGAUUCUGGAGCCUUGGAUUUUUUGAUAUUUAGGUUAUCUGUUUCUAGAAAAGAAAGAAAGAAAUAUUUAUAUUAUCAAUGCAAUGCAAUGAAACGACUAAAUAACAUUUAAUUAUUAUCAUAGCUUUGUCCUCGUACCUAAGGAAGUAUACUACGUCUUUUUCUCCAUUGUUUGAGUUUGAAAUUAUAUCUGUGAACCCAUUAAUUUAUCUAGAAAAAACAUUUAUUGGGUAAUUGGAUCAAUCAUUGAGGUCGUCAUAUCAUAUAUAAACCAAUUAUUUUAAUUAAAACAAUAUCAUUUUAUUUAAAAUUAAAUUUAUAAUACUAACUGAAUCCCUAAAAACACAAUUAGACCAAUCAAGUUUUAGCAAGUUAAUUUUUUUUUUUAAUUUUUUCAUAUUUAACUUGAAAUUCAAUCCAAAUUAAAUUAUAAAUUAUGGGUUUCUUAAAUUAACACAUGUUGGGUCAGGUCUACCAAUUAUGAUUGGAAUCCAGGGUUAAUAUCUAGAAGAAUUUAUUAAAUUUCUGUAUAAUUAGUCAAUCGAUGAGGGAAUUUAGUUUUGAUUGAUGGAGAAAUUAAUUUAAAGAUACCAUGCAAGAUAUAUAUAUAUAUAUAAACAUUUAAAGGGAAACGGACCCACCAUCAAUUAUUGUUAUUCGUUUAAUUAUAAAUAGAAUGAAGAGAAUGAUGCUCGCUGCACUUUUAUCAGCGACUGAUAAACCCCAGAAGGAGAACACUCUACAGAAUUAUUCCAUACUUUUUCGUAAAUUAUAAAUUAAAAAGAAAUUGGUUAUAACAUGGUUAACGAACACAGCACAAAAAUAAACAGGUGUAUUUCUUACAUAAAUUCUUAUUGUUUUGUUUUUCCAUUGGUUUCAUGAAAUUCUCUCAACAAUUGAACAAAAAACACUACAUCAUAGCUCACAAACAUACAUUUUAUAAGUCAAUUAAACCUCUUGUUUUUCUUAUGUGUCUUUUUAUUGUAAUCUCUGCAAGGUGACACCUGACAGAGCAAUCUGUUGAUAGGUCCAAUUCUGCUUUAUGUUGUGUUUCUUGCUGAGCAAAUAAAGGUCAUGGGUUUUCUUUCUUUCUUUUUCCCUUAUAAAAAUGGUCAUGCGGCCACAGACAGUUGCGAAAAAAAAGAAGCACUUAAUUAUCACUUAUUUGGUAAGUAGCGUACUUAUCAGAUGACCCUCAACCAUCAGUACCCAUUAUAAAUUAAUGUCGACAAGAGUAAAAUUAGGAGUUACCGUGACUUUCCAACAUCUAUCAUUAUAAAUUAAGUAUCAACAACGAUUAAGACUAAUUGUUUUACCAAGAUUCUCAACCAUUGUAAAAAUAGAUUUGAAAAAAAAAUCAUAGCAAAAAUUCAAAAAAAUAAAAAUUGCAUUGCUUUCCAUAUAUAUUUUAGUUUUUCUUAUAAUAAUAAUAAUAAUUAUAGUCUCUCGUGUCUCACAACUGUAUGUGUUUUUUCUUGAAUAAGCGCUAAUGUUCUUUGAGGGGUCCAAGCACCAUAUACUGAAAGAAAGAACUAGUUCAAAUUGAAGCACCAUGAGUUUCUCUACGGCUUGGUUCACCACCUGCUGGUGCGGCAAGUUAUGAACUAGCUGGCUAGUUUUUUGCUUCCUUGGUUUUAGAAGCACCAUGUGUUCAAAGAAUAGUCAACAAAGAAAAAGAAAAAGAAAAAGAGAAGGGCAAAAGGUUAAUUAAAAUCAGCAGGACUGCCAUGAGGCAACCUCAAGUAGUGAACUUGAAGGAAUAAAAAGUGCUGGGAAGUAAUUUUUGCUGAAACUUCUUGUGUAACAUCUUCUUUUGAUGAUGACCUCUUGGAUGGCUGCAUGAAGCUUGUUCCGUUUUAAAUUUCAAGGUUAAUCUAUUUCUAUGAGCAUUGGUGUUUCAAUUUCAACCUUAAGUUGCAACUGAACUUAAAUGAAUAGUGUUGGAUUUGGGCCUUCUAUUUGCUUUAACUUCUACAGGAUUGAAAUGAUAGUGAUCUUAAAGUACAAAAGCAGCAGACAAAAAUCAAUUAGCCACAAUAUAUAGUGUAUGGUUUCCUAGUUUCUCAGUAUAAAGUUGAAUGUUUUGGUGAUAUCUCUACAUCCAAAAUCAUAUAGACAGCUACUGCUGGCACUUGCAGUGGUCAAUGAAUACUAUAGAGUACAUAUUGCAGUUUGAGAUAAGGUUAACUCGUUGCAUUUUCAUAUAUUGAAAGGAUUUCUCUUCUUUUCUUUGUCAGUUACAGAACAUGCAUAGAAGUGUUCUUAUUCAGAGUAAAUGCUAUUGUAAUGUUUUCACGGACUCCCUUGCUUUGCAACUAAGUCACUAAUUAUCUUGGAACAUAGCCAUAAAUAAAAGGUUCUUCCAGUUCAAGAAAAUUAACCAUGAAGCUAGUAGCUAGAAUUUUUAGACAGAAUGGUGGCCAAGUAAACUCCUAUACUCUGUACCUCUGGAAUAAUGCAGGGAAAGGAUGUCUAUGUAUUUUGAUGUCUUAUAUUACUUGACCAACUCUUGCUUAUCUCAUUAUUUGUUUUUACUUUUUGCUAAUGAUUCCACACAUUUUUGAUAUUGGUGUGGUUUAUGACUUCAGGGUUCUUACUCGCUACUGCAACUUCUCUAUACUUGCUUGGUCAUUAAAUAUGAAACGUGAUGAUUUGCAUAUGCAGAAUGGAGACAUUAAAGAGGCAUCUUCUGUUUUCUAGUUAGGAGGGAUUACCAGAACUCAAGAAAUUUGUCGUACAUUUUGAGGAAAAGAUUUAUACCACCGCUACCAAUCAGGUAUUUGCCUAAUGCGAGGUUCAAUAAUUACGAUAUUAUCUAGACAUGAAUAUACACACGCAUUUAUGCUUGUACAAAUGUGUGUGUAGUGUGCCUACAUUUCCACACCUUUCAUUCUGUAUGCAAGGCUGAUUAAGAGUUCGCAUCUUUUUGUUAAUUCUCUUGACAAGUGUUUUAUUUAGAGUGACCAAGUUCAAGUACAUGGGAAGUGUGCAAAAAGCAAAUAGCGAAUCAAUACAUAAAUAAGUAAAUAAAAAGAGAGGAAACAGAAGUCUAUCCUCACAAAAGAUGAAAUGAUAGAGCAUAUAUCCAUUUUCCUCCUCUUGUAACAUGGAUUGCUCUGAGAUCUAAUGUUUUGUUAUUAAUAUCUUAUUUUAGUCUGAUUAUCUGCAUAAAAUAUCUCUGGUGAUGCUUUUGAUGAAGAUCAGGUCUCAAAAUGCCAUGCCCACUGCCCCCAUGGAUCCAGCAGGUAAUAAUGCAUUCGAGCAUCGAAUUUCUAAACAUCUUACCUUUUGUUUUUCUUCUCGCAUUGUUAUCAAACUUUUUUACAUUUUAUUGUUCCAUAUUGCUAUGUAUAUCGCCUUGCUGGCAAAAUGUCAUGAUCACCUCCACAAUACUAAUUCUGUAAUGCGUGUGAAGUGUUUCAUCCUUAACUUGUUAAUGAACGAGGACUAUGAUGCAUGGCUAUUUUAUAUUUUAUGAUUGAGAUGGUAGAUUUUAAAGAUUUUCCUUUUUAGGAGAUAAGACGUCACUUUCUUGCUUUUCUUCCGAGAGUAUUCGAUCCUUUUUUCGUACAAAAUAAUGAUGCCAUGCAUUGAAUUCCCAAACAUAUUACCUUAUGUUUUGUUUGGUCGCAUUGUUAUCAAACUCUUUUACAUUUUAUUGCGGCAUAUUGCUAUGUGUAUGGCAUGCUUUAAUCAAAAAUUUGAUUAAUUGAUGAAUGUUAGGCAAGAAAAUUACAGAAUAUUUUUGUUUUUUGCCUCCUCCUUUUCUUUCCCCCACUCCGAAAAUUGUCAUAUUAUUUUUGUUUUCAACCGCCUCUUCUUCCCCCAACCCUGAAAAUUGUUUAUAUUUGCUUUGGAAGCAUGGCAAACUUCACUGCCUCUCAGCUUAAGGAGAUUGCAGCAGGUCUCGAAGCUUCUGGGCAUCAAUUUAUCCGGGUAGUUAGAAGAAACAAAAAGAGUCAAGAAGACAAGGAAGAUUGUUUACCCGAAGGAUUUGAGGAAAGAAUGGAAGGCAAAAGGAUGGAUACUCCAAGUUUUGAUUCUUGAUUAUAAAGCAAUAGGUGCAUUUGUGACUCAUUGAGGAUGGAACUCAACUCUUGAAGGCAUAAGGCCAAUAUUUGCUGAGCAAUUCUAUAAUGAAAAGUUGGUGACUGAUGUUUUAAAAGUUGGUGCUGUCGUUGAAUAUAUUAUAGCUGUCAAGGUUCUUGAGUUUUCCCAAAUGUGAUGAUAUGAUCUCAAAACCUGCAAGAGAGUUGUUUGUAAGAGUAAGUCAUGAUGAGCUCACGAUAUGCAAAACAGAUAGAAACAAAAGAUAAUUAGAAUUGAUGAGAUGCUGUUGUUCAAUUGAUGUAUGAUUCUCAAAUUAUACAUACAUAUAUAUAUAUAUAUAUAUAUAUAUAUAUAUAUAUAUAUAUAUAUAUAUAUAUAUAUAUAAUUGAUAUUUAUAAAAGCAUUAACUGUAGCUGAUAUAGUUUUAGAGGAAUAUUUGGUACUUUGUUUCCCAAAAAAAAAAAUAGAUUUUUCUGCGAAGUAGGAAAAAAAAAAAAAAAAACUGUUCAAAACUUAUUCAAGAAAUUAUACAGUUAGCGAGUCACAGAUGAUGAAUCUUAAAAAAAAUUGGCAAUAAUAACAGUACUCUAUUACUAUUAAUUAACUUAAAUAUUCAAAACUUAAAAAUAUUUUUUAAAUUUAUCCAUGCCAAUUUAUCUUAAGAGAGUCGCAAUCUGUGACUAGUUAAAUUAUAUUAUUUCUUUAAAUAAAUUUUGCAUUGUGUUAUUUUUUGUUCUAGGUGCUAUUUUGCAAAAAAAGAAAAGAAAAGAAAGAUUAACGUUUCAGUUAUUCAUUGUUCUUGGAUUUGUAGGUAUAACAACUGAAGAUAGCAAUCAAAAGCGAUGGUGACAUGGUAGAGCUUUGAGUUAUUGCUGUGUUCUAAUGAUGAAGAUGUAGGAAAACGAUCUCCCUUCUGCUGUCUGGAGCUGGGCUUCCUCUCCCUGUAAGAACAAGCAACAUCUUAUCUGCGUUGUUGUUAGUGGCCACUUCAUCGACCCAUUAGUGGGUGGAUUUUAAGCUUAAAAAGGAUUUUUUUUAAAAAAAAAAUAAAGGAAGAAAGAAAGGAGAGGGGGGGCAUCAUCACGUGAAAAGCAAGGAGGUUGCCACCCAUUAUAGAGUGUGGGGCACUCUUGCAUCUAAGAAUAUAUGAUCCUGAGGUUGUUCUGGUGAUGGGUAUUGGCCAUUACAUAAAGCUUCGACAAGCCCUUUUAGCUGCCUGUUAUUAGAAUUUGUAUAAUGAGCAUUCAAACUUAAACUUCUUUAAAUGGGAUGAAAACGAGUGAAAAUCAAGAAGUUGGAGGUGUUCAUCUCUAAUGCAUAGCUGAAGAUCCUUUGUAAGAAAAUACAGCUAAAGACAAAGUGUGUGUGUGUAACAGAGAAAUUGUCGAUAAUAGCAAUCAUGUUCUUUGUCUCUUGUGUCAUAUCUUCCAAAAAUCUUAAAGUAAUUGAUGAAAAAGUGGAUAUACCACUUUGUCUUCUUUAUAGCACUACUGGCCAAUAUGAGUUAAAAGCAUUAAAAGGUCGUGAACGCGGAUGCUUGACGAGCGAGUGUUUACUUGUUAAUUUUUUUAGAAGGAAUCUGGAAAAGAAUAAAGUCAUCUAUUUCACUUUGGGACAACAUUCCUCACCUCUCCCCGCCCGAGCUCUCUCCCUCCCUCCCUCCCUCCCUCGCUCGCUCCCUCUUCCGCCUCUCGGAAACCGCCGCAUCCAUUAAGGCUUCAGAUUUCUGCCAGGUGCUUCCUUUUCUAUCAUGCUUUUGUUUUUAAAAUUUAUGGGUGUUUUCAUUUAUUUUAUUGUAAUUAUUAUUCAGAGACAGAAAUCCAUUUUAAUAAGUAAAUUAAAAAAAAACAAAUAAUCGAUCCGAUGAAAUCUCUGCUAGUGAACGCAAUUCGAUUUUAAUAAGUAAAUUAAAAAAGUAUAUAAUCGGAUCCGAUGAAAUCGCUGCUCGUGAACGCAAUUCAAAGAAACGCACAAUCAGCCGAUUCUAAUAUUUUCUUUUGCAACCCCACCCUAAUUUACAUGAUAUUAUUCGAUUUUUCUCACAGUUAUUGUUGUAAUAAUCAAGCCCUGAAUUCUUGAACCCAAAUUUAUCUUAUUUUAUUUUAUUUUUUAGUUUUAUUUUUAAGUGGAGAAUAGAAAUCAAUUCAAAUCUUUUAGGCUCGAUCGAUAAUUUGUUAAUUAGUUUAUGCAGCAGCUGGAGUGGAAGGGAUAUUACUGCCGGAAUGGCCGAAAAAUGAGCUGUUUGGUUGAUUCUUCUUUUUUGGAAUUUACUGAAUUCUUCAAAAUUAUUGUGUUUUUAACAACAAUACGAUAUCCUUGGGUUUCAUGCUCGCUCACAAAUGGAAAAAAGAAAGAAAGAAAAGAACUUUAAAUUUUAUAAUUUGGUCAUGUUAAUGCUCGUCGUUUUCUUCUUCAUUUUCCUAGCUUAAAACAUCCUAGACAAUCUCUUUGGGAUGGGUUAUUGUUUUUGGCCUCUUCAUCUUCUAUUUGUGCUGUGGUAUUUAGUCUGCUGAUAUUCUUUGGGGAUUAAAAUGCCUCGUUUUAUGACUUUGUUUUGUUUUCUUCUUCUUUCUUUAUUCUUUUGGGGAUGUGGUAUUCUCCUCUUUCUAUUUACACUCUUUGCUCCCUACAACAUUUAUUCUUUCAGAAAAGUAAAUACAUACAUAAAUAACAACAGGAGAGGAGGGGGAGGGGGAGGGGGUUUGACGGUAUGUAUUUGGAUGCAUGAUAUCUAAAUUGGUAAGCACCUGAAAAAGGUCCUGAAUCUAAAUUGGUAAGAUGUGAUAUACUGAUAUCUAGAGAGAUAACUUAAUCUAUCUAUUGAAGUAAAGCAUUUAAAUGCGUAUACAAUGUUUUUGGAUCAUUAAAUAUCUAUUUGAUCAGAAUCUGUGAACCUAAAGCCACAAUGAAUACAAAUGCAAGUUUGUCAUUGUAAACAUUGCAUCGAUGAUGCAUCACAGGUGUUGCUAGAAAACAUCAAGUUAAAAUUGAAGCACCAUGAGUUUCUCUAUGGCUUGGUUUACCAACACUCACCAUCAGUUGGUGCGGCAAGUUAUGAACUAGCUGGCUAGUUUUUCGCUUCCUUGGUUUUAGAAGCACCAUGAAGAUUCAGGCCCAAAUCUUGCUUACAAUACUCAAAUACCCAAGAUCCUAGCACCUUGCCCUGAAUGGUCGUGUAUAUUUGUUAUGGCUGUUCAGAUUUUAUGCAUCCAUGUUUGGUAGAAUUCUUUAAUAAAGUACAUGCUAUUAGAUGGAAGUUCUCUUUAAAUCUAUUCAAGUCUGAAUAAACUGAUAUUCCAAUUUUCAUGACUUUGAUUAGGCGGAGAACUUGUGAUGGACACAGGUGAUUGGAGAACUCAAUUGCAGCCUGGCUCACGGCAAAGAAUAGUCAACAGAAUGUAAGUAUCUGUUUGCUAAUAUGUACAAGUGCUGCAAAAUAGUAAAUCUUGUAUUUAAAUGAAAGAAAAAGAGAAGGGCAAAAGGUUAAUUAAAAUCAGCAGGACUGCCAUGAGGCAACCUCAAGUAUCAUACACUGCUGUUUUUGUCUUUUUCAUUUUUCACGUGUUUCUCACAAGAAGUGAACUUGAGGGAAUAAAAAGUGCUGGGAAGGAAUUUUGGUGGAACUUCUUGUGUAACAUCUUCUUUCAAUGAUGACCUCUUGGAUGGCUGCAUGAAGCUUGUUCCGCUUUAAAUUUCAAGGUUAAUCUAUUGCUAUGAACAUUGGUGUUUCAAUUUCAACCUUGAGUUGCAACUGAACUUAAAUGAAUAGUGUUGGAUUUGGGCCUUCCAUUUGUUUUAACUUCUACAUGGUUGAAAUGAUAGUGAUCUUAAAAUAGAAAAGCAGUUGAAUGUUGAAUGGUGUAUGGUUUCCUAGUUUCUCAGCAUAAAGUUGAAUGUUUUGGUGAUAUCUCUACAUCCAAAAUCAUAUAGACAGCUACUGUUGGCACUUGCAGUAGCCAAUGAGCACUGUAGAGUAUAUAUUCCAGUGUGAGAUAAGGUUAACUCAUUGCAUUUUCAUAAAUUAAAGGGAUUUCUCUUCUUUUCUUUGUCAAUUACGGUGCAUGUAUAAAAGUUUUCUUACUUAGAGUAAAUGCUAUUGUAAUGUUUUCACAGAAUUCCCCUGGUUUGCAACUAAUUCACUUAUAUAUCUUGGAGCAUAGCCAUAGCCAUAGCCGUAAAUGGAAGGUUCUUCUGGUUCAAGAAAAUUAACCAUGAAGCUCGUAAUUAAAAUUUUAGACAGAAGGGUGGCCAAAUGAACUCCUAUACCCUGUACCUCUGGAAUAAUACGGGGAAAGGAAGUAAAAAUAGAUGUCUGUAUUCUGAUGCCAUAUAUUACUUGACCGACACUCGGCUAUAUCAUUAGUUGUUUUUAUUUUUUGCUAAUGAUUCCAUUGAAUACAUUUCUGAUAUUGGUGUGGUGUGUGAGUUCAUGGUUAUUUCUCACUGCUGCUAACUUCUCUAUACCUACCUUGUCAUUAAAAAUUAAACGUAAUGUUUUACAUGUGCAGAAUGGAGAUAUUAAAGAGGCAUCUUCCGUUUUCUGGUCAAGAGGGAUUACAAGAACUCAAGAAAAUUGCUGUACGGUUUGAGGAAAAGGUUUAUACUGCCGCCACCAGUCAGGUAUUCGGCUAAUGCUAGGUUCAAUAAUUUCGAUAUUCUCUAGACAUGAAUAUAAACAUGCAUAAGUUUGUGGAUUUAUGCAUGUACACGUGUGUGUAGUGUGUCCACACUCUCACUGGUCAUUCCGUAGAAGUUCUCAUCUGUUCAUUAAUUCUCUUGACAAGUGUUUUAUUUAGAGUGACCAAGGUUCUUUUCAAGUACAAGGGAAGUGUGCAAAAUGCAAAUAACGAAUCAAUACAUAAAUAAUUAAAUAAAAAGAUAGGAUACAGAAGUAUAUCCUAUAUCCUCACAGAAGACGCAAAUAUAGAAAGCCUAGCAUAUUAGAAAGAGCAUUUAUCCCUUUCCCCCCUUCUCUUGUAACAUGGACUGCUCAGAGAUCUAAUGUUUCCUUAUUGAUAUCUGAUUUCAGUCUGAUUAUCUGCGUAAAAUAUCUCUGAAGAUGCCUCAGAAUACCAUACCCACUGGCAAUGGUAACAAACCCCUGUAUCCAGGGGGGAAGUGUGCAAAAUCCAAGCUUUGAAUUUCUAAACAUCCUUACCUUUUGUUUUAUAUUUCGCAUUGUUAUCAGACCCUUUUACAUUUUAUUGCUGCAUUUUGCUAUGUAUAUACUAAUCCCUGUACUUUUACAUUAUGUUAAUAAACUGGUCCCUUCAUUAGUUUUUUGUUAGUCAAAUGUAGAGUUGUUAGCAAUAUUUCCUCAAUUUGUUCCACUAACUUGACGUUAAAAUGUGACCAAAGAAUCAAUUAAUUAUUUAAAAAACUUGAGGGAUUAAUUUGUUUGUUUCACAAAAAAAUACAGUGGUUAAAUAAAAUUUUACUCAAAUUUUUAUCAUCAUAUUCGUGAGUGUUUACUUGUAAAUAUUUUGGAAUGAACACAGUGGUUAAGUUUAUGUUUUGCGCAGCAUAAAAAAAAUCAUCUAGGCUUAAAUAAUUAUUUGGCAUCAUAAUUAAAACUCUAAUCCAAAUUUCUCUCAUCUGGCUUCUUAUCUAUAUCAAGUUUAAAAUUAACCAAUGUGAAAGUUGCUCUAACAUGAUAUAAUUAAUGUGAUGGGUUCCAAGUCAAUUCAUAUGACCAGUAAAAAAACAUAAUUUAGCUUUAAAAAAAAAAUUCAAGAUGAUACUUGUUUUGAACAUUGAUACGACAUCUUGGAUCGACUCUAGUUUUGUGACGUAACUCUUUAAACCCAUGACUUGAAUAAUGGAUUCUAUCUGGUUUAAUUUUUUAUAAAAAAAAUUAUUUUUUACUUAAUAAUAUGAUAAUAAAAAUAAAAACUCGUAAAAUUGAGCACUAAUCAAAUAUUAAGAUAUUUAUUUGAGACUGCAAUAACAUCAUUGAAAGCAAAUUGAAACAAAAUCAAUUCAAAAUCAAAUAAAUGUUAAACAAAUAUUAAAAGAUGAAACCAGACAAAAGCCAAAAAGGAUUUAAUUGAAAGAAAGAAAAUAUUGGAAUGUAGAGUUUAAAAACUAAGGAAUAAUAUUUAUUAAACUUGAUCCUAAUCUAUCGACUUGACUUCUUACCUAACAUAUAUUUAAAAUUAAUUUGUAAGGGAGUUGUCUGUACAUUACCUAGUUGACUUGACAUGUGCAAAUUAAAGCAACCUGAAUGACCAAUAAAAACAUGGUUUGGAUUUUAAGAAAAAAAAUCAAGAUAUCUUUUUUUUUUAAUAUUGAGACGAAAAUAUAUUAGAUCAACUCAAGCUCCGUGGCUAAACUCGUCAAAUACGCAACCCAGAUCAUGAACUCCACUAGAUUUAAAAACUAUUUUUUUAUAUAAUGAUACAAUAACUAAUAUAAACACUUAUAAAAUUGAGAACUAAACAAAUUUAGUGACGUUUAUUUGAUAUUGUGAUAACUACAUAUAAAGAAAAAAACAAAUUAUGACCAAUUCAAAAUUAACAAAAUAUUAAAGUGAAAUUGAAAGGAAAAAAAGGGCAAAAAUCAUUCAAUCAAAAGAAGAAAAAAUUAGAAGAUAGAAUUUUUUUUUUAAGGGAGGAUAUGAAUAGCAAAAUAGGAGGGAAAACCCUAACUUUUUUUAGUAUAAUAAAUGAUGUUUAAUUUAAUUAAAAUCUUUAUCUCAUACAAUUAGACCUAAAAAGAGAAGAAAAUUUCUAAAGAUUGAUUUGUAAAAAAACAGAAAAAAAAAUCAAAUCAAGAAGCGAAAAAAUACAAGGACCAAUAUACACACACAUAGUGAAAGAGUUAGAAAAGCAUAACUUUUUUAGUAUAGUAGUUUAUUUCUAAUUAAAUUGAAAACUUUAUCUCAUAUAAUUAGGCCAAAAAAGAAUUAAAUAAAAAAAAAAGGAUUAAUUUAUAAAAAGAAAAAGAAAAAUAAAGAAUACAGAACCAAAUCAACAAAGAAAAAAACUAAUUUUUAAAAAAUAAAGUGCUCCACUAUUCAUAUAAAAUAGAACAUCAUUAUAGUAUCCAAUUAGACAGUGACCCAUAUUACUGGCUAUUUUAAUUUUUUUAAAGAAAAAAAAGUUUCAGUAUUUUCAAAUGUGAUAAGUUUUUUUUUUAUAAAAAAAAACAUAUAUGUGUGCAAGGGAAUAGAGAUUUGGUUUGAGAAUACAUGCUAAAAAUCUAAACAUGAACUAAAACAAAGUGGAAUUAAAAAGAGUAAAAAAAAAAAACCUAAAAGAGAUCCAUGAUUCAUUAUAUAUAUAGACUAUGAGGUUACGAGGUAAAAUAUUAUGGAUUAGCAUAAUAUAAUUACUUUUUACCCUUCUCUACACAACAAUUACCUUGCUAAUAGGGGUAAAGUUGUCUUUUUCAAUGAUUUUAAAGGUUAUUUAUAAAUUCACUGGAGAUAAUUUAGUAGGUUUACUCCUUUUUUGCAUAUUAAAACUACAUCAUUGCCUUUGCAAGCCAAAAAAAGAAAAAACAAUUAACCUUUUGUUUAAGAUCUAUUUUGUAUUUUGUAUUUGAUUUAUACAGUAAAAUGACAUUAAUGCCUUAGAGAGUUAAAAAAUCAUCGACUUUAAGUUACUGGGCCUUAAACUUUGUUAUUUAUUUUGGUUUUUUUUUAUAGGGUUAUUUCUAUCUCAUAUCUCAAGUUGCAGAUAAGUUAGGUUGGAUGCAUACUUAAUUAAUUAAUAAAAGUCAUGUAUAUAUUUUUGCAAAUUGGAUGCACACUUAAUUAACAUACUUAUUGAAUAUUAAGUCAGGCAAAAAAUCUAUAAAAAGAAUAUACAAGUGAGCCAAACAACAAUAUUAAGAACGAAUAAGAGGUAGUAAAAGAAGAUGAUACCAAAGGACGCAAAAUCACAAAAAUUCAUGAAACUACAUUAGGCUCUCUACAAGUGAAUUGUUUAAAAAGUUAAAAGAAAAUAAAUGCACUUUUGUCCACAGCAACAACUAAAUGCACUUUUGUUCAAUACCAAGAAAUUAAACAUUUUUUAAAAAAAAAACUAAAUGAAUUGUUUAAAAAGUUAAAAGAAAAUAAAUGCACUUUUGUACACAGCAACAACAACUAUAGCAAAAUGCUGGGCUGUAGAAUCUAGAUGAUUGUCCACAGCAACAUGAAAAAAUCAUAUAUGCUUAAGUAACUAUUUGGCAUCUCAAUCUAGUAAAUUAAUCUUAAAUUUCUUAUAUCCGACUCUUUACCUAUAUUAAAUUUAAAAUUAACCAACAUAAAAAUUGUUUUAAUAUGACUUAAUCGAUAUAGUUGGUUCAAAGUCAAUCCAUAUGACCGAUAAAAAAUGUAAUUUGGCUUAAAAAAUUUCAAAAUAACAUCUUUUUUAUAACAUUGAUACGACAAUAUAUUAGAUUGACCCUGAUUUCAUGACUUAACUCUCUAAACCCACUACCUUAAUAACGGACUCCUUCUAGUUUAAAAACUUUUUUUUAAUUAUUUUUUACUUCAUGAUAUUAUAACAAAAAUAGAUGCUCAUAAAAUUAAGCACCAACCAAAUAUCAAGAUAUUUGUUUGAGAUUACAAUAAUAAAUAUCAUAAAAAGCGAAACCGAAACAAGACCAAAUCAAAAUAAAUCAAAUGUUAAAGGAUUAAACCAGGAAAAAGCCAAAGAGGAUUCAAUUAAAAGAAAGAAAAAAAAAAUAGAAGGUUGAGUUUAAAAACAAAGUAACAAUAUGACAUUGUUAUUAAACUUAAAGGAAAAAAAAACUAAUUUAAAAAAUUAAAGUGUUUCACUAUUCAUGUAAAAAUGAAAUACCAUUAUAGUAUCCAACUAUAUAGGUGACCUGCACUAUGGGUUAUUCUAUUUUUUUAAAAGCAAAAAAAUAAAGUUUCGACAUUGUUAGAUUGUGAGAAAAAAAAAGUUUUAAAAAAUAUCCGUGUACAAAAGAGGAGAGAGAUUUGGUUUGAGAAUGCAUGGUAAAAAUCUAAACAUGAACUAAAAAACAAAGUGGAAUUAUAAAAAUUAAAAAAAAAACUAAAAGAGGUAAAUGAUUCAAGUGAUUCAUUAUAGACUAUAAGGUAAAACACUAUGGAUUACACACAAUAUAUUUACUUUUUUCUCUUCUAUACACAAAAUAAUUGUCUUGCUAAUGGGGAUAAAGUUGUUUUUUUAAAGGGAUCUAAAGGUUAUUUGUAUAUUGAUCGGGGAUAAUUUAGUAGAUUUACUGCUUUUUUUGAACAUUAAAACUACAUCUUUGCCUUUGCAAGCAAAAAAAAAAAAUUGUCCUUUCGUUUAGGUUUAGGGUUUAUUUUAUCUUUCCUAUUUUUUUUCAUAGUAAAAUAACAUCAAUAUCCUUGAUAACAAUACAACAACAAAGGAAAAUACCAAUAUUUAAAAUACAACAACUCUUUUUUUCCCAUCUUCUGUUUUCUUUUUUUCAUAUCAAUACAACAACAAAGAAAAAUACAAAUAUUUAAAAUACAACAUAAAAUUUAUUUUCCUGUAGAAUCAAUGUAACAUUAAAGAGGCAUCUUCCGUUUUCUAGUCAGGAGGGAUUAUAAGAACUCAAGAAAAUUGCCAUAUGACUUGAGGAAAAGAUUUAUACUACCGCCACCAAUCAUGUGUUUGCCUAAUGCGAGGUUCGAUAAUUACGGUAUUCUUUAGACAUGAAUAUACACACGCAUUUAUGCAUGUACAAAUGUGUGUGUAGUGUGCCUACACUUCCUCACCGUUCAUUCUGUAUGCAAGGCUAAUUGGGAGUUCACAUCUUUUUGUUAAUUCUCUUGACAAGUGUUUUAUUGAGAGUGACCAGGUUCAAGUAUUGGGGAAGUGUGCAAAAAGAAAAUAGCAAAUCAAUACAUAAAUAAUUAAAUUAAAAGAGAGGAAACAGAACUAUAUCCUCACAGAAGAUGAAAUGAUAGAGCAUAUAUCCAUUUCCCCCCUUCUCUUGUAACAUGGAUUGCUCUGAGAGCUAAUGUUUUGUUAUUGAUAUCUGAUUUCGGUCUGAUUAUCUGCGUAAAAUAUCUCUGGAGAUUCUUUCGAUGGAAAUCAGGUCUCAAAACGCCAUGCCCACUGCCCCCAUGGACCCAUAAGGUAAUAAUGCAGCCAAGCAUUGAAUUUCUAAACAUCUUACCUUUUGUUUUUCUUUUCGCAUUGUUAUCGAACUCUUUUACAUUUUAUUGCUGCAUAUUGUUAUGUAUUUCGCCUUGCUGGAAAAAUCUCAUGAUCACCUCCACGAUGCUAAUUCUGUAAUGCAUGUGAAGUGUUUCUGAUAAGGUCCCAAUCAAGAGUGAUACACAAUUGCAGAAAUGCUAGGAUUCUCUUAGGGUGAGAAUUUACCACAAUAUUGUUUGGAUAAACAUAAUGCUAUUCUUUUUAUUCUUCUUCAUACAUAUAAAGAACUAAACCAUAACAACUUUCAGCAAAUCCAGCCGAAAUGGAAAUAACAGAUUACAAAACAGAAAUGCAAAUAAUGUGAAAGUGGCUGCUUUAUUUUCUCCCAUUGAAUCGGAAGCAUGAUUCCAAUUGACUUGCUUGUAACUCCCUUUAAUCACGAUAUCUUUUAAUCACGAUAUUUUAAAUUCUUCUUUAUGACACGUGGGGUCCUUCGUGGCAGCAGCUCUCCAAGCUGCGUAUCAUUACCCCCCACAUCAAGUGGAUGCUUGUCCCCAAGGUCCAAGCUUGGGUGGUUCGUUAGCAGUUCAGCCGUUGGUUCCCAGAUGGCAUCAUUUGUAGACAAAUGUUUCCACUUCACCAAACUCUCCUCAAUAAAUCUUGCCCCAUGUGGAAUCCAACGUGUGUCCAGAAUAGCUUCUGGUGUGACCACAAUGGUGCCUUCUUCAUCAAUAGGUGGAAGUUCCAUACUAGUGUCUGCUUUGUCACCCAACUUCCUUUUAAGCAACGACACAUGAAAAACUGAAUGUAAACGUGCCCCCUCCGGAAGCUUGAGUUUGUAGGCCACAUCACCGACUCGCUUUUCAAUUGGGAACGGACCAUAAAACUUGCAAGCAAGUUUUUGAUGAGCUCGUCGAAAAGCAGUCUGUUGGCGAUAAGGUUGUAAUUUGAGAUACACAAGGUCACCUUCUAUGAAUUCGACAUCCCUUCGCCCACGAUCAACCAACUGUUUCAUGCGAUUCCUAGCAUUCGCUAAAUUCUGCUUGAGAUUCCUAAGAAGUGUGUCCCGUACCUGAAGACUGUGAUCAACUUCAUUAACUGGUGAAGAGCCUGUAGCAUAAAGUGGAAAUGUAGGUGGUAAGCGUCCAUAAAGAGCUUGAAAAGGUGUCGUUCCUGUUGAUGAAUGGUAAGCUGUAUUAUACCACAGCUCUGCCCAAGGAAGAAAUUGGCUCAACUGUCGUGGUCUUUGGUGAACAAAACAGCGCAAAUAUUGUUCCACACAAUGAUUAACCACCUCUGAUUGACCAUCCGUUUGAGGAUGAUAUGCUGAGCUCAUCUUAAGCUGAGUACCAGACAUCUUAAAAAAUUCCUGCCAAAACUUACUAAUAAAGACUUUAUCUCUGUCGCUCAUAAUAGAACUAGGCAUGCCAUGUAGCUUCACCACACCAUCUACAAACUUUUCUGCCACCAUCUUUGUUGUGAAAGGAUGUGUUAAGGCCAAGAAGUGAGCAGAUUUGCUUAGAUGGUCCACUACCACUAAAAUGGUAUCGCGACCAUGUGAAGUAGGGAGACCUUCAAUAAAAUCUAUAGUAACGUCAUCCCAUACCUGACACGGAAUAGGAAGAGGUUGCAAGAGCCCAGCUGGUUUGAGAUUAUCAGCUUUAGUUUUCUAGCAUGUCACACAUGUGUGGACAUAUUCUUUGACAGAAUGAUACAUAGAUGGCCAAUAAAACUGCUGAGAUAGACGUUUGAAUGUACCCAAUAUACCAGAAUGGCCGCCCAUCUUUGUAUCAUGAAAUUCCUGUAGUAAUUGUUCUAUCACAGCUGUGUUAGGAGGCACCACAACACGUGUUUUGAAGAAAACUAACCCAUCUCGCCAGGUAUAAGGUUUUCCAGGACUAUUUUGAGCUUGCUGAAUAAUUUGUUCCAUAUAUGGGUGUCCAGUGGAGGCCUUUUUUAUGUCUUCCCAUAAAGUUACUUGUGGCACAGACAACGCAUUAAGAAUAGGGCUUCCAGACACUCUUGAUAAUGCAUCAGCAGCUGAGUUGUCGCGUCUUGGGCGAUAUAUGAUUUCAUAGUCAUAGCCAAGUAAUUUAGCCACCCAACGUUGUUGUUCUGGUGUCCCAAUUCUUUGCUCCAAUAGAUACUUUAGACUGUGCUGGUCCGUUUGAAUGAAGAACUUUUUGCCCAGUAGAUAUGGUCUCCAAGUGCGUAUUGCCUGAAGGAUGGCAAUCAUUUCUUUGGCAUAUGUUGACCAUGAAAGUUUGGCCACUCCGAGUUCUCGGCUGAGGAAAGCAAUGGGUUUACCUUGCUGUGUCAACACUGCACCAAUACCCUCUCCAGAAGCAUCAGUUUCAAUUGUAAAUGAUUCAUUGAAAUUUGGCAUAGCUAAAAUAGGUGUGGUUGUCAUAGCUUGUUUGAGCUGUAGGAAAGUUGCCUCCGCCUCUUGACUCCAUCUGAAUUGCCCUUUCUUCAAGAGAUUGGUUAAUGGCUUUGCCAGCAGACCAUAGUUGCGCACAAAUUUUCGAUAAUAACCUGUAAAGCCUAGAAAACCAGGUAAGUCUGAAAUAGUGCUUGGCCUUGGCCAAUUUACCAUAGCUGUAAUUUUGCUUGAAUUAACCUUGACCCCUUUAUUAGUCACAAUGUGACCGAGGUACUCGAGCUCUGACUGCCCAAAUGUAUAUUUGCCUUUACAAAAUAUGUAUGUUGCCGUAGAAUUUCAAAAACCUUUGUAACAUGUUCAAGAUGCAUGGUCCGGGCUAUAAAUCAAAAUAUCAUUAAAAAAAAAACUAAUAUGAAUUGACGGAGAUGAGGAUGAAAAAUAGAAUUCAUAAUAGCUUGGAAAGUGGAAGGAGCGUUGCAAAGACCAAAGGGCAUGACCAUAUAUUCGUAGUGGCCAUUAUGGGUACGGAACACAGUUUUGUGAGUGUCUUUUGGAUUUACUCGUACUUGAUGGUACCCUGCUCUUAAGUCUAAUUUUGUAAAGAAGGCAGCUCCAUGGAGCUCAUCAAGCAUGUCAUCAAUGGUAGGAAUAGGAAAUCGAUCCUUAAUGGUUACGCUAUUGAGAGCUCUAUAAUCAGUACAAAAACGCCAAGUGCCAUCUUUUUUUUUAACUAACAAAACAGGUGAAGAAAAGGGACUAGUACUUGGUUUUAUAAGUCCCAAUUUAAGCAUGUCUUGAACUUGUUUUUCAAUUUCAGUUUUUUGAAAAUAGGCAUACCUGUAGGGCCUCACAUUAAUAGGCUCAGUAUCUUCUUUAAGAGGAAUGCAAUGAUCAACUUCACGAGCUGGAGGUAACUGUGUGGGCUCAUAAAAAAUGUCCUCAAAGUUGUUGAUGAUUUCCUUCAUAUCUGUUUGCAUAUUGGGUCGUUCCAUCUUUUCUAUGGAUUGACAAUACACUGUAAAAGUGGAACAGCCAUGACGGACAUCUUUAGUAAUUGCUGAUAGUGAAGCAGGUUGUAUAGCUUGGCUAUUAGAACCAUUUAAUGUUUGAGCUUGAUUCUUCCACCAAAAGUCCAUUGUAAAUUUUUUCCAAUUACACACCACUGGUCCGAGUUGUUCAACCCAUUGUACACCAAGAACAAGAUCAAGGCCUGUGAUAGGUAUUGAAUAAAGGGUUAAUGAAAAUGGAAUGUUUUGGAGAAUAACCUGGACUUGUUCAAACCUUCCUUGGCACUUCAUUUGAUUGCCAUCUGCCACCCUUACAGUGAAGGGUCUCAUAGGAAUAACAGGUAAUUGAAGCUCCUCUGCUAUUUUAGAAUUGAUGAAAUUAUGGGUAGACCCACUGUCGAUGAGCACUGUUAGAGUGUGAUUCCCAACUCGUCCUUCAAUCCUCAUGGUUCGUGGUGUGGACCAACCCGUGAGUGCAUGGAGUGAAAUUUCUGGCUCAGUGUUCUCCUCAGCUAUGUCCUCUACUGGAAUGUCAUCAGUAACUUCUUCGCACAUGACUCUGACAGGUUCACUAAGGCUUUCUAGUAAUAACAGUUGCGGUCUUUGGCACUUAUGUCCAGCAGUGAAUUUGUCAUUGCAAUUGAAACAAAGCCCUUGUGCACGCCGUCUCUGCAUUUUAUCCCAUGUUAGUCUUUUUAUCGGAACUGGAAAACUGGAUUUUGGUGGGGGAAAAGUCAAUGGUGUGCGAGUUAAUUGUGUUGGCCGUGUAAAUUUCCCUUGCCGCAUUAUUUGUUCAUCCUUCAUUUUAUCUAAACUGAUAGCCUCUUUCAAAGUCCGUGGUUUGAACAUCCGAAUAGCAUCAGAAAUUUCUACUUUAAGUCCACCCAUGAAUGUUGUAACAACCCCGAUUUUUCUACAUUCUUUUUCGCGAUAUAUUGGAAAUUUUCAGGUAAAUUUUUUUUUUUGUGAUAUACAGGUUCCACCAAAAUUUCUACCAAAAUUUCGGCAGAGUCUCCCCUAUACUGGUAGGUCCCAGGUUAUCGACAUAUACCAUGUUUACACUUCUAAUAUCUCACAUCUCAUAACUCAAAAUCACGACCCAAUCAUCCUGGGUCUCAACCCAACUCAUUAUCAUCAACACAACACAUCUUAUUCAAUAACAUCAUAUAAUAUAGUUCAAAUGAAAGAUUCAAUUUCAACUAUAAAUAUGCAUGGUCAAAUAGGUACUAAGAGUUUAAACCAUUAGAGUAAAGACAUACAUUCAAAUUUACGGAUUAAUAUUACAUCUCAAGUUUUAUAAUUUACAUAGUCAAAAGCAAAAGAUAUCUAAACUAGCAUUACCCUUGACGCGACCCUGAUGGACCUGAAAAUAGAAAUUAACAUGUACACAUAAAUAUAAAAGAUAGUAACAAGCAAUAACAAUGGCAAACAAUAAUCUCUACGGAAUUUCUUUUGAUAUAUAAAAUUAGGCAUAAACCUCUUUUACAACAUAUAUUUUACAUUUAUUACCAAUAUCCAUCUAAUAUCCUAUCUCAUUUACCAAGAAUAAUUCCAUCUUGGAAAUCUCAACACAACUCAACGGUUUGCGAACACCAUCUCUUUAUAAAUCAAUUCUCACUUGAUACCAAGAUAUUCCUCUCUUGGUAUUAUUAGCUUAUCUCAUUCUUUUGGAAUAACUAAUUAAUAUUUUCCCUUUUCUGAAUCUGUUGCUAGAAGGUAAUCACUGAAACUAAUAAAUCUCAUUAGUAUCAUUAGUCUUCAAAUAUUGGGCUAGACUAAUCAAUUUAAGAAAUACUGGCACCGAUGAAACUUCAUCGAUACCAUUAGCAAUCCAAACUUGGAUGGCUAAUCAAUUCCAUUUGAUUCUUCCAUUCGUACCGAACCCCUUUUAUCUUUCUUAUUAACAUCAUAUGCAUUGUAACCACGGUUGCCAAGUAUCAUUUGCACACAAUCUUAGUUAUCGACACUACGGUCACUAAGCAUCCUUCACAAAACCUUGGUCACCUUCAUCACAGUGCCAAGUAUCAAUUUAUGCCCUUAGCCACCAUCAUUAUGGUGUUAAGUAUCAUUGUAAUGUAUCCUUAGCCACCGACACUAUGGUAACCAAUUAUCUAUCAAUUCACCUCCAAUCUCCAAGUCAUUGUGUCUACCCAAUAACCACAUUAAUUAAUUUACUCAAUAUGUUAGUCAUAUAUUAAUUAUUUUACUCAUAACAUUUAGAAUUUACUAUUUCUAACUUCAAUCAAUUAAUUCACAUAAUCUUUUCAAAACUUAACUAUCCGGCUAACUCAUCUCGAUUGCCAAUAAUUCUGGUAAUUUCAUAUAAUUACCCACACUUUUGGUUAACCUCCAUCGGUUACCAAUACAUCUGGUAAUUCCAUACGAAUUACUCAGCCUCCAGCUAACUUCUUUUGUUUGUCAAUUAAUCCUGUAAUUCCAUACGAAUUACCCCAUAUCCAGUUAACCUUCUUGUUAACCAAUAAACCCGGUAAUUCUCUUAAUUGUCCAAGAAAUCUGGCUAACCCAUCUUGGUUGCCAAGGUCAAUCCGGUAAUUCCAUACGAAUUACCCAUCAUCCAGCUAACCUCUCUUGUUAGCCAAUGAAUUCGGUAAUUCCAUACGAAUUACCCAUCAUCCAGCUAACCUCUUUUGUUAGCCAAUCAAUCCGGUAAUUCUAUACGAAUUACCCCAUAUCCAGUUAACCUUCUUGUUAACCAAUAAAGCCGGUAAUUCUCUUAAUUGUCCAAGAAAUCUGGCUAACCCAUCUUGGUUGCCAAGGUCAAUCCGGUAAUUCCAUACGUAUUACCCAGCAUCCGGCUAACCUCUUUUGUUAGCCAAUGAAUCCGGUAAUUCCAUACGAAUUACCCAUCAUCCAGCUAACCUCUUUUGUUAGCCAAUCAAUCCGGUAAUUCCAUACGAAUUACCCAAUAUCCCGGCUAACCUCUUUUGUUAGCCAAAUAAUUUCGGUAAUUUCUCUUAAAUUACCAAUAAUUCUCAUUUGUAAUAAUCACUCAACUUAUUCAUUUGUUUCAUUCUUUUAACAUCAAUUAAACACACAACACAAAUAUUUAAGAAAAACUAAUAAUUACAAAAUAAGGUGAUGAAUCACCUACCUAGAAUAGGUGCACGUGCUGCCACUCCAUGCAAUUGUCCAGUCCCCACAGCUUUCCCCUGUACCACCAGGGAUUCAAUUUUUAUCAACAAUACAACCAACAUCACAUCUUCAUUUAAUUCUCAUUCAACUAGUAUUCUCAAACUAAUCACAAGGAAUUUUCUUUAAGAUCUCAUACUCUUACUCAUUUUAAUGUUUAUAUUUAUUCUUAUAAUUUUGUUAUCAAAACCAUCACUCAACAGCAAUUCCAAGCAACGAUUAAAAAUUGUCUAAUUCCGAUCAAUUAAGCUUAACCAACCCAUAACACUAUCUAGUGUCUUAAUCAUAACUAAAGUUGUAAAACUCAGUUUUGGGCGUGAUUUAUAUCUCUAUGAAAGGCUAAACAUAGAGAUACAAAUUUUAUGAAGAAACCAACUCCAAAUUAUUUUGUUUUAAGGCUUAAAAUCAACAAUCACAAUAGCCCUUCUUUAUGGCUAAAAUUUUGGACAACGAGGAUUUUCAUUCCUUGGAAAUCCUUUUCAACUUCCAACUUAUUUUCAUGCAAAAUCAACAUCAUCCAAGGUCAUUUGGCAUCAUUAAAUCACAAGUUCAAACCAAUUCUAAAGCAAAACAUUCAAACAAUUUCCCUACCUCUACAAUAUAGCAAGAUUAGACCAAAAUAAGGAAACUCAUUCCUUUUGAGAUUUCUCCUAUUAUUAUUAUUAAUACAACAAAAUGAUGAACUAUUCAUUUUCUUUCGCUUUCUCCUCGUGCGAUUAAACAUAUACGGCAAACCUUAACAAUUAAUAUUCUCAGAUCAUUAUCACAACAAUAAUUUCACUCUACUAAUUGGGAUCCAUGACAACCUUCAUUAACUAACCAUUUGCUAAAAACACUUAUGGCUAGCUUUAAAUAUGUUUUAUUUUUUUCAAAUUUUUUUCAUUUCAAUUUCUUCAUGGUUCCACCCCAUUUAUAUCCACACAACCAACAAGUUAGCUUUCUAUUCAAUCAACAUGUUCUAUUCAAUCAACACGUUCAUAUAGCAAUAUUCUUUACUAUUCUUACACAACAAUCAUUCUUCCCCUCAUAUAAAGAAUACACAAUUAAUCUAUAAUAUUACUAAUAACAGGAACAUAUUUUAUCAUUACAUCUUCCAUAAAACCUACACCCACACAAUUCUAAUUUCAUCAAAACAUGUAUUUAAUCAAGCUUACUACAUUUUGCAAAAACUAGCAAUAGAUUCAAAAAGCAAUAAGUCAUCAACCUCUGAUUAUUGUUUCCCACCCAACGGUCAGACUACAUAUCAUAGCGUUGUGCAUAAUAUAUCUCAAAUUCAUAAUGAUCCAACGGUUAAAUCUCCCUAGAUCUGAAGAAAACCGAGCUUACCUGAAAAUGAACGAGCUACUGUUCAACAUGCACGCAACCUUGCCGGAGAAAUAUGUUCCGAUCUCCACUGUCCAGAAUGAAUUUAACAUCUACGCGCACCACAUAUCCAACAAUUAGCAUGAUCCAACGGUGGAAGAGAGAGAAAUCGGCCGGCGACCAAACUGCCCUGCAGGUGCAUUUCCUUUUUGUUUUCCAUGAAAUUCCAGAUGAUGAUUUCUGUCAAAUGGAUUGUGUUCCUUCCAAUCACUCCGGUCAGUUAGUAGAGGAGUGUAAUGAGAACAACACGUCCAAAACGCAGCUUGAUCCAACGGUUGAUUCCCGAGAUAUGACCACCGGAGCAUUAUUGGUUUUCUCCAAAAUUUGCAGCUCUCUCCCCUUAUCCGCUUUUCUCUAUUUUUUUUCUUUUUUUUCUUUCUUUUUUUCUUAACUGGUGGCCUCUUUGCAGAUUUAUAGGCACCUUUUUUUUUCAUAAUUACAAUUUUGUCCCUCUUUCAUGCUUUUAUGUAUUUUAUUUUAUUUUUCAUGUAAACUAUCUCGUUUAUUUCUGUUUAAAUCGCUAGUCUUUACCAAACUCUGAUUGGGAUGAGAUAUUUAACCAAGGUAGGAAAACAUAUUAAUAGGCUUCAUACAAAAUUUCAUCCCGAUCCGACGAUUGGAUUGAGAGCUCUGCUUCCUAAUGUAAAAUUGAUCAGUUCAUAACUUUUCGUAAACAAUCUAGAUUUUUUUUUUGUUCAAUCUUCACAAAAAAAAAAAACAUAUCAAUUAUCAUUCUAAACCUUUAAGGUCAUUUAAUUAUUUUGGAAUGUAUUCAUUUUAGGAUUUCCACCUUUAUUUAUUUAUCGGGCUUAUUAUCGUUUCAAAAUAACAUCACUGAUUUUUAAGCGGUGCUUGCACCUUCAGUCCUACCCUUUUCAUUGUACUAUCAUUUAUUAUAAUGUAUUCUUUAUUACCUCACUUAUUUCCUAAAAAUAUUUUGUCAUUUUUCUCAUUAUUUCAUCCAUCAAAACACGUUACCAGUUUCUCUAUCCUUAUGAAUUCUAAACCAAAAUUCAUUUUAUGAAGGUCAUCUCUUCUAUUAUAUAUCAUUAUUUAUCUAUUAUUUCUAAUCUUGGUUUCCAUCACUCAUUGAAAUAUUACCACUUUCAGUCUUAUGUUUACAUGAGGGUUUAUACAUCUACAUAUUUAAAUUAUAAAUUUCCAGGGUUUCACAAAUGUGCCCACCAGCGCCUUUUGAGUCCAACCAUGAACUCGAUUGCCCAACCUCUCAAAUUCCUUCUGAUAGUCCCUUAAGGAACCCACUUGUCUGACCUUUGAUAAUGCUUCAUCAAAAUCCUCAUAUUCUGUGGGCCCAAACCGUGCCCAAAGCUCUUCUUCAAAUAUCUCCCACGUGACAGUGCGCCCUUCUUCCUUGUGAGCUCGAUGCAACCAUUGCCACCAUUGGUUGGCUUCUCCUUCCAAAUGGAAUGAGGCCAAUGAUACUUUUUGAUUGUCCGCAGUCUCUUGAUAUUCAAAAAAUUGGUCCACCCAAUUGAACCAUUCGGUUGGAUCAUCCCCAGAAUAUCGUGGAAAGUCUAACUUGGCCAUUUUUUAUGAGAAGACGUGGCGUCCACACUCAUUAUCAGUUUUCUUCUUUCCCCCAUCAGUGUCAUCCCGAUAUGUGCGUGAGAAGCCAUCCCGGUCGUUGUUGUGGUAACUUGAAGACGCCUUGGAAGCGAUCAUGACCUCUGAAAGUUUGUUGAUGGUUUCCUCCAGGCUGUGCAAUCUAUUGAUCAUGUAAUCUUCCAGUCGCUGCAUGCCAUCUUGGACUCCACCAAGUCCUGUCUCCAAAAGCUCAAUUCGUUCUUUGUUUGUUGCCAUUGCGUAGGCUCUGAUACCAAUUGAUAAGGUCCCAGUCAAGAGUGAUACACAAUUGCAAAAAUGCUAGGAUUCUCUUAGGGUGAGAAUUUACCACAAUAUUGUUUGGAUAAAAAUAAUGCUAUUCUUUUUAUUCUUCUUCAUACAUAUAAAUAACUAAACCAUAACAACUUUCAGCAAAUCCCGCCGAAAUGGAAAUAACAGAUUACAAAACAGAAAUCCAAAUAAUGUGAAAGUGAUUUCUUUAUUUUCUCCCAUUGAAUCGGAAGCAUGAUUCCAAUUGACUUGCUUGUAACUCCCUUUAAUCACGAUAUCUUUUAAUCACGAUAUUUCAAAUUCUUUUUUAUGACACGUUGGGUCCUUCGUGGCAGCAGCUCUCCAAGCUGCGUAUCAGUUUCAUUCUUAACUUGUUAAGGAACAAGGACUGUGAUGCAUGGCUAUUUUAUAUUUUAUGAUUGAGAUGGUAGAUUUUAAAGAUUUUCCUGUUUAGGAGGUAAGACGUCACUUUCUUGCUUUUCUUCCGAGAGAAAGUAUUUGAUCCUUUCUUCAUAUAUAAUAAUGCUGCCAAGCAUUGAAUUUCUAAACAUCUUACCUUUUUGUUUUGUUUGUCGCAUUGUUAUCAAACUCUUUUGCAUUUAAUUGCAGUAUAUUGCUAUGUGUACGGCAUGCUUUAAUCAAAAAGUUGAGUACUCGAUGAAUGUUAGGCAAGAAAAUUACUGAUUAUUUUUGUUUUCUGCCUCCUCCUUUUCUUUCUCCCAACCUGAAAAUUGUCAUAUUAUUUUUGUUUUCAGCCGCCUCUUCUUCCCCCAACCCUGAAAAUUGUCUGAGGACACUUUUAUGCUUUGAAUCAAAUCCAUCCUAAUUCUUUCGCUCAUAACUUUAUGUGUGAACUGCCGAUGUUUGAUCAUUUGUCUUCCUUGUUCAGUGCCUUCUUUUUUUCUUUGACAUGGUUUCCUUUUUUCCUUUUAUCUUGAACAGCAUCCCAUAGUAUGCCCCCUCAAGUUCAGAAUCAUGGGCUAUUUCUCCCUAUCCUAUUGUCCACUGAUCAAUCUCAAGUACGCUAGCAGUUGUUAUCACAGAACAUGCAGAAUUGCAUGGCAUCUAAUGCAAUUCAAAGUUCUGCUGGUUUACUAGCGGCACUGCCUCUUGUCUCCGGUGUAACCCAGACUAUCCCCAACACUGUUGUCCAGAAUCCUAACAUGCAGAGUAUCCCCGGUGUUUCACAGAACUCAGUGGGGAAUUCAAUGAGACAAGGGAUUCCCUCCACUAUGUUUGCCAAUUCUCAUAAAGAAAUGCCAGGUAAUGCUCUUUUUGGUAGCUUUAUGUCUUCCACUUAUGGCAUUAGAAAUGCCACUGCUAUUGGAACUAUUGCAAUCACACAUGCAUUUGGCAUCACACGAUGCCCUUCAGUGCUCUGCACCAACUUUUCACCUCCCAUAAUGGUUCUAGUCAGUAAUGCUUUUUUAGGUAGCUUUAUGUGCUACUGCUGCCACUUAUGGCAUUAGUAAUGCCACUGCUAUUGAAACCAUUGCAAUCACACACACAUUUGUUACCCACAUCAUACCCUCCAGUGCAUUGCACCAGCUGUUCACCUCUCAUUCUGGAUUUAUAGGGUUUGUCCGUCUGUUUGAAUGAUUACAUAACGUUUAGAUGGAGUUCCUAGUACUCCUAGUUCAAAAAGACUUGUAUUCCUCUGUAGGAAAAUACUAAUAGUCCUAUCUAGAAUAGGAAAACCUAAUGAAGCUCGCUAUACUUUGGGAUAAUAAAAUACUAAAUGGAAAAUAAAAUGAGACUUGCAAUAUUCCAUAAUUUUCAGCAAGCGUGAAAAUUACAGAAAUACCCUUGUAUAUGGAAAACACACAAAAAUACAUGAAUUCUAAUCUUUGUUGCCCGCAUUGAAAUAUUUGUAGCAUCCCUAGAUUCUACAGCACAGACUGGACAUGCAAAAGGCGCUGAUUGACAAGAGUAGAUCUAUCAAAAGGUAAUUUCUGUGAUUUACUGUUCAUUAGAUGGAGUUCAUGUAUGCCAUAGUCUUAAAAAUAAAAGUGCACUAUUUCUGAAUGACUUACAGUUUAUCUUUUGUUAAGUGAAGAGUUAUUUGCACGAUUGCAAUCAACUUGUUGUGAAAAAUUUCCAGUAUUGAAUUUUAUAGAAAAUGAGGUUGAAAUUCUGAAUGUCUCAAGUCAUAACUGCAUAUUUGAUAAGGACAUUUUUCUUGUGCUUAAGUGAGUAUUAAAACGGGAAUAAGAAUGGUUGUUGUUAAGGAUCCAUGGGGUCAUGCAUAGGAUCUAAGGCUAAGAAGCGUCGCUAAAGUUGUGAAAUCCAUUGACUUGAGCUAGAACAGCAGAAAACAAUGAUGUGUAGUUUGCAGGGAGACAGUAACUGAACUUAACCAACCCCUGAAUCUUGUCUAAUGGUGUACUUACACAGUCCUUUGCAUCUUUCCAUUCCAUCAAUAUCGACAUCCUGUUGAGUUUCUAGCAUUAAUUCCACUCUAUUAUUUUUAUCUCAACUAAUUUAUGUUGUCCUCUGCCCUUUUUUUGUUAUUUUAUUUUUAUCAAUUCCCUUAAGUUUGUUUGUUUUACUUUCUUUCUGACUGGCACCUGAAGAGAUCAAGCAUAUGAGCGAUAAUGUUUUGCUGGUUAUUUGUACUUCCUAGAUCAAAGUUAUGAAGGAGACUUAUUUCCCUGAAAUAAAUGAAAUGUAUCAGAGAAUUGCUGCCAAGUUACAGCAGGUAAAUUGUCUCUGAAAUUUCUUCCGGAUUAUCUGUGCAUGCAUGAUUAUCUGCAAUUUCCCCAUGUUGAGUUUUGUAUUAGUUUGUUUUCCUCAUCAGCAUUGCCUGUCACUGUAUCAUCUGCACUAUUCACCUACCCCACCCCCAACCGCCCCCACAACCAUGCAUCGACACAGAAGAAGUGGAAUAGAAACAUUUUGUUUCACUAAUGUUUUGCUACAAAGGAUCAAUGCAAUUUUUAAUUCUCGUGUAUGUUAACUUUGCUUUCUAGCAUGACUCUCAUCCGCAACAACCGAAGUCGGAACAGCUUGAAAAGCUGGAGGUAUUCAAGGCCAUGUUGGAGCGCUUGAUAACAUUCUUACAGGUCUCUAAAAACAAAAUCACACCUAGUUUCAAGGAGAAAUUGGGUUCCAAUGAGAAGCAUAUUGUAAGUUUUCUAAACCCAGGCAGAUCAGGAAGCCAAUUCCUAAUCUACAGCGAGGACAACUUCCCCAGCCUCAUGUGCAACCUAUGCAGCAAUCCCAGUCUCCAGUUCCUCAAUUGCAGUCCCAUGAAAAUCAACUGAAUACCCAGUUGCAAUCAAUAAAUGUGCAAAAUUCUAUACCAACAAUGCAGCAGAACAAUAUGUCAAGCUUGCAGCAUGGUUCUCUUUCAUCUUUAUCUGGGUUUUCUAUGUCACAACCAAUCAUGAUGAUGUGGGACGAGAGAUUUUACGAGAAGAAAAGGGGGUAGAGAGAAUGAUAUUGUAGCAAAAAUAACUAAUCAAAUAGAAAGGCUGAGCUUAGAGACAGCACACUACAAAGGAAGCACCCAAUAGCUAGACAUACAAUCAUAACAAAUUCAUCUUCUAAAGUUGGAGAACUUGCGAAAACUAGCAACCAUAAAAUAGUAACAAGUAUCUAUGCAAUCUUCGAUGAAGUACAACCACCUACGUCGCCAAUAUGGAUUGAUGUAGAGAACUGCUGCAAUCGUCAUCACCACAACUGUGUAACAUACACUGAAACUGAUGUAGAAAAACUCCAUGUCUAUGAAACCAUCAUCUUCUUGUUCAUCAUGAGGCACUGGCUGGGACAACACUACUUCUUCACUACAAUUGUUUCGCAAUGGAGGUCCACACAAGAAAGGAUUUCCUUCGUAACAGCUUUCAUCGAAGGUCCCAAACUGAUAUUUUCUCUCGGGUGUCUUACCUGACAAGUUAUUGUGCUCCACACUAAAAACUUCUAGUGUGGUCAUUUCAGUAAGUUGUGGAGGGAUGUCACCAUUCAAGUUGUUGUAAGAAAGAUCCAAACUCUCAAUCCGCUUCAGGUUUGAGAAUGUUGCAGGGAUAGAUCCAGUGAGAUUGUUGUGUGAUAAGUUUAAUGACAGUAUCUCGCUUAAGUUUCCAAAUUCUGGUGGGAUUGCUCCUACAAAGUUGUUAUUGGAGAGAUCAAUACCAGACAUGUAGAUGAGAAUUUUCCCUUUGUAACCAUAAUACAUAUUUUUAGUUGUAAAUUCUAUCACUUCUUCUGUAAAGUUAGUCCAAUAACCCUUUAAUAAGGUGUAUAUGCUAUCCACUUGUGGUGGACCCAUUAUUUCAUAAUAAGCCUUUUCUAAGAACCCUGGUAGUAAAAGAACAUCGAGAUUCACUAAUGCUUUCUGGGAACUUUCUUUGAAAGUAAGAUUUUCCAAACAGGAGGGUAAUGGACCAGAAAGCUGGUUUUGUGAAACAUCCAAAAUGCUUAAUUGUUUUAAUAAGCAUAACUGAACAGGGAACUCACCAUCAAAGUGAUUAGCUCUCAGAAGAAGAACACUCAAUGAUGAAAGAUUGCCAGCCCAAUUUGGAAUUGAGCCGGUGAAGCUGUUAUCUCUAAGAUCCAUCGUAACCAGGGAAGAGCUAUUAUAAAAUCCAUAUUUUAAUGGACCGCUCAAUCUAUUUUUGGAUAGAUGCACAUGGGUUAUUUGUGGUGAAUUGAAACAAGAUGGAAUAUAUCCAAACAAAUUGUUCUCAGAAAGGUCCAAAUAUUCAAGCUGGUCAAACUUACAAAAAAAGUCUUUUGGGAUAGGACCCUUAAAAUGGUUUUUUGAAAAAUCAAUUGCUCUAAGGUUCGUCGAAUUGACGAACCACCUUGGAAGCAUGCCUGAAAAUUGAUUGUUACUCAAAUCCAAUACAAUCCACGUUUUCCACCCGUUUAAUGGAAAAUCUGAUAUUUGACCCCAAAAGUUGUUAUCACCUAGAUAGAGAUAUUCUGAGGUAGAAGAAUUGAACACGGAGGUUGGUAUUUGCCCACCCAAAUUGUUGUUUGACAGCUUGAGAAACAUUAAUGUUGUUAGUAGUUCUAGUUUUACCGUGGACAAUUGAUUGUUGGAUAAAUCUAAAACUCUCAAAGAGCUAAUAUUUCCUAAACAAGAAGGAAUACAACCCGUGAAUCCAUUCUUAGCCAUCCUUAAUCCCUUCAGAUUUGGAAAGAUCAAACAAAUAUCCUUUGGAAUUUGACCGCUCAUGUUGUUGUUGGAUAUAUCCAAUUCGGUCAUUUUCGGAUAUGGGUGAUCUUGCAACUGCAAAGUACCAACAAAGGAGUUCCCGCUCAGAUAUAGUUGCUCCAAUCGUGUAUUGUUCUUAAGCAACCACGAUGGAAACAUUCCGGUGAUGUUGUUGUGGGAGAGAUCAAGGAAUCUUAAGUGGUAUUGGUAAUAGAGGAAGUUGGGAAUUUCUAUAUUGAGUGCUUCCGUUGUUUUUGUCGAGCUAAAAAAGACUAGUUGGAACUUUGGAAUCAACUGAUCAAAUGCAGCAGGUUCUAUUACUAAUCUGUUGUUCUCAUUGCAGAAGAACUUGAGGCUUGAGUGGUUCAUAAAAGGUUUCAUUGAAGUGGGAACUUCAAAGAGGUUAUUUGAUAGUGAGAGGAAUUCAAGGGAUAUGAGGUUGGUAAGGGGACCGAAGGCAAUAUUUCCAGUAAAUUGGUUUUCAGAAACAUCUAAUAGUUGUAGAGAAGACAAGUUCCCCAAACAAUAUGGGAGUGAACCUCCUAAAUCAUUUUCAGAGAGAUCUAAUUGCUUCAGAUUCUUCAUUUCACACCAACCUGUACAAUUUAUGGAUAUAAAGUCGUUAAAGAUGAAGGCUAAGUCAAACAUGAUAAAAUACUAUCAUUAAAUUGAUCAUUGCAUAGAUAUAAAGUCCUUUUUUAUAUAUAUAUAUAUAUAAUGUAAUGAAUAUUAUUGAUUAUUCAACAUAGUUUUAAAUAAUAUAAUAUUUUUUAAAUUUAUAAUAUUAUAAAUUAUAAAAUUAUUGAUACUUGCAAUGAAGACCAAGUCUCAAAAUACCAUAUCCACUGGCAGUGGUAAUGCAGCGAAGCAUUGAAUUUCUAAACAUCCUUACCUUUUGUUUUAUAUUGCUAUGUAUAUACAAUGCUUUAAUCAAAACCUAUAAUGCAGGAAUAUCUGCAGAUGGCCAUUCCCAAAGGGAAAACUAAUCUUCCCUAGAAUAUUACAAAGUGCCAUUUCUACAGUGAGACACUGAAUAGUGAAAUUAGUGUUUCGUUUUUGUUGUUUUGUUGCUGAUAACUAGAUCUGUUAAAUCUUUUCCCUGUACUUUUACAUUAUGCAGUAAACUGGUCCCUUCAUUAGUUUUUCGUUAGUCAAAUAUUGUAGAGCUGUCAGCAAUAUUUCCUCUGUUUGUUCCACUAACUUGACGGUAAAAUGUGAUUAAAGAAUCAAUUAAUUAUUUAAAAAACGUCGAGGGAUUAAUUUGUUUGUUUCACAAAAAACAGACACUGGUUAUAUAAAAUUAUACUCAAAUUUUUUUCAUCAUAUGCGUGUGUUUACUUGUAAAUAUUUUGGAAGGAACUAGUUUAUGUUUUGCGCAACAUAAAAAAAAUCAUCUAGGCUUAAGAAACUAGCUCGAUCUAGUGGAUUAAUUUUUAAUUUUUUUUAUUUGACUUUUUAUCUAUAUCAAGUUUAACAUGAAAGUUAAUGUCUUUGUUUAAUUCGCAUGAUAACAAUUCUAUGUCUAAGAUCAUUUGGUUGGCAUACAUAUGUAAACCUAGGUGUUGUUAGUUCGAGGGAAGGAAGACACAAUAAAAAAUAAACAAACAUGGAUGAUAUGUCAUUUAUGUUUUACUUUUUUUAAUUAAAAAAACAGGCUUAAUAAAAAAUAUCAAGCGAGGUCAGAUGCGCGAGCCUUGUUUUAUAAUUUUUUAUUCAAAUUUUAAUAAUUGUUUUCAAUUAUUAUGCAUAUGACAUAAAAAUCUGUUCAUGAAAAUUAAAUUCAAAUCACUUUUUUAAUCUUAGAAUUUUUAGAUAUAUUUUUAGCAUAAUUUUAUCAUAUUUAUGAUUUUUUUUAACUUUCAAUCACAUGAAUAUAUUAUUUUGAUACAUUUUUAAUUUGUUGUGACAAUUAUAGAAUAUUCUUUUAAUAGAAACAAUGAUUCUAGUUAAGAAAAAAAUCUUGCAUUCAUCGAGAUAAACAAGAAAUAUGUUAAUAAGAAAAUUUAUCUUGAUGGAGAAAAAUUCAAAACGACUAAAUUUUCAAGUUUAAUAACAAUGCCAAGGAGUUUCCUUAGACUUGGAUAUUUUGUUCUACGUUUAAAGUUUUUUUUAUCUCCAUAACAUAGCAUUAGCAUACAAACUUGUAUAUUUUUAAGACAGCGUUUGGUUACUAUCCGGGACAAUAAAGACAAAGACAGAGGAGACAAGACAUAAAAGAAGAUGGAGAUAGAAUUGUGUUCAGUAGUGAUGUACAAGAUAAAAUAAUUGUCUUUGUAUCAUAUUUAGUUAUGUUGAAUAAGAAAGAAUAAAAUACAUAAAAAACUAUUUUACCUUUAAUAUGUAUUGUUGUCAAACUUCCAUAUUUAAAAAAUAAUUAUUUUUAUUUUUUUACUUUAGUUUAUAUUGAAUGUUGAAAUUAUUAAUAUUAUAAUAACCCUAAUUAUAAAACCAGGACUGAUUUGACAGGUUGGUUUAAGGCGUAGACUUGCCCGAGUUUUAGAAAAAUAGAUUAAUGAUUAACUAGACCUGACCUGGUAAAAAAUAUGAGUCAGGUUAAGAUAAAACACAAGUAAAAAACCCAUUGACUUUUUUGAAAAAGAAAAUUGGUCAAAACAAGGUUUCUUUGACUAUUUUUUUUAAAAAAAAAUUGGGUCAAUCAGGUUGACCUUCCCAACCCAUGACCUACACCUUUCCUUUGGUCAACUCCUAAGUUGAGUUUUAAAACUAUGAUAUUAAUAAUUUUUAUCCAUACUCAGGUCAACCUGUGUUGACCCUCUCGAUCCAUGACCUAGGCCUUACUUCUGUCGACUCCCGAGUCGGGUUUUAAAAUAUGAUAAUAACUAUUUUUAUCCUUACAUUAAUCCGGGUCGACUCUCUUGAUUCGUGACCCGAGUCUUACCCCAAAUUGACUAUCGAAUCAAAUUUUAAAACUAUGAUUAUAACCACCUUUAUUUUAUGUUGACCCGGGUCAAUCCGGGUUGACCCAUAUAACACGUGACUCAAGCCUUAUCCCGAGUCGAUCCCCGAUUUGGGUUUUAAAACUAUAAUAAUAACUAUUUUUAUCAUUACAUUUACCUAGGUCAAUAAUCAACCUCACUUGUGACCCCAAAAUUGCCCGGGUCGACCCUUAAAUCGAGUUUCAAAAUAUGAUAAUAACUAUUUUUAUUUUUAUACUAAUACAGGUCAACUCAACUCGUGACUCGGGCCUCAACCAGUGACCCAGAAUUUACCCCGGAUCGACCUCAAAGUUGGAUUUUAAAACUAUGAAAAUAAUUAUUUUUACCUUUAUAUGUCUUAAUUAGACAAUUUAGAAUUGAGAGUUUUUUAUAAGGAUAUUUUAGAAAUAAAAAAUAAUAAAUAUUGUCUCUAUAAACAUGUCCCUUCUAUACCUCAUAUUUUGAAAAUAUAAAAAUUCACUCUAAAAUUAUUCUAGAGACAAAUUUAUUUUUAUGUAUUUGUCUUUAUCUCUUUAACCAUAUAUAUUUAUAUCUUUAUUGUCUUCAUCCUUUUUAUCACACGACAAUGACCAAACAUUACCUAAAGGAUCUACAACUACUGAUGACAAACUUGGCUUUAUUUCAUCUUUGAUUUCUUCUCAAUGAUAUCUCACCUAUAUGUGUGGAGGCACUAGAUCGUUGAUUGAAAGGUUGACUUUGAAAAAAUAUAUUCAUAAAGUAAUGUUUGAAUCUUGGUGUUUUUUAUUGGCUCAAAAAAAUUACCAACCCACCAAAACCAACAUGUAUGAAACAUUUAGAUUUAAUAUUAUAUGUAUAAUUUAUUAUCAUAAUUGAUAUGCUAUUCAACUCACUAACUUAGUAGGAUGACCUAUAAUACCUGUUGAUCUAGGAUUUUAGCCGAAUCAAGCUUUAAGCCAGAUAUAAUAACUAUGAUUUUAUAAAAUUACUAUGAACUUCCCUUUUAUGUCUUCUUAUUUACUCAUUUGAUUUUAUGAAGUUAAGAUGUUUGCAUUUAUAUCAUGAUUAAACUCUAGGAUAACAUUUAGUUAUUACUUCAGGAUAACAAAAAUAAAGAUAGUAAAGACAAAAUUAUGUUUGGUUGAAAAGACAUAGAUAUAAAAAUAAUUUUUUUCAUGGGAUAAUUUUAGAGUGAAUUUAUGUACUUUCAAAAUAGAAAGUACAAAUAAGAUAUAUCUUCAUAAACAAUAUUUUUUAUUUUUAUUCCUAAAAUAUCAUUGAAAAAACUUUCAAUUCCAAAAUUGUCUAAUUAAAACAUGUAAGAACAAAAAUAGUUAUUAUCACAGUUGUAAAAUCUAACUCGAGGGUCGACCUGGGACAAGGCUUGGGUCAUUGUUUGGGUUGACCAUUGACCCGAGUCAACAAAAAAAUAAAAAUAGUUAUUAUUAUAAUUUUAAAACCUAACUUGGAGGUCGACUCAGGGCAAGACCCGGGUCAUAGGUCAGGAGGGUCAACUCUGGUUGAACUGAGUUAAUGUAAGGAUAAAAGUGGUUAUUGCAAUAGUUUUAAAACUUGACUCAGAGAUCGACCUGAUGUAAGCUCAGGUCUUGGGCUAGGAGGGUUAAUGCAUGGAUAAAAAUAAUUAUUAUCAUGAGUCGAUUUGAGACAAAGCCUAGGUUAUGGGUUGGGAGGGUCAACCCGAGUUGACCCAAUUUUUUUUUUUAAAAGAAUCAACACAACUUUGUUUUGACCAUUUUUUUUUAAAAAAAAAUAGCUGGUUUUGCCCUAUGUUUUAUCCCGAGUCGACCUGUGUUUUAUCCCGAAUCAACUCGGUUUUUUAAUUCACCUAUCUAUUCUUAAACUUAGAUUAAUACAGGCUUAGAGACGACUAGGUCCCGAAUAGAUUCACUAGGUCAGUCUAGGUUUUAUAACUAGGAUUAUUAUAAUAUUAUUAAAAUUAAACUAAAGUAAAAAAAAAUCUAAUUAUUUGUAUAAAUAUGUAAGUUUAACAAUAAUGCAUAUUAAAGGUAAAAUAAUUUUUUUAUUUUUUAUUUUUUUUAUUUAUCAUUAUCAAAUAAGAUAUAGAGACAGUUACUACCAAACACAAUUUUAUUUUCAUCUCCUUUUAUAUCUUGUUUUCAUGGUCUUCUUCCUUUUUAUUCAGGACAGUAACCAAAUAUUACCUAGUUAUAACAUAUAGAAACAUAUAAGUUGUCAAGUUCAAGCCUUUCUCUUAUCGAUUUAAAUAAAUUGAAACACAAUUGCAAGAAGAUUCGAGUGUGUUUGGUAUUGUGAUAGCUUUUGUGGUUGUGAUUUGAAAAAAAAUUGUUUUAUAAAAAAUACUUUUGGUUGAGGUUGGUUUGGUAUUUAUAUAUAUUUGGUUCAAACUGUGGUUGAAAUUGAGGUUGAACAAAAAGUAGUUUAAUGUGUUUGGUUAAGAAUGCUUUUCAAAUUGAGGUUAUAAAAUAAUUAAAAAAAGAUAUUAAUAUUAAUGGUUUUUAAUUUAAAUAUUGUAGAUUUAACUACUGUUAUUACAUCAUGAAAUAAAUAAUACUUUAUAUAAAAUAUUUUUAUUGUUCCAUUAAACUAUCUACAAUUCCAUCACGUACGAAAUCCAUCCGACAAGGACUACAGUUUCCUUGGUUUUUUAAGUGCGCAACAACAUCAUGUAAAAUAUCAUCAAGAACAAAAUUAGGAUUGCGAUCAAAUUCUGUAAAUGUUACGUCAUUAAGCGAUCUCCUUCUAAUUUAUGUAGUGUCAUUGAAUAAUGUUAAACAUUAGUUUUUUUGAAUAAAAUACAAUUAAAAAUAAAAAAAUUGAAUUUUAUUUUAUUUUACUGGGUCGGACCCGGUUCAAUGCAUUUAGCUUUGAACCGGACCCAAUUCGGCCGGAAUAAUAAAACAUUCUCCACUGUUCACGUGAACAGUGGAGAGUGAAGUAAUUCACUCUCACUAGGUGGAGACAACAGAAGAAAAGAAAAGGCAGCUUUGAGCUGCUUUCAAUGACACUGCAUUUUAAACAUAAAUUAUAAUGGAUCCUGUAAACAGUAAAUAAUAUUUUAUUAAUUAUCACAUGAUUGAUUUCUGUGGUUUGUUACAAAAACAGAAGCAACCACAGAAAUAAUCAGGUUCAAAGAAGAAAAGACAUAUGAUUAAAGUGCCACGCAACCUUUUGACAUUAUCAGUAUUUUGAUGUAUUUCCAUUAAUUUAUAAUAUACAAGUAUAUUUCCACGUUUCUUUUAUUUGGAUAGAACAUCUUUCCAAUAGAAUUUGUUUUUAUUAGAAUUCCAUAUUCAUGAUAUUUUUUUAAUAAUAAAAAUAGCAUUGGAUGAGUUUGUAUGUCAAUUGAAACUAAAAAUGUGUUAGAUACGAUCGAUGGAUUGAACAUGAUAAUAUAAAUAUCAAAUAAUGUUUAAUUAGAUUAAAUUGAACUAGAGAAUAUAUGUUUUUAUUCUAUGUUUGGUGCACACAAAAUAAGAUCAAAUAAUUUUAUUUUUAUCAUUGAGAUUUUUUCAAUCAUUUAUUUUAGUCUUUGCAUUUUAUUUUUAUGAUAUUUUAGUCCUUACUAGAAUUUCUUUAUCAUCUAGAACAAUCUAGUUCUUAAAUCAAAAAGGUUUUUGCAAUUAAACUCUUACAUGUAAAUAUUUAUUUUAAUAAAAUUGGUCAAAUUUUGGUUUUCCAAAUUAAAAAAUAAAUAAGUGAUAAAUAAAUAAUAGAUAAUAUAAAAAUUAAGAAAAAAUAAUUUUGUACAAAUUUUUUGUCCUGAGGAAAACUUUGGACAAGACAAUGACAAUGAUCAAUCCUUGUCAUGUCCAAAGUGUAUAUCAAACAUUUCAUAGCUUGCCAUGUGCAACAAAUAUAUCACAACUUGUUUUUAUUGUAUUCUAUUAUGAUCUCUUUUGUGUUUUAUAUUAUUUAAUAUAUUAAAAUAAAUUUAAUAAAUUAUACUGAAGCAAGAUCUAAUAUUAGAAAGUUAACGGAAAUAAUAAAUGUACCUUUGCCCGUCCCUUCAACAAAAUGCUGAGCUGUAUACUAAUUCUCAGAGGCAGUGAUAACUAGUUGUUCUAACUAAUCCCUAUACUUUUAAAUAUGUUUACAAUUCAGUCCCUUCAUUAAUUUUUCGUUAGUAAAAUGUUGAGCUGUCAGCAAUAUUUCCUUAGUUUGUGCCGCUAACUUGACGGUAAAAUGUGAUUAAAGGAUCAAUUAAUUAUUUAAAUCAACUUGAGGGAUUAAUCUGCAUUUGCUUAACAAAACGACAAACACUAGUUAACUCAAAUUUAAGGUAUGUUUGUUUUUAUAUUUCAAAAACGUUUUGAAAAAAUUUGAAAAUUUUUUAUUUUUUUCUUUGCUUCAAAUUAAUAUUUUUUGGUAUUUUUAGAUCAUUUUGAUAUGCUAAUAUUAAAAAUGAUUUUUUUCAAAAAACAUAUUUUAAUAUAUUUCUGAGUGAAAAACAUUUUAAAAAAUAUCUGUAACCACACUCUCAAACAAUCACAUUCCCAUACAGGUUAAUCAUCAUAUGCGUGCAUGCGUGCGUGCAAGUGGGGUUCAAUCCGGGUGCCCUAGCAUUAUAUUAUAAUACUUAUAUAUAUAAGAAACCCUGUAUGGAUUCGUACAACACUGGAAUGCAAUGAUUGAAUGAAAUAUUACAUGGACAUUGGACCUGCUGUGUAAACAUGUUUAGGAUGGAUGCGACGACAUUUCAGAGUUUUUGCUUUCAACUUGGAAACCAAUGUCAUAACCCAAUUCUGGGUUAUUCCCCAAAAAUCAUUUUUUUUUCAAAAUAAAAAUCAAAAUAAUAAUAAUAAAAGCUGGAAACGUGGAGAAGGCAAACCGGGGAAUCAAGUUGUAAUUUUGGAGGAAAUUCAAGGCCUAAUUGUACCCCAUUAUGCCAAAAAAUGGAGGAAAAAAAUGCAAAUUCAAGGUCAAAUUAAAUGACUAUUGGAUGAAUUUGCAUAAAAAUUAAGUCCAAGAACAUAAUUAAAUUUUUAAUAGGCCAAUUUGAUUUAAUCAUGGGCCAAAUUGAAUUUUAAUUAUGUUUAAGAAUUAAUUUGGGUCCAAUUGAAGGAUUUAGUUAAGUGCAAGGACUUAAUUAUACUUUAAAUGGGUAAAAUUAAUUUUAUUUGGGGCUUAAUUGGUGAAAAAUUAAGUUUGGGAGCCUAAUUUGGGCUUAAUUGAGAAGAUUGGAAUUUUAAGAGAUCAAAUUUAAUUUUUUCCAAGUUAAUUGCUUGAAAUCAGGGGCCAAAUUGCAAGAAAAUUGAAGUUUUGGGGUCAAUUAGGGGUUAAAUUGACAAAAUUUGCAGCCAAGGACCAAUAUGCAAAAAGUGCCAAACUAUAGGGCCUAUUGGCAAAAUCCAGGGUGAAAUUGAAGAAAUUGAAAGUUUAAUGGUUGAUUAGGGGUUAAAUUGCAUAAAUCCAAGACUAAAGACUUAUAUGCAAAAGGCGCGUAAAUUUGGGGUUCCAAUUGAAGUUCAGCAAGGGCGUAAUUGCAUUAAAUCAAAAGUUUAUGGUCAAUUAGGAGUUCAAUUAAAACAAAUUGAAAUCUGGAGGACUAAAUUAAAACUUAGUUAAAAUCCCUAAUUCAAACCUAAAACAACAUUGUUUUGAAUAAUAAUAAUAAAAAAAGAAUCAGACAACACGUCGUCUGGUCAUUAUUUAUUGUCUUCUUCUUUUACCCGGUUAAUCAUCAUAUGCGUGCGUGCAAGUCAGGGUUAUUGUGUUGUCUAUUCCGUGUGUAAUGUGGGGUUCAAUCCAUGUGAAUCGCACGACUUGUCCAUAUCUUUCUUAUUGAUUACAAAUAGCAUUGAGAAUUAAAGAAUAUUAUCUUAAUAAGUUCCAAUUUAUUCUACAAAAACUAUAUAUAAAGAUGUGACAAAAUCUUAAGUUCCAUUUUAUUCUACAAAAACUAUAAAGAUGUGACAAAAAGAUGCAGCUUACGGAUCAAGCCUGGUUCAGGUUUUGAUCCUGUUAAAAAUCUAUUUUGUUGAAUUGUUCAUCAACUCGUGAAUUAUUGGGUUAAAUAGAUUAAUUUUUUAAACAAAACAAUGCCAUUUUUUUUAUAUAUAAAAAAUUUGGUUCUGGCGUAUAAAUAUAAUAUUAGAAACUUAAACCUUAUUGAUUAGCAAAAACUCAAAGGGAAAUUUUGAAAUAGAUUUUUGUAAAAUCAAAUAUGAACCAAGUACUAGAAAGUUUGUUUGAAAUAACAAUUACUUUAUAGAAAGCAAAUAUAAAUAUAUUUAUUAAAUUUAAUAAAGUUUAAAAUCAGCAAGUUAAGCUACGAAACCCUGAUCAAUUUAAUAUAAUGCCGUUCAAUACAAAAAAAAAAUACAUCUUAAAAAAAAUUUAAGUUAAAUCAUGUUUCUACCUAUUAUUUAGGUUGUCUUCAGACUUAUAAAGUCGACUAGGUUAUAUUAGAAAAACUUUUAUAUAAUUAAAUUUAAAACUCGAGUUAGGAAAUUUUAAUAUUGAUUUGUUGAAUCGGAUUUAAUAACAAUACCAAAAAUCUAAAAUUUACUUUUUUAAUCAAUUUUUUUUAAUUCAACUCGUAUCAUAACACAGUAUAGUAAAAUAAAUAGAUAUAAAAUAUUUUGAUGGAUCCUCGGGAUAAGAGAUUGUUUUAGGACAUUUUGCUAAUUUCUUUUGUUAUCUAAUCAACAAGCUCAUAGUGAAUAAGUAUAUAAAUAUAUACAAUUAAAUUAAAUAACAUAUAAGAGAAAAAUGGUCGAAAGGUAAAGCUAAAGUGAUGCGACGUUGAGCCACUAGUCGAUAGUUGUAACGUCAGUUUGUUGGUUCGUCGUUCGUUUCUCGGAUUUAUUGAUCUUUAGAUUGUCUGUUUCUAGAAAAGAAAGAAAGAAAUAUUUAUAUUAUCAAUGCAAUGCAAUGCAAUGACUAAUAAGAGCUUGAAAUUAAGAGGUUUGCUUUCUCUAUAGUUUCAGGUUCGAACCCUGUGGUUGCUCAUAUGAUGGCCACUGAAGAUUUACAUGGUCGUUAACUUUAGGGCCCGUGGAAUUAGUCGAGGUGCGCAAAUUAUUAUCAUUUUAUCAAUGUAUACUACAUCUUUUUCUCAAUUGUUUGAGUUUGAAAUUAUAUCUGUGAACCCAUUAAUUUAUCUAGAAAAAAAAAAUUUAGGUAAUUGGAUCAAUCCUUGAUAUCAUAUAGAGAUAAAUUAAUUGUUUUGAUUAAAACAAUAUCAUUUUAUUUAAAAAUAAAUUUAUAAUAUUAAUUGAAUCACUAAAAACACAACUAGACCAAUCAUGUUUUAAAUAUUUUUAAAUAUUUUUAUAUUUAAUUUGAAAUUGAUUUAAAUUAAACUUUAAAUUAUGGGUUUUUCAAACUAACAUGUGUUGGGUUACGUCGAUUGAGUUAGGUAUAACAUAUCUAGAAGAAUUUAUUAAAUUUCUCUAUAAUUAGUCAAUCGAUGAGGGAAUUUAGUUUUAAUUGAUGGAGAAAUUAAUUUAAAGAUACCAUGCAAGAUAUAAAAAAAAACAUUUAAAGAUAUCAAUUAUUGUUUUCCGUUUAAUUAUAAAUAGAAUGAAGAGAGCGAUGCUCGCUGCACUUUUAUAAGCGACUAAAGUAGUUUCCAUCUUAGAUACAGUUAGAAUCUCCCAUAUCUGUCAAAAUGCCAAAAAAGCUAUUCGCAAAGAAACUCUCAAAAACUGACAUUAAUUAAAUAUAGAAUGGCAGUUCCAAUGGAAAGCCUCUACGCUUUCCAAAUCCCAGAAGGAGAACACUCUAAAGAAUUUGGUGUCACUGGCAUCCAUGGCAAGAGGUGGAGGUUCCGAUGUUGUACAAGAAAAACUGAGUUGAUCACCUUAAACCAGUCAUGUUUUCAGUUUGGAUUGAGUUCGCCAAAAAAAAGGGUUCUCAAAAAAGGUGAUGAAGUCACCUUCUCUGUGCUGGACAUGAAGGGAGCUGAGGAUCUGGAAUUGGGAAUUCAAGCUCGGAAAAGAAUCAAGCUAUUCGGCCAAGAUUUUUGGAGUAAUCCUUUGUGAAGAAGAAGAAGAAGAAGAAGAAGAAGCUACUCCUCGCAUAAGUAUAGAUUUUGUGCACCGAAGAUUGUGUCUGUGAGUAAUAGAGCUGGUUGCCUAUGUACAAUUAGUAUGCUUUGGCAGGAACUUCGUGACUGGUCCUUGGAUAGCUGAGAAAGCCAAGUCUAUGGCAACUUCAGGGGAAUCCAGGAGCAGGAAAAAAAUCAAGGUGAAAGGAUAUGAAUUUGCUAGUGCAACUGCUGCAAAGGAUCUAGGAGACAUAAAUUUGCGAACUAGAGAAGAGUUAAUUUUGAGCUCUGCAUUCUUCUUGCAUGUUCAUCUGUUUCCCGUUGUGGUUGAUCUUAGCAGUUCUCAGUAUAGUAAUUUGCAUUUCCUUCUAGAUCAGAUGAUUAAUGGAUUAUCAGGCAUGGACUGCGAUGUAGUCGGUGCUAGGGAAUCAACAAAGUUAACUCAUUGUAUUUUCAUAAAUUAAAGGGAUUUCUCUUCUUUUCUUUGUCAAUUACAGUGCAUGAUGUAUAAAAGUUUUCUUACUCAGAGUAAAUGCUAUUGUAAUGUUUUCACAGAGACUCCUCUAUUUUGCAACUAAUUCACUUAUAUAUCUUGGAAACAGAAAGGCAAUCAACGAAGAGUAAGGCAUCUUCUGAAGAAACAAAGAAAUUUAAUGCCCUAAACUAAGCAGCAGGUAGAAGGCAAAAACUGAGCUCAAAUUUUCAGUAAGGGACAAACGAAAAAAACCAAAAAGAAAGCAGAGAAAAAUACAGACUCAAAUUCACAACACCCAUUUUCUUUCCAUUGGAACACUUUAAAUAGUUUAUUAAAUUUAUAAUGAUCUGAUUUCUACGCAUAUUACAAAAUCAACUUCAUGAUCAAUUCUCUAUAAUUUCGGCAUUACUAAAAACAUCCAAACUAAUAAACUAUUAGUUAUUUUAGCCAUUUUAAUAAACAUUUUAGUUAUGAAUUCACCAAACAUUUUGAACAAUUCAUAUGGAUGAAUUAACAUGUUAAUUUUAGAUUUUUUAACUUAUUAAUUCCUUCAUGAAUUACUUCUAAAGCAUGUUAUAUAUAUCUAAGCACUUUUAUAUAAUAUAAUUCUAUCAAAUUCACUUUUACCCAAUGUAUAAUAUAAACAUCCAUAAAAAAUAACUUAUAUUGUCAAUGCAAUGAAAUGACUAAAUAACAUUUAAUUAUUAUAAUAGCUUUGUCCUCAUACCUAAGGAAGUAUACUACGUCUUUUUCUCGAUUCUUUGAGUUUGAAAUUAUAUCUUUGAACCCAUUAAUUUAUCUAAAAAAAAAUUUAGGUAAUUGGAUCAAUCCUUGAGGUCAUCAUAUCAUAGGGAUAUAAAUCAAUUAUUUUUAUUAAAAAUAAUUUUUUUUUUAAUAUUUUCAUAUUUAACUUGAAAUCGAUUCAAAUUAAAUUUUAAAUUACAGGUUUUUCAAAUUAACAUGUGUUGGGUUAGGUCUAAUAUAUCUAGAAGAAUUUAUUAAAUUUCUCUAUAAUUAGUCAAUCGAUGAGGGAAUUUAGUUUUAACUAGUUACAUGACCCGCGCGAUGCCACGGGUCAAUUUUGUUUUGCAUAAAAAAUAUCAAAAAAAGCUAAGAUCUAAAAGUGUUAGGUCUUUCUAUAAAGUUAUACCCAAAAGUCUUGGGUUUGGCUACAACGCCUGAUCCAAAAAUAAUAUUUAUAAUAUUAAUAAUAACAUUAAACUUGCAUAUAUCCACGAAUAUGUACAAUAUUUGAAACCUAUAAUGCAAGAAUAGCUGCAGAUGUACAAUAUUUUUAAUUUAAAGAAUCAAUUAAUUAUUUAAAAAACUUGAGGGAUUAAUUUGUUUGUUUUACUCAAAUUUUUAUUGUUUACUUGUAAAUAUUUUGAAAGGCACAACAUGAAAAAAUCAUAUAUGCUUAAGCAACUAUUUGGCAUCUUAAACUUAAUCUCGUAAAUUAAUCUUAAAUCCUUUUUAUUUAACUCUUUCCCAGUAUCAAGUUUAAAAUUAAUCAACAUAAAAGUUGUUUUAAUAUAACUUAGUUAAUUUAAUGGGUUCAAAAUUAAUACAUAUGACAUGAGAUCUACCAGCCAUCAUCUGGCCGGAAACGGGCCGCGAUCGUCGACUGCCACCGAAGCUUCAAGUCGUCGAUUCUCGCUCAUCAGCCAUCAACGGCCGUCAAGACCACCACCAUAAGAAUCCUCGACAUCAGAUCUACCAGGAUCGACCAUCGGUUGGCCAGAAAUCGCGCCGGAAAAUCUCCCCGCCGCCAACAGUAGCCGCGCGUGUGCCACACGCGCCGCCAGUGGCAUUUUUGUAAAUUUUGGAGAAACCCGAGGGUAUUUCAGUCUUUUACCUAUACAGUGGCACUCAGGUAAUUUUUCGGGGUUUCUACUGGUAUUUUUGAUAUUUUUUAUAUAUAAAUGCUUGUAAAUUUUCUUGCAUGUUGUAAAAAAUACAAAAACCAAAGUCGACACGUCUCUUUUUUUAAAAGGACCGAUGUCAAAAAUGUAAAUACCAAAUAUGGCAUAUGUCCAUUAUUUUUUUUUGGUGACCCAGACGUAAUUCUCCUUUUUAGGGUUGAAACGUCAUAUUUUAGACAAGUCUCCUAAUUUUUAGGGACUGAUGUCAUUUUUAACGUGUCUCCUAUUUUUAGGGACCGACGUUAACCAUUUAAAAAAACAAAUUACCAAUAAACCCAAAAUAUAAUGGAUUAUAUCCAUUAUUUCUUUUGGUAACUCAGACGAGUCUCCAAUUUUUAGGGACUGAUGUCAUUUUUAACGUGUCUCCUAUUUUUAGGGACCGACGUUAAUCAUUUACAAAAAUUUACAAAUAAGCCCAAAAUAUAAUAGCAUUUGAAUCAAAUAAAAACACACAAGUAAGGGUAACCUUUCUUUUGAAAGGAUGUUUUAAGGGUGGUGUCUACCUUCCCUUAAUCAUAACUAACCCCGUACCCGAAUCUCUGGGACCAGUGUCUAAUUUGGGAUUUCUAGUUCCCUCAAAUUACUAGAUGGCGACUCCAAUAAAAUCUUUGUUUCCCCCAAUCGAGAAAAAAACCCUUUUUGUUAAACAAACAAAAAAAGCGGGAGCCGUCGCCCGACGUCGUGUAUCGACAAAUGUCUGCAAAUCUUGUGGUCAUAUACAGGGUGCCGGUUUUCUUUCCACGAGCCAAAACCAUUGCUCCCUUUGAUACCUUCCACAUACCUCCAGAAAAAAGGAUUGAAUGACCACUAUCAUCAAGUUGUCCGACCGAGAUCAGCUUCUUCUUUAGAUCAGGAACAUGCCUUACAUUUUGCAAGGUCUAUAUAGAUCCAUUCAUUGUCUUGAUUUGUACAUCUCCUAAACCCACAAUAUCCAAUGGUUGUCCAUCGGCCAGAUAGACUACACCGUGAUCUCCAGCAAUAUAGUUUUGCAUCAUUUCAUGGUGUGGUGUACAGUGAAAUGAAGCACCAGAAUCAAGAACCCAAUCAUCAACAGGACUAUGCACAGCAAGAAUCAAAGCAUCUUGCACCUCAUUUGUGGUAGCGUUUGCAGAGUCAGCUUCAGGUUUUUUCGGUUUUGUGCAAUUCCUCAUGAAAUGACCGGGUUUGCCACAAUUCCAACAUUCAACCUGUUUUCUGGGUCCAAACUUGCUUUUACUUCUAUAUCUUGAUUUUGAUCUGCCUCUGGAUAAGCCUCUAUCAUGUCUCCUCCCUCGAGUGUUGAUGUUGAGAGCUGAUCCUGAGCUUGAACUUUCACCCGAGUCUUUCCUUCGCACUUCUUCAGCCAAAAUCAAGUCUCGAAUGUCAUCAUACUUCAGUUUGGAUUUUCCAGCUGAAUUGCUCACGGCUGUCCUCAUGCCUUCCCAACUGCUUGGAAGUGAAGCUAGCAAGAUGAGUGCACGAAUCUCAUCAUCAAACUCAAUCUCAACAGAUGAUAAUUGAUUUGUGAUGGUAUUAAAGUUAUUGAGGUGUUGUGUCACAGAAGUGUUUUCGACCAUCUUCAAGUUGAACAACUUUUUCAUCAGGUGCACUUUAUUAUUUGCUGAUGGCUUCUCAUACAUCCCAGACAAGGCUUCCAUCAAUCUUGCAGUGGAUCUUUCUUUCGUAACAUUGUGAGCAACUCUUCUUGAUAAGGAUAACCGGACAAUGCCCAGAACUUGUCUAUCAAGAAGUAGCCAAUCUUCUUCUUGCAUAUUUUCUGGUUUGCUCCCCAACAAGGGAAGAUGAAGUUUCUUCCCAUAUAGAUAAUCCUCAAUUUGCAUUUUCCAGUAUCCAAAAUCUGUCCCGUCAAAUUUUUCAAUUCCAGCUGCUUUUAUUUCAUCUGCCAUUUUUACUGCUUCUCCGAUUCGAAUUUCCCAAAUCUGACCUUACAGAUGUGUCCGGAACAGCCGAAAACCUUGGAAAUGACACUGAGAUAACCCCAAUCGGACUUCGGAUGGCUCAGAUUUUAGCAAUCAAAGUUUUGGAUUAACGGACGGUGCAGAUGCAGCCGCGUGUCAACCAGAGUACCGCCUGCGUCGCACCGGAUCAAAACCUCAGUAGCGGUUCUGAUGAAGCCACGUGUCAGCAGAUUAGGUCCUGCGUCACACCGUAUCAAAACUCAGUAACGGUUAUGAUGAAGCCACGUGUCAGCAGAUGAUGGCCUGAGUCACACUGGAUCAAUACUCAAUAGUGGUCCUGAUUUAACCACGUGUCAACUGAUUGGAUCUUGCGUCGUACUGGAUCAAAACCCCUCAACGGUUGUGAUGUAGCCACGUGUCAGAAUAUCAGCUUCUGCGACACAUCGGAACAAAACUCAGAGAUGACGUGGCAGGUGACGUGGCAGGUGACGCGGACGGUGACCGUACGGCUGUGCUGACGUGGCGGGUCAGCCCGACCCGUUUUGCAGAAGUCGGGCGAAGAUGGAGCGUGGCGCGCGUACGGCGCGUUGGUGCGCGUGGGCAGUCUGGGCGUCGGCGCGUGUUGGCGCGUGCGGGCAUGCAGGACGUCGGUUCUUCGCCGGGUUUUCAACAGUGGAUUCGUCCGGUUGUCCUCUACACGAUGGUAUGUUCAAAAACACGUUUUGAGAACUUUGAUUUUUGAGUUUGGAUCAAACACCCUCUUUGUCAAGAACAAGCUCUGAUACCAGUUGUUGGGUAAUUCCAGAACUCAAACACACAUCAAUUUACGUGGUUCGGCAACUUGCCUACUCCACGGAGCUACUGGUUUGUAUUAAUCAAGCUUAGAAACAAUACAAACAACAAAACAAGGAGGAGGAGAAAAUCUUCUCUACUCAACUCAAGCUCUCUCUCUCUCACGUUUUUCUCUCUGUGUUUUCACUCUUCUCUGUGUUCUUCACGCUUCAACCCUCCAGCUCUUCACUGAGCAUACAUAUAUAUUAAGCUAGGAGUGAAGGGCAUAAAUCAUGCCAUGAUUUAUGCCCACCGUUUGCCUCCACUUGUGCUAAGUGGAGAUUAGGUAUUCCCACUAAGCACAUAGUGGAGGUGGGACAUUGCUUGUCUCCAAAUAGCUAACAUAACUGAGGUGGGGUCGCCCUUGAAACAUUGGUAGAUGUAAGUGUUGCUCACAUGCAUAGAAUAUUUUUUUUCUACUUAGUAGUGGUUUUGGCAAUUUUUUUCAGACAAGUCUUGAGAGUUGAAAGAGUAAUCACACCCGAGUCAACCAACAAUCCAAAUCAGCUCCCUUCCUAAUGGUUCAGGAAUGAGAAGUCCAGCUUAUAUAUUUGAUAUAGAGACGGUACACUACAAAUUAAGCACCCAAUAACUAGACAAACAAUCAUGAUAAACUAGGAACAAUUGUCUUCCCAGUAACAAAUUCACCUUCUCACGUUGGAGAACUUGCGAAAACUAGCCACCACAAAAUAGUAGCAAGUAUUUAUGCAGUCUUCGAUGAAGUACGACCACCUGCGUCGCCAAUAUGGAUUGAUGUAAAGAACUGCUGCAAUCGUCAUUACCACAACUGUGUAACAUACACCGAAGCUGAUGUAGAAAAACUCCAUGUCUAUGAAACCAUCAUCUCCUUGUUCAUCAUUAGGCACUGGCUGUAACGGCACUGCUUCCUCACUACAAUUGUUUCGCAAUGGAGGUCCACACAAGAAAGGAUUUCCUUCGUAACAGUUUUCAUCAUCAAAGGUCCCAAAUUGAUAUUUUCUCUCGGGUGUCCUACCUGACAAGUUAUUGUACGCCACACUAAAAACUUCCAGUGUGGUAAUUUCAGUAAGUUGUGGAGGGAUGGCACCAUUCAAGUUGUUGUAAGAAAGAUCCAAACUCUCAAUCUGCUUUAGGUUUGAGAAUGUUGCAGGGAUAGAUCCAGUGAGAUUGUUGUGUGAUAAGUUUAAUGACAGUAUCUUACUCAAGUUUCCAAAUUCUGGUGGGAUUGCUCCUACAAAGUUGUUAUUGGAGAGAUCAAUACCAUACAUGUAGCUCAGAACUUUCCCCUUGUAACCAUAAUACAUAUUUUUAGUUGUAAAUUCUAUCACUUCUUCUGUAAAGUUAACCCAAAAAUCCUUUCCCAAGUUGUACAUACUAUCCCCUAGUGGUGGACCCAUUGUUUCAUAAUAAGCUUUUUCUAUGGACCAUGACGGAAAACCAUAUCCGAGAUCCGCGAGCGUUUUCUGGGAACUUUCCUUGAGAGUUAGAUUGCCCAAACAUGAGGGUAGUGGACCAGAGAGCUGGUUUUGUGAAACAUCCAAAAUACUUAAUUGUUCUAACAAGCAUAACUGAACAGCGAGCUCACCAUCAAAGUUAUUAGCCCUCAGAAGAAGAACACUCAAUGAUGAAAGAUUGCCAAUCCAAUUUGGAAUAGAGCCAAUGAAGCUGUUGUCUCGAAGAUCCAUCGUAACUAGGGAAGAGCUGUUAUAAAAACCAUAUGUUAAUGGACCGCUCAAUCUAUUUUUGGAUAGAUGAAUAUGGGUUAUUUGUGGUGGAUUGAAACAAGAUGGCAUAUAUCCAGACAAGUAGUUAUCAGAAAGGUCCAAAAAUUCAAGCCGGUCAAGCUUACAAAAGUCUCUUGGGAUUGGACCCUUAAAAAGGUUUUUGGACAAAUCAAGUACUUCAUCGUACGUAAAAUUAAAAAAGCUUCUUGGAAGCAUGCCUGAAAAUUGAUUGUUACUCAAAUCCAAUACACUCCAUACUUUCCACCCAUAUAAUGGAAAAUCUGAUAUCUGACCCCAAAAGUAGUUACCACCUAGGUAGAGAUAUUGUGAGAUAGAAGAAUUGAACACCGAGGUCGGUAUUUGCCCACCCAAACUAUUGUUUGACAGCUUGAGAACCUGUAUUGUUGUUAAUUGUUCUAGUUUUACUGUAGACAAUUGAUUGUUGGAUAAAUCUAAAAAUGAAAGAGAGCUAAAAUUUCCUAAACAAGAAGGAAUAUAACCUGUGAAUCCAUUGUCAGCCAUCCUUAAGAUCCACAGAUUUGGAAAGAUCAAACAAAUAUCUUUUGGAAUUUGACCAUUUAUGUUGUUGUUGGAUAUAUCUAAUUCGGUCAUAUUCGGAUAUGGGUGAUCUAGCAAUUGCAAAGUACCAACAAAGGAGUUCUCGCUCAGAUAUAGUUGCUCCAUUCGUGUAUUGUUCUUAAGCAACCAUGAUGGAAACAUUCCGAAGAUGUUGUUGUGGGAGAGAUCAAGGGUUCUUAAGUCGUAUUGGUAAUAGAGGAAGUCGAGAAUUUCUACAUUGAGUGCUUCCGAUGUUGGACUACUUGACAAGCGGAAAAAGACUAGUUGGAACUUUGGAAUCAAAUUAUCAAAGGCAGCAGAUUCCGUUACUAGUCUGUUGUUCUCACUGGAGAAGAACUUGAGGCUUGAGUGGUUCAUAAAAGGCUUCAUUGAAAUGGGAACUUCAAAGAGGUUAUUUGAUAGUGAGAGGAAUUCAAGGGAUAUGAGCUUGGUAAGAGGACCAAAUGCAAUAUUUCCAGUAAACUGGUUAUCAGAAACAUCUAAUAGUUGUAGAGAUGACAAGUUCCCCAAACAAUCUGGGAGUGCACCUCCAAAAUUAUUUCUAGCGAGAUCUAACUGCUUCAGAUUCUUCAAUUCACACCAACCUAUACAAUUUAUCUUGAAACAAUCAAAACAAUGUUGAAAGAAUCUUUUAUUGAUGAUGUAAUUAUAGGCGGAUGGAGAGUUGUUAAUUUACCUUGAGCGGGUAGGGUGCCAUGGAGGUCACAUUCAGCAACAGACAAAACUUUAAGAGCAGGCAAUGCUCCAGUGUUCUGGAGAAAGUUUAUUGGGAGAGAAGUAUUAUCUAGAUGCAAUUCUUCAAGGGUGCUAGAAUUGAAGAAAGUCCCUGUGAAAAAGAAAGAAGAAGAGAUAUGAUGAAAAUAGUGGUGGUACAGAAUAGCCAUUCCAUUCAAUAUUAUUAAUUAAGAUUUUAAGAAACUAAACUAUGAUUAACCUUGACUUAAAUUAGUAUCCUUGAGAGAAAGGGUCUUCAGCGAUGGCCAUGAACGCAAUGACUGCAGGAUGUCCAGAUUCCUUAAACCUAUGAUAUUUGGAUAGAAACAACAAAUUGCUUGAAGAAUCUAGAGAUUUCAAAAGGUAUUGUUAAGAAAUGAAGUAAAUAAUAGAAGAUGCCAAGAGAUAUUCAUAACUUUACCAUUGAUAGUCGUCGAUCCUAGCAACAUAUUGCCUGAUAAAUUUAAAGACUUGAGAUGAGAAAGUCCACGCAGAUGUGAUAAAAUGCUGUCAUUGAAUAUAUUAUUAUGGCUCAGGUCCAGGUUCUCGAGUUUCCCCAAAUGUGAUGAUAUGAUCUCAAAACCUGCAAGAGUAAGUCGUUAAAGUCGUUAUAUAAAAUAUAAUUCUAAUUUUGAUCUUAUUGGAAAUAUUACGAAACAAUUUUUAAAUAUCAUUCUAGUUUCGAUCUUAUUGGAGAAAAAAAAACAAUUUAUGGAUAUAAAGUCGAUAAAGAUGGAAGCUAAGUUAUGGAUAGACUUACAAAACAAGAUAAAGAAACUUAUAAUUAAGAUCUCAUCGGUAAUUAAAACAAGAAUAAUAAUCGAUCCUAGAUAGCAACAUAUUGUCCAAAUAUUUCACCAUAAAAUCACCCAUCACCAUUCACCACGACCAUAAGGCAAAAUCCUCCACCACAUAAUAAUAUUUUGAUUAAAAAAAGGUCCAAAAUAAUAUAAAACCAUGAUUAAAAAGGAGAGGAAAUAAUAAAUGGCUACAAACAAGAAUUAAAUAUCAUAUAUGUGGGUUUUAUGUUGUUCUCUUUAUUGAUAAAACAGUCGAGAGUUUUUCUAAUAGAGAAAUUGGCUGUCGAGAGUGAUUUGUAUUGGAUAGUUUUUUUGAUAGUUUUUAUUAAAUAGAUAUAAAGUCCUCAUUUUUGUUGAUAAAGAAACAAUAUAAUUAAGAGAAUGUCAUGUGAAGCAUUUAGGUAGGUAGAAACUGUGUAUUAUACCUGAUCCUGUCAGCUGAUUGCCUGACAGAUACAAAGAUUUUAGGGAUGAAAACCCAGUUAGAGAUGGAAAAAUGCUAUCGUUGCAUUGAAUCUCACUUAGAUGAAGGUUCUCCAGCUUUUUCAACCUUGAUGACAAGUCUUUGAGACCUGCAUGAUGUUCCUCAAUAGCAUAUUGGAAGGAAAUAAACGCAUAGAAAAAAAAUGAUAUGAGAAGGAGAAAAGAAAAGGUUUCAAAGCUAAAUAAUUAAAAGGUUACCAUAGAAGCUACCUCCUAAUCCAGCUGUCAACCCAUCGGUAAUUAAAACAAGAAUAAUAAUCGUUAAAUAUCAUUCUAAUAAUAAUCCAUGGCAAGUUCAAAUCCGUUGGUAACUGAAUUCCUCUAUCUAUUUAGUUAGUAAGAUGCUUAGUUGUCACUAAUUUAGUAAUUAUAAUUUGUUCCUCUGUUUUCUAGCAACUACUUUCCCAAUUUUAUCCAUUCACCACGACCGUAAGGCAAUAUCCUCCACCACAGAAUAAUAUUUUGAUUAAAAAAAGGUACAAAACCCAUUAUUAAAAAGAGAGGAAAUAAUAAAUGGCUACAAACCGAAAACCGGUCCAAUAUGUGGGUUUUAUUUAAAAAGAUAAAUAUAAAAUAUAUAUUUAUAGGAGAGUUUUGAAGUGAACUUCUGAUUACUAAUUUAAUCUAAAUAUUACAACACUUUUGGCAUAAAAGGGCUAAAAUAAGAAUAAAAUAUAUGCCUCUUGGACCUAAUUCCAAGUGCCUCUUUUCUUGAUAUAAAGUCCUCAUUUUUGUUGAUAAAGAAACAAUAUAAUUAAGAGAAUGUCAUGUUAAGCAUUUAGGUAGAAACUGUGUAUUAUACCUGAUCCUGUCAGCUGAUUGCCUGACAGAUACAAAGACUUGAGGGAUGAAAAUCCAGUUAGAGAUGGAAAAAUGCUAUCGUUGUAUUGAUUCUCUCUUAGAAGAAGGUUCUCCAGCUUUUUCAACCUUGAUGACAAGACUUUGAGACCUGCAUGAUGUUCCUCAAUAGCAUAGAAAUGAUAUGAGAAGGAGAAAAGAAAAGGUUUCGAAGCUAAAUAAUUAAAAGGUUACCACAGAAGCUACCUCCUGAUCCAGCUGUCAACCCAUUGAAUGAUAGAUCCAAAGACUUGAGAGUGGAAAGGUUACCAUUGAAACAUGACAAAAUGCUUUUAUCAUUAGUAAAUUUGUUAACACGUAGGUCAAGAUUGCUCAGUUUUGAUGAUAGGACUUCGAAGCCUGGGAAGAGAAUCAUCAAAGCAAGAUAAUUGACAUUAAACACCAACCAACCAACCUUCAUUUAUUUUAUGAUUAUAAUUAAGUGCAGAAACAUUGAACUAACCUUCAUUCUCCAUGCAACCAACCAAUCCAGUACCUCCCAAAUCAAGACCUCGCAAUUCUUUGAAAGGCUGAAACAAAGAUGCGUUGAGAACCCAAUCGCCCAAGUGGAAAUCCCUUGCCCCCCAAAGAGAGAGUUGGAUCACUCGCCUUGUAGUGUUAUCACACUCGAUCCCACGCCACUCACAACAAUUACUAUUGGUGUCCACCCAAUGAUCUCUCCAGGAAACGCCAUGUGGGUUGAUCAAAGAUUGGAUCUCCAAGAGACCAAUCCUCUCCUCCUCCAAACACCCAUAACAACGACCAUGCCAUUCGCCAACCAAAGUGAAUAAUGCUAGCAACAUCCAAGCCCCAAUUCUUUUCAUCAUCAUCUUAGAUAAUUCUAUGAACUGCUACGUAGAAUAUUGUUGUUUGUUAUGUGCCUUUGGGCAACCAUAGAGGUCCUAUUUAUACUACACUCUGGCCAUUUCCAUGACUUUGAGAUGUUUUCUUUAUUUCAUUUCUUUUUGGAAUAUUUUUGGAUUUGAAUAUUAUUCUAUUUUAUUGUCUAGCACUUAGUCUAUUUGCCAGGUUGGGAAAAAUAUUCAAAUUAGUUUUGUUGGCAUGUAAACCUCACCAAAUAAUUUGCGUAGACCGUAUUGACUGGGAGUCAAUUAUUGUCGUAGUGCUUUUAUGCACGAUCUGUGUGCGUGAACGGAAAGAAAAGCAGGGUGUGAAAAGCAUUAAAGGUUGUGAACGCGGAUGCUUGACUUGCUGUGUACCAUUUUGAUUUUUAAACACGGCCAUGCAGUCAUUUCCUGGCGAUUUCCUUAUGCAUACUGGUGGUCUUUCAUAAUCUUUUUCCAAACAAUCCUCGUUAGGCCGGCUCGGGGGUUAACUUAGAGUAAGGCAUCGUUUGACAUUGCGUUUGUAACUGCGUUUUAUUAAAUUUUGAAUUUUUUAUUUUUGCUAAAAUUAAGUGUAGCUUGUACUUUUUGGAUCUUUUUGAUGUGCUGAUGUUAAAAAUAAUUUUUAAAAAAUAAAAAAAUAUCAUUAGCAUGUAUUUCGGCACGAAAAGCUAUUUGAAAAGUACCCGCAACCACACUGCCAAACACGCUCUAAGAUUUGUAUCAUCGUUUUUUAUCAGAUUCAAGAUCAACUUGGAUCAAUCUUAAUUUUAUGCUAUUGUUUUUUAUAUAUAAACAUAAAUAAAAAUCCAGAUCUCUUUUAUAAUCUUAAAGGUAGUAUAUUAAUAGUAGAACCAUUAUCUAUCCAGAUACAAUUCAUCAUCUUUUCAUCGACAUAUCUUUUAAUUAAGAAAAGCUGUUUAUAGAGUUUUAAUCUAAGCAAUAGGUUUUCAUCGUUAAAGGAUACCUAUGUGGUGCUAAGUUCUUCUAAAGUUGGAGAACUUAUGAAAAUUAAUGCAAGGCUUCAACACUCCGAAGCCUGCAAGAGAAAUAUCAAAGCAAAAUAAGUAGCGUUAAACAGCAGCCAUUUCUUCAUUUUUAAUUUUAGUAUAACACAAUAAUAUGAACCAACCUUGAUUCUCAAAGGCACCCAACUAAUUCAUUAGCCUUCAAAUCAAGACUUUGCAAUUCCUUAAAAGGCAGAAACAAAGAUGCGUUGAGAACCCAAUCGCCCAAGCGGAAAUCCCCAGUACCCCUAAGAGAGAGCCGGAUCACUCGUCUUUCGGUGGUAUCACACACGAUCCUAGACCACACACAACAAUUACUGCCCAGGUAUUUCGACAGUUAUGGCUUGUGUGGGUUUUGGUUCACGAUGGAGAUGAUGGAUACAAUGAUGUAUUUCGACAACAAAAUUUUCAGUUCUUGUGAAUGGCUCUCCAACUAAAGAGUUCUUUAUGGAAAAGCGAUUGCGACAAGGGGACUCUUUAUCAACAUCUCUAUUCAACAUAGCAACUGAGGGUCUUGGUAGAAUGCUAAAAUUAAAAGGAGAUGUGAUUUGGGACUUAUAAAAGGUAUUUGUUUUGAUCACUUUCAAGUUUGUAGAUGAUACACUCAUCUUCAGUUCAUAUGAUUAUCCAUCUCUUCAAAAGAUCAAAAGAACUAUGUGAUGUUUUGAGUUGAUUCCUAGGCUGAAGGUUAAUUUCCACAAGAGCUCAAUCACUAGAACUAGAACUAGAAUUGAUGAUGUUGUUAUUUCUUCAACUGCUAGCAAUCUAAUAUGUAGGAUGGAGGGGAUGCCAUUUAAGUAUUUGGGUCUGCCUAUUUAUGCAUCUUCAUCUCAUACAUCCGUUUGGAAAACUAUUGCUUGAUUAACUCAAUUAUAAAUAACCUUUCUUUAUUUCCUAUCCCAUCCACUGUUGCUACCAAAAUUGAGAAACAUAUCAUAUCUUUCUUUGGUUCUCAGGAGGAAGGAGGGAAAAAACUAUGCAAUGUUAAAUGGGCAUCAGUGGUUCCUCCAAAAAAACAAAAAAGGUGGGUAUAGACUGCAUUAUUGAUAAAAAUAAAGCCUUGUUUUUCAAAUGGCUAUGGAGGUUUGGGAGGUCUAAUACAAGACUAUGAAAAGAUGUUAUCUACAACAUCCACAACCAAAAAGCGUAUUUGAACAUGCCUUUAGUUUGUGUUAAUUUAAAGGGUAGUACAUGGUCCAGGAAUGUCGUUACUUUUUAUAAGAACGAGGGACUUCAAAAUAUUGCCAAGAAAGAAGUUUGUGGUUUGGUUGGCAAUGGUAGAGAUAUUAACUUAUGGAAUGAUGUCUGGCUGAUAGAUUCUUGUCUUGCAGUUCAAUUUCCUAGACUUUAUAGUCCACCUGAAGAUCAUGUCUCCCCUGUAGCUACUGCAGCAGUAAAAGCUUCUAUCCAACCAGCCAGUGUGAGGCCUUCCCCUGUUGCUAGCAAUGUAGCUUCUUCAAGUAGCUAAAGUUCUGCUUCAAUAAAUGCCACGACAUCAGCAAUAACUGGUGCUACAACAAUGAGCUUCAACUACCCAAACUUCCCUGGCAAAAUUGCAGAAUGGUGCGUACGAGAUUCUAAUCCCUGAACAUGUUGGGGGCCACGAUAGCCUACAGAGGAACCCAUCCUCAGGCUAUGCCUUUCUUCAAUGGAUCAAUUCUAUUCUUCUUGAAUGUUUCAUCCUUCAUAGCUUCAGCGACAGCAACAACCAUUCAUACAGACACAACAAAGCCAACAGGGUCAUCAAAAUCCAAGUAUUUCUAGUGGCUCCUCGUCAUCCCAGAAGCAUUUGCUGAAUUAGGUGGAAUCAGCAGCGGUCAUCAAGAUCCAACCAUUUACAGAAUCAUCAGCAGAAUCAUUCCCUGCCGAACUAGCAGCGGCAGCUGAUGCAAAAUCAGAAUGUUACUCACAAACACCUCCUCCUUUUGCAAUGUCAUUUGCUCCAUCAACGGAACCACAACUUCCCCAGGUCUUGAUGUUUCAUUGCUGGUACAGAAUCAUGCUCUUCUCCAAAGCCCUCCAGAGGCAGCAAGUCAUGGCUAUCACUUCAUCACUGCGGCCCAAGCAACACAGCAGACGAAUUACCGUGUGCCUGAAGAAGGGAAAAAUGGAGGAAAUGACACUUCAAAUAUGGAAGGAGAGAGAAAGGCCGAUAUGGUUGGAGGACAGACCCCAUUAACUGGUGGGCAGUCAAUUGUGUUCUCUCGGCUAGAUUUUGUGUUCUCUCGGCUAGAUUUAACAGACUCCUCUGUUUCAACAAUGCCUGUGAACAAUGUUGUUGAUAGCUCAGCCCGAACUCUUAACCUUGGGUCCACUCUUGCUCGGACCUCAAGCCCUGUUAUGUCAGCUACUAUUGGCAGUGUAAAUGCACCAAGUAUACAACAACAGAUGCAGUGGAAUCAGCAGCAGCAGCAACGAAGUCAGCAAAUCCUUCAACUUCAGAAGCGUCAACAAUUUGCAGCUGCAGCUUCCACUCGAAGUGAAACACCAACAACUAGUAAUGGAAGUGUUUAUUCGGACCACAUCUCAUCAUCAUCAUCUAUGGGCACCAAGUUACCUAAUGCACUUUUGCAUUUCCUCAAAAUCUUGUUCAAAGCGGCAGUAGCAGCAGCAGUUAACAAAGCAUGCACUGCAACAGGCUCAACUAAUCUACGCUAAUGCUUUUAUGCAAGCUCAAGCUCAAGCUCAAGCUCAACAUGUGGCAAAUUCAACAAGCUUUGCAUCAACAGCUAGUGGGUUUCAUCUGCAAAGACAUCGCAAUGAGCAGCAACCGCAAUGCAUCGGCAACCUCUUCUACAAGGAUGUUGUUGUUAUGUCAUCCGAUCAUGUAAAUUUUUGUGACUCCCAACCUCCUAGCAACCACGAGAGGAUGUUUCCAGUUUUUUUUUUCAACAGCUAAUGCUUAGAUAACAAAAAUAGAGGAAUAACUGAUAGAGCUCCAGCAUUCGAGCAGAGUUUAAUAAAAAAAUAUAAAGUAAGGUUAGAUGCGUGAGCCUUGUUUUGUAAAUUUUUAUUUGAAUUUUAAUAAUUGUUUUUAAUUGUUAUGUAUAUGAAUAAAAAUUUGUUCAUGAAAUUUCAAUUUAAAUCACUUUUUUAAUCUUAGAAUUUUAAAAUAUAUUUUGAGCAUGAUUUUAUUAUAUUUAUGAUUUAUUUUAACUUUCAAUCACACAUAAAAAUAUAAACAUACUAUUUUGAUUUUUUUUUAAUUUGUUCUGACAAUUAUAGAAUAUUCUUUUAAUAUAAAAAAUGAUUCUAGUUAAGAAAAAAACUUGUAUAUUCACCAAGAUAAAACAAGAAAUAUGCUAAUAAAAUUUUUUAUCUUGAUAGAGAAAAAUUCAAAACGACUGUAUUUUCAAGUUUAAUAACAAUGUCAAGGAGUCCCUUAGACUGGGAUAUUUUGUUUUACAUUUAAAGUUUUUUUGAUCUCCAUAGCAUAGCACUAGCAUACAAACUUGUAUAUUUUUAAGGCAGCGUUUAGUUACUAUCCGAGACAGUAGAGACAGAGACAAUGGAGACAGAGGAGACAAUACAUAAAAGAAGAUGGAGAUAGAAUUGUGUUCACUAAUAAUAUAUAAGACAAAGUGAUUGUUUUUGUAUCAUAUUUGAUUAUGAUAGACAAGAAAGAAUAAAAUAUAAAAAAAAUAUUUUACCUUUAAUAUGUAUUGUUGUCAAACUUACAUGUUUUAAAAAAUAAUUAGUUUUAUUUUUUUACUUUAGUUUUAUAUUGAGUAUUGAAAUUAUUAAUAUUAUAAUAACCCUAGUAUUAAAACCAGGAUUAACUUGACAGGUUGACCCGAGGCCUAUACUGGUCUAAGUUUCAGAAAAAUAGAAGAAUGAUUAACUCGACCUAACCUAGUAAAAAACAUGAGUCAACUUAAGAUAAAACACGGGUCAAAACCCAUUAAAUAUUUUGAAAAAGAAAAUUGUUCAAAACAAGGUUUCUUUGACUAUUUGUUUUUAAAAAAAAUUAGGUCGAUCGGGUUAACCUUCUCUUGGAUUAACUCCUGAGUUGAGUUUUAAAACUAUGAUAAUAAUCAUUUUUAUCCAUACAUUAACUCAGGUCAAUCUGUGUUGACCCUCUCGACCCAUGACCUAGGCCUUGCUUCUGUCGACUCCCGAGUCGGAUUUUAAAAUUAUAAUAAUAAUAAUUUUUAUCCUUACAUUAAUUUGGGUCAACUCUCUUAAUUCGUAACCCAAGCAUUGCCCCAAGUUGACUAUCGAAUUAAAUUUUAAAACUAUGAUAAUAACCAUCUUUAUUUUAUGUUGACUCGGGUCAAUCUAGAUUAACUCAUCUAACACAUGACCCAAGUUUUAUCCCGAGUCGAUCCCUGAUUUGGGUUUUAAAACUAUGAUACUAAUUAUUUUUAUCAUUACAUUAACCUAAGUCAAUGAUCAACCCCACUCGUUACCCAAGAAUUGCCCAGGUCGACCCCCAAAUCGAGUUUUAAAAUAUGAUAAUAACUAUUUUUAUUCUUCUACUGACACAGGUCAACUCGACUCAUGACUCAAGCCUCAACCAGUGACCCAGAAUUUGCCCCGGAUCGACCCCCAAGUUGAAUUUUAAAACCAUGAAAAUAAUCAUUUUUACAUUUAUAUGUCUUAGUUGGACAAUUUGAAAUUGAGAGUUUUUUUAUAAAAAUAUUUUAGGAAUAAAAAAUAAUAAAUAUUAUCUCUAGAGACAUGUCUCCUCUAUACCUUACGUUUUGGAAGCACAAAAAUUCACUCCAAAAUUAUUCUAGAAACAAAUUUAUUUUUAUGUAUUUGUCUUUGUCUCUUCAACCAAAUAUAUUUAUAUCUUUAUUGUUUUUAUCCUUUCUAUUAUAGGACAAUGACCAAACAUUACCUAAAGGAUAUACAACUGACAAGGAUGAACUUGGCUUUAUUUCAUCUUUGAUAAUUUCUUCUCGAUGAUAUCUCACCGAUUUGUGGAGGCAAUUGAUCAAAACCUAGUUGAUUCAAAGGUUGACUUUGAAAAAAUAUAUUCAUAGAGUAAUGUUUGAAUCUUGGUGUUUUUUAUUGGCUCAAAAAAAUUACCAACUCACCAAAACCUGUAUGAAACAUUUAGAUUUAAUAUUAUAUGUAUAAUUUAUUAUAAUAAUUGAUAUACUAUUCAACUCAGUAACUUAGUAGGAUGACCUAUAACCUGCUGAUCUAAGAUUUUAGCCGAAUCAAGCUUUAAGCUAGAUAUAAUGACUAUGAUUUUAUAAAAUUACUAUGAACUUCCCUUUUAUGUCUUCUUAUUUACUCAUUUGAUAUUUUUUUUUAUGAAGUUAAGAUGUUCACAUUUAUAUCAUGAUUAAACUCUAGGGUAACAUUUAGUUAUUAUCUUGGGAUAAAAAGAAUAAAGAUAGUAAAGACAAAAAUAUGUUUGGUUGAAAAGAUAUAGAUAUAAAAAUAAUUUUUUUCAUGGGAUAAUUUUAGAGUGAAUUUAUAUAUUUUCAUAACAGAAAAUACAAAUAAGACAUAUCUUCAUAAACAAUAUUAUUUUUUAUUCCUAAAAUAUCAUUGUAAAAAACUUUCAAUUCCAAAAUUGUCCAAUUAAGAUAUGUAAAAAUAAAAAUAGUUAUUAUCGUAGUCUUAAAACCCAACUUGGGGGUUGACUUGUAGAAAGAUAUGUGAUCUUUGUUGACCCAAGUCAAGGUAAAAAUAAAAAUAGCUAUUAUCAUAGUUGUAAAAUCUAACUUGAGGGUCGACCUGGGACAAGGCACGGGUCAUUGUUUGGGUUGACCAUUGACCCAAGUCAACAAAAAAAUAAAAGUGGUUAUUAUUGUAAUUUUAAAACUUAACUUGGAGGUCGACUCAAGGCAAGGCCCGGGUCAUGGGUCAGGAGGGUUAACUCUGGUGGAACCGGGUUAAUGUAAGGAUAAAAGUGGUUAUUACAAUAGUUUUAAAACUCGACUUAGAGAUCGACCUGAGGUAAGCUCAGGUCUUGGGCUAGGAGGGUUAAUGCAUGGAUAAAAAUAAUUAUUAUCAUAAUUUGAAAACUUGAUUCAAGAGUCGACCCGAGACAAAGCCUAGGUUAUGGGUUGGGAGGGUCAACCCGAGUUGACCCAAUUUUUUUUUAAAAAAAAAGAAUCAACACAACCUUGUUUUGACCAAUUUUUUUUAAAAAUAACAGGUUUUGCCCCGUGUUUUAUCCCGAGUCGACCCGUGUUUUAUCCCGAAUCAACUCGGUUUUUUAACUCACCUAUCUUUUCUUAAACUUAAAAUUAAUCCGGGCUUAGAGACAACUAGAUCCCGAAUAGAUUCACUAGGUCAGUCUAGGUUAUAUAACUAGGAUUAUUAUAAUAUUAUUAAUUUCAACACUUAAUAUAAACUAAAGUAAAAAAAAGUUCUAAUUAUUUGUAUAAAUAUGUAAGUUUACCAAUAAUACAUAUUAAAGGUAAAAUAAUUUUUUUAUAUAUUUUUUUUAUCAUUAUCAAAUAAGAUAUAGAGACAGUUACCGCCAAACAUAAUUUUAUUUUCAUCUCCUUUUCUAUCUUUUUUUUCUUUAUUUUCAUGGUCUUCUUUUUUAUUCAUAACAGUAACCAAAUAUUGGCUAGUUAUAACAUAUAGAAACAUACAAGUUGUCAUGUUCAAGCCGUUCUCUUAUCAUUUUAAAUAAAUUGAAACACAAUUGCGAGGAGAAGAGUGUGUUUUGUAUUGUGUUAGCUUUUGUGGUUGUGGUUUGAAAAUUGUUGUUUUAUAAAAAAUACUUUUAGUUGAGGUUGGUUUGAUAUUUAUAUAUGUUUAGUUAAAAUUGUGGUUGAAAUUGAGGUUGAACAAAAAGUAAUUUAAUGUGUUUGGUUAAGAAUGCUUUUCAAAUCGAGGUUAUAAAAUAAUUAAAAAAGAUAUAUAUUAAUAUUGAUAGUUUUUAAUUUAAAUAUUGUAGAUUUAACUACUGCUAUUACAUCAUGAAAUAAAUAAUACUUUAUAUAAAAUAUUUUUUUAUUGUUCCAUUAAACUAUCUACAAUUCCAUCACAUACGAAAUUCAUUCGACAAGGACUACAGUUUUCUUGGUUUCUUAAGCGCACAACAAUAUCAAGUAAAAUAUAAUCAGGAACAAAAUUAGGAUUGCGAUCAAAUUCUGCAAAUGCUAUGUCAUCAAGCAAUCUCCUUAUAAUUUAUGUAGUGUUAUUGAAUAAUGCUAAACACUAGUUUUUCAAAUAAAACAUAAUUAAAAAUAAAAAAAAAUUGAUUUUUUUUUAUUUUACUGGGUCAGACCCGGUUCAAUGCAUUUAGCUUUGAAUCGGACCCAGUCCGGCCAGAAUAGUAGAGACAUUCUAAGCAACUUCAAGUGAGUCUCGUAAACAGUAAAUAACGUACCAAACAAUUAUUUUUAGUAAAGCAGAAGCAACCGAAGAAGAAGAAGAAGACAUGUGAUUACGGUGCCAUGCAGCAUUUUGACAUUAUGAGUAUUUUGAUGUAUAUCCAUUAAUUUAUAAUAUACAAGUAUAUUUCCAUGUUUCUUUUAUUUUGAUAGAACAUUUUUCCAAUAGAAUUUGUUUUUAUUGGAAUUCCAUAUUGAAUGGAUGUCAAUUGAAACUAAAAAUGUGUUAGAUAAGAGCAUACUAAUAUAAAUACCAAAUAAUGUUUAAUUAGAUUGAAUUGAACUAGACACCAUAUGUUUUUAUUCUAUGUUUGGUGCACUAAAGAUAAGAUCAAAUAAUUUUGUUUUUAUCAUUGAGAUAUUUUCAAUCAUUUAUUUUAGUCUUUGCAUUUUAUUUUUAUGAUAUUUUAGUCCUUACUAGAAUUUCUUUGUCAUCUAGAACAAUCUAGUUCUUAAAUCAAAAAGUUUUUGCAAUUAAACUCUUACAUGUACAUAUUUAUUUUAAUAAAAUUGGUCAAAUUUUGGUUUUCCAAAUUAAAAAAUAAAUAAGUGAUAAAUAAAUAAUAGAUAAUAUAAAAAUUAAGAAAAAAUAAUUUUUGUACAAAUUUUUUGUCCAAUCCUUGUCAUGUCCAAAGUGUAUAUCAAACAUUUUAUAGCUUGCCAUGUGCAACAAAUAUAUCACAACUUGUUUUUAUUGUAUUCUAUUAUGAUCUGUUUUGUGCCUUAUAUUAUUUAAUAUAUUAAAAUAAAUUUAAUAAAUUAUACUGAAGCAAGAUCUAAUAUUAGAAAGUUAACGGAAAUAAAUGUACCUUUGCCCGUCCCUUCAACAAAAUGCUGAGCUGUAUACUAAUUCUCAGAGGCAGUGAUAACUAGUUGUUCUAACUAAUCCCUAUACUUUUAAAUAUGUUUACAAUUCAGUCCCUUCAUUAAUUUUUCGUUAGUAAAAUGUUGAGCUGUCAGCAAUAUUUCCUUAGUUUGUGCCGCUAACUUAACGGUAAAAUGUGAUUCAAGGAUCAAUUAAUUAUUUAAAUGAACUUGAGGGAUUAAUCUGUUUGUUUAACAAAAAUACAGACACUAGUUAAAUAGAAUUUAACUCCAAUUUUAAUCAUCAUAUGCGUGCGUGCGAGCGAGCGAGCGAGUGUUUACUCGUUAAUGUUUUUUUAGAAGGAAUCUGGAAAAGAAUAAAGUCAUCCAUUUCACUUUGGUCCAGCAUUCCUCACCUCUCCCCGCCAGAGCUCUCCCUCCCUCCCUCCCUCCCUCCCUCCUCCGCCUCUCGGAAACCGCCGCCGCCAAGAAGGCUUCAGAUUUCUGCCAGGUGCUUCUAUUUCUAUCAUGUUUUUGUUUUUAAAAUUUAUGGGUGUUUUCAUUUAUUCUAUUGGAAUUAUUAUUCAGAGACAGAAAUUCUAUUUUAAUGAGAAAAUUAAAAAAAAUAAUCGAUCCGAUGAAAUCUCUGCUAGUGAACGCAAUUCGAUUUUAAUAAGUAAAUUAAAAAAAUAUAUAAUCGGAUCCGUUGAAAUCGCUGCUCGUGAACGCAAUUCAAAGAAACGCACAAUCAGCCGAUUCUAAUAUUUUCUUUUUCAAUUUUUCCCCUUAAUUUACAUGAUAUUAUCCGAUUUUUCUCACAGUUAUUGUUGUAAUAAUCAAGCCCUGAAUUCUUGAACCCAAAUUUAUUUUAUUUUAUUUUAUUUUAUUUUUUAGUGGAGAAUAGAAAUCAAUUCAAAUCUUUUAGGCUCGAUCGAUAAUUUGUUAAUUAGUUUAUGCAGCAGCUGGAGUGGAAGAGAUUUUUCUGCCGGAAUGGCCGAAAAAUGAGCUGUUUGGUUGAUUCUUCUUUUUUGGAAUUUACUGAAUUCUUCAAAAUUAUUGUGUUCUUAACAACAAUACGAUAUCCUUGGGUUUUAUGCUCGCUCACACAUGGAAAAAAGAAAGAAAGAAAAGGACUUUACAUUUUAUAAUUUGGUCAUGUUAACGCAAAAAAAAUAAAAAUAAUAGUUUAUGAUGACUCAUUGUUUGGUUGAUAACCCUACAUGAUAUAUCUUUCUUUUUAGGACUUCCUAGCUGGUCUUGAGUAUGAGGUGAAAGCUUGAGGAGGGCAGUUGGUCCUAACCAAGGACUGUAUUGUGAUUGAUUGAGUUGAAAGUUAAGAGCAUGUGGAAGUGUAAAACAAAUGACUUUGUUCACUUCACCCCAAAGGCGCACCUGUGCAUCUAGUUAGGAAGAACAUUUUAUAACUUACCUCAAGGUCGAGCAUGGUCAGGGUUAUUGUGUUGUCUAUUCCGAGAAAGAUGUGCCUGCAAAUUUAAUCUUAUUUCAACAAGAGUUGUUAAGUUAAUUCUUAUCAGUCCUCUUUAGAGUUGAUGAUGACAUGAAAUAUUCAUGGUUAAUGCUUGUCGUUUUCUUCUUCAUUUUCCUAGCUUAAAACAUCCUAGAAAUCUAUCUAUUGAAGUAAAGCAUUUAAAUGCGUAUACAAUGUUUUUGGAACUUUAAAUAUCUAUUUGAUCAGAAUCUGUGAACCUAAAACCACAAUGAAUACAAAUGCAAGUUUGUCAUUGUAAACAUUGCAUCAAUGAUGUAUCACGAGUGUUGCUAGAAAACAUCAAGUUAAAAUUGAAGCACCAUGAGUUUCUCCAUGGCUUGGUUUACCAACACUCACCAUCUGAUGGUGUGGCAAGUUAUGAACUAGCUGGCUAGUUUUUUGCUUCCUUGGUUUUAGAAGGACCAUGAAGAUUCAGGCCCAAAUCUUGCUUAUAAUACCUAAAUACCCAAGAUCCUAGCACCUUGCCCUGAAUGGUCGUGUAUAUUUGUUAUGGCUGUUCAGAUUUUAUGCAUCCAUAUUUGGUAGAAUUCUUUAAUAAAGUACAUGCUAUUGGAUGGAAGUUCUUUUUAAAUCUAUUCAAGUCUGAAUAAACUGACAUUCCAAUUUUCAUGACUUUGAUAUGCUCUUACUCUUCUGUUGUUCCUGACUUUCUUUUUAGGGUCUAUUCUAACAUGCAAUAUAAUUAUUAUUUUUUUUUUUGGUGAUUGAAGUGAUUUUUUUGGUUGGCCAAAACCCCAUGGAUGCCAAUAAUUGGAGGCCCACUGCCCCAGGCGGAGAACCUGUUAUGGACACAGGUGAUUGGAGAACUCAAUUGCAGCCUGACUCACGGCAAAGAAUAGUCAACAAAAUGUAAGUCUCUGUUUCCUAAUAUGUGCAAGUGCUGCAAAAUAGUAAAUCUUGUAUUUAAAUGAAAGAAAAAGAGAAGGGAAAAAGGUUAAUUAAAAUCAGCAGGACUGCCAUGAGGCAACCUCAAGUAUCAUACACCUCUGUUUUUGUCUUUUUCAUUUUUCACGUGUUUCUCACAAGAAGUGAACUUGAGGGAAUAAAAAGUGCUGGGAAGUAAUUUUUGUUGGAACUUCUUGUGUAACAUCUUUCGAUGAUGACCUCUAGGAUGGCUGCAUGAAGCUUCUUCCGCUUUAAAUUUCAAGGUUAAUCUAUUGCUAUGAGCAUUGGUGUUUCAAUUUCAACCUUGAGUUGCAACUGAACUUAAAUGAACAGUGUUGGAUUUGAGCCUUCCAUUUGCUUUAACUUCUACAGGGUUGAAAUGAUAGUUAUCUUAAAGUACAAAAGCAGCAGACAAAAAUCAAUUAGUCACAAUAGUGCAUGGUUUCCUAGUUUCUCAGUAUAAAGUGGAAUGUUUUGGUGAUAUCUCUACAUCCAAAUUCAUAUAGACAGCUACUGUUGGCAUUUGCAGUAGCCAAUGAGCACUGUAGAGUAUAUAUUGCAGCGUGAGAUAAGGUUAACUCAUUGCAUUUUCAUAAAUUAAAAGGAUUUCUCUUCUUUUCUUUGUUAAUUGCAGUGCAUGUAUAAAGGUUUUCUUAUUUAGAGUAAAUGCUGUUGUAAUGUUUUCACAGAGUUCCCUUGGUUUGCAGCUAAUUCAUUUAUAUAUCUUGGAGCAUAGCCAUAGCCAUAAAUGGAAGGUUCUUCCAGUUCAAGAAAAUUAACCAUGAAGCUCAUAGCUAGAAUUUUAAACAUAAGGGUGGCCAAGUGAACUCCUAUACCCUGUACCUGUGGAAUAAUACGGGGAAAGGAAGUAAAAAUAGAUGUGUAUUUUGAUGCCAUAUAUUACUUGACCGACACUUGGCUAUAUCAUUAUUUGUUUUUACUUUUUCCUAAUGAUUCCGUUGUAUACAUUUCUGAUAUUGGUGUGGUGUAUGAGUUCACGGUUCUUUCUCACUGCUGCUAACUUCUCUAUACCUGCCUUGUCAUUAAAAAUUAAAUGUAAUGUUUUACAUGUGCAGAAUGGAGACAUUAAAGAGGCAUCUUCCGUUUUCUGGUCAAGAGGGAUUACAAGAACUCAAGAAAAUUGCCGUACGGUUUGAGGAAAAGAUUUAUACUGCCGCCACCAAUCAGGUAUUCGGCUAAUGCUAGGUUCAAUGAUUUCGAUAUUCUCUAGACAUGAAUAUACACAUGCAUAAGUUUGUGGAUUAAUGCAUGUACACGUGUGUGUAGUGUGUCCACACUUCCUUACUGGUCAUUCUGUAGAAGUUCUCAUCUUUUCGUUAUUUCUCUUGACAAGUGUUUUAUUUAGAGUGACCAAGGUCCUUUUCAAGUACAAGGGAAGUGUGCAAAAUGCAAAUAACGAAUCAAUACAUAAAUAAUUAAAUAAAAAGAAAGGACACAGAAGUAUAUCCUCACAGAAGAUGCAAAUACAGAAAGCCUAGCAUAUUAGAAAGAGCAUAUAUCCCUUUUCCCCCUUCUCUUGUAACAUGGACUGCGCAGAGAUCUAAUGUUUUGUUAUUGAUAUCUGAUUUCAGUCUGAUUAUCUGCGUAAAAUAUCUCUGAAGAUGCUUACAAUGGAGACCAAGUCUCAAAAUACCAUACCCACUGGCAAUGGUAACAAAACCCUGGAUCCAGGAGGUAAUAAUGCAGCCAAGCAUUGGAUUUCUAAACAUCCUUACCUUUUGUUUUGUAUUUUGCGUUGUUAUCAAACUCUUUUACAUUUUAUUGCUGCAUUUUGCUAUGUAUAUACCAUGCUUUAAUAAAAGAGUCGAGUAAUUGAUGAAUGUUCAAAAAAAAAUUACAGAUUAUUUUUGUUUUCUGCUCCCCACCCCCCCACAACAAAAAAAAAAAAAAAAGUCAAAUGACACUUAUGCUUUGAGGUAAAACCAUCUUAAUUAUUUCCCUCAUAACUUUACGUGUGAACUGUCAUUGUUUCAUUUGUUUUUCUUGUUCAAUGCCUUCUUUUUUUUUCCUUUGACAUGGUUUUCCUUUUUGCCUUUUAUCUUGAACAGCAUCUCAUAGUAUGCCGCCUCAAGUUCACAACCAAGGGCAGUCGCUCCCUAACUCAUUGUCCUCUAAUCAGUCUCAAGCACGUCAGCAGUUAUCACAGAACAUGCAGAAUAGUAUGUCAUCUAAUGGAGUUCAAAGUUCUGCUGGUUUACAAUCAGCAAUGCCUUCUGUCUCCGGUUUAACCCAGACUAUCCCAAACACUGUUGGACAGAAUGCUAACAUGCAGAGUAUCUCUGGUGUUUCACAGAACCCAGUGGGGAAUUCAAUGGGACAAGGGAUUCCCCCCAAUAUGUUUGUCAAUUCUCAGAGACAAAUGCCAGGCAGGCAACAGGUUGUUCCUCCACAGCAACAGCAGCAGUCCCAAAAUCCUCAGCAGUAUCUUUAUCAGCAGCAGAUGCAACAUCAGCUUUUAAAGCAGAAGCUUCAACAGGGAAAUCAUCCACACUCACUUGUGCAAUCUCACAUCCACCAGCAGCAGCAGCAAAAUUUGUUACAGCCAAAUCAGUUGCAAUCUUCUCAGCAAUCUGGUUUGCAAACAUCAACUGUUAUGCAGCCUUCAAUGAUGCAAACUGUCUCUGGCCUUCAACAGAACCAACCAUCUUCUGUUCAACAGUCAACACAACCAAUGCACCAGCAACAUCCACAAUCAGUCCUUAGGCAGCAGCAGCAACAACCUCAACAGUCUGCUGGUAUUCAUCAGCAGCAAACACCAAUGAUGCAGCAGCCACUAUUGCCUCCACAACAGCAGCUAAUGGGGCAACAAUCAUNNNNNNNNNNNNNNNNNNNNNNNNNNNNNNNNNNNNNNNNNNNNNNNNNNNNNNNNNNNNNNNNNNNNNNNNNNNNNNNNNNNNNNNNNNNNNNNNNNNNACAGCAGCUAAUGGAGCACAUCAAGUACACUAACAUGUCGCAAAAUCAGUUAAUUGGACAACAAAACAUUGUUGGGGACUUGCAGCAGCAGCAGCAGCAGAGAUUGCUAGGGCAGCAGAAUAACCUUCAAAAUCUGCAGCAGCAGCAGCAGUUAAUGGCUCAACAAAAUAACCUCUCAAGCAUGCAUCAGCAACAGUUGGCCCCUCAAAGUAAUGUCACUGGUUUACAGCAACAGCAGUUGCAUGGAGCUCAGCCUGGUAACUCAAGCAUGCAAUCUAAUCAGCACUCUCUACACAUGCUGCAACAGCCCAAGGUUACGCUGCAGCAGCAAGCACAACAAAGUGGAAGUGGUUUGUUGCCGAAUCAAGGGCAGCAGUCACACUCACAGCUGCCACAGCAGCAAUUGAUGGCACAGAUUCAAUCACAGCCUGGACAGCUGCAACAGCAAUCAAAUCCAUUACAACGUGAUCUGCAGCAAAGGCUUCAAGCAUCAGGCUCCUUGCUUCAACAGCCGAAUGUGAUUGAUCAGCAAAAGCAGUUAUAUCAACCUCAAAGAGCCCUUCCAGAAACGUCCUCAAGUAAGUUUUUCUCAUCCUUGCAGCUUUCUAGCCUUGCUCCAACUUUAAUUUUGCAGCUUU